rnacentral:lncRNA from 1 species
CCAAUGCACCUGUUUUCCCUCUCAUCACUGCAGAAGAUACAACUAAGCAACAACCAAUUUUCUGGUCCCUUCAGUGAAUUUGAAGUCAAGUCUUUUUCUGUAUUGGACACCCUUGAUUUGAGUAGCAACAAUCUGGAAGGGCCAAUACCUGUAUCCCUCUUUGAUCUCCAGCAUCUUAACAUCCUUGACCUUUCUUUCAACAAAUUCAAUGGUACUGUUGAACUAAGCAGCUAUCAGAAACUUAGGAAUCUUUUCACUCUUAGUCUUUCGUACAACAACUUGUCCAUCAAUGCAAGUGUUCGUAAUCCCACUUUGCCUCUGCUGUCGAAUCUUACCACAUUAAAAUUGGCUUCUUGCAAGCUCAGAACAUUACCUGAUCUUAGCACCCAGUCAGGAUUGACAUAUUUAGACCUUUCCGAUAACCAAAUUCAUGGAACCAUACCUAAUUGGAUUUGGAAGAUUGGUAAUGGAUCUCUUAUGCAUUUGAAUCUCUCUCAUAAUUUACUGGAGGAUCUGCAGGAACCUUUCUCUAAUUUUACUCCUGAUCUGUCCUCCCUUGACCUACAUUCCAACCAGCUCCAUGGCCAAAUCCCAACUCCUCCCCAAUUUUCCAGCUAUGUGGAUUACUCAAACAACAGUUUCAACUCUUCCAUCCCAGAUGAUAUUGGUAUUUACAUGUCCUUCGCUCUUUUCUUCUCUCUUUCGAAGAAUAACAUCACUGGAAGUAUUCCUAGAUCCAUCUGCAAUGCAACUUACCUGCGAGUUCUUGAUUUUUCUGACAACACUUUGAGUGGCAAAAUACCCUCAUGCUUAAUUGAGAACGGGAAUCUUGCGGUGCUGAAUCUAAGGAGAAACAAGUUUAGUGGCGCUAUACUUUGGGAAUUUCCAGGUGAGUGUCUUUUACAGACCCUAGAUCUCAAUAGAAAUCUUUUACGAGGAAAAAUUCCGGAGUCUCUGGGCAAUUGCAAAGCCUUGGAGGUUUUAAAUCUUGGGAACAAUCGGAUGAAUGAUAACUUUCCUUGCUGGUUGAAGAACAUAAGCAGUUUGCGUGUUCUUGUUCUGCGAGCCAACAAAUUCCAUGGACCCAUUGGAUGUCCCAAGAGUAAUUUUGAAGGGGAUAUACCAGAAGUAAUGGGGAACUUCACAUCACUCAAUGUUCUCAACUUAUCGCAUAAUGGUUUCACAGGCCAAAUCCCAUCGUCAAUAGGGAAUCUGCGACAACUUGAGUCAUUAGACCUCUCGCGAAACUGGCUGAGUGGAGAGAUACCUACACAACUUGCCAACCUAAAUUUCCUUUCAGUCCUGAACCUCUCCUUCAAUCAAUUGGUGGGAAGCAUCCCUACGGGCAAUCAAUUGCAAACAUUUUCAGAAAAUUCCUUCCUGGGUAACAGAGGAUUAUGCGGCUUCCCCCUAAAUGCAAGUUGCAAAGAUGGUACACCACAGACGUUUGAUGACAGGCACUCAGGUUCCAGGAUGGAGAUUAAGUGGAAAUACAUAGCUCCUGAAAUUGGAUUUGUGACAGGGUUAGGAGUCGUGAUCUGGCCUCUCGUGUUAUGUAGGAGAUGGAGGAAAUACUACUACAAACAUGUUGAUGGAAUUCUUUCAAGGAUUCUCCUUGGGCAAGACCAAGGAAGAGCAAAUGGUGGAAGAAGAGCUCACAGAAUUCGGCGGCGGAGAAUGUAGCAGUGGUGAAGAGGGAUGUGGCUACUAGUAAAAGCGUCAUUCCGUGUGUUAAAUGUAAUUCUGGCUUGCUUUUUCAUAAAACAAUCAUAGGAAUUAGAUUUUCAAAGUAAUAUUACUCUUACCUUUUAGUGAUGCAAAUAUUAAGGUCUCUAAAAUAUUAUAUAUUUUAAUAGUUUUAUUUAAAAAAUUUAUAUAUUAAAUAGAAAAUAUAUUUUCCACCCAUGUGCAGAAAAGCUUUUUAUUCACAACUCUAGUGUAUAACCAUGUUAACCCUACCCAAAUUAAAAUUCAAACUUGGGAGAUUCUGGGAGUCACUCAAGCUGGGCUGGAGCAUGGGUUAAGAUGUGUUGGCUGGAUGCGGGCCCAAGUUGGGUUAGGUUAAACUUCGUUGCCUGGAUUUCGGUCAUUCAAAAAUAUGGGCCUGAUUGUUACAAACGAAAGCCAACUGAGAUGGCUAGGUCCAUAUUCAGCCCAAUCAACACUUCCAAAGCCAUAAGGGAUUUAAGAUUGAUAAAUAAGGAGUUGGGUGGCUGCCCAUCUCCACCAUUUAUCAUUUCCAAGAAUCAUUAAACAAUGAUGAGAGUCUGAGAUUUUUUGAAGUAGACAAUGAAUCAAUAUAACCUUCUAUUUUUUAGAUCUUAAUGGAAUUUGAAAACUACUCAUAUUUUUAUGCAAACCAAAAACUUGAAAAAUAAAACCCAAAACCAUCUUCCAAUUGAUCAAAAUCCAUGCCCAAUCUUAUAAAAAUGAAAAAAUAAAUUACUAUUUUUUUUUUAUCUUAUACAUUCACAAUUUAGAUUUAUUUUCAUGUUUUCAUAUGAAAAAGACUAAGAAUGUUAGGUCCUCACAUGAUAAACCUAAUUUUAUAUUUUGUAUAAUCAAUAUAAUCCAAAUUAGACUUAUAUAUAUAUAAAAUAAAAGUUAUAAAAAAAUAAAUGAUUUUAAUGUAACAUUUUUUUAUUUUUUUUUAUAAUUUAAUUUUUAUUUUAUUAUAAGUUAUUAAGGAUAGUGUAAGAUAUUGACAUUAAAAUCAAAUACCUAUAGAUAACGAUAUAAGGUGGUUUUAUGGAAUGUAUAAGAUUAGGAAAUUAGAAUUUACUAAAAGUUUUAUAAAAAUCUUUAUAAAGGAUUAAUUUUUAAAAAUUUAAAUUUAUUGUAUUAUAUAGUUAAUAUUAGGAUUUUUUUUCUAAAAAAUAUCCAUAUGAAAUACCUAUUAAAAAAAAUUAAGUAGAUAGAUGAUUUUAUAGAAAACAUGAGAUUGCUAAAACAUUAUACGGUCAAAGUAUUAAAAAACAAUUUUUUUUUUCUUUUUAUCAACUUUAAGUGAUCUAUAAAUUUUCCUAUGUCUUUAAAAAAUCAAUUAGAAAAAAUAUGAAAAAAAAGAGAAGAAUUGAAAUAAAUAUAUUUAUAAAUUUCAUUAUCUUAUAAAUUUAUAUAUGAAUUAUAAUAAGAUAUAAUACUAUCAAAAAUUAAAGUAAAUUACUUUUAAAAGUUUGUUAUCCUUUACAAUCACAAUUUAGAUUUUAAUACGAAGAAGACUAAUAGUGCAUUUUAUUGGGGAUGAAUUAUUUUCAUCUCCAAUAUUGAGUUUUUACAACAAAACAAUUUCUUUUUCAAUAAAUUUCUUUAUUCCUCCAUCUAAUAGUAUUAGGACAAUAAUUUUGUCCCUCAUUGUGAGGUUUUUCCUCUCCAAACUAUUUAACAAUAAAAUAAUUUUUGUUGUCCAUUAUUUACCUUUUGGGACAACAUUAAGUUUUCAUCUCCCAAUAUAUUUUCUACCACAAAAUAAUUUAGGCUCAAUUCAAUUUCAAUUAAAAUUUUAGAAACAAAUUUUUGUGACAAAAUCAAAUUUUAUCUCCCAAAAUCAUCUUUGGAGAUAAAAUCAUAUUCAUGCCCAAAAAAAUUGUGCCAAAAGGUAGAAUUUCUUGUAGUGGUUUUUCCCGUGCUUUUUGUUUGUUUGUUUUUUUAUUAUCCUUUCAGUUGUGAAUCACUCUUCUUCUAUUAUAUUAUUAUUUUAAAAGAAGUGUCGGCAUCUUUUUGUUCAUAAAAUCUUUUACUUAUGUAAUAUCCUUCUAAAACAAAACAAUAUAUAAUAAAUAACAUUUCAGGUGUGCUUAUUUGGUUUUCUUUCUUAUAGAGACAUGUUGAAAGGUCUUUGUUUUACUGGCGGGUGCUUUGGUCACCUGAAUUAUGGGAAUCUCGUCUUACCUUAUCACCAAUGUAGUGCCUAGCAUCACUAGAAGCGUACGUUGUGCGAAAGACGGUACAAUUCGCUGGUAUACAUGUAAUAUUUAGAUGACUUUUAUUGGUUCAUUAAUGUGGCAAGAAAGAAAUAAUUUGUAUUAAUAUUGAUUGCAUUAGUAUUUAUGUAAUAUUUAGAUUUUUUUUUAAAUAAAAACAUAAAUUAGUAUUAUGCAUUUAUAAUUUUAAAAAAUUUCAAAAUGAUUAAGGAGUUUACCAUAUGAAUGAAUAAAAAUAUAGAAAUCAAAUAUAGUUUGAUAUCUUUACAAAUAGUCUUUAUUUAAAAAUAUUAAAACGUUAUAUAUAUAUAUAUAUAAAUUUUAAUGAAGUGUGAAUCUAAAAAUUGUUUAUAUAUUUAUAAUAUCAACUUAAUUGAAGAAAACAAUCGAUUUAUAAAAAGAAAAAAAAACAAUAACUUUCAAACAAAUUUUUUGUUUUAUUUGUUCUAAAAACUAUUUUUACUAAUUCAAUCAAAUAUGUUUUUUUAAGAACAAAAACUGUUUUUAAAAAUUCAAUUCCUAAAAGCAAUUUUAUUUUUAAAUACAUCAAAAUCUAUUCUAAAAUAAAAAAUAUUCUCAAAAAUUAUUUUCUAGAACUAUUUCCAAAAACACUUUCCAAAUAUGCCCUAAAUAUUCACAAGAUCACAUCAAUAUAGCUCACAAAAAAAUAAUGACCAAAAUAUUCAAGAAAUGAUCCACAUCAACACAUGAAAAAUAGGUACUCACUACCACGGUCUAAUAUCAAUAAAAUAUUUAAUGUCAACAACAUAUCCUUCUCUCCAUUUUUGUCCUAGAAAAGACAAAGGGCCAUUCACCAACUAAAUAUCUAAUAUUCAAACCAAAACAAGUAUGCUCAAUAAAUUCUCCAAUAUCCAAAAAUCAAGUAUUCACAUAUAAACAAGUAUUUACAUUAGCAUCCAAAAAAUUAAUAUGAAACAAGAAUCUCACUCCCACCACAUGGUUUCAACCCAGAACCUUUAGAAAGCUCUCUAUCAUCAUAUAAAUAGAUUCUAAGCUACAAAGAUCUAGCAUGGUUGAAUGCACUCAUAAUAAGCUAGAUCUAACAUAGUUAAGAAUAAAAAAAAAUGAGGAACUCCCCAAGGUAAGAAGAUAUCCUUGUUAGGAUAAAGUCCUUAAAAGAAUGACAUGAUGUAAUAAACUCUUGGAUUUUAUUAUUUAUUGAAUAAAGUUCCAGUUCACUUUUAUUUAUCCUAUUUCCAUGCAUGAUAUUUUGUAAGCACUCUCGCCUGUAUAUUUUUCAUUGUACGUGACUUGGGUGCAUUAAGAGUUGCACGGAAAAUCCAAGUCAUAGGUUUCUUGUAAAUAGAUGACUUGUUUAAAGUCGAUUGAUGGGUUUAGGCGACCCAUUAGAGGUUGUAGUGUACCAUAUCCUAAUUUGAGAGAUGACUGGUCUUGACUAUUGGGAUGAGUUUCCCAUGGUGAGUGUACUAGUGUAUAUGGUUACACAUUAAACAAGACCUAUGGUGAGUCAUGACUUAAGACUAUCAAGUAGUUAUGACUUCACAAAACUACUUCAUUGUGUUGUCUCUCAACCUUGAGAGAAUAUUGAGCUUGUGUUGAAGUUAGUAAUGGCUUUGACCUAUGAGUGAGAUCGUAAGUUGAUUAUAUAUUCCAUAUGAAUUGGGUCAUUAUUGAUGGAAGCCGGUAGUAAUAGGUAUUUUCAAUAGAGACAUUUUUUUUUAUUGAGAAUUAAACUAAUAAAUAGGAACAAUUAAACUAACAAAUUAAAACCACAAACACGUCUAAACAUAAAAGAUAGAUCAAAACUAAACUAAAUCGGAAUUAAAAACAAGAGCUUUUCUAAUAUGAAUAAUUAAACUAACAAAUUAAAAUCACAAACAAAUCUAAACAUAAAAGAUAGAUUGAAAUUGAACUAAAUUGAAAUUAAAAAUCAGAACUUUUCUUAUAGAAAUAAUUAAACUAAUGAAUUAAAAUUGUAAACACGUCUAAACAUAAAAGAUAAAUUAAAACUAAAUCAAAUUGGAAUUAAAAAAUAAACUUUAAUACUUAGAAACCAUUAGAUUAACAAACUAAAAUAAUAAAAAACACCUAAACUAAACAAAUAGAUUAAAACUAAAUUUAAGCAAAUUAAAGUUAUGAACUUGAUCACAUGAAUUAAAAAUAGAACUAAACUAAAAUCUAAACUUUCAUUAUCUUUGCAUGAAUUAAAAAAAUAAACUAAAAUUUAAGCUUUCAAUAUCUCACAUGAAUUAAAAAAAAAAAAAAAGAACCGACUAAGAUUUAAGCUUCCUUAAUUUAAUAUGAAUCAAAAUCAGGGCUAAACAAAAAAUUAAGCUUUUUUAGUUAAAUAUAAAUUAAAAGAAAAUUAACUUACCUUUUCCGAAGAUGAGUGUGAGUUGCGACGUGAUUUUUCAAAGUGCAGGCCUAUGUGUGGUGAUGCAAGAAUGGGUUGUGCAUGCUUUCUGAUGUUAAGAUGUAGCUGUUUUUUUUCUUCAAAAAAUAAAAUAAAAUUGGGUGUUGUUCUUUAAAAAAUGACAAAAUCCCAUGAUCCCCUUUGAUUCCCCCCUUGUGUAGUCUUCUAUUGCCUCCCUUUUAUCUCCUAGUGCCCACAUUUCUUUUAACUCUCCCAAACCAAAAUAUCCUUUUUUUCAAACUUCAUUUUCAAAAUUUAAAAUUUAUCCUCUCUAAUUUCAAAAAGAAAAAAAAAAAAACCAUUUUCCAAUCUAAAACUUAAUAUCCCAUUCUUAAAAAAUAUUCAAGUGUCAACCAUUUCGUUUAAAAAAUAUCUUGAUUUUCCGAUUUAAAAUUAAUCUUUUUUUUUUUUUUUGUUCUUUUUAAAUUCCGAUUUUUCAAUUUUUUUUUAAAAACUAAAUGUCAUUUAAAAAAAAUUAUGAUGUCAUUUUUAAACUUAAUUUCAAACUUAUCCCCUCUCUUUUAGAUAAACAAAUCUAUUUUCCAAUUUAAAACUUAAUCUCUCACUUUUUUUUAAAAAAAAAAAUCUGAUUUUCCAAUUUAAAAAAACUAAAUCUCCUUUUUUUUUAAAAAAAAAAAUUAUGAUGUCAACCCUUUCUUUUCCAUUGGUAAGUUUCCUUGCAAAAAAUCAAAUUUAUUAAAUGAAUAAAUAAAUUAGAAAACAAUAAAACAAUAAUAAAUAAAUAAGUUAAUUCAAAAAAUAAUAAAAAAAGAAGAUAAUAAAUAAAUAAAAAUAAACAAGUGAUUGAUAAUAAUAAUAAUAAAAAUAAAUAGAUAAAAAAUGAGCCACGCAAGGCAUGAAACCAUGCAAGUCAUACAAAUUAAGCAAAGAAUGCCUAAAAGGUGACCUAAGUGUACUUAAUAUGGGCCUAGGUGAACCUAAGUGUGCCUAGAUGAACCUAGGUGAAUCUAAGUGGGCCUAGGUGAAUCUAGAUGGGCCUAAAUGGGCCUAGGUGAGGUAGAUGAGCCAGGUGGGCCUAGGUGGGCCAAGUGAACCUAGAUGUGCCACAUAUGCCUAAGUGAACCUAAGUGGCCUAAAGGUGCUCGGGUGACCUAAAAAGGCCAAGGUGAUCUAAAUGGGCCAAAUGUGCCUAAGUGGGCCUAAGUGACCUAGGGGGCCUAAUGAGUCUCAAUGGGCCUAGGGGUGUCCAAAUGGUCCUAGGUGGGCAUGGUAUGCCUAAAAGGGUCUAGGUGAACCUAGAUGGGCCUAGGGGUGCCUAAAUAGGCUAGGACAUGCCUAAGUGGGCCUAAGUAACAUAAAUGGGCCUAGGUGAACCUAGAUGGGCCUAAAGUGGUGCUUAAUAGGGCCAAGUGUGCCUAAAUUGGCCUAGGUGAGCCUAAGUGGGCCUAGUGUCACGGACUUAGUCGUUCACUAAGCUCAUGCGGCACUUAGGCAAGUCAAGACGCUUGAUCUUGCUAAGUCAGCCUUGCUCCCAAUGCUUAGCUUGCUAGGCUAAGAUGCUCAUGACUCGAAAGCUUAAGAAGCUUAGUAGGCAACUCUUAGAGAAUGGAAGCUCUUAUUACUCAUGGAAGCUCUUAUUACUCAAGGAAGCCUUUACAAGUGCUUUGAAGACUCACUUGCUUGGUUAGAAAGUGAUUUGGGUGGUGUCUUGGCCAAAUGAGGGCCUCACCUAUUUAUAGGUACCAAUGGAACUCUCUGGAACCUUGGAGGGUUCCUUACAAAUCAAGAAUAUUCUAGAACUCCCUACACUAAUCUAUGUACAACCCUAUGUACAAGAAUAUACAAGAGAUCUCUAGAAUUCUCUAGAAAGCCUUGGACUUCUCUCAUGCCUUCCACCAUAGUGUAGAGAUGUGUAGACAUCUCUAGGCAUCUCUAGAACCUUCCACACUCUUCCAACCAAUGUCUUAGUGUAGAUGGCUCCAAGAGUCUCUAGAAGCUUUCCUCCUCCUAUAUAAGCCCAUUGGGAGGGUCAUUUGAAGCAUCUUGUGACACUAGGGUGUCUAAAUGAGCCUAGGUAGACCUAAAAGGCAUCUAAGUGACCUAAGGUGAUCAGGACAACGCCUAAGUGACCUAGAGUGAUAAGGAUAAUGCCUAAGAGACCUAGAGUGAUAAAGAUAGUGCCUAAGUGACCUAGGGUGAUCAGCACAAUUCCUAAGUUACUUAGGAAAAUUGGGAAAGUGCUAAAUGACUUAAACAUGCCUAAGUUUGCUAUCUUAAAAGUGUACUGUAGACCCUCAAUUUUGUCCCUUUAGUACAUGUCUUUAAGUUCGUUUUCAGUGCUUCAAAAUAGUUCCUUGGUGGCCCAUUACUACUCGUACGACUUACCUUUUUCUGAGUCACCUCGGAGACUUUGGUUGAGGGAUUAUUUGAUCCCAUAUUGUGACCCUUGGCAGCCCUAACUUAGACUUAGGUUUUUCUUGUUUUUUUUUUUUUAGGAUAGCUUUUAGAUACACUUGGCCCAUUAGGACACACUCUAGGUCACCUUUAGAUGUUUUUGCAUGGUUUGCAUGGUUGCAUGGCUCGUGUUUUUGCAUGGUUGCAUGACUCAUAUUCUUUUGGUGGUUACAUAGCUCGUAUGGCUUGCAUGUGGUUGAUUUUUUUUAUUUUUGUUUUUAAUUAUUUUUAUUUUUUAUUUUUAUUUAUUUAUUUUAUUUUUUAGAUGUGUGAUUUAAAUUUCUUUUGAUUUUCAAUUUCAUGAUAUUUAUUGAUUUUAAUCUUUAUUCUAUUUUGUCUUUAUUUUAUUCUUAUUUCUAUUUGUAUCUUUGUUUAUUUAUUUAUUUAUUUAUUUUUUGGGCAUGAGGAAACGGACCGCCAUUUAUUUGGAAGGAAAAUCAACAGAAUUUUGAAAAGAGGAGAUUUUAUUUUUAGAGGGACAACACAUAUACUUCUUCCAUAGGGGGAUCGGCUACAAGAAGGAAAGAAAAGAAAGAAAGGAAAGAAAGGAGAAAAGGAAGUAGGAUUUUCCUUUUCAGCAAGAUGGUUUCUUUUUGAAAAGUGGGACUGGCAGCACGCAUAGAAAAAGGGAUUUUUUUUUAAGAAAACCAGGGGCACGCAUUGGAGAAAACGGUUGAAGAGGAGAAGAAGAAGGAAGCACAAGAAAACCAGUGGAGAUUUUCUGAGGAUAGAAACCAGUGCAGAUUUUUUUUAUUUGUCAGAAGUAAGCAUUCCCAGGGGGGGGGAUUCUUUGGAUUGCUUUGGGUGAGAAGAACAGGGACUAAGGUACACGAGUUUCUAAAGGAUUUGGGAGAAGGAAUCAUAUCUAGAAGAAAGGAAUUGAGUCAAAGCUGCCGGGUAUGCUUCUUGCUACUUUUUUAUUCCCGUUUACAUUCAAUACUCCAUGAUCCUCUGACCAUUUUUGAAUAUUCAAUCUUUGCUGAUUGGUGUGGACGGUAGGUCCACAAUUAGUUCUAUUGAAAUUGGUUGUUUCUUUGUUUAUUUAAGACUUUCGUUCUUUUCAAUGUCAUUAAUUUCUUAUGAGAAUAAUAUGCAUUUGGGUCAGUCCUUGAUUCUGAUGAUGGAAAUCCUACCUUGUUCACGUUGAAAAUCUGUUUUAAAUCACUCCUCUAUUCUAAGCCAAUGGAUUGAAAUAUGAAAUUGUGGCUUUUCUUGGUUAUUUUCCUCUUCUUUCUGUGUUUCUUUUUUUUGUUAUUUUCUUCUAUUUCUGGCCCACACCUCAACCAGCCCUAUUCCCGAUCUUCAAGAUUUAUUAACGUUGAUUCAAAAAUUUUUGGAACUAUGGAAGAGAAUUUAGGAAAUAAAGAGGUUCUUGAGAACUGUUCUAGUGAGCUCGCUUUCUGCUAGCCGUCUGCAUGGGGAUGUUGUAAUUGGGGAGCUUUUGGCUAAAUGGCUUCUGAAACUUCAGCCUGUGACUACUUCUCCUUAUGUGUUAUUAUCAAACUUGUAUGCUUCAGAUAGGAAGUGGGCAAAUUUAAAGAACCUGUCAUCAGCAGGCAACAGUUUCUUUGGCCCAACUACAGACUCAACUUCGAGGUUAGAAUCAAUCCAGUCUUUAGAUUUCAGUUGCAAAUCCUUUUCUGGUGAUAUGGCAGCAUCAUUGACUGUUGAGUCUGAUAUGGAAUACAAUUGGAAUGCCAACAUUGAGAUAUUUGGAAGAAGAGGUCCUGCUCCCGGAGUUAGACUUGGUGGGGUGCUUGGCGACUCACUUACCAGAGUUGCAAGAAAGCAAGCAGAUGCACUUUUGUUUGCAGAGGCCAGGAAACAGAGUCUUGAUUCUUUGAAAAGAGAAGAUGGCAUUUUUGCUAUAGAAGGAAAAGAUUACAGCUCAAGUUACUAGAAGUGGACAGAGGCAAAAGAUAUCAGUAUAUGAUCUAAUUCCAGGUGAUAUUGUUCAUCUUUCCAUUGGAGAUCAGGUCCCAGCUGAUAGACUUUUUGUUUUAGGAUUUUUCUUUGUCGAUAAAUGAGUCCAGUUUGACAGGAGAAAGUGAGACGGUUCAUAUGAAUUCUGAGAAUCCUUUUUCUCUUGUUCGGAACUAAAAUUCAGGAUAGGUCAUGCAAAAUGCUUGUGACUACUGUUGGGAUGAGAACCCAAUGGGGUAAAUUGAUGGCAACUCUUAUGAAGGAUGAUAAGCCUACUGCAUCAAACUAUCUGUCCAUAGCUGCACUGCCAGUGGGAGAGACAAGGAAGGAGAUGGAUUUAAUACUUCAAAAACGGAGCAUUUAGAAGUUCGGAUGGAUCUUACAGAUGACUUAUUGCACAUGGUUUCCUUUUCUUGGACUAUAUUAAUCUUCGUCGAGCUGCUACAGUCUGUAAGUAGUGGCGAGCUGGUAGUUCUCAUGAAGACUUCUGGAGGUGUCUGAAUCUCGAAAAUUAGAACAUAUCUGAAGAACAGUUUGAGGAUAUGUGCCGUAGAUAUCCGAAUGCCACUGAAGUGAAUAUUUUUUUUGGUGCUCCUUCAAUUCACUCGCUGGUUAUGACAGCAAUAUCUUCUUUAAGGAAUCUGGAGAUCUUAACCUUGGGGAAAGGAACAUCAGGUGAUGCAAUUUUAUUUUAUUUUUAGCCUUGGCUGAUUGUUAUAUACUAAAGAGACUUGAAGCAGUUGAAUUCUCGAAUGCCCUGUACAAGAGCUUUUUGGACGAAGACCUGAUUUGACCAGAGAAGCUUUACUCCAGGACAUGUUUUCAAAUGCAAAAAGACCACAGCAAGACGAUUGCAUCUGGCCAAAGAGUUGCUUACUUUUCUUGUUGAAGCUCUAAAGUCUUUUGCUGAGACCAAAGAAGGGACUUCUGAAAAGGUGCUCCAGUUCUGUGGAGAAAGUGCAGAUCCUAAUGUCCAAACCUCUCAGUUUGUUUCCAUGAGAUGAAGGAAGAGGUGCAAGUCAAGAUUUAGUCUUGCUGCAAUUUCUGAUGUCGAAACUGCCAAUAAUUCUGCCAGCCUACAGAAAAUUCCAAUAUCUGUUUUGAAUAUUGAUGAAAAAUACAUUGCAUCAAGGUUUUGCUGUAAUCUGGAGAAGUCAUUAUCACCAUUAUUUAAGGAUGCAGCAUACAGAGAUUUUGACCUCAAUUUAUCACUCAAUUGGCAAGAGAUCGUAAGUGCCUUUGAUAACUGAUCAGUGGCUGUUUGAGGCGCCAAGUAUGUGACUAAUGAUUAUGUAUCAAUGACAGAACUGACUUCAUAGGCUACCUACAGAAUUUAACAAAGAAAAGAAAGUCGGGAGAGAAAUCUGAUGUUGAAUUCAAUGGCAAGUCCAAAGGAAUUCAGUGGCUGUUUAAGAUGACUUUUAUGGAUGAGUUCAGUAGAGAAUUGAAAAGAAUUCAAGUGGUUGCAUAUGUGGGUGAGACUCAAUUGCGUUAACGGGUACUCUUGAUGGCAGAAAUUCGAAGGGAAUGGGGAAAGCUCAUUAACACAUUGGGGAUCUGCACAUGUUCUGGCUGCUUAACUUGAUGAUCAGUUUUAUGGUGACAUUAUGAAGAAUCUAAUUGAAACAGUGGAGGAUCUUGUCAGAUGGGGGAUUUAUACAGGGCGUUUUGGACAUCAUAACAACAGGGGUUGCAGAUUAUGUAGUUAGAAGUGUCAUGGCCUGUGACAGUUCUGUUUUAACGCCAUGAUAGAGAAGAAGAUCCUUUUAGUUGUGAAUGUGGGAGCAUUGGAUAUGGUGAAUUCUGAAGCCAAGAUUACCAUACUUUCUCAUUUACUGAACAGAAAUAUUCAUGUACACAAUGAGCAAGUAUCUCUUAUUCGAACAUAUAUGUAAAAAGUCCAAAAGCUUCAAUGUUUUGACCAAAUCAAAUGCUUUUGUUUCUCCAUCAUCAGAGGCGUUGACUCUUAGAAGAAGGCGCACUCAUGAACAGCAGCUUGAAUUCCAUGUCACAGAGGUUUUGGAAGAGGCUCGAAUCAUUGAGGCUAAGCACAAAAGAUUGUUGGAUUAUCUGCUGGUGCAUUACUUUUGGAGUAUCACAUAAAAUCUCACUGGGAUUUUGUCCUAUGGAAAUCAUUAAACGGCGAUAACAAGUCAAGCUGGAGUUUAUCUGCGAGUUGAUGAACUCAUUGAAAUUGCCAAACUCCUUGGAUUGAAUUCUCAGGGUGAUGUAUCAGCUGCUGAAGUUGUUGUUGCUGGUGAUCUGCAAUUGGCAUUUGAUCUCUGCCUUAGUUUGGCAAAGAAAGGACAUGGUCCCAUUUGGGACUUAUGUGUUGUUAUGGCAAGGGGUCCUGCUCUUGAAAACAUGGGUAUAAACUCUCAAAAGCAGCUACUGGGUUUUGCCUUGAAUCAUUGUGACGAGGAAUCCAUUGAUGAACUGCUACACGCAUGUGAAAUCUAUGUUGUUGCACUGCUGGUGAUGUUGAACCGAGGGAAUAAAGAGUACAGGUUUAGGGAUUACUCCAACUGACUCCAUAAUCAUUUGGUGAAUGACAAGAACCAGGGCUGGAUCAAGAAUUGUUUGAUAGAUAUCAACAUUUGUAGUUGCCUCGGGAAAGAGAUAAAUGACGAUGUUGCUACAUUCCAUAGGAAGAAUUUGUUUCCAAUCCAGUCGAGUCACAACAAACCAACAGCCUAAUGUUCCUAACGUUGUGUAGAUCCCAUGGAAGAGGCACAUCCUGAAGAGCAUGAUGAGUUUACUGAGAAUGGUAAUGGUAAGGAAAAAGAUUCCAACAAUCCGGCAGAUGAAAGUUUUGAAGAGAUAGAAUCUGGACAAGUGGAUGGAAAAUUUGAGAGGGAUGAUCUGGGAAGGGUAAUGAAGACAAAGCUGACAUGGAUUUAGAGGCACCAAGGAAAGGUGUCUUGGGAUCUGAAAAUUCUAACUUCAUUAGUGAUCAUAUGUUCAAUGCAAAAUCUGUGACGCAAUCAAAGGAUGACAUGCAGGCUGCAAAUUCAAGAAACGUGACACCAGAAACCCUUUUUGCCUUCUCAAUUCUCAUGUUGGGUGCAAUUUCAAAGAGUAUUGCUACUUCUUUGACAUAUCUAGCAAUUAGGUGUAAGAUCAUGGUUCAAGCAGCAGAUCCAAAUGACGGUGAAGCCUAGAAAGCUCCACAGAAAUCCCACAAAAUAGUACAUGAUGUUCUCUAUGUUAUUUGGAAGAGAGAAGGUGGACCGGGGUUCUUUAAGAAAUUGCAAGCUUAGAUCCUGAAAACCGUACUAAACUCAGCAUUGCUUUUGAUGAUCAAGGAGAAAAUUGUAGCAGGCAUUUGAGUACUAAUACUUGCAGCCAUCCCCAACUAAGCAAGAGCCGGAAUUGUUAUUUCUUGUUAAUUUCUACUGUCACCCAUGAUCAAAUGAAGCCUUUAAGCUCUCUUCUAGCAAUGUCUUUGAUAUUAAAUACCCACCAGAAUCCCCAUUCAGUAACUGCUUCAAUUUGAGCUCAUGGAUCCGAGGAAAACAUGGAUAGGGAAAAUUGGUUAUGCCAGGGUCCGUAUUUCUCAAGAGCAAUCCAAGUUUGCUGGGAUUCUUCAUCCCUCAUUGGAAGUCACCAAAACUUUGAACNNNNNNNNNNNNNNNNNNNNNNNNNNNNNNNNNNNNNNNNNNNNNNNNNNNNNNNNNNNNNNNNNNNNNNNNNNNNNNNNNNNNNNNNNNNNNNNNNNNNNNNNNNNNNNNNNNNNNNNNNNNNNNNNNNNNNNNNNNNNNNNNNNNNNNNNNNNNNNNNNNNNNNNNNNNNNNNNNNNNNNNNNNNNNNNNNNNNNNNNNNNNNNNNNNNNNNNNNNNNNNNNNNNNNNNNNNNNNNNNNNNNNNNNNNNNNNNNNNNNNNNNNNNNNNNNNNNNNNNNNNNNNNNNNNNNNNNNNNNNNNNNNNNNNNNNNNNNNNNNNNNNNNNNNNNNNNNNNNNNNNNNNNNNNNNNNNNNNNNNNNNNNNNNNNNNNNNNNNNNNNNNNNNNNNNNNNNNNNNNNNNNNNNNNNNNNNNNNNNNNNNNNNNNNNNNNNNNNNNNNNNNNNNNNNNNNNNNNNNNNNNNNNNNNNNNNNNNNNNNNNNNNNNNNNNNNNNNNNNNNNNNNNNNNNNNNNNNNNNNNNNNNNNNNNNNNNNNNNNNNNNNNNNNNNNNNNNNNNNNNNNNNNNNNNNNNNNNNNNNNNNNNNNNNNNNNNNNNNNNNNNNNNNNNNNNNNNNNNNNNNNNNNNNNNNNNNNNNNNNNNNNNNNNNNNNNNNNNNNNNNNNNNNNNNNNNNNNNNNNNNNNNNNNNNNNNNNNNNNNNNNNNNNNNNNNNNNNNNNNNNNNNNNNNNNNNNNNNNNNNNNNNNNNNNNNNNNNNNNNNNNNNNNNNNNNNNNNNNNNNNNNNNNNNNNNNNNNNNNNNNNNNNNNNNNNNNNNNNNNNNNNNNNNNNNNNNNNNNNNNNNNNNNNNNNNNNNNNNNNNNNNNNNNNNNNNNNNNNNNNNNNNNNNNNNNNNNNNNNNNNNNNNNNNNNNNNNNNNNNNNNNNNNNNNNNNNNNNNNNNNNNNNNNNNNNNNNNNNNNNNNNNNNNNNNNNNNNNNNNNNNNNNNNNNNNNNNNNNNNNNNNNNNNNNNNNNNNNNNNNNNNNNNNNNNNNNNNNNNNNNNNNNNNNNNNNNNNNNNNNNNNNNNNNNNNNNNNNNNNNNNNNNNNNNNNNNNNNNNNNNNNNNNNNNNNNNNNNNNNNNNNNNNNNNNNNNNNNNNNNNNNNNNNNNNNNNNNNNNNNNNNNNNNNNNNNNNNNNNNNNNNNNNNNNNNNNNNNNNNNNNNNNNNNNNNNNNNNNNNNNNNNNNNNNNNNNNNNNNNNNNNNNNNNNNNNNNNNNNNNNNNNNNNNNNNNNNNNNNNNNNNNNNNNNNNNNNNNNNNNNNNNNNNNNNNNNNNNNNNNNNNNNNNNNNNNNNNNNNNNNNNNNNNNNNNNNNNNNNNNNNNNNNNNNNNNNNNNNNNNNNNNNNNNNNNNNNNNNNNNNNNNNNNNNNNNNNNNNNNNNNNNNNNNNNNNNNNNNNNNNNNNNNNNNNNNNNNNNNNNNNNNNNNNNNNNNNNNNNNNNNNNNNNNNNNNNNNNNNNNNNNNNNNNNNNNNNNNNNNNNNNNNNNNNNNNNNNNNNNNNNNNNNNNNNNNNNNNNNNNNNNNNNNNNNNNNNNNNNNNNNNNNNNNNNNNNNNNNNNNNNNNNNNNNNNNNNNNNNNNNNNNNNNNNNNNNNNNNNNNNNNNNNNNNNNNNNNNNNNNNNNNNNNNNNNNNNNNNNNNNNNNNNNNNNNNNNNNNNNNNNNNNNNNNNNNNNNNNNNNNNNNNNNNNNNNNNNNNNNNNNNNNNNNNNNNNNNNNNNNNNNNNNNNNNNNNNNNNNNNNNNNNNNNNNNNNNNNNNNNNNNNNNNNNNNNNNNNNNNNNNNNNNNNNNNNNNNNNNNNNNNNNNNNNNNNNNNNNNNNNNNNNNNNNNNNNNNNNNNNNNNNNNNNNNNNNNNNNNNNNNNNNNNNNNNNNNNNNNNNNNNNNNNNNNNNNNNNNNNNNNNNNNNNNNNNNNNNNNNNNNNNNNNNNNNNNNNNNNNNNNNNNNNNNNNNNNNNNNNNNNNNNNNNNNNNNNNNNNNNNNNNNNNNNNNNNNNNNNNNNNNNNNNNNNNNNNNNNNNNNNNNNNNNNNNNNNNNNNNNNNNNNNNNNNNNNNNNNNNNNNNNNNNNNNNNNNNNNNNNNNNNNNNNNNNNNNNNNNNNNNNNNNNNNNNNNNNNNNNNNNNNNNNNNNNNNNNNNNNNNNNNNNNNNNNNNNNNNNNNNNNNNNNNNNNNNNNNNNNNNNNNNNNNNNNNNNNNNNNNNNNNNNNNNNNNNNNNNNNNNNNNNNNNNNNNNNNNNNNNNNNNNNNNNNNNNNNNNNNNNNNNNNNNNNNNNNNNNNNNNNNNNNNNNNNNNNNNNNNNNNNNNNNNNNNNNNNNNNNNNNNNNNNNNNNNNNNNNNNNNNNNNNNNNNNNNNNNNNNNNNNNNNNNNNNNNNNNNNNNNNNNNNNNNNNNNNNNNNNNNNNNNNNNNNNNNNNNNNNNNNNNNNNNNNNNNNNNNNNNNNNNNNNNNNNNNNNNNNNNNNNNNNNNNNNNNNNNNNNNNNNNNNNNNNNNNNNNNNNNNNNNNNNNNNNNNNNNNNNNNNNNNNNNNNNNNNNNNNNNNNNNNNNNNNNNNNNNNNNNNNNNNNNNNNNNNNNNNNNNNNNNNNNNNNNNNNNNNNNNNNNNNNNNNNNNNNNNNNNNNNNNNNNNNNNNNNNNNNNNNNNNNNNNNNNNNNNNNNNNNNNNNNNNNNNNNNNNNNNNNNNNNNNNNNNNNNNNNNNNNNNNNNNNNNNNNNNNNNNNNNNNNNNNNNNNNNNNNNNNNNNNNNNNNNNNNNNNNNNNNNNNNNNNNNNNNNNNNNNNNNNNNNNNNNNNNNNNNNNNNNNNNNNNNNNNNNNNNNNNNNNNNNNNNNNNNNNNNNNNNNNNNNNNNNNNNNNNNNNNNNNNNNNNNNNNNNNNNNNNNNNNNNNNNNNNNNNNNNNNNNNNNNNNNNNNNNNNNNNNNNNNNNNNNNNNNNNNNNNNNNNNNNNNNNNNNNNNNNNNNNNNNNNNNNNNNNNNNNNNNNNNNNNNNNNNNNNNNNNNNNNNNNNNNNNNNNNNNNNNNNNNNNNNNNNNNNNNNNNNNNNNNNNNNNNNNNNNNNNNNNNNNNNNNNNNNNNNNNNNNNNNNNNNNNNNNNNNNNNNNNNNNNNNNNNNNNNNNNNNNNNNNNNNNNNNNNNNNNNNNNNNNNNNNNNNNNNNNNNNNNNNNNNNNNNNNNNNNNNNNNNNNNNNNNNNNNNNNNNNNNNNNNNNNNNNNNNNNNNNNNNNNNNNNNNNNNNNNNNNNNNNNNNNNNNNNNNNNNNNNNNNNNNNNNNNNNNNNNNNNNNNNNNNNNNNNNNNNNNNNNNNNNNNNNNNNNNNNNNNNNNNNNNNNNNNNNNNNNNNNNNNNNNNNNNNNNNNNNNNNNNNNNNNNNNNNNNNNNNNNNNNNNNNNNNNNNNNNNNNNNNNNNNNNNNNNNNNNNNNNNNNNNNNNNNNNNNNNNNNNNNNNNNNNNNNNNNNNNNNNNNNNNNNNNNNNNNNNNNNNNNNNNNNNNNNNNNNNNNNNNNNNNNNNNNNNNNNNNNNNNNNNNNNNNNNNNNNNNNNNNNNNNNNNNNNNNNNNNNNNNNNNNNNNNNNNNNNNNNNNNNNNNNNNNNNNNNNNNNNNNNNNNNNNNNNNNNNNNNNNNNNNNNNNNNNNNNNNNNNNNNNNNNNNNNNNNNNNNNNNNNNNNNNNNNNNNNNNNNNNNNNNNNNNNNNNNNNNNNNNNNNNNNNNNNNNNNNNNNNNNNNNNNNNNNNNNNNNNNNNNNNNNNNNNNNNNNNNNNNNNNNNNNNNNNNNNNNNNNNNNNNNNNNNNNNNNNNNNNNNNNNNNNNNNNNNNNNNNNNNNNNNNNNNNNNNNNNNNNNNNNNNNNNNNNNNNNNNNNNNNNNNNNNNNNNNNNNNNNNNNNNNNNNNNNNNNNNNNNNNNNNNNNNNNNNNNNNNNNNNNNNNNNNNNNNNNNNNNNNNNNNNNNNNNNNNNNNNNNNNNNNNNNNNNNNUUAUGGAAUCAAGUCAUGCGAAAUUGAUUAGGGCUUUGGUGGGGGCCCAACAUUCAUAACACUCACUUCAAUACUGUUUGCUUGAUAUGAUGAUUUUUUAUUCUUCUUGAUGAAAUACAUGAAUUCACUUUAUAUCUAUUGUUGAGAUACCCCUGUUCCCAUAGACGUGUGGAUGCCCACUAAUCAGGUACGCUCUCUUUACCUCCCAACUCUAAAAUUCUAUGAAUAUGUAUGUUAUCAUGAACCAUGACCAUGUUUGAUGUCAUAAUUGAUUGUCUUGAUGCUUGUUUGAUCAUCUUUGAUAAAAUACAUAUAAUGUGUGUUAUACUUCUAUACUAACUCUGAUGUUUUAUGAUAGCGCUUGAAGAGCGGUUCAGGUACGCACCCUAACUCUCUGUUUUUGUGAUUUGAUCUUGUUUAGCAUGCAAAUCUUUUGAAAUCACCUAGCCUACUUAGGUAUCCAUAACUAACCGAUUAAUUGCCAUAUUCCCCUUAACUUAGUCAAUAGAGACCUCUUUAGGGCUUAGAGGGGUGCUACCUCCUAGAGGUACCUUCCCAAUAAGUAACCUGAUCCCCGGACCAAGACUUGGGUUUUCAAAGACACGCUUUUCCAAAAAUUAUGGAGUCAUUUUUUUUAGGGUUUUAUUUCUUGUUUUAUUUUCCCUUCAAAAAUAAAAAAUAAAAUAAGUGGCGACUCCAACUUUUUUUAAAAUUAAUUUUUCACAAAUAAAAAGCGAGUCUCGCCGAUCGAGUGGGGACGCACGUGAAAAAUGCGGGUCCACAUGUACCUAAAUGAGCUAUCCUAAAAAAGAAAGGAAAAUCCUAGGUUUAACUCGGGGCUGCUAGAGUCACAAUGAGGGGCCAGAUAAAUUUUUCGACCAGAGUCUCCAAGGUGGCUCGAAAGCUAAGUUGUACAAGUAGUAUGGGGUAUCAGAGGACUAUUGUGAAGUACUAAAAGAGCAUCUAAUAGGGCAUGUACUAAAGGGACAAAAUGGAGGGUUUACAAUAUUACUCUAAGAAAUAACAUGUUUAGAAGAAAGUGAUUUGUUGUCCAGGUGUUGAUCAAGUUCAUGUUUAGGUAGUUUUUGAGGAAUAAAAGAGUUUCUCCUUUUAGGCAUGCAGCUUAUGGAUUUAUACAAUACCUUUCAUAUUAGUCUGUGAAACUUUUUAUGACAACUAGUUAGUUGACUAUGAUUGUGAAUCUUUGGAAUGGAAAACUCUUCCUUUUACUAGAGGAAUGGAGCUUGGUGAUGUUGUCUACAUAACCACUGACACUCAAAGGGGUUUUGAAGUGCAAAUCUUUGAAAAAAUGAAAGGAUUGGGAUUAUAGGCACUUUAAAAAAAUUCAGAAAGUAUAUUCAGUUCGCCCCACACUAAUAGCUUGGUAUUGCCUAGAAGCUCUUCAGAUAUGGCAAGCUUGAAGAAUAAAGCAUUUUUGGGUAUUGGAUAUAGUAAAAGGCAAAGAUCCAAAGUGUUUGUUUCAACGCCAAUAAGGAAAGGCCACCUUCGAUGCACAGUCCUAGACAACCCUACGGUUGUCCCUCUUCUGGUCAAGUUCAAGAUUACCUUGCUACUAGUUUUCUUUUCCAUAGGCAUGGCCACCUUCUGCCCUUCAGUGGUGCACUGCUUUACAUACAGUGCUCCUAUUCUCCGACAAAUCCGAUCCACCUUGGGGCAUACAUAUGGAAUUUUGAUAAAUGGGGCUCAGAUUAUUGCCUGAAAUGGCACAAUGAGAUGAGUUGUGGGAGUUCCUUCUACUAAGGUGAUAUUCAUUCGCUCAAAAUGGGUCAAAUCUCAUCCUUAGACUUGGUAUCUAGCACCUAUCAGUCUCUAUUCCUUCUACUCCUAUACCAACACUAAGCAAAUAUUCAAUAUACAAAAGACAAUCCUCUUCCUAGGGUCGCAAUUCUGGGAUAGAAAUACAUGUUUCCAAAAAUGAGAAACUACUGGUAGAGUUAGGCAAGAACGAGGCUUUAGUUGCAGUACUACAAGUGGAAAUUGAUGACUUGGAUAGAAGUUCCUUUAUUAUCUAGACAUGAGAGAUUGAAGUUCGAGAUACAAAAGGAGUCUUAUGAAGUUCUUAGACAAAUAGGCUGACAAUAAUUCUAUAAUUUCAGUUUUGCAAGUUAAAAGUGCCAACUUGGGUAUGAAUCAUGCAUUGUAAAGUUCAAAAUUUCCUUUUAUUUGGUGGACCAUAUCCUAUCUCAUCAGAUAUCCUUUCUUCUUAGAUGAAGUAAGAGCUUGAAUAAUCAGUAUCCAUUUGAUCUUCACGUCUUUGCUCCCCAUCCAAAUCACUGUAACAUUUUGCAUCUAUAACCAUACAACAGAAAUGCCCAUAAGAAUAGUGGAUCUUGUUGGUUCAGAUGCAAUGGGCACAUCAUGCUUAUUUAUGAGAAGAUGCUUGAAUCUGCUAGAAAAAACCUCAUCAGAAAAUAGGUCCAUCUAAUUUAGAUGGUCAUGGCUCUUAGACCAUUAAACCGGAGACAAUUCAAUGAGCAUUUAAAAUAGUUUCUACAAAGUCUAUCUAGCCUAAGGAAGCUCACCUUCAUCAGUUCAUGGACAUGAAAAUGGCAUCUAAAGACAUGAUGUGUUUCUUUUUUCACCUAAUUAAUAGUUCAGGUAAGAUUUGACAGGACUUCAAGAAUAACAAGUGUGAAAUGGGGGCUUUAGACUUGGAAUUCUGGGCAGAUAAAGAAAUCAUUGACGAGCAAGGAAACUUUUCAUUCACCAGCAUGAAAUAUCUUUCGCAUGGUUCUACUUAUGAACACCAUAUAGACCUGCAUUUUUCACGUGCAUUCCUACUCGUACGGCGAGACACGCUUUUGAUUAAGGUGAUUUUGUAUUUUUGUAUAAACUUGGAGUCGCUACUUAUUUUUAUUUAUUUUUUAAAGGGGAAUAUAAAGUAAGAAUAAAACCCCCAAAAGGACUUGAUUUUUGGAAAAGCUGUCUACAAAAAACCCAAGUCUGGGUCUAGAAAUCUGGUUAAUUGGGAAGGUACCUCCAAAGAAGUAAUAACCCUCUAAGCCCUAAUGAGGUCUUUACUAGCUGAGUUGAGGAAAAUAUGACAAUGAAUUAGUUGAUUAUGGAUACUUAAAUGGACUAAGGUGAUUUCAAAACUCUAUUAACACUAGCAUGUCAAACAAGAAUUCACAACACAAUCAUAAAGAAAAGAUUGUAUUGCAUACCUUAACCACAACUUAAGCACUAUCGCAAGACAUCAAUGGUUAGUUUGGAAAAUAAAACACACAUCAUGCAUUUUACCCUAGUCUCCUAAUCAAACAUGGUAAGUCAAACAAAUAAUAAAAAAGAUAUGCUAAAUAUGUUAAUGAUCACAUACAAAGCAAUACAUAAUAAUCACAUACAAAGCAAUACAUAAUUUAUGAAAUUAAGAUGUGAAGGUAAGAUGAGUACCUAAAUAGCAUAGAUAACUCAUAAUGUGCUUCAACAAGAUAUGGAGGGUUAAAUCAAAAUUAUAGUAAUAAAUAAUAAAAGAAAGAAAUCCUAGCAUGCUUGGUAUCUAAAUAGCAUAAAAAAAACGAUUGGAGUAUACAAAAUCAUCAAUUAUGACAUAUAUCUUGCACAUAAUUCCUAAAAAAAUUGAUGGUUAUGAUUACAACAAGUAGCAAAAGUGGACGCAAAGAUAAGUUUUGAAAACAAUCUUUUAUGUAGGGGUUCCAUCAAAUCCUCAUUCAAUAUCCAUAAGUUUAACUUGUGUAUUGCCAUUAGCUUAGGAGCACAAGUUCAAAUCUAUGUGAAUAAAAACAAAAUUUUGAGAACCAAUAAAGGUGAAUGCAACUUAGAUUGAAAUAAGUUGCAUAAUGUCCAAAGAAAAUGUGUUCUUUGCCUAAAUCUAGAAUGAAUGUUUUUCUAAAGCUUUUUAUUGAUUUAAAUACUUUUGAAAACAAUUUAGAGAGAACAAAAGAAACCAAGUGAUUUGAUAAAUCCCAAUCUACACAAAAUAGGUAUUUUUGAUUUCUUUCUUAAAAGAAAUUGAAAACAGCAAAGGUCAACUUGGAUAACUUUUUUGUCUACCUUUCAUUUGGGUUCAAGGAACCAAAUUCAUGUUGGAGAAAAAUUCAUUUUAAAACUUUUUUCAAAUAUGCAUACCAAAUAAAAUUGGUUGCAUGAAUUUUGGAAAAUUGACAUUUCUUUAAUUAAUUGAUCUAGGAUUAAUUUUAAAAUGAAGUUAGAAGAUUAAUUUGGCAAAAUAAAAAAAAAAGUUGAAAACAAUUUUUAAAAAAUAUUAAAACACAAAAUCUCAAACAUGAACUAUUAAGAAAGAGUGUAAGUGUGUAUUUGUGAAUUUUCUAGUGUGCCAAUGUGAAACUCAAGUGUCCUAAAUAUGAACCUAAGGUGCAACUGUAUUUAAAACUAUUGUGUCUUAAUUUAAGUGUUAAAUUAUGAUCCAAAACUGUCCUAAGUAUAAACAAUUAAUCGACCUCGAUAAUCAUCCACUAAUAUGCCAGUAACCAUUAAUAUUAUUCCAUUUCCUAUAUUAUCAUCCAUUGAUUUAAGAAAACACCAAGCAUCAUAAUACAUCUGUAGACAUAAAAAAAUUAGUGGAUUAAAUUACCACUAAUUUGGUCUUCUAAAAAAAAAAAAAAAAAUCUUAUGGAUAAGUCUCUCUCAUCUCCAACUAUAAAAAAAAGAUAAUAAUAAUAAUAAAAAUUAUUAUUAUUAUUAUUAUCUUCUUGGUAAAACCUCCCGGAUAAGAAAAUUUGCUAAAAUUAAGGAACUAAAUCCCUUGAAUUAAGCAACUAAAAUUGGGGAUUCUGAAAUUCAAAUUCCCUAUCUUCACCUAUAAAUAGAGGUGUCUUCCAUCAAGAUGGGGGAGAAAAAAUUCUAGAGGGAAAAAAAAGGAGAAAAAUCUAGAUAGGAAAAUCCUAAGGAGAAAAUCCAAAGGUAACUACUCCGUAUAGGGGAAGGGGCUUCACAACAAUAGGGAGCUUCAUCAAAUAUCCUUGCAAGUUCAAUAAACGGCAAAAGAACUAAUACAAUCGUUCUUUGUCAUUCAACAAGGUCAUUCGAGAAUAAGCCAUUUGUGGCCCUCGAUUGAUCUCUGAAAUAAAAAAAACGUCAUCGUCGUCUUCCGAAGUGUGAUCAAGUCAAAAGAAUCAGAGAGAAAAAUAUUCUUUUGGAAAGAAUAUUAUUUAUUUCUGAGAUUGUACCCGCACUACAUUUUUAAAUUUAAUAAAUCGUUUGUUCGCAUUAAUUUUCCUAUUUUAUUUUGUUAAUUUUUACAGGAUAAAAUUUUACGAAAUUUGUGCGUACAAAUUUCUGGCACGCCCGGUGGGACCUUUCUGUCUCUCAUCUCUUUUGUUAGAAGAUUGAUCUCUACUACGUCGAUGGCACCCAAAAGAACUCAAGUCGUGCAUGACAACAAGGGCAAUGAUAAGAUCGUCAUUGCACAAUCAACACAUGACACCGCUACGGGCCCUAUGACUCGUAGCAAAGGAAAAUCAACAUCUUCACUCUCAACAAAACAAACAAGUGAGUCUGCUUGUUUGCUAAAAGCGGUAAGGACCCAUGAUGAGCAUCAACCGCUCAUCACCUUGGCCUCUUUGGGGGCAAAGAGCCAUAGUCCUCGUAGCAGGGGAAAACUCUCUUCAACACUAAAGGACUUUGGGGAUAAAUCUCUUUGCUCUGUUACUAAAGCCAACUCCAGCACUGGCUCAUACUCCGGAUCGCCAACCAGAAUGUCAAAAGAGGAAAACUACUCCAAUCAUUUUGACUCUUUUACUUCUCCCUUCUCGAUGACCAUGCCGGUAAUGGCAACCGACACUACAUCCGUAGAGGAACAAUUAGCAGAGAUGGCUCGCGCCAUCACCAAACUCACCAAGUCGGUUGAGGAGAAUGAUAUGCAGAUAGCCUCUCUCAUAAACAAGGUUGAGACACAAGUACAAAAUGCGGGUGAGUCAAGUCACAAACUCAACCACCCUCCGAUUGUUGCAUCUCCUCUCGAUGAUGCACCACAUACGUAUAAGACAAUGCAAAGUGAAAAACAAAUGACAGAAUCUGCCUCAGUGGUGUCAUUAUCUGCCCAACAACUUCAGGACAUGAUAACUAACACCAUUAGGGCGCAGUACGGUGGACCCUCACAGAGUACGCUCAUGUACUCUAAACCUUACACUAAGAGGAUUGAUAACCUACGUAUUCCUAUGGGUUAUCAACCUCCAAAAUUUCAAUCAUUUGACGGAAAAGGCAAUCCAAAACAACAUGUUGCCCAUUUCGUUGAAACUUGUAACAAUGCAGGUACAGAUGGUGACUUAUUAGUUAAACAAUUCGUCCAUUCUCUUCAAGUGAAUGCUUUCGAUUGGUACAUAGACCUUGCACCAGAGUGUAUUGAUAGUUGGGACCAAAUGGAAUGUGAAUUCCUCAACCGUUUCUAUAGCACCAGACGAACUGUAAGUAUGAUGGAACUUACUAACACUAAGCAAUGGAAAGAUGAACCGGUUGUAGACUUUAUCAACCGUUGGCGUUCCUUAAGCCUCGACUGCAAAGAUAGAUUAUCGGAGGUAUCAGCUAUGGAGAUGUGCAUACAAGGAAUGCAUUGGGGUCUCCUAUACAUUCUCCAAGGGAUACGACCCCGUACCUUUGAAGAAUUAGCUACCCGAGCACAUGACAUGGAGCUCAGCAUUGCCAACCAUGAUGCUAAAAAUGACCUUAUCAUUGACCAGCAAAGAGAAAGACACAAUGGGAAAGCAAGUGAUAAGAUUUCAAUAAAACCCAUCUAGGAGUCAAUGAUGGUAAAUGUGACUCUUGCGCGAGAUAAAAAGAAAGAAGUAAAAGAGGUUAGACCAACCCAAGAAAUGAGAGGUGUCGGUUCACCUUUAAGGAAUUAAAGGAGAAGAGGUAUCCUUUUCCUGACUCUGAUGUGCCUAGCAUGUUGGAAGACCUGCUCCAGAAAAAAGUUAUUGAGCUACCUGAGUGCAAGCGUCUAGAAGAAAUGGGUCGUCUUAAUGAUCCGAACUAUUGUCAUUACCAUCGAAUUGUCAGUCACCCGGUGGAGAAAUGUUUCAUCUUAAAAGAUCUUAUAAUGAAACUUGCAAAACAAAGAAGAAUUCAUCUGGAUCUAGAUGAAGUAGUAGAUUGAAAUCAUGCUACAGUCACAUUUGGGUCCAUCGAUCUUGUUUUGUUACAUGUUCCACCUAAGACACUGGAGGCAUGCGCCGAUACUAUCCAAUGCGAUUCACCAAAACCAAAGCAAACGUAAGUGUCAUGUCAAGACACCAUUCGUCACUUCUAUUUUGAUAAUGAAUCAAUGUUGUAUAACGAAGAAGGUUGGACAUUGGUGACACGAAGAAGACCUCACAAGAAGCAAGAAUCUCAUCCCUACCCAAAUCUUCCUAGGAAGGAACAAUGUAUGCAAAAUAUUCAUCGAUAUGCGAAGAGGAAAGAAGAAAAGAAGCCUAAAAGAAAACAAGCGAUUGUACAGGUUGAUGAUUUCUUGGUACAAAAGCUCAUCACCCCUUUCACCUUAGGAGAAUACUUCCCUCAGGAGUUCUUUAAUAAAGGAAUGGUGACAUCAACUCAUAUGGUCUCUUAUCAUGAGAUUUCGAAAGAAGAUGAGUCAGGUAAAGAUGAAGAAAACGUUUUCGGUGCAGAGCCAAGAAAAACCAAGAAAGAUGAUGAGAUACAUAGGAAUCCAUCAUUUUAUGCCACAAAAAUAAAGGGGGCAAAACGAUUUGAAGACAAAGGCCACGAUUGUGCGACAUGUUGUGCAAACAUCACCUACACCAGUGGCGAUGAAAAUGACGUGACAUCAAAUUUUACCACAAUUGUUUUCAAACCUCAACAUUCUAGUGAUGCUCCUUAAAGCAUGAGCCUAAACUGCAUAUUGCUCCUAUCCUACAAGAGCUUAAACUGUAGUAAAAAAAAAAAUCAUUCUUGGCAAACUUCUUAAACCGAGGAACAAACCCUUUGUAUUAAAGAAGUCAAAUUCGGAGAUUCCAAACUAAAAUCUCUAAUUUCUCUACAUACAAGUGUUCUUUUCUUUCAGCAUGACGCGUUCUCAAAAGGGCGAUGCAACCUAGAACCUAAAUCCAAAAAAUGAAGCUUUAAAAGUCAAAAUCAAACUCCAAACAUUUUUCAACAAGCUCGUGGAAGAAUAUCAAACUCAAACAAAAGUGUCAUUCAUCCACCUUCAAAGCUAAAGAAGACAAGGAUGGGUUCUUCAAAACACUUGAGGAAAUUGUUGAUAAGUUUACUUGAGAGCAAGUCAUCAUUGACCCUCAAUUAAAUUUUGCUCCAAGAAUACGUGGUUACCACCCUUGGAUUAAAAUCAAGUCCAAGCUUGACACAUUCUUCAACAAGCUCGUGGAAGAAUAUCAAACACAAUACAAAAGUGUCAUUCAUCCACUUUUAAGACUAAAGAAAAUCAAGACAAAGAACUUCUUUUGUUCUCCAAAAUGCUUAAGAAAGGUCUUCAUAAGUUUGGUUGAGAAUAAGUCAUCUUUGACCCUCAAUUAAACUUUAUUCCAAGGACAUGAAUUUAUCAUCCUUCAAUCAAACUCAAGACAAGUGAUACUCUUGGCCCGCAUGAGCAUAAAUUGCGUACGGCGUAAAAAAAAUAAAAAUAAAAAUUUGCUAAGUCGAAAACCUGAAAAGGCGACUUAGGCAAAAGUUAGGACAUAUGCUCGCAAGAUUAAAUCUUUCUUUUAGUCUUGGAAAAAGUUAGAGCGUAAAAAAAAAAUGGAACUACGUUUGACUUGAUCCCCUCUCUUUGAAGGGUACGUAGGCAACUCGGGGAAACAACUCGAAUUUAGUCGCUACCACAAAAAAAAAAAAAAAAAAUUAUUACUUCAAGACUCACCCCAUCUACAUGACAAAGCAUGUACGUGAUGAGUCUUGAAGUGGGGCCAUUUGUAGACAUAAAAAAAUUAGUGGAUUAAAUUACCACUAAUUUGGUCUUCUAAAAAAAAAAAAAAAAUCAUCUUAUGGAUAAGUUUCUCAUCUUAUGGAUAAGUCUUUCUCAUCUCCAACUAUAAAAAAAGAUAAUAAUAAUAAUAAUAAAAAAUAUUAUUAUUAUUAUUAUCUUGUUGGUAAAACCUCCCGGAUAAGAAAAUUUGCUAAAAUUAAAGAACAAAAUCCCUUGAAUUAAGCAACUAAAAUUGGGGAUUCUGAAAUUCAAAUUCCCUAUCUUCACCUAUAAAUAGAGGUGUUUUCCAUCAAGAUGGGAGAGAAAAAAUUCUAGAGGGAAAAAAAAUGAGAAAAAUCUAGAGAGGAAAAUCCUAAGAAAAAAAUCCAAAGGUAACACCGUAUAGGGGAAGGGGUUUCACAACAAUAGGGAGCUUCAUCAAAUCUCCUUGCAAGUUCGGUAAACGGCAAAAGAACUAAUACAAUCGUUCUUUGUCAUUCAACAAGGUCAUUCGAGAAUAAGCCAUUUGUGGCCCUCGAUUGAUCUCUGAAAUAAAAAAAACGUCAUCGUCGUCUUCCGAAGUGUGAUCAAGUCAAAAGAAUCAGAGGGAAAAAUAUUCUUUUGGAAAGAAUAUUAUUUAUUUAUGAGAUUGUACCCGCACUAUAUUUUAAAAUUUAAUAAAUCGUUUGGUCGCAUUAAUUUUCCUAUUUUAUUUUGUUAAUUUUUAUAGGAUAAAAUUUUACGAAAUUUGUGCGUACAACAUCUCCAUUGAUUUUUUAUUUUAUGUAAACAUCAACAAUACUAACAUUGUUUCCAUUAAUUUUUUAAAAUUGAAACAAAGCCAUUAAAAUCUUUCCAUGCCGACAACAUUAUUUCAUCUAUAUAUAUUUCAUAAAAAAUAAUCAACUCAAAGGCCACUUAAUUUUUAAGCCACUAAAAUAUAUUAGAUUCCAAACAUGAGACACCUUCAAUUCAACCACUAAAAGACCUUCCAGUUUUAGUCAUGAAAUUCACUUCAGUUAUUCAUCGAAAUGCAUGAAUUAGCUCCCAAUAAUAGCCACAAAUUCAGCCUUGGGAUUCAACACUCCUAUGCCACCUUAUAUCCUCAUUUAUCCACCCAAAACUCACUCCAUUGACAUUUGAGCCACAAACUUUACACAUGUUGCCACUUUCUUUACAUUCUCUCAUUUUUCUAAUGCAUUCAACAACAUAACAUCACCCUUCAAUGAGUCUCCAAAGCUAGCUCCCACCAUCUCCAUGUUCUCUCAUUAUUAAAUUCAAGCACUAAGGCUCCUUAAGACCAUGAAUUCUCAUUGAAAAAUAAUCAUUCAUAAAAGCUCUAGACAUAACCACUUUCCACCAUUAAAAAUUAAAGCACCAAAUAUAUUUAAAUAACCAUGAACUCCAUAAAAAAAAAAAAAAAAAUCAGCAUUACUUUCUCAUUGCAUGGCCACUUAUUUGCAUUAACUUCCAUCAACAAAUCUACACUAACAGUAUCAAAUUCAGCUUUGAAUUUCAACCUUGUGACUCACAUGUAUACAUCCACAAUUCAACUCAUGCAAACCUCCAUUCAUGCAGCCACAAUUCAAUCACAUUUCUACCAAUAUUUCAGCCAUCAACACAUGCAUAUGUAGCCACAAAUCUUCAACCAUUAGCCUAUAUUACGUGGCCACAACUUUCAAUCCUUGAACUCCACUAUGUUACCAUAACUUUCAGCUAUUAAAUUCCACUAUACAAUCAUAACUUUCACAUAAGCUUUCAAGCCUUCGUACAACCAUGAAAUUCGCCUAUUUUCCAUUGCAUUUUUAGCCUUCAAAAUCACCCUAUGAAACCACCAAAAUUCGUGCUAGUUUAGCCAUGUUUCUACUUUCAAAAUUCAGCCUCCAAAUUUGAAGAAUUGACCACAAAGAUACAUGGCUGUUCCAUUAAAAAAAUUAUCCAUAUAAUUAUUGUACCUUUCAACUUUUUCAUUGAAAUAUAAAAGAGAAUCUCCCCCUAAAUCAUGUUUUCAAUCUCCGCCCAAACAUGUUUUACAAUCUCAAAUAUAAUGAAUCAAAAUUAGCACUAGACGAAAUUCAAAUUCCCAAUCUAAUAUAAUAAAUAAAACUUAAAUUUAACAAAGUUCAAACCUUCAAAACCAAAAUAAUGGAUUGAAACUAAACCUAACAUGAUUUCCAACUUUUCAAACUAAUAAUUAAAAACAAACAAAAGCUAAAGCAGAAUAAAAUUCCAACAUUUUAGACUAACGUAAUGAAUCCAAACUAUAUUAAACAAAAUUAUGAUUUUUCAAGUUAAAACAAAGAAAAGGUUUUACUUACCUUCUUCCAUGUGGUGCGCGACGUGGAGACUCAAUGGGUUGUGCAUGUUCUCCAUGUCUGUGCGAAUUGUUUUCGUAGUUCCAUAUAUUCCUAGUGAGAUGCAGGCUGGUGGGCAUUCCCUAACUGUGGUGUGGCUUGUGGAGAGAUCCUCUUUGGUGCAUGCUGUAAAAGGAUUUUUAAUGGUCGUACUACUGAAUCUCUUGUAGGAAGACCUCUCUUGGAUGCAUGGUGGAGACUCAAUCCUCUCUCCUAAAAAAUGGCAAUCUACAUAAACAACUCCUAUGCGUUUUGUCUUUUAAAAGUGGUAGUCUCUAAUGUCUCUGUGCAUGCCAAAUGAAUCCACUAUUUCUUAAAAAUAAUGGUGCGUGGUGGCCCCUUAAACCCUCUUAAUAUGUGUGUGUUGGAAGUCUCAUUAAUGAAGAAAAGAAUGCCACUACAUGGUGUCUUCUACUCUCGAUGCAUGUUUCUUCUCUGUUUUUCUACUCAAAAUCCUUUCUACCAAAACCUCUCGACCUCUCUAAAAAUCCCUAAUAUUAUCUAUUUUUUUUUUGGCUUUUUAAUCAUUCUUAUAUGAGAAUAUUUAGUCCUAAAAAUAACCCUUUUGGUUUUUUUAUUUUUCCAAAAUCCUAUAUUUUUCCCAUGCAAAAAUGCUUUGGAAAUCUAGUCUUACCCCCUUUCUUAUGCAACAACCCUUCAGAAAUCCUCCAUUUCUUCUUUUCCAAUCCUCUAUUUUCUUUUCUCUUCCCUUACCUUUCAAAUUCUGGUGGAUCAUGCCUAGUUGACUCCAUGCACAUGGAGAGGAUGACAUGUACUUAAAUGACCAUGCAAAGGUGGGACCCAAAAAAACAAACAAACUUAAGUGAUUGGUGAGGCGUAGCUGAGAUGUAGUUCCAAUAUUGACAAUGUUGCACUUUGACCUUUGCGAUACUAGUAGCUUGCCAUGGACGUUUUAUGGAAGUGGUAGUCCUCAAUUUCCAAUUUAUAGUAUUCAAGUCCCAUGCAAAAUAAAAUGAGGAUGUAAGUAGGAAUAAUGCAAUUUGAAAAUUAAACAUAAAAAUUAUGCAAUAAAAAAAAUUAAUAUGUCAAUUGCAUGUAUAUUUAAAAUCAAUGAUUAAUCACUCAUGUGCAAAAGAAAUCAAAGUGCGAAUCUCAUGCAAUAAUAAUAAUAAUAAUAAUAAUAAUAAUAAUAAUAAUAAUAAUAAUAAUAAUAAUAAUAAUAAUAAUGAAAAUAAAAUAAAUAAAUAAAAAGAUAUAAGAAAUAAAUAAAUAAAUAAAUAAAACACAGACAUAAAUAUCACGUUUGCAAUCCAAUGAAUUAAGAUGUUAAACGAACUUAAUAAACAAUAAUAAAAAAAUAAAAAUAAAAAUAAAUGAAUAGAUAAAAAUAAAAAUAUCAAACUUGUACAAAUCGAAGAUCGAAAAUUCAUCUCAUGCAAUCAAAGAUCUAAAAUCAAACCCAAGCUCACUUACACUUAAAAUCAAGUAAUCAAACUCAAAAACUAACCCAAGUAAAUUAAGCCUACAAAAGCAUCCAAGUGGAACCUAUCCUCAAAAAGAACUGAGUGAGGCCUAAACUUAGCUUGAUAGGCAACCAAGGGAUGGCUUCGAAUCAAUAGAGAAGUACAAGCAUACACCUAGUGUCAUAAGUGCUAAGUGGACAAAAUGAAGGGCUUACACACCAUUAAAGCUUUCUGGCAUUGGCAUCUAUAGCUAUCCGUGUUCACCUAUAGAAGUUUAGGCUGAUAGUUGAUAUUUAAUAUCAUAGAUCCUAACUAGACAAAUCAAUGAGACAUCAACUUCUAGUCAUAUCACCAGUUCCCUUCACAACUUGGGUCUGCAAUAUUCAAGUAAUGAGGAUUUAGCAACAACUACAACCACCAGCAGUACAGUCUCAAGUACACUCCUAGGCUUUAUUCUUACAUAGGCAUUUUGGUACACAUUACCUUUCUCCUAAUCAUUUUUGUUUUCCCUGUGAUCUUACACCUUUAAAAUUUGGAUUUCAACGAACCUUUUUCAUUAAAUAAUUCCAAUUUUCUUUAAAAAUUCCAUAAUUAGGAAUUUCUAAGCAUAAAAUCCAUAUUUCAACAAAUCUUUUGUUGCCACUUUCCUUUGUGGGUGCAUUUUCACUAUUUUAUUUUGUUUUCAACUAUUUUCAUGGUUUUGUUGAUUUUUAACAAGCAUGAAUAAACUUCUUGAUUCCAAACAAUGGAAUUCAUAGAAUUAACUCAUGCAAAAUUAAUUUGGGCUUUGGUGGGGCUUGACAUUCUUAACAUCUUCUUUGAUAAUGGUUCAAAUGAGGUAUUUGUUUGAUAUUUGAUUGAUUUUGAUUUAUUUCUGUGAUACAUGUGAUUGUUUUGCACAUGUUAUUGAGCUAACCCUGUUUCUAUAGAAGUGUUGAUGCUUGCUACCCAAGUACACUCUCUAUCACCUAUGUUCAGAAUUCUAUGAACAUAUAUGUUAUUAUGCGUUAUGUCCAUGUUUUAUAUUAUCUUUAGAUGUCUUGAUGUUUAUUUGAUUUGCUCGGAUAAAAAGCAUGUCGUGUAUCAUAUUUCUAAACUAACUUUGAUGUCUUGUGAUAGCGCUUGAGAAGCAGUCCAGGUACACAUCCUAACUCUUCUUUAUGUUUGUGAUUGACUUCCUUCUUUGGCAUGCUAACUUUGAAAUCAUCUUAGUCUAACUAGGUACCUUUAAUUAAAUGAUUAAUAGUCAUAUUCCCCUUAACUUAGCCAGUAGAGGCCUUUUUAGGGCUUAAAAGGGUACUACAUCAUUGAGGUACCUUCCCAAUAGGUAACCUGAUCCCUAAACCUCAUCACGGGUUUUUCAAAAACAUAUUUUUUCAAAACUAUGGAGUCACUUUUUUUAGCUGCAUGGAAAUUUAGAACUCAAAAAUCUGAUGACAUUAUAUACUCUGACUUUGAGGACAAAUUUGGAGCACUUUCUGGAGUCUAUUAUAUACAUACUAUAUAUCGUUUCGAAGCUCGGGAAGUCAGGAGUCCAACGCUUCAAACGGUUUGCAAAUCGAAGCUAAAAUGAAGAAGUUAUGGCCAUUUGAAGACAACUGCACCAAGCUGGAGGGUCAUUUCGAAAUGAUUUCGAAAUUCAACUUAUGAUUUCGAAAUUCAACUUAUGAAUUCGAAAUCCACUUCGAAAUGACACCAAUUUCGAAUUCACCCACUGCCACUUUGAUGUUCCGCCUCCUCUACCUCGGGAAUUGCAUCUAAAGCACUCCAUCCGCCCUAGGUGGACCCCACACGACUAGAAAUCACCAUUUCAUUAUUUUUUAAUCAUUUUUAGGAAAUUAUUUUGUAAUAAGUGGCCAAUGAGAGUGUGCCACAUGUUAGGUAAUUGAGGAUAUUAUAUAAACUCUCUCAAUUCUAGGUUUUGGGGAUCUUGGAUUUUUUCUGGAGAGUUUGACAUUGAAGGUGGAAGAAGACGAGAACUUUGGUUUGUUUUCUUUUUCUUCUUUAUUAAAUAUAUUGUUUUUAGUUUCUUUUGAUUCAAAUUAUGGAUUUUUACCCUAUUAUGGAUUGUGAAUGUGACAUCACCCCCAUGAGAGGCUAAGAGCCGACUUGGGGCUUGAAGCAUGAAAACCUAAGGGCUAGGAAACCUAUAGGGACAAUGGGUAAAUUAUUAUAACAAUGAGAUUAAUUAUUGGUUGAGUGACAAUUUAUCAAUUUUUUUUAUCCUAUCCUUGUGAGUUCGUUUAGGGAAUGAUACGGUAGGUUAUUACUUGAUACUAGUGAUUCUUGGUAAAUCUUGAUCAUUAGUUAUCCUCAUCUUACCUACCGUUAUUUACCCCUAAACAAAGCUAUAAGGAGUGGGAAUAGUUAAAAAUCCAAAUCUUAAAUUGAUAAUCAAUCUCAUUCAUUUGAUGGUUUUAGGAAUCUGUUUUAAAAAUGAAAAAUUAGGUUUCGGAUGCAAUUUUGAGUUAUAGAACUCAACUUGAUCGCGAGUGGUCAAGGAUCCCAAAACCCUAAGAUCAUAUUACUUAAAAUACCCUUGUUUUCUAUAAUUUCUACACCUUAGGUUGGAUUGUGGAAAACCCCAAACUUGAAUCAAUUGAAUUUAAAAUCAAUAUUCAUUUUCUCUUAUUAAUUUAAUUUCUUUUACUUAGUUUCACAUUAUUCACAUAUUGUUUUUCACUUAAGGAUUUAAACAAAAACAAUUCAUUUAUUCUAGUAUUGACAAUUUUCAUAAGCCAGUCCUUGAGAACGAUACCCGGAAUACUACAAAAGCCGUAGUGACUCUUUCUCUAGUUUUUCUUGACCAGAGUUACUACGUAAAAAGGCUAAGUAUUUUGGUACAAUAGAGAAAUUUCGGUCACCCGCCCCAAUUAGGAUGGGUAUGAGAGCAUAGUAAUCGGGGAUGGGACAGGUUUGGACUUAAUUUUUAAAACUCAAAUCGAGUUCAGGGCGGGUUCGGGUUUUGUAAUAAUCUGCCCUGCCCCGGAUAUAAAAUUACAAGUUUACCCUUUAUAUCUUACAAAAUACUAAAAAAACUCCACCUAUAAAUAUUUGUUUCUUGUCUCUUCCUUAGGGUUACUCACCUUUAACACAAAAAUCUCUCAUUCUCAUUGUUUUCAAACGUCUAGCUCUCAGAUUGAUUUUCCCAACUCAAAAAAUUUCUAUCUCACAUUUUGAGCCGUUAGGGGAGAAAAGAGAUAGGGCUCACAGCUUGUGGAGAAGACAAUCCCUCUAGCUUCAUUUUAUGCCUUCUUGAAACACGAAGAAAAUGAAGUCGAAGCUCACCUAGAGUACCAAAAUCCGAGGUCUAAAGGCUUUGGUUUUUGUUUGGAUUUCUUGUUUUUAGGUUAAAAAAAACCCUUAAAUUUCUAGGUUUUAUUUGCUCGAAUUCCUUUUUCUUGUUCUUGCCUAAAAUAUCCAUGUAAUUUGUUAUUGUCAAAGCCAAACCGAUUUGAUUUAGUGGCUUCACAUGCAUGAAAACAAUGAAUGAUUUUAAGAUUUUUAUCUCCCUUUUAUCAACUCAUUAAUUGUAAAAAAAAAAAAAAAUUCUUUGCUUUAACCCUAGUUUGAAAUUUGUAAUCAAUAUUUCUGAUAAUUUUUAUUUUUGUAUUUAUUUUCAAAUUUUCCAUUUCACAUAGAUUUCGUUUAAGUGCUAUUUAGAAUUUAACAACUCCAUAAUCCGUAAUCAUUUUUUUUUUCAUUUUUUUCUCUAUGUUCUGUUUGAUUUCCAAGAAAGUGUGGGAAAAGAAUAGAAAUGAAUUGAAAAUUAGAAUCAUAGAUUUUUAUUUUAUAUUUUUAUGGUCUAUUUUUGUGGUAAUAGAGGCUUAUUUAUAUAGGGUUUACUUGGGUUGGUUUGAAUGUAAAUAGGAUCCUCUUAUUUGUUUGAAUGUUUUAAUUAUAGGAUUUAUUUCAUUAUAAGAAAAAUGACAUCAGAAAAAUGGGAAAACUUUUCCAUACCAAGUGCGGGUUCAAAUCCAAUUACGGUUAGUACUUCAACUACUGAUAGAACAUUGGGAUCUAAAAGAAGAAAACUGACUUUGGUUGUUUGUAAUGAUUUUGAUAAAGUCAUAGAAGAUGGACAAGAUUAUGCUAUUUGUAAGCAUUGUAAAGGAAAACUCAAGGCCAAUAGCAAGAAUGGAACAAAACAUUUACAUGUACACAUAGAUAGGUGCAUGAAAUGAAGAAAUGUUGAUAUUAGGCAACAAUUAUUAGCAGUAGAGAGAAAAGGUCAUGGAAAAGUUCAAAUUGGUGGUUUUACUUUUGAUCAAGAUAUUUCAAGAGAGAAGCUUGCACGUGUAAUUAUAUUGCAUGAGUACCCGCUUUCAAUAGUUGACCAUGUGGGGUUUAGAGAUUUUGCUACUAGUCUCCAACCUUUGUUUAAGAUGGUUUCCUGUAAUACAAUUAAGGAUGACAUAAUGAAGAUUUAUGAGGUUGAGAAAGAGAAAAUGAUUAGCUACUUGGAGAUACUUAAAAGUAGAAUUGCAAUCACAACUGAUAUGUGGACAUCAAAUAAAAACAAAGGCUACAUGGCUAUCACCGUACAUUACACGUAUGAGUCUUGCUUAUUGCAACAUCAUAUUGUAAGGUUAGCUAUGUUUUUUUUUCUUUUUUUAACUUCCUAAGUUUUUUUUAUUUGAUCAUUUAGUGAUAUCACUUUGUAUUAAUUAUAUGUUUUUUUAUAUAUAUUUUUAAUGUAGGUUUGUUUAUAUGCCUCCUCCACACACAAAAAAAGUUCUUUUAGAUGUGUUAAUGGAUUUCUUGUUAGAUUGGAAUAUGGAUAGAAAAAUAUCUACAAUUACUGUGGAUAAUUGCUCAAGUAAUGACAUAAUGAUUGAUAUUCUUAUAGAGAAAUUGUCUUUGAGGGGUUCAUUUUUGCUGAAUGGAAAAAAUUUUCAUAUGCGAUGUGCGACACAUGUCUUGAACUUAAUUGUGAAGGAAGGUUUGGACGUCAUCGAAAAAAAAUUGAAAAUAUUCGUGAUAGUGUUGCAUAUUGGUCGACAACACCAUCAAGAGUUGAAAAGUUUGAAGAUGCAGAUCACCAAUUACCUAUUCCAUGUAAUAAGAAGUUAACUCUUGAUUGUAGAACAAGAUGGAAUUCUACAUACUUGAUGUUAUCAAUAACUAUAACAUAUACAUAUGUGUUCCCACGUUUGAAGCAACAUGAAAAACACUAUAUGGUUGUGCCAUUAGAAGAAAGAAUGGAAUAUGGCAAAAGAAAUAUGUGGAAGAUUGAAAUUGUUUUACAACAUAACGGAGUUUUCUCAAGGCAAAAUUAUCCUAUUGCAAAUAUUUUCUUCAUCAAAGUUUGUGAGAUUAAAAAGGCAUUGUAUUAUUGGUUGAUCUGCGUAAAUGAUGUUGUGAAAACGAUGACAUCAAGUAUGUUGCAAAAGUUUGGCAAGUAUUAGAGUGGGUGUCAUAUUGUGAUGGCAAUAGCAACUAUAUUUGACCUAAGCUACAAAAUGAAGAUUUUAGAGUUUUACUUCCCAAUAAUGUACAGGUGCUUCAAAUGAGAUAGAAAAAAAUUCGUGGAAUGUGUUAUGAGUUGCUUUCUGAGUACCAAUCAAAGUCUAAGUUGGGGUAAGAAACUGCAUCCUAUGGUACUUCAUGAGGUUCAACUCUUUCAGUGUUCAACUAUGAUGAACAAGAUCCUCUUUCAAAGUUUGACUUAUUUGUUCAUAGUACUAUAGAGAAAGUCAUGCAAAGUCGGAGUUGGAUUAUUACUUAAAAGAGUCUAUUCUGCUAAGGACUUUAGAUUUUGAUGUUUUAAGUUGGUGGAAGAAAAAUGAUAUAAAGUAUCCAACUUUGUAAAUGAUUGUUCGAGAUAUCUAUGCUAUUCCGGUAUCUACAGUUGCAUCAGAGUCGACCUUUAGCACUUGUGGUAGGAUGGUAUCAAAACAUCGCAGUAGGCUUCAUCCAGAUACUUUGGAGGCCUUAAUGUGUGCUCAAAGUUGGUUAUGGAAAGAAAUGGAAGGUAACCAAUUUACAAAAUUAUUAAUUUUAUGAAUGGUUUUGUAUUAAAAUAUUUAGUAAAGUGACUUGUAUGUUUUUGGGUGUUUAUUUUUUUUUAUUAGGUGAUUCUUCGAUUCAUAGUCACAGCUCCAACUCACAAUUAUAGAUGAAGAUGAUGAUUCACUCGUGCUUUAGGUUUUUUACUUGAGAUUAUGUUAGAGACAUAUUUUGGGAUGUUAACAUUAUCUUUGUAAUGUCUUUUUUUUUUUCUUCAUUUUCAAUGUUGUUAAGUUUAUGGAUAUCUUUUAAUUUUGGAUGUUGUAUUUUAGGAUGUCCUAUAUGUUGAAUUGUUAAUCACUACCAAUAUUAAUUAGACUAGUUUUAUAAGUGCAAUGGUUGCAAAUGUUGCUUUUACCUACAAAAGUUUAUAUUUAAAAAGCAAUGGUAAGAUAUUUCUUGAAGAAUGCAAUGAUAAGAAUGUAUACAAUCUUUUUAAACUGAAUUCUUUCUAAGAAUGUAGCCUUAAUUUAGUCUUGUUUAUGCAAUAGGUACCAUGGAAUCUGGCACUGGUUUAGCUCCAUGAAGUACCUUGAUGUUUCAUUUAUGGCUCUUUCUACUGCUGGUCAAUCUUAUUCACGUUAAUCCUAUACCAUACUGGUAAGUUUUUUCUCUACUUUUUGUUCGCUUUAUUGGGAUGAUUAUGGAAAUGCAUAUCAUGUCAUGAGAUAUUGGGGAGUAUAUUCUGACUGUUGGUUAACUACAUGUCACUGCAGAUUUUUAAGAAGAACCCAACCAUAGUAAAGAAUUAUGGGAUUUGACACUACUUUGAAUGGUGUUGUUGAGCAAAUGCACACUGAGAUGACUUCAUUUUUCAUGCUUAUAAUCUGCACAUCAGCAUUGUUUAGGUCCAGUUCAAUCUUUGUUGUCCUGUUUAGGCCACAUAUAUUACAAUGAUAAUAAGAAGAACAAAAUGACAUGGGGUUGUGAAAAAACUCAUGAGUUUUAUGAACUUUUCUUUUCUUUUCCAAAUUUAUAAGUAUUUAAAUUUUGCAAGUAUGACAAGUCUAUGAAGCCAAAGGCGUGAAAUCCAAAUGUGAAGCCAAAGGUGUGGAAUUGGACACCGGUAAAAAUGUUGGAUUGCAAUGUUGGAUAUUAUAUGAUACUGCCCAUAUUCUGAUGUUGGAUUGCAAUGUUGAUGUUUUUGUUUUUGUUUGAGCUAAAGAAAAGAAAAAGAUGGCUACUAAUAGAGCUAUUAGCUUAGAAGAAACCAAGAAUGAGACAAUUGAUUUUAUAAGUGCUUUCUUUUAUUUUCUUCUUUUGUUUUCUUUUAUUCUUUUAUAAUUUUUUUUCCUGGGUUCUGAAAUAAAAAAUGUUGGUUUAGUUGAAAAUUGCUUCAUUGAAUUGAUCACAUAAUUCUUAUAUUUUUUCUAUUUGAAAUGUGUUUUUUUUUUUAUAAAUAAACACAUGAUUUUCUUUAUAUUUUCUAAAUUGUGGUAGUUUCAAAGUUGGUGGUGAAUGACCACAUUUGUUCAUGAACACUAAAACUGUUUCUCAAUUUUAUUUUACUUUGUUUGGCUCAUGCUGGUCAUGGUUUUGUGACUUAUAGCUUGCUGGUAUAUGGUCUAGUUAUUGAUAUUUGUAGAGUGAAAAUGAUUCUUUGUGGCCAUUUCUAUAAUUCAAAACUGUUGCAAGCUAAUGGGUACAUAAAACUUUUUAGAAAAUUCCAUGUCAUUCCAUUUCCCCCAUUUUCAUUUCCUGCUGUUAACCAUUUGCAUAAUUAUUUCCCUUACCUUUUAACAAGUUAGAUAUGCUUGUUUCCAGCUUGAAGAUGAUGUCAUACCAAAGAGCUUUCCAGUAAGUUUCUAAUAGUUAAGCUAGAAGCAGCACUAGUACUAUCCGCUUAUUCAAAUAGAAACAUUUUGACUUGUUUAAUUUUGCUUCUUAUAUUCAAUUUUCUUUUAUUAAUGGUGUCAUGUUUUCUGCUUUUGAUUUUGAAGGUUUGUGAUGAUCGCCAUUUUGAAUUAAUUCCCUGUCUAGAUAGCAAUCACUUUGAUGACUGGUUGUCAACUUAUGAGUUGGAAAGUGUCGAUGAUUACCCUUUCAAUUGACAUUUGGUUCUGCAAACUUAAGUUUGAUUUUGGAAAUCUUGGUUUUGUACAAGAGUUCCUUUUUAUGAACCUGGGAUCUAUGGAAUUUAUAUUUGAUUCCAAACCCAUUGGUACCUUAUGGCAACUAACAAUGAAAUAGGAAUUACAACUCCAAAGGUCUUGUUCUAUUAAUCAAACACGGGUUAAUUGUCACAGACUUAUUAUGAUGGCCCCUUGUCUUUAGUCCCUACAGAGUCAUUUGAGACAAACUCAAAACUCUAUUUCAAUAAUGUCAUACAACACUUUAUGUAGGAUCGUUAGCUUUGUAUAGAUGCUUACUUACAGAAGCAAUUAGGCAUUAGACUGGAAUAUAUUUGUCAUGUUAAUUAGAAAUUGUUUUUUAUUUCUUUUAUUUGAUAGAAAAAUUGGGUAAAAAUAUUAAUAUUUGUUAAAGAUUUUUCGUAUGUAUACUAUAUUUUUGCUAUUCCUUUGUGGCCUGGUUAGAUUGGAAUUGACUAUAUUUUUCCUCUUAUUAUAUUUCCUGUGUGGUUGGAAGAAUACAAUAUUUCCCUUAAUUUUGUGGUUAUGAUGCAACAACAAUUGAUUGCAAGACACUAUAUGAUUUCUUUGUGGAAGGAUUUUAAUUUGGUUAGAUUUCAUGGGUUACCCAACAUGCAUAAAAAAAUCAUUUGGAUGUUUUGCUGAAAAUGCAUAUUCAAGAGCUUGUUUUACUAUUGCUUAUAAUGCUUGUAUGCUUUGCAAAUUUCUUUGAUAGUUUUUGGGUUGAAUUUUUUUAGGGUUUGGUUUUGAUACAUCUUAAAGGUAUUCAUACUUUUAUCUAUUGGAACUGAUACCUUGUAAAAGCAUGAUAUACAGGCUUAUUUUGGAUUGUGAAUUUGACAUUAAAAAAAAAAAAAAAAAAUCUUAUUGGUUUUUACUAUUGGCAAUUUCAGCUAUGGGACCCUCAUUCUAAUCCCCAUUUGUUGACUUGAAAGUGAGAAGUUUUAUUUGGGAAGUUUUUAAACUGAACAAUGAGAGAAAGAUCAGAUGGAUCACAAAGAAGACUGUGUGCAUGGUGGCAAUUUUUCUUGUGUUCCUAUAUGUGUAUCAUGGAUCCAUUUCUGGCUCUUAAAAGACUUUAGAGUAUGACAACAUAUCUUUGAGAAAACUUAGUCUAACUGGGGAUGAAGAUGCUGAUCUUGGCAACAAUCUAGUAGGGGAUAAAAUGCCAUUUCUUAAUGUUAUCUGAAAUAUGUAUUAUAAUAAAUAUGUGAAAAAUGAAUUUAAUAGAAUUGUCAGAAUUUGAGUUUCUUUUAGAGCAACCCAACCCAACAUUUCUCUGGACAUCAUUUUCUUAUACAACAACCCAGCCCAACCUCGCCUCAUUUCGGCCCAGCCUAGGCUGGCCUACCCCAAAAACACAUACACGGGUCAGGACGGGCUGGGGAUAGGAUUUCAAUGGUUAUUUGAAAACGGGAACGGAACCACGAACCCCAUCCCGUCCUAGGUUUGGGACGAGGAUGGAAAAUAGUUAUAUAUUUUGGGACGAGAAUGGGAUAGAGGGAGCCCAUCCCAAACCCGCCCUAUCACCAUCUCUAGGUGAUGACCACCUUGCAUGGAAGCACCCCGUUUUCCCGGAGGCUUGUAGACAGUUGCGUAUCGCCGAAGGGUAUGAUCACUUCUGUUAGGGAUUCUUUAACCCACCUGAUUUGUCUUAUAGAGCCACUUUGGUCUUGUAGGCUACCUUAGACCCAAUUAAGAUUUCACUCCUACACGUGGGUGCAUCUAUGGACCUUCAAAGCUGCCUUAGUCACAAUUGGGUUUAGCUACCCUUUCCAUAAUCUCUUUUUGUUGUGCUCAAAGAUUGCUACAUGUUUGAGUUUCAUUUGGGCCACCUAUUUGCAUCGUGAUUAGUGCAUUUCCAUAUCUUCGGAGCUCCCUUCAUGUUAUUUCUCUUGUACCUUAUAGGAGUGUUAUUUGUUUUGGUGUGGGUUUGAUUUUUUAGAUUAGAGUUAGAGAUAGAUUGAUCAAGGUUUUAGAGUAAUCAGAUAUGAUUCCUCAGCAUGUUACAGUUGCCAUGAUUUCUAUUCAGGAUGUACUGUUAGGUUUAAGCCAGAGGAUUGAUGGAUAGCAAGAUAGAUAGCCAGAGUUCAGGAUAAGAUGUUGUAUGAUUCAUUGGCGCCCACCCUCACCACGUAGCCAAUCAAUGAUAUUGUUGAAGAUGACAUUGUACGUAUGAUGAGAUUAGUGGAUAUUGAGCCAAAGCCUGUUAUAUCAAAUGAGAGUUCUUGUGGAGGAUGUUAGUUUUCUCUCUAAGAUGGCAGAUUUGAUUGACAUGGUUUUCUUCAUCAUGAGCCUGAGAUGGAUGUAUGGGAUGACAUUUAAAUGGUCAACAAAAAUUAGCCAGAGAUAGUUCAUUCUCUUGAUAUGUUUGAGGUCAUUGUUAUCGAGAGUUUAGAGAAGUUUAGUUUGUUUCUGCUUUAGAGUUGCUAGGGCAUCCUGCCUAUGUUGAUGAUAUGUUUAAGGGCGAUGUGAGCCCAAUUAUGGUCAUGGAGAUUCAUCUAUUCUAGGAGGUCUUAGAGGCCUACUUGCAAUACAACACAUGUCAUUAGAGAGUUGAUCCUAGAAAGGAAUUAUGAUUGACAUAUCUAGAUGGAGACCAGUUCAUAGACCCAACUAGCGUAGGUCAGUUGAAGAAGUAUUACAUUUGAGAAUACGUUCGUAGGAUGGGUGGCCAUCAUUUUAGUUAGCCUUAUAUUUUAUUAUCCUUAUUGAUAUUUAGACCAUUGUUAGCCCAUUGAGCCUCGUCUGGUACAUUAUGACCUUUUAUUUCUUAUAGCCUUGCUUACCUUCUCUAUACCAGGGUUAGGGCCCUUUGAUGUAUAUGUAUGCUUUGCUAGGAAAGUCUCAUAAGCUUUGGACUUAUAGGCCUAUUUUCUCAUCCUUAUUACCAUCUCUUUGUCACCUCAUUUGUUGUAUUGUACUAUUAUCGUGUUUUCAUUUUCUUCCUCACUCUUAUCAUUAUUUGCUUCAUUUUAUCUCUUAUCUUUCUUGGAUUGAUGAUUCUUCACAUCUUGGUAUAAAAAGGGUAGUCAUAUCACUCCCUUUAUCGCAUCAUUUGGCAUUGAUUAAGAGAUGUUAACUAGAGAGGUUAUCUCAUAGGUGGGGGUUCACAUUCUCAUUAGUGAUUGGGGAGAGUUUGCCCAUUCCUUGUAUAUUUUAUCAUUAGGGUAUGAUUCAUUGAUGGUUAGAGUAUGCACAUUCAUUCACUCAUUCAAAAAAAAAAAAAAACAAAAGACAAAAAAGAAAGAAAGAAAGAAAGAAAGUGCAUUGAUAUGUUUAUAUAUGAUCUCUUAUUCAUUUGGGCACUUAUAUCACUUUUUGAGGACCGUUUAUUGGGUAUAUUUAUCAUUGAGGGUUCUUAUGAGAUUUCUAUGAGAGUUGUUGCUUCUUGCUUCUUGAGAUUUCUAUGCAUUUGGAGUGUUCGGAUAUCAUGUGAGAGUUCUUUGAGAUCCUUCUCUUUUUGGAUCAUGGUUGAGAUGUAUUAUGGGUGGGAGAGAUGAGUGACUUCUUACUAAGGUCUCUAGAUCAUUGUUUUCUCUACCAUUAGUGAUAUGACUCUUCCUUCAUUGCAUUGAUAUGGGUUGAUCAUCAUUCAUUUUUAUUUCUCUAUGGCUUUCUAUGUUUUUCCAUGACUUUUUUUCUUGAUAUUGAUCCUGCCUUUUAUUCAUUUCUUAUAUCGAUACACAUUUUUGAUUCGAUACCUUGUUCACAUUAUUCUCAUACUUUAUUGAUAGUUUAACCACCUCUCAUUUUUCUUUUUUUACCAUCGACAUUUCCUUUGGUUACUUUUAGGUUUAUGGCUCAUGAGAUUUUUUCCACACAUUACAUCUUAUACACGAGGGUAUAAGUUUGAUUAUUGGGUAUUUGAGCCUAGUUUCCCUUUAUUUCUUUACCUUAUCACCCUGGCCUACGUUAUGUCUUGUGUCUUAAGACCACCCUAAGGCCAUGAGAUCAGGCGUUAUAUUUGGCAGCCUUUACUUAAGCUGGUGUUUGGGAUUUGGUUGAUAUGUAGACGUCGUCUUGUUUCUUCUUCUGGGAUAUGCUUCUUUGAUGCUUGGAGGUGAUUUAGUGAUGGAUGUAGACGAUCGCUUCAUGUUAUGGAGGAUAUUUGAUGUUUUCUGAUUUCCCUCUACUAUGCAUUAGCUAUCAUACUGGGGCAUAUCCCUCAUUUGAUGAGAUUGACAGAUUGUUAUUGGUUCACAUGGUCACUUUGUUUAUGAUGAUAGAUGUAGAUUUGAUAGUGUGGUUUCGUUAUGAUUCUCUAGUGGAGUUUCUCCCGAGUCAUUGAUCACACUCAUACUUUUCGAUAUCCUCAUUAUUCUUAAUGGAUCUAACUUAGUGAGACAUGUUUUCAUCCAUAUUCUUAAUGGAGUAGAUUAGUAUGAUGAUUUUUUAUUCUUGGCGGGCUUUGCUUUUGAGCUAGCAUGGUGGGUCAUUUCACAUAUACCUUUUGAGUUGGUUGUCUCAUCCUCGAAUAUAGAGAUGAUGGGUUAGUGUCAUUUGAGGUACCUUAUGACCUUGCAUCAUUUGCUAUACUAGGACAUAUUCCUCUUUCAUUUGGUUGAGAUGAGCCCCUAGUGGAGCACUUUCUUUGAGCUUGGGCAUUUUCACCGAUUAGAGAUUCCUAUUGGAGUAUGUUGAGAUGAUAUUAGUUAUAAUGGAGCAUUGCUGAGCUCAUUGAUAGUUUUCAUGAUUCUGGGUUCCAUUUAUGAAGUACUUCUGAGAUAGACUAGUGGAUUAUUACUGAGUUGGAGAAAGUUUUUAGUGCAGUGUAUAUAUCCUGUAUAUUGGGGCAUAUUUCCCCAUUUCGAGGUUACCGGAUUCUUGUUAGAUUCAGUUAGGGAUUCAUUACAGAAGUGUUUCUACUCUUGAGAUUAUCACAUCCCUCAUCAUUUUGGUUAUUCAUUUGAGAUUAGAUUUAGAGUGUCUCCCUUGAGACAUUGGCAGAUACUUCAUUCUGACUUCAUAGUGGAUUAUUAUUGAGUUGGAGAUAGUUGAUUGAUGAUGUUGGAUUCAUCAUUUUGUUGUGCAUCAAAUAUCCACACUAGGGCAUAUUUUCCCCUUUCUCUGAGAUUCCUAGUUACUGAUUGGGUUGUAUGGCUAUCCUUACUCAUGGUUACAGAGAUGUUUGAUUGAUGUUGACAGGUUCUUUAUCGUGCAUCAGAUAUCCAUAUCGAGGCAUAUUCCCCUCUCCUUGAUGAGUUUUGUUUGGGAAGUGGUACGAGGAUGGAUGAUUAGUGUUAGUUGUUUACCUCAUGACUUUGACAUCAGAUCUUAUACUGGGACAUAUUUCCCCAUUUUCUUUUAGUAUCUUUGAGAUUGAGAUAGUGGCUUGUUUGGUUUCAGAUUGAGUGCUAGCUUUGGACUUUCGAUGAUUUAUGAUAUCAGGGCUUUCUCACAUGGUUUUAUUGAGAUAGAGAUAGAUUGCAUCGGGUUUUAUCCACUGGACUGAUGGAUUCUUCUGUGGAGUGUUUAUGAGAUAGAUUGUUAUUGCUAUAAUUGUUCCACAGAUUGGGUUAUCCAAAUGAGCAGUAUUUUGUGCACUUUGAGCUUCCUUUUUAGAUGAGUUGUGGUGUACACACUUCGAGAUUUAUCUUUUGAGAUUCGUCGAUAGAGUAGCUUUUGAGACACAAAGAGUUCUUUUAGUUCAGAUUUUUCAGAGGUUUUUGUCAUGAUGCAUCGAUUUUUGACCCAUUAAUUUCAGUAGAUGAUUGAUUUACUGGUUGUUUCAGCAAUGUGAGUACCUCGGAUACUAGGGCAUAUUCCUCCUCUCAAGCCCAAUAGUGAAAUCCUUGGCAUUUAGAGUCUACAACUUUGACCCCUUUUAUUCCCUAUUAAUUUUUGAGUUAGCCUUCUUUAUCAGUUUCUUUUAAGUCUUAAGCCUUGUCGCUUUGAGCCAUCAUUUCCUUCUAGGCCUUGAGCCUCGUAGCCCUAAGCUAUCUUCUUCUCUUAGGCCUUAAGCCACGCUGCCUUGAGCCAUCAUUUCGUUUUAAGCCCUAAGCCUCGUAGCUUUCAGAUAUCUUUCUUCUCUUAGACCCCAAGUCUCGUAACCCUAAGCUAUCCAUUCUUUCUAAGCCCUGAGCUUGGUAGCCCUAAGUUAUUCUCCUUCCCUUAAGCCUUGAGCCUUGUCGCCUCGAGCUAUCAUUUCUUUAGGCCCAAAGCCUUUCCAACCUGAGUUGAGCCUUUAUCAUUUGGUUGUCCAUGAGUGGUUUGACCUAGAGUUUACGUAUCACACUCUCCUUCUAGUUGAUUAGUCAUAAAGCUCGGAACUCAUAGCCCCAAGUUGUUCACAGAGCCCUAAGUAAUUCAUGGCAUUUUGGAGUCCUGAGCUCACAACCCGAAGUUGUUCAUAUCCUUUACAUUCCUAAGAUGUUUUGUUUUCAUCAUUCUAGCCACUCAUGAGUGGUCUUGACUCAACACAUGAGUCGGAAAGCAUCUUGAUCAACUAUCUAUUUAAAGCCUCGAGCUUGCAACCUAGUAUCGUUCUUCUCAUUCGUGACCUUGAGUUAUUCAUAGCAUUUAGAGCCUUGAGCUCAUGACCUAGUGUCAUUCACCUAUUUCAUGACUCGGAGUCAUUCAUCUUGUCUUUGACCCAGAGUCAUUCAUCUCGUCCUUAACCCAAAGUAAUUCAUCUCGUCCUUAACCCAGAGUCUUUCAUCUCGUCCUUGACCUAGAGUCAUUCAUAGCAUUUAAAGCCCUGAGUUCCCGACCUAGAGUCAUUUAUCUCACCUUUGACCCAAAGUCAUUCAUAACAUUUAGAGUUUAGAGCUUCUGAACUGAAGUCAUUUGUAGCAUGUCAACCCAGAGUUGUUUAUCCUAUUUCUGACCCAAAGUUGUACAUCUUAUCCGUGACCCAGAGUUGUCCGUUUUCAUUUAUGACUUAGAGUUGUUCUUUCCACCUUUUUCUAUCCUGUGCUACUCAUCACGUACUUUUCCCCUUUUAUUGUCAUUUUUUCCCAUAGAGUUGUUCCAUCUUUGUUGUUGCAACCUCGUGGUCCGAGCUUACCCUUGUCAUGUGUUAGGAUAAAAUUUUUGGUCAUUUUUAGUUCUUCGCUAUAGUUCACUUCGUUCCACUUAUUACUCAUAUUUCUACUCAUAUUCCUUACACUUGUGAUUUCUACUGAGUAGGGGCAUAUUUGUAGACCCUCCAUUUUGUCUCUUUAACACAUGUCUUUAAGUGCUCUUUUAGUACUUACAGUAGUUCCUUGGUGGCCUGUUGCUACUCAUACAACUUACCUUUUUUGAGCCACCUUGGAGACUUUGGUUAAAGGAUUUAUUUAGGCCCCCAUUGUGACCUUGGUAGCCCUUCGAGUUUAAGUUAGGCUUCACUUGAGUGCACUUUAGGUUAGAUUCCACUUAGUUCACCCUAGGACACUUAGACACACCUUAGGUCACCUUUAGGCGUUUUUACAUGGUUGCAUGGCUCGUAUUUUUGCAUGGCUCUUAUGGUUUGAAUGUGGUUGAUUUUUAUUUUUUUAGUUGCAUGAUUUUAAUUUCUUUUGAUUUUCAAUUUCAUGAUAUUUAUUGAUUUUAAUCUUUAUUUUAUUUCUUGCAUGAGGAAAAAAACUACUAGUUAUUUGGAAAGAGGAUCACCAAAAUUUUUGACAAAGAAAAGUCCACAACUGCAAAUGGAGUGCAAUAUUGAGGAUAUUCACGCACUAAAGGGAUCCUGGUUUUAGAAGGAAAAAGAUUUGGAUGGGAAGGUGGAAUUCUCCAGACCUGUGGCUGCCAUGUGAAGUAUUCUCUUUAAGAAAGAAAGGCAUGACUGAAGCACAAGAAGAAGAGAUUCUUGAAAGAUACAAUAGACUUAUCAUAUGGGAUUCAUGCACCUUUAAAAGAAGGAUAGCAGGCUGGCAAGGGUUCUUUCUUCAACAGAGAGGGUCAAUAACAAGUGAAAAAGGAAUGGAUUCUCUUUAUCCGAAUAAAAAAGAGAUUCAGAUUUUUUUUUAGGGCAAAGCAGACGACAUACAUCCUUGGGGGAGAAGAUAGAAUUGAAGAGCAGAGGUUUUGGAAGAGAACAAGGGAGAGGAGCAGAAGGUUUUGGUUUUCGUGAGAAGAAGGCUAGGGUAGGGAAAAAAACGAGAAAAGAGGAAUAAAAGGCAUGAAAUUUUGAAGAUGAGUAAAUCUUGCUCGAGAGGAAAGACCCCAGGUAUGACCAUUGUGAUAUGCAUAUUAUUAUUUAUUAUUUAUUAUUAUUAUUAUUAUUUCUUCACACUAUUUCGCUUGAUUUCUAGGAUUGGUUUUCAUAUGCCUAUGCUGUCAGUUCUACUCUUGUCUUACUUAGUUUGACUUGAGAGGGGCGAGACUAUAUCAUAUUCAUUGUAGGUGUGUCUAGAGAUAUUGACUACAUUUUCUUUGCUUUGUUUAUGUCUGGUUUUUUUUCACUAGGCCAAGCCCAUUGAUCUCAGCAUGAGAUGGGACUUGGUUGAUAGUUCUUAGUUGGUUUUAUCCUCUGUUUCUAUUUUACUCUUCUCUGUUUAUUGCUUAGUUUUUGGCGGGCAGUGGUGAUAUUGUUAAUGUCCAAAUUUCCAGGACUGAAUAAGUGAGGUUGUGGAGGAAAAUGAACUCGAUGUGAGGUUCCUAUUUUUGCAUCUAUGCUCCAAUCUAUUAGUUCAAAACAUGGGUCACAAAAUUGCGUUGGAGUCUUGCAUUUGGGAUUGCUUUGUAUCUGGGUUUAAUAAGCUAUAUAUUGUAGAAAAGAUGAGACUCUGAGCAUUUAGGUUGGUCAAUCUGGUCAAUACAUUGGUAUGAUUAAUCUUGGUGGAAGAAGUUGGCUUUGAGAUAGAGCUAGAAAAAGAAACCAGAAUAGAGAAGAAGCAGAGGAAGUUGAGGUAUUUUCUUGAUGGUCUUUAUCGGAUAAGAAUCUCGCAGGUUGAUGAUAUGAUCAGAGAAUAAAAACCGCUGUUGGAAUGGAGUUAAUUUCGUUUGAAGGCGAUACACUUCAGGAACCAUGUGAAGGUAGGCUAUUUGCACAGAAUGAGCAAGUCUUUCUUCUUGAUGAGUGCUUUUUCGAGAUCUUUAGACGGUUGGCCUGAAAGCUAAGAUGAUAUACUUUGUUUUCCUGACACUUGAAGACAUUUUACCUUUAAUAUGCCUGAAUCUGGGGUUAUGAGUAAUCGAUGAUCAUUAGAAGGAGCAUUAGUGCUUGUUACGGGAAUUUCUAGAACUGACCCCGAUAGUUGUUGGAUUUUUUGCUUAUGAGUUGGCUCUGAACAAAAUCUCAUUCCAAUAGUUUGGAUAACAGAUUCUAAAGCACUAAUUUUUCUAGUUCUCGAAAACCAUUGAAAUGUUCAUAGUAAGAACCGUGAUUUUGGAGAGAAAAUGUAGAGAAGACCAUGAAAGCGUCUAACUUCACUUAUGAUGAACCAAAGAAGAAGAUUGUCGAUUGAUCUUGUUUUCUCCAAAACCCAUUACCCAGUUUGAGGUUGUUGCAAUUAAGCUUUGGAAAGUUUGCAAAAGAUUUGGAACUAGAAGUAACCUUGCAGAUUAUGCAAUUGUAGUUGAAAAAGCUCUUGGAUAGAUUGGGAAUUCCUACUACAGAUGCACCUGUGGAACAUUCCAUUCUCCAAGAUAGCAUGUUUUGCAAGGUCUCAACACAGAUGGGUCACUGUAUGGGGGAUUUCUAGAACAGAAAAGUUAGAAGCACCAUAAUCACUUGCAAUGGACGCUGUAAUUAAGGUAUUCAAGCGUGUUGCUAGGUUAUCCGAAUGCAAAAGAGGAAGAUAAAGACUCAAAGUUGCUUCCAAAGAUUGGUUUUGCUCAUUCUGAUCGAUCAAAUAGGAAAUUCGGUUCUCCAGAUUUUGCUUCAUGUUUAGAUUGAAAGCCAUUUAUGUUUUGAAGCUCCAUGGUCAACCUAUUGCUCGACGAAGCUUUCUCUCACGUUCAAUUAUAUAAUUGAUUUGAAAUUAUGGCCCUGAAUUUGCUUUGGAGAUUGGUACCUCACAACUCUAAAAUAAGGUUGGGGAUGUGGGACCCACUCUUAACAUGAUACCUAUGAUUUGUAGCUUGUAGUGCACCGAGAAAGCAACUCGUUGAAGGUUCAUGUGUGGUCAUUCAAAAGGGAAGUUGGUGCUUCCAUGUGCAUAUUCAUUGGUCAUAAUGGUGAAUGUUACACAAUUGCAUACAGACCCAGAUGGAUAGUAGGGUGUAUGCAAAUGAUUUCAUGUACCCGAUUCUUUUAAACGAUGUGUUCGAUGAAUGCUUGGGUAUAUGUAGUGGAAUUGAUCCAUGCUCAAGUGGAAAAACUAGGGCUUUGUUGAGGUACUUUCAAGGUUCAUAUCAAAUCAUAAUUGGCUAUGAUGAAGGAAGUGUUAUGGAAAUGACAAUAGUGGAAAAAUAAUAUGGGCCAAUUAUAACUAAAUUCAGAUUCUGAAUAUAAGGAGUGUGGGAGCAAAUUUUGAGUUUGAAGAGGAUUCUUUUGCUAAUUCAAUUUAUGAAGCUUUUAUUCUUGAAGGAGCCACAAAGCUUAGAACUAGUUCCAACCAGGAGGAUCGAGUGAGAUUCAUCAAGAAAAAAAUACGAGUUUCAAGAUUUUUUGAAGCCUAGCUUGUGAAUUACUAUAAUUUCUUUUGGAAAGAGCUCUCUCUCCAAUAAGCUUUUCCUAGAAAGUCCAUUGAGAUUUUUUGGAAUUCUAACUCAUAGAAAUUGGAAACUAUGGUAGAUGACAAAGACGAGAGGUGAUAGUAAAGUUCACAAAAUUAUUGAAGAAACCUAUGUGGAUCAAUAUCUUGGUAUCAUUGGUUAGCAUGCUGAUAUCUUAUGUACGUGAUUGUCCACUUAAGAGCCAUUCUGCCUACUAUGUGUUUCCUUCUAGGCAUUACAAGGUUUUUAAUGACUGGCUUCCACCUACUUCUCCAUAAGAAUACACAGAUGAAGAAAUUGCACCCCAUGUUGUAUUAAAGAAAUCCUAAGUGUGCCUUCAACUCAAUCAAGGGACCCGACAACUCUGCUAAGAAGGGUAAGCUGUAGAGGAUUCCAGUAAAUCAGUUCUUGAUUUACGGCAUCCUCCUUGAUUGUAGGACUGUAGAGGAUUCCAGUAAAUCAGUUCUUGAUUUACGGCAUCCUCUUUGAUUGUAGGAGAUACAUUUUCCAUUUGUAAUUAUCUUUUCUAAUUUAUCUCUGUAUUCAAACUUCUUGUAUACGUAUAUAUAAAUGGAAAACUCAACCCCAUAGAAGUGUGGUGGUUUUAUAAACAUUGUUAUGGUAUCAGAGCAUUUUUGGAUUAACCUCCUCGAUCCUCCCAUGGCCGAUUCUUCCUUCUCCUUCAACACCAUGAUCCACAUGAUCACUAUUAAACUCUCCUCCACAAAUUAUCUUCUCUGGCGAAAUCAACUUCUCCCUCUUCUUCAAUGUCAGAAUCUCCUUAGCCAUGUCGAUGGUUCCGUUGCGCCGUCUCCAAUCACUAUAGCUGUUGAUUCUUCUUCUUCUCAACCGAAUCCUCAAUAUGUGGCAUGGCAACUCCAAGACCAACGUCUUCUCAGUCUCCUCUUCUCCUCCUUGACUGAAGAAGCCAUGGCCGAAGUUCUUGGUCUCACCAUCGCUCGUGAUGUUUGGCUUGCCUUGGAAAAUUCCUUCAGCCAUAUUUCCAAGACUCGUGAGCUUCGCAUCAAAGAUGAUUUGCAGCUCAUCAAACGUGGCACCCGAAGUGUCACUGAAUAUUCUCGUUCAUUCAAGGCUUUAUGCGAUCAGCUCACUGCAAUGGGCCGCUCAGUUGAUGACACCGACAAAGUCCACUGGUAUCUCAGAGGAUUGGGCGCUGAUUUUGCUAAUUUUUCCACUGCCCAAAUGUCUCUCACCCCAUUACCGGUUUUCAAAGACUUGGUUCCUAAAGCUAAAAGCUUUGAGAUUUUCCAGAAGUCACUCGGGUCCUCCUUCCCUGUUUCCUUUGUUUCCUUUGCUGCUUUUACUGCCACCAAUGGAUCGUUUUCUUCAUCUCGGGGUGGUAGUUCCUCCAAGUCCCGUCGUUCUCGCGGUGGCUACCAUGGAGGCCAUGGACGUGGUAAAUGUGGUUCCUAUAUUCCUCGGUGUCAAAUCUGCAAGACUGAAGGUCACACUGCUAAUCGAUGCAGGAGCUGUUACGAUCGUGCUGAACCUACAACACAACUUGCUGAAGCCUUCACCACAGCCUGUUCUCUCUCUAAUGGCUUGGAAUCUGAUUGGUUCACCGAUACCGGAGCAUCCGCUCACAUGACCCCUGAUCCUUCUCAGUUGGACAAGGUUGAGCCUUAUCAUGGUAAGGACUGUGUAAUAGUAGGAAAUGGUGCUUCUCUUCCUAUUACACACACUGGCACGCUCUCUUCCUCUUCCAAUUUUCAACUUUUAGAUGUUCUUGUUGUUCCCCGUCUUACCAAAAACUUGUUGUCCAUAAGCAAACUGACGUCUGAUUUUCCUCUCUUUGUCACAUUUUCUCAUGAUAAUUUUGUUGUCCUGAAUCGAAUAACAGGAAUGGCAGUGGCAAAAGGUAAACACGCAGGUGGUUUGUAUGUGAUGGAACGUGGUCACUCUGCAUUUGUUUCUGUCCUUAGAAAUAAGAAUUUACAUGCGUCCUUUGAAUUAUGGCAUGCUUGUCUUGGUCAUGUAAAUCACUCUAUUUUAUCUUUUUUGAAUAAAAAAGGACAAUUAUUUCUCACUUCUUUAUUGCCUACUCCCUCUCUUUGCUCCACUUGUCAACUCGCUAAGAGCCAUCGCUUGCCUUUUUCCUCGAAUACUACUCGAUCUAAUGUUGUUUUAGGUCUCGUCCAUUGCGAUAUUUGGGGUCCCGCUCCCGUCAAAUCUAAUUUGGGAUUUAACUAUUAUGUGUUAUUUAUCGAUGAUUAUUCUCAAUUUACUUGGCUUUAUCCACUAAAAUUAAAAUCCGAUUUCUUUGAUAUUUUCCUCCAAUUUCAAAAAUUGGUUGAAAAUCAAUACUCCACCAAAAUCAAGAUUUUUCAAAGCGAUGGCGGUGCCGAAUUUACAAGCAACCGUUUUCAAUCUCAUCUUCAACAAUUUGGCAUCCACCACCAAAUGUCUUGCCCAUACACUCCUUCCCAAAAUGGUCGAGCUGAGCGCAAACAUCGUCAUGUCACGGAAACUGGCCUUGCUCUCCUUUUUCAUUCCCACGUUCCUCCUCGGUAUUGGGUUGACGCUUUCAGCACAGCAACCUACAUUAUCAACCGGCUGCCUCUGCCUGUUCUUGGUGGUCUUUCACCUUUUGAAGUUUUAUUUGGUAAGUCUCCUAAUUAUGAGAAUUUCCAUCCUUUUGGUUGUCGUGUUUACCCAUGCUUACGGGAUUACGCACCUCACAAAUUUUCUCCCCGUAGCUUACCGUGUAUUUUUCUUGGUUAUAGUUCCUCACAUAAAGGUUUUCGUUGUUUUGACACCACAACUUCUCGCACAUAUAUUACACGGCAUGCUCGCUUUGAUGAACAUUUUUUCCCUUUUUCAAAUACUUCCAGUGCCACUUCUAUUGCUGACAUCAGUCUCUCAAAUUUUUUUGAACCCUGCGCCCUUGAACCAUCUCCUAGCACAUCAUCUCCUACUACUACACGGGUCCCUCCUUCUCCUCCUUGCCAAUUUUGUGCGGAUGAUUUUGCUGUUGAGCCCUUGCAGGUUUCCUCUUCUGCUACGGAGUCCACAUCUUCUUCAGCUGCGGUCUCGCCCGUAUCUGCCUCUACGACGACCUUGGUUCCUUUUGCUGCUGAAGUUUUAUGGCUCACUCAUCUCUUCCGUGACCUUCGGGUUACUUUAACUCACCGACCUCUCCUUCUUUGUGACAACAAGAGUGCACUUUUCUUGAGCUCUAAUCCCGUGUCCCAUAAGCGCGCCAAGCACAUCGACCUUGAUUAUCAUUUCCUACGUGAGCUCAUUGUUGCUGGCACUCUUCGUCUUCAACAUAUCCCGUCUCACUUACAAUUAGCGGACGUCUUCACCAAGAGUGUCUCACGGGAUCUUUAUGUCUUCUUUCGCUCCAAGCUCCGAGUUUGUGUUAAUCCCACUCUUCGCUUGCGGGGGGCUGUAGAGGAUUCCAGUAAAUCAGUUCUUGAUUUACGACAUCCUCCUUGAUUGUAGGAGAUACAUUUUCCAUUUGUAAUUAUCUUUUCUAAUUUAUCUCUGUAUUCAAACUUCUUGUAUACGUAUAUAUAAAUGGAAAACUCAACCCCAUAGAAGUGUGGUGGUUUUACAAACAUUGUUAUAAGCAAUAACCAAAUGAAACAGAUUCCACCCAAGAACUUAAUGGUGAAAUUUCUCCUACUUCUUCUACCCUAGAAAAAGCUUUUAGAGAGGCUAGACAAAGGAGCGCAUAAUAGAAAUCACCUGCAGCCAAUAGAAAAUCAGAUCCACAGUCCAAAGAAGCAAGAAUUUCAGUUCCAUUGGAACAAUGGAUAUUUUGGAAAAGACAAUAUGACAAACUUGAAUGGGAGUUCAUCUAGGCUACCCUAGAAUCAAAAUGGCCCACGUCUUAGCCUCUAUGCUAAUCCCACCAAUCACCAACCAUACCACAAUGUAUGGCUUGCUUACAACCCAUCACUAGAAGUCAUGACAAUGGAUGUUUGCAUGUACUAUCGACCAAUCUUGCAAAGUUCUAUGAUGAAAUCUGGAGCAUGUGACUGCUGAAAAUAUGGUUUUGUAGCAUUAAUCAUGAGUGAUUGAACCAUCCGUGGAUGAAACCAUGUGAAUUUUGAAAGAGCGUCAGGAGAGGAAUGAGAUCUAUCACAAUCCUGAUAAGGCAACUGACUUGAUUAUUGAAACUAGUUCUCAGGUUCGACUUCGUCACACAUAGUUUCCUGAGGAAGCAAGAGAGCUUAAGAAAGUGCUCAAAUAGAACACCAAAGAGAAGAACAAAGCAAUAUGAAGCCAAGAUUCUGAGAAGGCAGGUGAAUUACGUGAUAGAGAACUUGAUCUAAAGGCAUAGAUCUCAAGUCUCAUAGACAAAGGCAAGGAAAUGACCAAGGUAGAGUAUCCAAAUCUUUAAAGACUCUACAUAAGCUAUUAUUGAACAAAAAUAUUUACUUCCUGAACCUCCUCCAUUGGGUUUGGUCUAAGUAUCAGGAUUCAUGAGUUCAAAUGGGGAACCAAAAUUUCUCCUCAUCAAUGACUGAAAAAAAAAACAUGAAAAUGGUAGAGAUCAACAACUUUGAACUUCUGGGAUUGGAUAAGGUCAUUGACGAAGACUGAGGUAACCAGAUUGUUUGGUAAUGGGGGUGAAGUUGCAACCAUUGGAAGUGGGUGAUGGAACAUCCUCAAAGAAACUAUUGAAAGUAGAACUGAAGAACUGUUUGUGGUUUCUACAAGUUUACUCCCAAAGAAGAAAUCCAUUUUGGCACUACUGUCUUAGGAUCCCCAACAACUCAAAGUCAUAAGAUGUAGAAUUGUCAAACUGGAAUAUCAACAAUCAAGCCAGUUCCGAAAAGCAUUGCCGUCAUCUCUAAUGCCGAGAUGUAGGAGUUAAUGGCUCAACAUGGCAUUGGAAAUCAAUAAAACUUUGAACAACAGGGAGCCUUGGAAAGUGCCAAAAGAGAGCAUAAUGCAGUUAGGGAUUCAACACCAGCAAGGCAGUCUCAGUCAAGUCUCAGGCUCCACCCAUACAGUUGCCACCUUGGUGCACACCGUCCUCCUCUUAUUACUUCUUCUCUUUCUUGUGAACAUACACAUUUUAAAUCUGGAUUUCAAAAUCUUUUCCAUUAAAUAACUCCAGUUAUCUUUAAAAUUCCAUCCUUAGGAGUUCAUAGACAUUAAAAUCUAGAUUUCAACAAACUUUUAGCUGCCAAUUUUUCUUCUAGCAUGCAUUUUCACUAUUUUAUUUAAUUUUCAACUAUUCACUUGAUGUUCUCAAUUUUCAAUAGGCAUGAAUAAAUUUGAUAGUUCCAAACAAUGGAACUCAUGGCAUUAAUUCAUGCAAAAAUAAAUUGGGUCUUAGUGGGGGCCCAACAUCCAUGACGUUUUCUUUGAUAUUGAUUCAAGUGAGGUGUUUGUUUGAUGUUUGAUUGAUAUCGAUCCCCUUUGUGAUACAUGAGAUUAUUUUGCACCUGUUAUUGAGCUAACCUUGUUUCUAUAGAAGUGCUGACGUUUGCUACCCAGGUAUGCUCUCUAUCACCCACUCUUCAAAAUCCAUGAAUAUGCAGAAUAUUAUGAGCAAUACCCAUGUUCGAUGUCAUACUUGAUUAUCUUUGAUAAAAAUGCAUGUUGUGUGUCAUAUUUCUGAGCUAACUUUGAUGUCUUAUGAUAGCGUUUGAGAAGCAGUCUAAGUACACACCCUAACUCUUCUUUAUGAUUGUGAUUUGAUUUGAUUUGAUUUUUUUUCAUUUGGCAUGCUAGUGAUAAUAGAAAUUUGAAAUCACCUUAGUCUACCUAGAUAACUUCAAUCAAUCGAUUAAUUGCCACAUUUCCCUCGACUUAGGCAAUAGAGACCUCUUUAGGGCUUAGAGGGGUACUACCUCUUUGAGGUACCUUCCCAAUAAGUAACCUGAUCCUUGGACCUAGACUCGGGUUUUUCAAAGACACACUUUUUUCAAAACUAUGAAGUCAUUUUUUUAAGGUUUUCUUUCUUGUUUUAUUUUCCAUUUUAAAAUAAAAUAAAAUAAGUGGUGACUCUGACUUUUCCAAAACUAAUUUUUCACCAUUGGAAAGUGAGUCUUGUUGAUUGAGUUGGAACACACAUGAAGAUUGCGGGUCCACAAUUAUUUUUUUGUUAGGCUAGAGAAAUAACCUUUUCUCAGGGGCUUCAAGCAUGUCUAAAGAUUUAUAACGUGUUCUUUUUUAUUGGUCAAGAUUUAAAAAGGUUUAUAUACAUUUAUUCUACAUGACCAUGAACUUCAUGUCAAUCAACUUUCAAAGAUUUCAAACAUCAUCAAGUGUACCUUAAUAUAUGUUGGGAUGUAGCCUUAGAAAACAUGAUAUGAUGUAAUAGAUUGAAAUACAUUUAUAAAUUUUAUUUAUUCAUAUUUCUUGGAUUUCCUUUAUCCUGUUUGUAUUAAUUGCAUAUAUGAGCAUACACACCCAAAUCUUUUACAUUGUUCACGACUUGGGUGCAUUAGUUGUUGCAUAGAAAAUACAAGUCAUAGGAUCUUUAUAAGUAGAUAAGUUGUCCAUAGUCAGUUCAUAGAUCUGGGCAAUCUUGUAGAGAUUGUAAUGCACUAGCUCCUAAUUGGAGGGAUAACUUGUCUUGGCCGUCGGAAUGACUUUUUCAUGAUGAUUGCACUAAUGUGUAUGGUUACAUAUUGGACAGGAUCUAUGGUGAAUCAUGAUGUAAGCUAUCGAUUUUCAUGAUUCACUAAACUACUAUAUUACAUGGACUCUCAACCUUGAAAGGAUAUUGAGUUUGUGCCAAAGUUAACAGGAGGCUAUAACUUAUGGGGGAGACCCUUAGGUGGUCACAUAUCCUUGUAGAUUGAGUCAUUAUUGAUGAAGAUUGGUAACAAUAGGUAUUCUCAAUAGAGGCACCAUGAUAUCUCAUAGGAAUGAAAUAGUGUGUCCCAUUGGGUAAUCUAAAGACAUAUGAUCUAGAAGACUGACCGUAACAUUUCCUUUAAUAGAAAUUUGACAUAUGCUAUUUGAAGAGAUAAUCUUCAAAUAGAGUAUGCCAAUUGAUCACAUAAUAAGUGAGAUAUGUAAUUCAAGGAUUGAAGAGAUAAUCUUGAUAGAUGAUAACAUUACCCUGUUAGAUUACAAACACUAGUUCAUUGGAAGUAUGCAUGGAAUGUAUAGUAAGUCACGAACCCAAGUUUUGUCUUAUUGUUAUUUACAUAAUGUAUAUAGUGUUGUUGAUUCUCUGUAUCAAGAUGUUGAAUCAAUUUCAGAAUUGGAUUUUGAGGGAAUUGAUAAUCCUAUAGGUCUUAAUGGUCUCCACUUUAAGCUCGUAUAUCCUAAUGACACGAGUUAUGAAGGUUAGAUUGAUUCUAGGUUCACUCUUGUGUAUAAGGACAUUUUGGUAAUUACAUAAGAUUGCAUAGGGGAUAGCAAACAAGGAUUUGGGAUUAGGUUAAUUAAUUAAUUAAUUAAAUAACCCUAUAUGGUUAUUUAAUCAAUUAAAACCUAUUUUGGUUUAGAUUAAGUGAUCCAAACCCAUGUGGGCUUAAGUCACUUUAAGCCCGAUAGGGGAAUUCUAUAAAUACCCCUUUAGGGGUUAAGGUUUCCAAGGUUUUUGAUCAUCAUCUUCCAUUGACCGGCGUGUUGUUUGGGCUAUAGAAAAGUUGGCAAAGAAAGACGAAAUUAAUGGGAUGGAGACCGUUUGUUUCAUGAUCGUGGAACCCUCAAUAGAAUUCCAAAUUUCCAAGUGACAUGAAUUAUCUUGUUGAAACUUGAAUCCAAAUUAAUAAAUUCUAUCAUUAUACAUAUUUUGAUAUUUUUGUUAAUGGAAUGAAAUUGCGUGGAUACUAAAUUCAUCUAAUAUCAUUUUCUUUCUAUAGUUUAUUGCAUCAAUUAUCCAUGUUUCAAUAAUCGAAUACAAUCGAAUUUACUUAAAUGUUGAAUGCUACAGAAUUUGUAGUUUCAAAUUAUUUUAUCAAAAUAAUACAAAAAUUGUAGUUCACAUGUUUUUUAAGAAGAAAAGUUGGAAAAAAAAUUUUCCACACAACCUUCAGAAAAUAAUAAAUUGUUAUACGACUUAGAAUGGCAUGAAUAAGGAAAAAAACCAUCCAUAAAAGUAAUGUUUACGCAUGUUUAGGAUUAGCAGUAUCUCCAAGCUAUUUCCAAUGGGAAUUCUACUCUUUUCAUGGAUUUUCUUCAUGCCCUUAUGCUCAAGCUUUUUUCUUAUGCAUGUUGCUUUGGUGUCCGACGAGUGUCUGAGUAAUGAGAGGGUAUGCUUGGAAGAUGAGAGGAUGUUGUUGUUGCAACUGAAGAGUACCCUCAAAUUCAAUGUUGCUGCAUCUAAUAAACUAGUUUCCUAGAGUCAAAGUGCCGAUUGUUAUUCUUGGGGCGGUGUAACCUGGGAUGCCACUGGUCAUGUUGUGUCUCUUGAUCUCAGUAGCGAAUUCAUUUCUGGUGAAUUCAAUAGCUCCAGUAGAAUUUUCAGUCUACAGUAUUUGUAGAGCUUGGAUUUAGCUAGCAACACCUUCUACUAUUCUCAAAUUCCAUUUGGAUUCGAUAAGCUUGACCGUUUGAUAUACCUGAAUUUGUCUAGCGCUGGGUUUUUUAGGUAGAUUCCAAUUGAGAUCUCACACUUGAGGAAAUUGGUUACUAUUGAUUUCUCCAUGUCUUAAUUACCUAGAGUUCCUACGUUGAAACUUGAGAAGCCAAAUCUGAGAAUGCUAGUUCAAAACCUAACAGAGCUUAGAGAACUCUAUCUUAAUGGUGUAGACAUAUCAGCCCCGGGGAAUGAGUGGUGUCAGGCAUUAUCAUCAUCUGUACCUAAUCUUUGAGUUCUGAGCUUGUCCUGGUGUUUUCUUUCAGGCCCUAUUGAUUCUUCCAUGGUGAAGCUUCACUCCCUGUCAGUUAUUCAUCUUAAUUAUAAAAUUUUCACAACUCCAAUUUAUGAUUUUUUGGCAAAUUUCUCAAAUUUGACUUCUUUAAGCCUCAGUUGUUGAGGACUAUAUGGAGCAUUCCAAAAAAUAUCUUUUAGGUACCAACCUUGCAAAUUCUUGACUUGUCUAACAAUCAGUUACUCUGGGGUGCUUUGCUAGAGUUUCCUUAGGGUGGGUCUCUACGGACUCUAGUGCUUUCGGAUACAAAAUUUUUUGGGCAUAUGCCAGAUUCCAUAGGUAAACUUGAGAUGUUGUCCUGGAUAGAACUAGCACGUUGCAAUUUCAGUGGACUAAUCCCCAGCUUUAUAGAAAAUCUUACUCGAUUGUUUUACCUGGACUUAUCGUCAAAUGGCUUUGCUAGUUCAAUUCCAUCCUUUCGUUCUUCAAAGAAUCUGACCCAUAUAAACCUUUCUCGUAACUAAUUUACUGUUCAGAUUAUUUUCCACCACUGGGAAGGUCUUUUGAAUCUUGUGAAUCUGGACUUGCAUCACAAUUUGCUGCAUGGUGGUCUUCCACUGUCCAUAUUUUCUCACUUAUCACUGCAGAAUAUAUGGCUUAGCAAUAACCAAUUUUCUAGUCAACUCAAUGAAUUUUCAGCUGUGUCUUAUGUACUGGAGGCCCUUGAUUUGGGUAGCAACAAUCUACAAGGGCCAAUACCCAAGUUUGUCUUGUUAAUAAAACCAUUAUGAAUCCAAAUUCUACAUAGAAAUCUCAUGUAAAUCAUAUAAAGAAAUUUUGCUUGAACAUUUUACGGAAUGCAAACAUACAAAAUCCGAACUAACCUGAGUCCAUUGUGGGUGUUGAAGAAGUAUGGAUCUUCUAAGGCGAUAGAGAGGAAACCACCUUUUGCUUAAUCUCUCUGGUUAUGGGAUGCAGGAGAGCGAGCGUUCUUUCUUUUCAAAAAAUAUAUAUAUCUUGAACGAACACCAACCUGAUGAAUUCCUUAUAUCCUCUAUGCCUUAGGGACCAUACCCUUUGGAUAUUGGGCCAUAUGUGUCUUUGGCCCAUCAUUUGAGACACAUAUGGUAUUGGGCUCUACACAUAAGGUGGCCUAUACUUUAUAACAAAUAUAAAUUAAAUAUAUACAUGCGAAUAGCUUAAUCAUAAACUAUGCUUCAUAUCUGUGAGUCCAUAGUUAUUCUAACAAUCUCCCACUUGUACCACAUAUAUUACCGAACAAUGUUUAUGAUAGUACUUUAUUGAGCUCAUCUUUGCUAUCCCAUCUAAUUGGUCCUACUUUAUGACUAAAAAUAGUCAAAUUUCACUUUCAACACUUGAUGCUAAACUGCUUCUACAAGUCAUCAUUUCAAUUCAGAGUAUUCAAACAUAAUAAUCUUUAAAACCAAAGUCUAUACAGAUAACACAAACAUAACAAUACAUCAAGAAAACAAACAUAAAACCUAAAUACAAACUCCCACUAUACUAGCACAUCAUUAAUAUGUACAACAUCCAUAUGUGUGACAUACUCAUGAUAUACUUUGGGUGGCAAACCCUUAGUGAGUGGAUCCGCAAUCAUGGAGUUUGUGCUUAUGUGGUCAAUUGAUACUUGAAGACUCUGAACUCUUUCUUUCACAACCAAGAACUUGAUGUCAAUGUGUUCGAACUUUGACAAACUUUGAUUGUUCUUAGAAUACAAUUCUGCGACCUUAUUAUCACAAUUGAUUCUCAAUGGUUUCUCAAUCCCAUUAACAAUUUGCAAUUCUGUGAUAAAAUUCCGUAGCCAUAUCCCAUGGUUUGAUGCCUCAUAGCAGGCUAUGACAUCUGCCUCCAUAGUGGAAGAAGCAAUAAGUGUUUUUUUAACACUUUUCCAAGAAACUACUCCUCCAGCCAACAUGAAGAUGUAGCCUGAAGUGGAUCUCCUAUUGUUAAGACAUCCCGCGAAAUCGGAGUCCGAAUAUCCCACGAUCUCUAAAUGAUUGGAUCUUCGAUAUGUGAGCAUCUAAUCUUUAGUUCUUUGUAAAUACCGCAUAACUCGUUUUUCCUUUUUCCAGUGAUCCAUACCUGGGUUACUCAAAUAUCUGCCCAACAUUCCAACAAUGUACACAAUAUCCGGACGCAUACAAACUUGUGCAUACAUGAGACUUCCUAUUGUCGAGGCAUAGGGAAACCUCUCCAUAUUCUUCAUCUCAAGUUCAUUUUUCAAACAUUGGUGCAAGCUAAAUUUAUCGCCUUUUGCCACAAGCAUGUCUCUUGGUGCAUAAUUGCUCAUGCCAAACCUACUUAACACAUUAUCGAUGUAGGACUUUUAUGAUAGCCCAAGUAUACCUCUUGAACGAUCCCUAUAUAUUCUUAUACCCAGCACAAAAGAUGCAUUAUCAAGAUCCUUCAUGUAAAAUUUACGGAAUAGAAAUCGCUUGGUUUCAUGCAAAAGUUCCACAUCACUACUUGGAAGUAGAAUAUCAUCUACAUAUAGCACCAAGAUAAUGAAUUUGCUCCCACUGAACUUGAGAUAUAUGCAGUGAUCAACGAUGUUCUCCUUAAAAUUAAAUGAAGUAAUCACUUGAUCAAACUUUCGGUACCAUUGUCGAGAAGCUUGUUUUAAACCAUAUAUGGACCUUUUUAAUGUGCAUACAAGUUGCUUUGACUCAUUAGACUCAAAUUUCUCCGGUUGCACCAUGUAUAUUGUCUCAUCAAUGUUACCAUUAAGAAACGCAGUUUUAACGUCCAUUUGAUGCAACUCUAAAUCAUAAUGAGCCACAAAUGCCAUGAUGAUUCUAAAGGAGUCCUUUGACGAAACCGGUUAAAAGGUCUCCUUGUAAUCAAUACCUUCUUUUUGAGUAAAACCUUUUGCGACUAGGCGUGCCUUAUACCUAACAAUGUUGCCUUUUGAAUCCUUCUUGGUCUUAAAAAUCCAUUUACAACUAAUCGGUUUUACAUCUUUAGGCAACUCUACUAGGUCCCAAACACCAUUGUGUUUCAUUGAUUUCAUCUCAUCCUUCAUGGCUUCUAUCCACUUUUCAGAGUCAGAACAUUGUUUGACUUGACUAACUAAAAUUGGAUCAUCUUUUAAACCCAUGUCAAACUCAUGUUCCUGGAGAUAUACAACAUAAUCAUCUGAAAUUGUACUUCUCCUUUCUCUAGUGGAUCUUCUCAAUGGUACUUGUACUUGAGGUUGUUGAAGUUGUUGAGUUACCUUUUCAUGAACUUGAAUUGGUUCCACAACUUGAGUAGGAGGAAUUUCAGGUGUGUCUACAAUCUCUGUUAUUGGUUGUACAUUCUGGAUAGUGUCAUCAAACAUAAUAUGACCAUGUCUAGUUGCAAUAAUAGGAAUACUAACAGAUUCUUCUUCAAAGACCACCUUUCUUAAUGGCUCUCUCCCACUUAACUCAACAUUCUCAAUGAACUUAACAUUGCCCGUUUCAAAGAAAGACUUAGUUGAGGGGUUAUAAAACUUGAAACCUCUCGACCUUUCAGAAUACCCUACAAAGUAGCAGCUCACUAUUCUAGAGGCCAAUUUCUUUUCAUUUGGCUUAUAAGGCCUAGCCUCAGUUGGACAACCCCAAACAUGCAAAUGCCUAAUACUAGGUUUCUUGUUAGUCCAUAACUCAUAUGGGGUUUUGGCUACUGCUUUGCUUGGGACUCUGUUCAAAAUGUAAACUGCAGUUUUGAUAGCUUCACCCCAAAGUGAUUCUGGUAAGGUGGAAUGACUGAUCAUACUUCUUACCAUAUCCUUAAGAGUACGGUUUCGCCUCUAUGCUACACUAUUUUGGCUUGGAUUCCCCGACAUGGUGUACUGAGGAAUGAUACCACACUCCAUAAAAUAUUUAGCGAAUGGCCUUGGACGUUGUUCACCGGAUCCGUCAUAUCUACCAUAAUAUUCAUCUCCACGGUCAAAUCUAACAACCUUUAUUUUCUUGCUUAGUUGGUUCUCAACUUCAGCUUUAAAAUUCUUGAACACAUCCAAUGAUUGAGACUUCUCAUGAAUCAAAUAAAGAUAGCCAUAGCAUGAGUAAUCUUUAAUGAAAGUGAUAAAAUGUUGUUGCCCAUUCCAAGAAGGGGUAGGAAAUGGACCACAAAUGUUCGUAUGUAUCAAUUCCAAGAUGUCACCCUCACCUAUUGGCAUCCUUUUUCUUCACAUUUUUUUGUUUACCCUUAAUACACUCUAUACAAACUUGAAAGUUUGACAAAUUAAGUGGAUCAAGAAUUCCUUCUAACACAAGCCUUUGAAUACGUUGAUUUGAAAUAUGACCUAAACGCUUAUUCCAUAGCAUUGAUGAAUUCUCAUUUGUUAAUUUUUCACUUAAUGCCAUAAUUGCUUGAAUGCAAGGUUUCAUUACCAUUAGAGACCUUUAUGUUCAAUUUGUAUAACUUAUCUUUUAGACUACCGGUACCAAUAACACUUGAAUUUAAAUAAAAACUAACCAUUCCAUUUCUAAAUGAACAAUAAUAUCCACAUUUGUCCAAACAUGAUACAGCAAUUAAAUUUCGUCUAAACGAUUGUACCACAAAAGUCUCUUUUAAAUCCAAAGUAAAACCAGAAUUUAACUGUAAUCUAAAAAGACCAAUAGCCUUCACUGCAACCUUAUUUUCAUUUCCCACAUAGAUGUAUUUUUCAUCAUCAGUUGGAAUUCGGCUCCUUAGGCAACCCUGCAUCGUGACACUAAUGUGAGUAGUUGCACUGUAUCUAUCCACCAAGUGUCAAUAGGCACUAUAGCUAAAUUAAUUUUUGAACAAACAAAGUUGAGAAGUGUACCUUUCCUUUCACGCCAAGCGGCAUAUUUGGUACAUGUCUUCUUCAUAUGACCAGCCUUCUUGCAAAAGAAACAAGUGAUCUCCUUAUCUUGUUUUUUCUGCACCUUUUGCUUAGAUGUCCCAGAAAAUGCAGUUUGUUUUCCUUUAUUGUCCAUUUUUCUUGUCUUGUUGGUACCAAAUCCCUGAGAUGUGGAAGCCAAGUGAGCACUUUCUAUCUUUUCUUGUUUCAAUCUCUCCUCUUCUUGUACACAUUGAGCAAUAAGCUCAUUCAUAGUCCAUUUUUCCUUUAGUGUGUUGUAACUGAUCUUGAAUAGACUAAAUUGUGUAGGUAGAGAGAUCAAGACCAAGUGCACAAGUAUGUCUUCUAACAACUCUAACUUUAGUGCCUUGAGUCUAGUCAUAAGAUUGGACAUUUCCAUUAUGUACUCCCUUAUAUUCUCUUUCCCUUUGUACCGCAUGGAGACAAGCUUACUAAGAAUAACGCUUGUGUCAACCUUUUCGUUUGCAGCGAAUUGGUUUGCUAUCUGGUCCAAGAAUGUCUUGGCUCGGGUCUUCUCAGGUAUUGCACCCCUUAUAGCUUUUGGAAUUGAGUGCUUCAUUAUCAUUAGACUCAUGCGAUUGGAUCGCUUCCAUUUUUCCAUAGCAGCCCUUUGCUCAGCAGUACUGGCACUAGUGAGGUCUGUAGGGCGAUCCUCUCUUAAUGCAUAGUCCAAAUCCAUGCACCCGAGCACAAUUACAAUGUCGUCCUUCCAUUUCUUGAAGUUUGUGCCAUUAAGCAUAGGAAUGUUAUUAACAUUAGCAAAUAUAGAAGAUGCUGAAUCCAUAACAUUAAAUCUCACAAUCAGUCACAAAAAAUAUCAUAAUAAAUAAAAAAUUUAACAUAUAUAUAUAUAUAUAUAUAUAUUUAUAUAUAUAUGCAUGUGGGCUUAUUACAAGAUACCUAGCACAAACAUUAAUAUUCAGUCUUUGGACAAAAAUAUCAACUUGUAAUUGGUAUCCUUUUACAAAAUUAGUUCAUAAAUAUUGACAAUAAAACCAAAGCAAUAUGCCUAUCUUUGGACUGACAUACAGCAUGCAAGGUAAACUUUAUAUGUCACAUAUUUAUGACUACUUUAUUUAUUAUUAUAUUAAAAUAAUCUUCCUUUGGGCCAAUUAUUUUAUACAAUAAUAACAUGUUUACAUAUUUCAAAAUAAAUAAAAUUAUAUAAUAUAAGUCACUUUGGCAACAAAUAUACAUAACUCAUUUAUUUUAAAAAUAUUAAACACAAAUGCAACAAGAAAUGGUAAAUUCGUAUAUUUAAUGUGGUACAGAAAAGAGAAUACAGAAAUUUAUCAAAAUCAUAAUUUUUUAUGGUACAAAAUCAUAAACAAGCAUAAGGGUUCUGUAGCUCAAUUGGUAGAGUGCAAGACUCUCAACCUUGUGGUCGUGGGUUCAAACUUAAUUAGGCUUUAACAUGUUUUGUGCUCUGGAUAACUUUUCUCCUAUUUUUAUAUCCUUGUUUUUGUUAAUUGUUUUAGGAAUUCUGUACUUACAAAAUUGCACAAUUUAUUGAGCUUAUAUGUGUCGUGCAGUUAAUUUGGUUUUGGCAUGAACUUUGACUUUGCUUAUUUUGUGUGCCCAUUUUUUUUUAAAAAAUCGGCAGUAAGUACCUUUUGAAAAUAGAAUUGUUGUCAUGUUUAAACAUUUCAUGUUUAAAUGGGCAAUAAUUACUUUAUUGGGCUUGAAGUUGCUUUUCUAUUUGCAAUACUUAAAGGCUUACUAUAUGAUUGAUUGGGUGGUGUUUUGUAGAAAUGAAGCUCCAAACGAUGCCGACAUUGGCGCCUUAAAGCCAAAGGACACCAACAAAAGAAGGACCCAUGGCGACGCCGAAUACCCCAGUAGUGGGGCCAAAUGAGGCCACAACGUCUUUCCGAUCGCCUAAAACGGCGCCAACAACCCUCUCUAGGCGGCAUCGCGGGGAACGCCUACAACGGCACCAAAACGACACUAGAACAAUGCUUUUUCGAUCCCCUAACGACACCAAAAUGGUGUCAUUGACUGGCGGAAUGGCAUCCAGCGCUGCUCCGAUUGCCAAAACAGCGCUUGCAGUGCUCCUCAAGGCGGCGGGGUAGUGGAAGCAGUGUCACCACUAUCACCGGUAGAGGCACCAAACGACGCCACAACGCUUCUCUGAGCGCCAUUCUUUGCUCUCUAGAAACCCGAAUCACCACCCUCCCUAAUGGCCUCCGAAUCGCCACCGAAUCAAGUCUCCCAAGCUGUGUUGCGGUUGUUGGUGUCUGGAUCUACUUCGGGAGUCGCUUUGAGAGCAACGCCACCAACGGUGUGGCUCAUUUUCUAAAACGCAUGGUGUUCAGGGGCACGGAAAAGAGGCCUGUUGAGGGUUUUGGUGAAGGAAAUUGAGAGCAUGGCGAUCACUUGAUGAUUUAAAAAAUGGCAAUUUCUUAAUGAUUUAACAUGCUGCUCUAAUACCAAUUGUUAAUAAAACCAUUAUGAAUCCAAAUUCUACAUAGGAAUCUCAUGUAAAUCAUAUAAAUAAAUUGUGCCUGAACAUUUUACGGAAUGCGAACAUACAGAAUCCGAACUAACCUGAGUCCAUUGUGGGUGUUGAAGAAGUAUGGAUCUUCUAAGGCAAUAGAGAGGAAACCACCUUUUGCUUAAUCUCUCUAGUGAUGGGAUGCAGGAGAGCGAACGUUCUUUCUUUUCAAAAAAUAUAUAUAUCUUGAACAGACACCAACCUGAUGAAUUCCUUAUAUCCUCUAUGCCUUAGGAACCAUGCCCUUUGGAUAUUGGGCCAUAUGUGUCUUAGGCCCAUCAUUUGAGACACAUAUGGUAUUGGGUUCUACACAUAAAGUGGCCCAUACUUUAUAACAAAUAUAAAUUAAAUAUAUAUAUGCAAAUAGCUUAAUCAUAAACUAUGCUUCAUAUCUGUGAGUCCAUAGUUAUUCUAACAUGUCUUUGAUCUUUGGGGUCUUCACAUCCUUGAACUUUCUUUCAACAAACUCAAUGGCACCCUUGAACUAAGCAAAUUUCAAAAACUAGAGAACCUUACUAUUCUGAGUCUUUCACACUAUAGGUUGUCAAUCAAUGUGGAUGGUUUCAAUUCCACCUUUUCUAAACCCCCGCAUUUCACCACAUUAAAAUUGGCUUCUUGCAACCUGAGAAAAUUCCCUGAUCUAAGGAACCACUCAAAGUUUUUGACAUAUUUAGACCUUUCACAAAACCAAAUUCAAGGGGAAAUACCUAAUUGGGUUUGGAUGAUCAGCAGUAGCUUCCUUAUGCUUUUGAAUCUCUCACAAUUUGCUGGUGGGUCUGCAACAACUUUUCUCCAAUUUUGCUCCUUAUCUCUGUCUACACUUGACCUACAUUCCAACCUGCUCCAUGGACGAAUCCCCACCCCACCCCAAUUUUCCAACUAUGUGGAUUACUCAAACAACAACUUCUUCUCUUCCAUCCCAGAUGAUAUUGGUACUUACAUGUCCUUCACUGUUUUCUUCUCUGUUUCAAAGAAUAAAAUCUCGGGAAUCAUGCCUGCAUCCAUCUGCAGUGCAACUUACCUCCAAGUUCUUGACUUUUCUAACAAUGCUUUGAGUGGUGGAAUACCUUCAUGUUUGAUUGAGAAUGAGGCUCUUGCGGUUCUGAAUCUACGGAGAAACAUGUUUAGCGACACUUUAUCUGGGAAUUUUCCUGGAAACUGUAAUUUACAGACUCUAGAUCUCAAUGGCAAUCUUUUAGAAGGGACAAUUCCAGAAUCCGUAGCCAAUUGCAAAGAGCUAGAGGUUUUAAACCUUGGAAAUAAUCACAUAGAUGACAACUUCCCUUGCUGGUUGAAGAACAUGAGAAGUUUGCGUGUGCUUGUUCUGUGAGCCAACAGAUUCCAUGGACCCAUUGGAUGUCCAAAUAGCAAUUCCACCUGGGCAAAGCUUCAGAUUGUAGACCUAUCUUACAACAAUUUUAGUGGGAAAUUCCCGGCAAAAGGCUUUUUGACCUGGAAAGCAAUGAUGGCUAGUGAAGAUGGAGUCCAAUCAAAGCUAAAUCACAUGCAAUUUAAGGUCCUAGAAAUGAGUGAAUUGUAUUAUCAGGAUGCUGUAAGUCACCAGCAAAGGUCAAGAAAUGGAGCUUGUGAAGGUCCUGACUCUCUUCACUUCCAUCGACUUCUCCUUCAACAACUUUGAAGGCCAGAUACCAGAAGAGAUGGGAAACUUCACAUCACUAUAUGUCCUCAACUUAUCCGGUAAUGGUUUCACAGGCCAAAUCCCAUCAUCAAUAGGGCAGCUGAGACAGCUCGAGUCAUUAGACCUCUCACGCAACCACCUGAGAGGGAAGAUCCCCAGAGAGUUUGUGAGCCUAACUUUCCUUUCAGUCCUGGACCUCUCCUUCAAUCAGUUAGUGGGGGCAAUCCCAAGCGAUAAUCAAUUUCAAACAUUUUCAGAAGCUACUUUCCAAGGGAACAAAGGAUUGUGUGGCAACCUUUGAGUGUAAAUUGCGAAGAGGAAACACCAUCACCGACGUUUGAUGACAGGCACUCAGCUUCCCGAAUGGAGAUUAAGUGGGAAUACAUAGCUCCUGAAAUAGGAUUUGUGACAGGGUUGGGAAUCGUGAUUUGGCCUCUAGUGUUGUGCAGGAGAUGGGAGGAAAAGCUACUACAAACAUGUUGAUAGAAUUCUUUCAAGGAUUCUCCAUAACCAAGACCAAAGAAGAGCGAGUGAUGGAAGAAGAGCUCACAGGGAGGCGGAGAAUGUAGCAGUGGUGCAGAGGGAUGUAGUUGCUAGUCAUAGUCUAUUUCCAUUAAUGAAAAAAUUGUAUAUUUAGGUUUGAUUUCUAUAAAUUUCUGGUGAAUGCAUAACUUUAUAUUUGGACGGUAUAAUGGUGAAGAUUUUUGAGGAUCAUAAGAAUUUGAUUUUCCGAAUAACUUUACUCCCAGCUUUUAUUAAACAUAUAUUUUUUUAAUUUAUUAAAGAAUUUAAAUUCUGAAACCACCCCAUCAAAAGCUUUUCUACAAAAGUAUCAAAUCUUAAAUUCGGGGGAAAAAAAAAACAAAAAAUAACCUUGAAAGUUCUUUGGCUUCAUAAUAUUUUAGUCAUAAAAUCCUUUUCAAUCAUUGUAUAAAACUCUAUUUUUUUUUUUCAAAAAAAAAAAAUCAAAGCUAUGGAAAAGUUUGAACAUGAGAUCCAACUAUAUAUAUAUAUAUAUAUAUAAAUAAUAUUUAAUAAAAAAAUCUGUUCUACCCAUGUGCAGACAAGCUUCUUAUUCAAAGCCAAAACUAUAGUCUAUAACGUUGUUAAACGUGCCCAAAAUAAAAUUCUAAUUUUGGGCUGGAUGUGGGCUUGAGUUGGGUCAAACUUGGUUGGCUGGAUUUGGGUCAUUCAAAAAAUAUGGGCCUGAUUGGUACAUCAUAUGACCAACUGAGGUAGCUAGGCCCAUAUUCAGCCCAAUUAACACAUCUGAAGCCAUAAGGGAUUCAAGAUUCAAAAACACGUAAUUACCAGACUAGGUUGUAAUUUUGAGUCGCUACAGAUAAAAGAUCUUCCUAUGUUAUACUAUCCAAUUUUCAAGAAUAAACAAUUUGAUAGCUUAGAUAUUGUUAUUCGUGAUAUUGAUAUGAUUUAAUAUCAUCGAGAUGUAAUUCAUACCAUUGAAUUUACAUUAUAGUUGAAAGAUUUAUCAUCUUUAUGAGAUUAAAUCUCGAGUUAUUACCAAAAAUAAAAAUAAAAAUGAUAUUAUGGAAGUAAAUACUCUCGCAUUUGUUGCUAUUGCAAUCUCCAUUCUAGGUCCUAAUAUUUUACUUAUCAAUUAUGUAAAAUCAAUUAGCCAAAACAACUAAUUUGAAUGAAAUUGAACUUCUUAGUUCUUAUCAUUAAUUAAAGAAAUAAAAUGAAUAUCAAUAAUUGAAUAAAUAAAAUGAAAAGGGUUCCAAUUUAGUGUCUUAAAUGAAAUGUAAUAUAUUUAGGUAUUUUUAUUUCAUACCGAACUUUUGACAUAUGAGUUUGACUACUAAUCCAAGAAAAAAGGAUAUUUAAAAAAAAAAUCAAACAACAAUCCUGCCACUCUUACCAAGGUAAUGAAUAAUCCUUUUUAAGGGGUCCAUAAAAAAAGAACAAACUCUAAAAUAGUGAAUUAGUUUUAUGGAAUAUUAUAUUUUUAUAUUAUGACUUGGUUUUAUCACUUUGCUUUGUCUUUCAAUAAAAUUAGAUCAUUAAAAAAAUAGAAUUUAGAACUGAAACCCUAUUUCCUUUUUCCAUUUCACUUCUAUUAUUUUUUUGGGUUUAUAAUAAAUGGAUAAUACUUAACUUAAGGGGAAGAAAGUCUAACAUUACAAGUGGCUGCUAUAAAAAAUUCUAUAGAAUUUAUCAUUUAUCAUUUUUAAUUUUAAUAAUAUAUAAAUGAUAUAUUUAUGAUAUUAUUAGUUUGACCAUAGUAGUUUGAUCAUUGCAUCGUGAACUAAUAACUUUUCCAAUUCGAGGAUUGAUCAAAUUUUGAAUACAUGGAGCAUGACAAAUGGAAAAGCAAAUUAAUUUUUUUUUAAAAAAAACAAAAAACAAAAACAUGAUUUCUACAUCAAAAUCUUUAUAAUCGCUCAUUAUGGAUGGAUUUACAUGCUCCUUCUAAGAUAUCUAAUCUUGGUGGAAAGUAUUAUGCAUUUGUUAUUAUGAAUGACUUAGGUACAUAUGAGUUCUAUUUUUAAGUCACAAAAAUGAACAUUUUAUUUUUAUUUUUUCAAAAUUUUGUAAAAAGGUUAAAAAUGAAAAAUGUUUCACAAUCACAUACAUGAGAAAGUAAUCGCAAGGGAGAAAUUGAAAAUUUUGAUUUUGCAACCUUUCGUAGUGAUCAUGUAUUGAACAUAAUUUUUUAGCUCUUAAAAUACCUCAACAAAGAGUUGUUAAAGAGAGAAGUAGAACUUUAUAAGAAAUGACAAAAACUUAGCUUAAUGAAAAUAAUCCGCAAAAUUAUUUUGGGUGAAAGCAACUAAUAUUACUUGUUAUAUUUUAAAUAAAAUUUUAAUGUAAUCCAUUUUGAUUUCUAUGAGUUUUGAAAAAAUAAAAAAUUCAAUAUUAAUUAUUUUAAAAUUUUUUGGUGCAAAUGUUUUAUCUUAAACUAAAAAGAUAAGGGAUUCAAAAUUAGAUAUUAGGAUUUUCCUUGGUUAUUCUUGUGUAAGUAAAAGUUGUAUAGUUCUCAACAAAAAGACCUUUAAAGUAGAAAGUUUAUGCAUGUUGUAUUUGAUGAAUAUAUAAUCCUUUCUCUCAAGAUAGCAUCAAGCUUAAUGAUGAGAUAAGUCAUUAAGAAAGGCUAAGCAAACUCAACUUGGAUAAAACUCAACCUUGACAUGAAGUAGAAAAUCUAAAGCCUAUAAAAAGGAGCAACUUUCACUUGUGUUUCCACCAUAAGAAGGGACAAGUACUCUAGAGAUCUUCCAAAAGAGUGAAAGUUUGUCAUCCAUCAUCCUCAAGAAUGAAUUAUAGGUAAUCCAUUUAGAACGAAAAAAACUAAAUCAUCUCUUAAAAAUAUUUGCAACAUUCUUGUUUCCUUGUCUCAAAUUGAACAAAAGAAAAAAAAAAAUUCAUGAGAUUGAAAAUGAUGAAAUUGGAUAAAUGUUAUGCUAGAAGAGCUAAAUAAAUUUAAAAGGAAUGAACGACAAGAACUAGCUUAUGGACCUUCUAAUCAAUCUAUAAUAGGCACAAAUGGGCAUUUAUAAAUAAAAUAAAUGAAGAUGUUGUAAGGGUAAGAAACAAGGGUAGGUUAGUAAUUGGAGGUUUUCAUCAAGAAAAAGGUAUAAAUUAUGAGAACACGUCUACUUUCUUUCUAGAUUAAAGGCUAUUAUGAACAUGUUGAUUGCAUUUACAUGUUAUAAAAAAAUUAUUUGAUAUUAAAUGGAUGCCAAAUGUGCAUUUUCAAAUGGUUAAAUAAUAGGAGUGUAUGUAUGGCAAUCUCUUGGUUUUACAAAUUAGCUAGCAACAAUUUAUUCAUCUUUUGUUAUAUAUGUGGAUAAUGCAACUAAAUUUUACCUUUUGUUAAACCAAGAAACUAGUGAGGUCCCAAGGAGUGUUUCACUAGUGUGUUUCUUAUAUAUAUAAUUAAGUCAAAGUUAGUACUCUUACAAUGUCUUAAACCAAAAUAAAUAAUUAUUCUUUUUGAAUAUCUAAAAAGUCUAUUUAUAACAUUAGAAUGAGAUUUCUUAGGACAUGAUUAAAAUCUUGUACACAAGCAUACACAAAGCAUGAUAUCUGACUUAUUAAUGGUAAGGUAGUACAUUGAACCAAUCAUGUCACUAUAAGAGAGUAUGGUUAUCUAAAAAUUCUAUAUAUGACAUCAGAAUGAGAUUUCUUAGGACAUGAAUAAAAUCUUGCAUGUAAGCAAAUGCUAAGCAUGAUAUCCAACUUAUUAAUGGUAAGUAGUACAAUGAAUCAAUCAUGUUACUAUAAAAGAGUAUGGUUAAUAGAUUGUCCUUGUUCAUCUUUGUUAAGCUUGAUAAAUAAACUCAUUAAAGUUUCCAUAGUCUUUAUAUCUUCCAUCUUGGACUUUUUAAGAUCUUUAAUAUAUUUUAUUUUAUUAAUAAUGUAUUUUUUUGAUAGCUCAACUUGUAGAUCAAGAAAGUAAUUGAGCUCUUUUAUCAUAUACUCAUUUCAAAUUCAUUUUGUAUACACUUAUAGAAUCCUUGACGAAGAGAGAUGUUAGAAGCACUAAAUAUUAUGUUAUUAACAUGAAUUUGAACUAUGAGCAAAUCAUUACCUUUGGUGCUGAUAAAAAAUUUAAUGUUUAUUUUGCCCAUUUUAAAACUAUUAUCAAGUAGAAAUUUGUCCUAUAUUUUAUACCAUGCCUUAAAUUUAUAAACAUGUCUAUUUCAAAAAUAAAAAUAAAAAACUUAAAUACAUUAUCCAUACUUUCAUAUUAAACUUUUUUUAAAAAAUAAAAAUAAAUUACCUAAAUAAGUUCAAGAGAAUUCACCUUCUUAAAAAUAUGUUAAAAAAACAAAAAAAAAACAAAACUUAAAUAUAGAGGAAUAAUAGAUGGGAAAUUAUGACAUAUAAUUCUCAUUGAUGAUGAUGGAUAUUUAUAUACAAAUACAGUUGAGUUAUAUUAUAAUUGAAACUUUAUCUUCUAUUAUAAUUCAAACUAAUGGUAAACUUCUACUCUAAUUCAAAUUGUAUAUUCUACUCUAAUUCAAACUAAUAUAUAAUAAAUAGAUAAAUACUAAUAUUUAAAUUACAAAUAACAUUAACUUUCUUUGAUAUGCCCUUGCAAGAUGUAGCAUUGAUUGGAGAUUCAAAUCUUGGUCUUGAGAGAAAUAAAUAAAUAAAUAGACUGCGAUGUAUUCAAAUUUUUUUGGGGAGGGUGGUUUCCCCGAGUCUAGGCGAUGAGUGGAUUCAACUUCGUGGCUAAAAGAUUAGGCAAAAGUAGUGGGAUCUUCCUAAGUCGAAUUUCUAAAAUCUUUGAGGAACUUAUAGAAAAAAAAAAUGUUUGUUAAAGGAAGAGUAGGAUUAAGAGCUUUAUUUGGCAUUAAACUAGAUAAUGUUUUAGAAGUUAAUGCAAUAAAUGACAUAGGAGUUAAAAGGGAAGGAAUAGUAUAAGGCAAAUCUCAAGUAGAGGUAGAGGAACAUGACCAUGUUUGUUUUUCGAAGACAUGCUAGAAAACAAUCAAAUAUUUGAGGAAGCUUUUAGAGAAAGAGAGAGAGGCAAAGUUGAAGAUAAUAAAUAAGUAUAUGUUUAAUUAAGGGAACCAAUAUUGGUAGGAAGCAAAGAAGAAGAAAAUUGUGGAAGGUUUGAAACAAGAAAAUUUGAAGCUCUUGAUGUCAAGAGGUAUUGAAAUCAAGAUACUGCAUUAGAGAUUGUAGGGAAAGAGACAUUGAAACCAAGAUAUUACAUAGGAGUCUAUAAGGAAUGAGGCAUUGACAAUAAAUAGACAUAGUAAGGUCUCUAACAUUUGUGGUAGGGGUUGAGGAAGGUGAUGUAGGGCCUAAGCCUACACCCUAAAUUUACUCCAAGUUGAGACUAGGGUUUAGGAUUCAAAGGCUUUGAUACCAUAUAGAGGAAUAUUUUUAUAGAAAUACAUUUGAGUUCUACUAUAAUUCAAACUAAUAGUAGACUUCUCAUCUAAUUCAAAUUCUAUAUUCUACUCUAAUUCAAACUAAUAUAUAAUAAAUAGAUAAAUACUAAUAUUUAAAUUAAGAAUAACAUUAACUUUCUUUUAUAUUAAAUACAUUAUCCAUGUAACUCAAAAAGAAAAAAGAAAAAGAAAUCUUAAAUGCAUUAUCCAUGCUUUCAUAUUAAUUUUUUUUAAUGAAAUUAACAAAAUAAUUUCAAUAGUAUUUGCCUUCUAAGGAACCAAAAAAUAAAAAAUUUGUUCAUGCUUUUAGAUUUAUAUAGCGGAAAAUACUCUUAUCAAUAUAUUGACUUGCAAGAUUCUUUUGAUUCAACUUGAAGAAUAAGGUAGCCUUACUGCAAAGCUAACCUAUGAAUUAUAUUUUGACCCACAAUUUUAUAGCCCCUUCUAUAUCUUUUUCUCAAAUUUCAACAAACCAAAAAAUUGUUUCAUUGAAAGAGCAAUGUCUGUUUUUUUUUUAAUAUGGUUAAUUUGAAUGUAUAGAAAAUAAAAAUUUUUAAACUAAAUUCUUUAUAUAACCACAUAUAAAUAAUUUUCAAUUAUUUCAUCAAAUUUAAUCAAUUUGCAUGUUAUAUACAUAAAAAUAAUCAUGAUAUUCCUAUCAAUAAAUUUUUUAAAUCUCUUUCAUGUAGUAAUUGAGUUCAAGUUAAGUAUAACAUGAAAACAAAAGUACAAAAUUUUUGAAAAUGUAUUAAAAAAACAUAAAAAUGAUAGCCAUAGAAUAGUAUUUAUAUAUUAAAUAUAUUUUAAUGUGUUUUCAUGUAUUGGAAUUCAAUGAAAUACAAAUUUUAUUUCCACAUUAAUAUUUAUUAUUAAUUUUUGAAGUCUUGUUUGUUAUUGAUAGACAUUUUAUUUUGAACUAAUGACACACAAUUUACUAUAGAUAUAUUAUUUUUGUAAAAAAAUAAUUUAAUAUGUGCAUUAUUAAUUGUUUUAUUAUUUUCAUAAUUUCAUUUAAAGUUUAUAUUGUCAAAUUUCAAGAUUUUUUAAUCAAAGUUUUCAUUGUUAUUAAUAUUUUCAUUGAUGUAAACUACCAACAUUUUCAUGGAUAUUAAUUUUUUUUAUUAUGUAGGUUGUAUCAUAUGGUGUAUCACUCAUUUAUGUCUUAAAUAUAAUUUUCAAAAUUUAUUCAUUUAUCCUAAUUUGAAACUUUAUUAUUAUUAUUGUUGUUAUUAUUAUUCUAAUAAUAUUUUGCUUUUAUUUAUCCAUAACAAAAUAAAAAAUAAUUUAAUACAAAUUUGAUUUUUUUUUUCAAAUUUUUCUCACAUUCUUUUAUAAAAAAUUAAGAAGAAAAUCUUUAACCACUUUUUUUUUCUUUUUUUAAAAUUUUUUAUUUAUCAAGAACUAUCUUUCUUCAUAAGUAUUUUUUUUUUCCUUUUUCUUAAUAAUUUCCAAAAGUUUUUUGAGCCAUUAAGACUAUGUUUGAUUCCUAAAAUAUUUGAGGGAAAAUGCAAGAGAGCUAAAAAAAAAAAAAGUGGAAAAGUAGAAGGAAAUAAAAAAUGAAGAAAAAUAAAAAAUAGAUUUGAAGUUAAUAAAUUGUUUUUAUAUACAACUUCAAACUCAUUUUAUUGAUUUUAACUCUUUCAUAUGAAGAUUAAAUAAUUUGAAAUUGUAUCAUUUUCUAACUAGUUUUAAUAUAUAUUUGAUUUUCUUUAGUAUUUUUCACAUGACAAUCAAAUAUGAUAAAAUCAAUUUUUUUUAAUAUUUUUUUCUUUCAUUAUUGCUUUCCGGGAAUCAAACAUAAUCUAAAUUUCUUGUUCUUUUUUCCACAAUAGAUCAACCAAGAGAAUAGAUAAGGGUCGUUGAACUUGACUUGAUGUAGAGAACCUUGAAUUUCUCUCUUUUCUUCCUCCAAUUACCUUGCCAAUUCAAAACGCCUUUAGUAGCAAGACUUUGAGGUCUACAACUAUGUACAAGUCAUGCACUCAAUUAUGCCAAAAACAUCACAUUCACAAGUCUUUUUCUUUCACUCUCCCAACUAACUUAAAUACUUCCUAUUAGAGAAACUACUAUAUAAAUAGUUAUAAAAUGUAUACUUAUUUAUAUUUAUUCAUGAUAAUAGGUAACAAUUAUAAUUAAAACAUGGAUUUUUGAGAUGAUAGCUACAAUAAAUUGAAACCUCAUCCAAUUAUUUUAGGAGAGGCAAAAUAAUGUUUGAUUGACAUAUAAACUAAACUGAGUAAAUUACAAGAAAAAUGUUAUGCUUGUUAAAGAAUUUGAGCAUUGACUAGUGUGUUGUUUGUGAUUCGUCCCUAGCAGCGGCAGUGGCAAUGGCACCAUUUGAUUCGAGGUUCAAUCCCCGGCAACGGCACCAUUUGGUUCGUGCCCAAUUGGUGUCUCAACUGAUUCGUGUCCAGCUGGUGCUCCUUGAUUGAGGGAGUAAUCAACAAAAUUUAUAACCUAUUAUACCAUGAACUAGGGUAGCAAAGACAAAGCUACUAUAGCAUAGUGGCUCUAGGAUCGUUCACUGGGAUGGGUUUUCACUUUGUAAAUGAUAUUAAUUCAAAGCUGAAUUGGUGCCUUUUCAUUUCAAGGUUAGCUUUAAAAGAAAACAUAAAGAUGUUUAAAUGAAAAAGGUUUGAUUUUAAACUAACAAAGAAUAGUAACUGAUUUUACUUACAAAGAAAAGUGUUUCUUGGAGUUCGGAUCACUAGGCUCAGAUUCCUCAUACAAAAAGGGAGUUCCGGUCACUUGUUUCUUUCCCUCGCAUUAGAGAAUUAACAUAUAGUUCCUUCUCCAACCGGUGUUGUACAGAUGCUUCCCAUUAAUGGGUUCAAACACUAAAUCCCUCUCACUGAUGCACCUUGCAAUGACUCAUACCUCUCACCUAGCACUUGCCAUUCAAGAUGAUCUUUAAUCUUGGACUUCCCUUCAAAAGCUCGCAAGAGAUAACUAAUGGAUGUCUCCUUGGAGUCCAAAAGCUUACCAAGUGUUGGCUAUUCUAGAAAAUCCUACCUUCAAGUCACCUCCCAAAGGCUCGCAAGGGGUAAACUAGUGCAUCUCCAUGGACGGAGAUCACUUGCCUUACCAAGUGUUGGCCCAAGUGAUUUAAAGGCGUUUUAAGUUAACUAAAAAGAUAAAAACCAUUAACGGGUCACACUUUCUCUUCAUUAAAAACUAAAACAACAAAACUUCCAAUUUAUGCAUGUGGAAACUUACCCGACUUUCCUUACUCCAAGAGACAAAGAGCCUAGCCUCUCAUCUUCUGAGGAAAAAUCCUCAGAGUUUGAUUAGCUAGAAAGAAAACUAAAGAGAAAACAAGAAUAUAUAAGAAAAACAGAGCAAGUGCUUUGUUCGUUGAUUCUAUAUAUGAUAUAUCUAUAUAUUGAUCGAUUACAUCCUUUUUCUUACAGUGGAUGCAAGGGAAUAUAUAUAGAGACGUUUUUCCAACCUUCCUAACUAAGAAAUCUUAUGGUUGGUGGAUUACAAGGAGAAGAAUGGAAAUUCAUACAAAAAUAUCUGAAGAAAAAUAUCCCAAAGUGUCGGUCGCAAAUAUCGGGAAGCACUAAGGACCAUUUCGCAAGUGAAAACGAGGUCUGCGAGAUUUCGCAGACAUCCAAAAAGGGCUGCGAAAUCACUUCGCAGCAAAAGGUUAUUCUCGUAGGGCUGCGAAGUUGGCUUUCAUCUUGAGGUGCUCAGCUUCCAACUUGCGGCUUAUAUCGGGCAACUUCAGGAGGAAUUUCACAGCACUGUACAAAAAGGCUGCGAAAUCAUUUCGCAAGAAAAGGGUGAUUCCGCAACACUUUGCAAAAUGCUUUCUUCAGCUUAGAGUGAUUGACUUGCAGUGGCUGUAACUUCUUCGUUUCAAAUCCAAAUUGAACCCGUUUGAAGCAUUGGAUUCUUGACUUCCUGAGCUUUGAAAUGGUAUAUAGUAUGUAGAAAAUGGACUUCGGGAAGUGCUCCAAAAGUGGCUGACAUGACUGUCAUCAAGAAUGCUUCAUGGCAGAUUUCUCUUUACUUUCCCUCCUUGCAUUCCGGAUUUGCUUAUGGCAAAGGACUUCAAAGCUUUGGUUCUUCAUGAAUUUGAGCUUCUAAAAGCUUUGCCAUAACUUGUUCAAGUAGCUCCUCCAUCAUUUGGCAUGCUUGAAUUGAUUCAUAAGCUGAUAAAAACAUGUAAACUUGCCACAAAAUGGUUAAAACCAAUUACUAAGGACCUUAAUGAAUUAAUUGGGUUAAAUGAAUAUGAUUACUACUCAAAUUAAGGUGCUUAAAACCAUUAUAAUUAGGUCUACAAAAUAGCACUUUUUGGUAGUAAUCAGUUUGGGCUAGAGAAAAGGUGGCAAAGAAAAAAAAAUAUGGAAGGGAGACUUCCAUUUUCACAUUGGUGGGAAUAUUGAGUUGAAUCUAAUUUCUCAAGUGACAAUGAUUUAUCCCAUUGAAUUCAAAUUAAUAAAUUUUAUCAUUAUAGAUAUUUUGAUAUUUUUAGUAAUGGAAUGAAAUAAUGUGGAUAUUGGAUUCAUUUAGUAUCACUUUCUAAAGUUAAUUCAAUAUGUAUGCGUGCAAAACUCUAUAAAAUUGAAUUUAUUAUUUAUGUUGUAUGCCACAAAAUUUGUAUAGACUCCAUUUUUUAUUUAUUAAAAUGAUAUAAAAGUUAUAGUAAACAUGUUUUUUUUUAUAAAAAAAAAAAGAAGAAGAAAAGUACGUACAAAAAAAAUUCUCAUAAAAUCUUGAAAAACUAAUAAAUUGUUAUGUGACUUGAAAUGACAUGAAUAGGGGUUUGAGUUUAUGUCUUGAUAUAUGAAACUAUCUUAAAAGGGGCAAAUAGGUAAUCUAAGCUUGUAGUUCCUAAUUUUAAAAUUAAUUUAAUUUGUGGAAAUCAAUAGCAUUCAAUCACAAGACAAUUACAAGUGUAGCAAUUCUAAAGUUAUAUUCCAAAAUCAAAGAUAUUACCUCAUACUUGAAAUCUUCAAUUUAUCAACCUUCAUUACUUCAAUAAGUUAAUCCAAGUUCACUCAAACUAAAUAUUUAUAAUUAAUGUAUUAAAGCCUAAAUACAUGGUAACCCAUAUGAAGAAAAACUAAAGAUGAGAUCACCAUGACUUGUAGUAUCUGGGUUGUCAUCCCUAGGAUCCAUNNNNNNNNNNNNNNNNNNNNNNNNNNNNNNNNNNNNNNNNNNNNNNNNNNNNNNNNNNNNNNNNNNNNNNNNNNNNNNNNNNNNNNNNNNNNNNNNNNNNUCAUCCCUAGGAUCCAUAUGCUAGACUNUCAACAAAAAGCAAAUCGUCUAUCUACAUUGAAAAGGUCUAAAAGCAAAGUUUUUUUUAUGAAACUAAUUUUUUAUCACAUUGCUAUGGUGAAAAUAAUAAAAUCUAUAGUAAAAACUUUUGAAGAGUUCAAAAAUCUAAUUUUAGAUUCAUAGAUAGAGAUAGUAACUUUUAACCCUAAGACAAAGAUCAAAGUUCACCAGGAUUGAAUUAGAUCUUAAGAUCAAUCUACAUCUAGCAUUGAUAUUUAAAUUUAAGGCACUAUUCUCUUAAACAAAUUUAACAUGUCAUUAUUUCAAUUUUGAGUUUAUAUGCUUUCAUUACUGACAUCCAUCAUGUAUGUUUGAUUGCUAGAGUUUCUCUCAGUGGAUCAAAUCAAGUUGAGUAGUGAUCAAUGUAUCCCUAAACAUCACUAGCAUCAUAGUAAGAAUCCCUUAUACUUAACCUAUGCCAAAGCACGUAGAGGAUUAUUCUAAUUAAUUUAAACACAAAAUAUUUAUAAACAAACCAAAUGAAAUUUAACGUUCUAUUGCACAUCAUUCCUAUGAAUCAUCUAUCUUUAUGUUACUAUUAGAAAAACAACCCCUAGAUCUAGAUUAAAGAGUGCAUGCAACUAAAAUCCCAAGUGUAGUGGAAGAUGCCUAAUUUUUCAAAAACUUAUUUUAAGGUGUUCUUAAUAAACAUACUGUAGACCCUCCAUUUUGUCAUCAUAGCACAUAUCCUAUUACGUGUUCGUUUGGUACUUUACAAUAAUUCCUUGGUGGCCCAUUAGACACCACUUUGAAGACUUUGGUUGAGGGACUCAUCUGACCCCAUUGUGAUUCUAGGCCACCUUAGGCCCACUUAACCACUUUAGGCCCACUUAGACACCCUAGGCUCAUUUAGAUGCAUUCAGCCCAUUAGGAACAGCCUUAGGCCCACUUAGGCACCCUAGGCCCAUUUACUAUACUUGGCCCAUUAGGCACCACCUUAGGCCCACUUAGGCAUCCUAGGCCCAUUUAGAUACACUUGCCCCAUUAGGCACCGCCUUAGAUCCACUUAAGCACCCUAGGCCCAUUUAGACGCACUUGGCCCAUUAGGCACCCCUUUAGGCCCACUUAGGCACCCUAGGCCCAUUUAGACGCAUUUGGCCCAUUAGGCACCGCAUUAGUCCCACUUAGGCAUCCUAGGCCCAUUUAGAUACACUUGCCCCAUUAGGCACCGUCUUAGGCCCACUUAAGCACCCUAGGCCCAUUUAGAUGCACUUGGCCCAUUAGGCACCCCUUUAGGCCCACUUAGGCACCCUAGGCCCAUUAAGGCACCGCAUUAGUCCCACUUAGGCCCACUUAGGCAUCCUAGGCCCAUUUAGAUACACUUGCCCCAUUAGGCACUGCCUUAAGCCCACUUAGGCACCCUAGGCCCAUUUAGAUGCACUUGACCCAUUAGGCACCACUUUAGGCCCACUUAGGCACCCUAGGCCCAUUUAGAUGCACUCGGCCCAUUAAGCACCACCUUAGGCCCACUUAGGCACCCUAGGCCCAUUUAGAUACACUUGACCCAUUAGGCACCGCCUUAGGCCCACUUAGGUCACCUUUCAGGGAAUUUUUGCAUGUUUGCAUGGCUAGUAUGGAUUGCAUUUUUUGUAUGGCUUGCAUGACUUGCAUGACUCGUUUAUUAUAAAGUUGCAUGACUUGACUUUUUGUUAUUUUAUUUUUAUUUAUUUUAUUUACCGUCUUGUUUAUUUCUUCUUUUAUUUUAUUUUCCUAUUAUUUUGUCACUUUUUCGUAAUAUUUGUCCUUAUAUAUUUUAAUUUAAUAAGUUUGUUUAAAUGUUUUAUUAUUAUUAUUAUUGUUAUUAUUAUCAUUAUCAUUAUUAUUAUUAUUAUUAUUGUUCUUACUAUUAUUAUUACUUUUACUCAUUUUUUUUAUCAUGAUUAUUAUUAUUACUUUAUUUUAUCUAUUGCCUUUAAAAUUUUCCAAGGAAGUACACCAAUGGAAAGAUUUAAGAGAGUAGCAGUUGUUGGAAUUUUUAUGUGUGGGCUUAUAUAAUCAAUUUGAUAAUGUCAUAAAUUAGUGUUAAUUUAAUUUUUGCAUUGUGGUCCAUAAUAAGGCUGGAUACAUUGUUGUUUGAUUUUUUAUGGGCUCACCCUAAUUCACUUGACUGGCCCAUUAAGUCAAGUAGUCCAAAUAAUGUGUAAUAUAUAUAUAUAUAUAUAUAUAUAUAUAUAUAUGUGCAUUUGGAAGGGGUCUCAUUUCUUCUUCUUGGAGAGCACGCACUGCACGCACACACACACUUGGACUGAAUUUUAGGAGAAAAGGGAAAAGCUCAUUGAACCCUAAUUCUCGUACCAUCACGCACCUGGAGCAACUUCUUGGAUACCAGUGGAGGAAGAAAUGGCUUUUCAUGGCAUAAACCAAGGUAACCAGCUCAUUUUUUGUCGUUCAAUGCAUGCUUAAAUGUUAACAUGUGAUCCUAUGCUAUUUCAAUUCUCUUCAAUUGGUAUCAGAGCUAGCAUGGAUGACAUUUGAGCUACAAUUUUGGGUUUUUUUUUUUUUUUUUUGGUUUCUCGUUUUCUGGUUAUGGAAGCCAUUUUUUUUUGGGCUUCUUUUCGUUUGGUGUUUAUUCUUGGUUUUCAAGCCCGAUUAAGGUUGGAGACUUGUAUAGAAUAUUGUUUGGAUCAAAACCCAUCAUUUUUGUGGUUUUUGGAGCUCAUUUGAUGAGAUUUCGAAAAUCAGGGCUUAUUUUGGUUCUUCCUAUUAUGCGUUUUUUUGUGCAUUUUUGGGUUUAGAUUGAAGGAUUGAUAUUUGAGGAUGGAAAUCUAUGUGUUUUUGUCAAAAAAAAAUGCGCAAAAUUUUGGGCAAUUUUUUUUUUCUUUCUUCUCCAAAACUAGGGCAUGUUCAGUUGGAGAAAAAAAUGAACAGGCCCCUACUGAUGUCAUGAUGACGUCAUUAAAAAAAAAACAAAAUCUUUUUUGGUUGCCUUGGUAUUCUUGGAUUGAUUAUGCAUAUGUUAGAAUUAUUAUGCAUUUGUUAAAUUUGACUUUAUUGGAACAAUUAUUGUUAUUAUUGUUUUUUUUGGUAUAAUUUUUAUCUUUAUAUCUUAUACCAAUAAUGUUGUCCAAGGUCAUUUUUGCUAAAUAUUUAAAUUUAUUAUGGCAAUAAAUAACACUUGUGUGAUUGCCUAUCACAAUUCCAAGUGUGUCAAGUUGCGCAAAUCAAAUAUUUGAGUUUAUAAUGACAAUAGUGAACAUAUAUGUGGUUGCCUAUCGUGAUCCUAUAUGUGUCAAAUUGUCUUUGUUGAGAUAUUUUAACUCCCACUUUUAGUUUCUUUAUUAUUGUGAUUACUAAGAUCCAUAUGGGUAUUGUAAUUGUCCUAUCGAUGAUAAUAAUACUUAGUAGGAUGCUUAGAUUGGUGAAGGAAAUUAAUUGUAUAUUAUGAACCGUACUAAUUUUAUUUGCCCUUUCGGUAAUAAAAUUAGUACAUCUUGGUUGUGAUAUUUAAUUAAUUAUUCUUACUGCCGUGGAAUUUUAAAAAUUCCAAGCUAUUGCUAAAUUAAGAAAUUCUGGAAACUAGCAAAUGCAUGAUAUUGUAAUAACAUGCAUAUUGCUGAAUUUUGCUACUUUCUAGCUACUAGCAAUCCUGGUAUUACUCUUUAAUUGUCUGCCAUCAAACUUCUUACUGGAAAUAAUUUUGAAGAACGCUUUGAGUCUUUCAAUGUGCAUAUGACUCUACAUAAUCUUGACUUGACUUUGAGGGUUGAUGAGCCAAGUAGGCCCACUGAUGUGAGCUCUGUAGAUGAAAGAUCAUUUUAUGAAAGAUGGGAGCACUCCAAUAGGAGUUGUUUGAUGGUGAUGAAAUACACUAUGGAUAAAUCUAUCAAAGAAUGCGUGCUAAAGACGAAAAGGGCCAAAGACUUCUUGGAAUAUGUGAAGGCCAAUUAUACGAAAAUUGAUAAGGCAUAAAUGACAACUUAUUUGAAGCUUCUCACAACCACUGUGUAUGAUGGAGUAGGUGGGGUUAGAGAUCACAUCAUCAAGUUAAAGCACUACUUCAACAAGGCAAAUGAUAUGAAAGUGGAGUUGGGUGAAAAAUUCUUGAAAUGGUUGAUACUUGAGUCUUUUCCUGUUUCCUUUGAUGCAGUGAAGUUGACUUACAAUGCCUUGAAGGAAGAAUGGACUCUAGAGGAGUUGAUGUCCCAUUGUGGUGCAACAUGAAGUAUCACUGAAGAAAAAUGAGACUCACUCCCUUGCUCCUGUUAUUGAGCAAGUCAGUAAUAUGAAGAAAAAACCUUCACACAAGAAUUUUGGAGGCUUUAAGCAGUUCAAGAGGGAAGGGAAUUCAAAUCAAGGAACCUCUAAUGCAUCUGUUUCUUCUAAUACUGCAAAGAGUGAUUAAUUCAAGGGGAAGUGCAACUUUUGCCACAAGAUUGGCCACAAGCAGGCUGAUUGCUUCAAGUUUAAAAAUUGGCUAGAGAAGAAAAAGAAAUAUGAAAUUUCAGUUAUGGUUAAUUUGAAUGCAAACAUGAUUGAGACUGAUAUUGUUGAUGUUCAUACCAAUUCUUGGUGGUUAGAUACCGGUGCCACUAUUCAUGUCACUAAUUCUUUGCAGGAGAUGACAAACAAAAGGAGGUCAUCAAAGCAUGAAGAAAGUGUGUAUAUGGGUGAUGGAAGCAAAGUGAAAGUGGAAUUUUUUGACAUGAUAAAGCUAAGGUUGAUCACAUAAAGUUUUUUGUUGUUACACAAUGUGACUUUCAUACCCUCACUUCGAAGGAAUCUGAUUUCUUUAUCUAUUUUGGAUAGACAUGGUUAUUUUUUUCACUUUGGAGGUGGAAAAGUGGAUAUUUUUAGCAACUCAGUCUUAAUUGACAAUGAUGUUUUGUUUGGAAAUCUUUAUAGUCUCAGUUUUCAUCAUGGUUCUUUAUGUGAUUCAUCUUCUGUUAAUUAUGAUGUUGGCUGCAAGCAUGCUAUAAUGAAUUUGAGUUCUUCCAUGUUGUGGCACAAACGCCUGGGUCAUAUUUCUAGGCAAAGAUUAGAGAGAUUGGUUAAAGAUGGUGUGCUUUCUAAUCUUGAUUUCUCAGACUUCGAGACUUGUGUUGUUUGCUUAAAAGGGAAGAUGACAACAAAGACUAGAAAUGAGAAGAUUGAUAGGUGUGGAGGCACUUUAGAUUUGAUCCACACAGAUAUAUGUGGUCCUUUGACACCAAUUGCUUUAGGGGGUUAUAAAUAUUUCAUCACUUUUAUUGAUGAUUUCUCUAGAUAUGGUUAUGUUGAACUAAUCCAUGAGAAAUCUGACUCCCUAAAUGUGUUUAAAGCCUUUAAGUCUAAGGUGGAGUUGCAGUUGGGAAAGCCCAUUAAAGCUGUGAAGUUUGAUAGAAGUGGUGAGUAUUAUGGGAGAUAUGAUGAGACUGGACGGAAUCAUGAACCAUUCGCUAAGUUUUUGUUGGAAUGCGACAUUGAUGCUAGAUAUACAAUGCCAGGCACUCCUCAACAAAAUGGAGUUGCAGAAAGGAGGAAUCACACAUUAUUAGAUAUGGUGAGGUGCAUGUUGUCUAAUUCCUCAUUGCCAUAAUUUUUGUGGGGUGAAGCCUUAAAUAUUGCGGCAUAUAUUUUGAAUCAAGUGCCCAGUAAGUCUGUGCCUAAGACACCUUAUGAGCUAUGGUCAGGGAAGAACCCAAGUCUUCAUUAUUUCCAUGUUUGGGGAUGUAAGGCUGAGGUUAGGCCCUAUAACCCACAAUCAAAGAAACUUGAUCUAAAACCAUUAGUGGUUUCUUUGUUGGCUAUUACAUUGGAUCAAGGGGUUUCAGAUUUUAUUGUCCAUCUCAUACCACCAGGAUCAUUAAGUCAGAUAGGGUUGUAUACUUUGAGGAUGAAGUUAAUGCUGAUCCAAAUUUUAUGCCUCGUGAGAUACCUUUUGGAGAAGAGCAUGUUGUGAUUCCUUUUCCUACGUCUCAUGUUCCAAAUGUGGAUGUUCCUAUUGUCCAAUAGCCAGCCACUAAUCAAGGAGAGCAUGGUGAUCAAGUGGAACCUGACAUUCCUGUUGAUGAUAAUGUUGUUGAUGGGGUUCCUUUGAGAAGAUCAUAAAGGGUUCGUAGGCUGGCUAUUUCAAAUGAUUACAUGAUUUAUUUGCAGGAGCAUGAGUAUGAUGGUUAUGAUGCUUCUGAUCCAGUCACUUAUCAAGAAACAAUUCAUUGUCCUCAAUUCACUUCUUGGAAAAAAGUCAUGGAUGAUGAAAUGAACUCUAUGUAUAUGAAUGGUGUUUGGGAUUUGGUGGAAUUGCCACAUGGUUGUAAACUAGUUGGAUGCAGUGGGUAUUUAAGACCAAACGUGAUUCUAGCAGGCAAAUAGAGAGAUAUAAAGCUAGACUUAUGGUUAAAGGUUAUAGUCAAAGAGAAAGAAUUGAUUUCAAAGAAACCUUCUCACCUGUGUCGACCAAGGACUCUUUUAGAGUGAUUAUGGCCAUAGUACCUCAUUUUGAUUUGGAGGUACAUCAGAUGGAUGUCAAGACACCUUUCUUGAAUGGUGAUUUGGAUGAGGACGUGUAUAUGGAGCAACCUACUGGUUUUGCAGAAGUUGGAAAGAAAGAUUUAGUUUGCAAGCUUAAUAAGUCCAUUUAUGGUCUUAAACAGGCUUCGAGGCAGUGGUAUCUGAAGUUUGAUAGGAUUAUCACCCAAAAUAGUUUUAAAGAGAAUACUAUUGAUAGAUGCAUAUGUUUGAGGGUCAGUGGGAGUAGUUGCAUAUUUCUUGUUUUAUAUGUUGAUGAUAUACUACUCGCAUCAAAUGAUUCUGACUUGUUGAUUGAGACAAAGCACAUGUUGUCAACCCAUUUUGACAUGAAGGAUCUUGGUGAGGCUUCUUAUGUUUUGGGCAUAAAGAUUCUUUGUGAUAGGGCUAAUGGAGUGCUUAAAUUGUCUCAAAGAACCUAUAUUGAGAAGAUAUUGAAGAGGUUCAAUAUGCACAACUGUAGAUCUUCUAAAGUGCCAAUUGUGAAGGGUGAUAAGUUUUCAAAGGCUCAGUGUCCUCAAAAUGAUGAUGAGCGAGAGGAAAUGAGAACCAUUCCUUAUUCAUCUAUGGUUGGUAGCCUUAUGUAUGAUCAAGUAUGUACACGCCCUGAUAUUGCUUUUGUUAUGGGCAUGUUGGGAAGGUACUUGAGCAAUCCUGGGUGUCAACAUUGGAAAGCCGCUAAGAAGGUCCUUAGGUAUUUGCAAGGAACUAAGGACUUAAUGUUGACAUAUCGGCACACCAGUUUACUUGAUGUAGUUGGGUUUUGUGAUGCUGGUUUUGCUGGCUGCAUAGAUGAUAAGAAAUCCACUAUGAGCUAUAUUUUUAUGAUGGCAGGAGGAGAUGUAUCUUGGAAAAGUGUCAAGAAAACACUUACAACAUCCUCAACUAUGGAGGCGGAGUGUGUGGCAUGUUAUGAGGCUUGUUGUCAUGUUAUAUGGAUGCGGAAUUUUAUUUCAACUUUGGGAGUUGUUGACUCCAUUUCUAAACCGUUGAAAUUAUUUGUGAUAAUUUCACAGAUGUUGCUUUCUCUAAGAACACUCUAAGUAUUUCUUGUUCCAAACAAAUUGAUGUAAAGUUAUAUUUUGUUAAGGAGAAAGUGCCAAAGUUUCUUAUUGAUAUUGAACACAUGUUCAUAAAAAGUAUAUUGGCGGAUCCAUUAACAAAACGCUUACCCAUAAUUGUGUUUCAGGAACAUGUAUCUCAAAUGGGGUUGUUGGAAGCCUAGGUUGUAUUAAGUUAGUGGGAGCCACUUUUGGUAUUGUAAUAUUAUGCUAUUGUUGGAAGGAUUGCUAUUAUUGUAUAUUUCCCUAUGAAUCAAGUAAUGAAGCAUAUAUGAUUGCUUUUGAUUAUUUGUUUUUGAUGAGAUUCUAUGGGACAUUGAUUUAUGAUUAUGUAUAUGUUGUGAUGUUUGAUUAUGUAGUCCAAGUGGGAGAAUUGUUGGAAUUUUUAUGUGUGGACUUACAUAAUCAAUUUGAUAAUAUCAUAAAUCAAUGUUAAUUUAAUUUUUGCAUUGUGGUCCAUAAUGGGAUUUGACACAUUAUUGCUUGAUUUUUUAUGGGCUCACCCUAAUUCACUUUACUAGCCAUUAAGUCAAGUAGUCCAAAUAAUGUGUGUAAUGUGUAAUAUAUAUAUGAAUUUAUUUACAUAUAUAUAUAUAUAUAUAUAUAUAUAUAUAUAUAUAUAGAUAUAUGUGCAUUUGGAAGGGGUCUCCUUUCUUCUUCUUGGAGAGCACACACUGCACGCACACACACACUUGGACUAAAUUUUGGGAGAAAAAGGAAGAGCUCAUUGAACCCUAAUUCUCGUAUCAUCACGCACCUAGAGCAGCUUCUUGGAUACCAGUGGAGGAAGAAAUGGCUUUUCAUGGCAUAAACCAAGGUAACCAGCUCAUUUUUUGCCGUUCAAUGCAUACUUAAAUGUUAACAUGUGAUCCUAUGCUAUUUCAAUUCUCUUCGGCAGCUGCACCACCAUAGAGGAAUUUUAGAGAGGUUUUUUAUAAUUAUGAUUUUCGGUGGAGAAUAUGCAUGUGAAGACUUUUUCACAUGAUGGAUGCAUAGAUGGACUUUGCCAGUGGGGCUUCAUGAUAUAUGGAAAUUCUGGCACACCACGACUGCAUAUGGAAAUUAAAAAAAAAAAAAAAAAACACUACUGCAAAUGAGAAAAGGCAUUACGCAUCUUGAGAAGAGGUUUAGAUUCAUCCAUGGUGAGGUGUCAUUUCCAAGCUGGUGGAGUCAAUAGAACGUUUAUGGGAAGUAAGGUUGUGAUUUUUUAGAAAAUGGAGAAUCAGUCCGGUGAGCAUAGCGAGAUUCCCUUCUGAAAGAAAAAUUUCCAUAGUUGGUUUUGGCAAGUGAAAAGAGCAGGAUGCAGCGUGUAUGUAGACAGAGAGUGAGGUCGUGUUCAAGGAAAAGAGGGAGAUGCAGCCGCAUGAUUGAGAGGAAAGAAAAAUGAUUUUCGGCACGUGGAGGAGAAGAAUAACAGGCUGGUGGAGGAAUUAAUAUGACUUUUGGGGAAGAUACAGAGAACGUUUUGAAAGACAUGACACUAAUUUUGGGUGAGAUAUUCAUCGCUCUAUUCAAAAAGGAAGAGAGAAAGGUGCAGCCGCAGGAUUAAGGGGAAAAAAGAGAUCAGUCGAGCACCAUUCUGGAGGGUGAAAAGGUACAGUUGCACCAUUGGAAGGGAGAAAGAAACGACCGCACCAAAGAAAGAAGAGAAGGACACACUUUGAAAGAUUUGUGAAAGAAGAUAUUGAGAGAUGUUCUAGGGAGGACAAAGGCUGGUCUUGAGAGAUAUUUUGGCCCCAAGUUUGAUGAUAUUGAGAUCGUGAGAUUAUGAGGAAUUCAAGCCAUGUUUGGAACCUUGUUUUGGAAGAGACUCAGGUAGUUUUUAGAAGGGUUUUACUGUUUUAGGCUACAAUCUGGAAAGUUUUUGGCCAUAAUCUGGAGGUGCACUCCAGGUCGUGUUUGGGAGAGUAUUCAGGCCACUUUCUAAGGCAGUUCAAGACGCAUUUUAGGAAAGGAUAUCGUUGAAAGAUGAUGGAGAGGGGAGCAUGACGAUUAGGAGCGUGAGUGAGAUCGAUUGGGAGAGAAGAGAGAGUUGGGUCAUACCAUAAAAGGCUUCGAGAAGCACUACUGCAUCAGGGAGCCACACCAUCAAAGGGGAUAGAAAAGGAGAACCAACUUCACUACUCAAGGGUUGGCUUGGCUCGAUCAUUCACCGAUCACCAUAACAAGAAAACACCAGUAAGGCCGUAUUGAUCAUCAUCAAAUCGAAAAUUCCAGAUUUAUGUCCAUACUUUCAACAUCAAUUCCUUGCUGCAACCUACAGCUACAUGACCUCCACAGACUGCACCCACCGCCAGUCCAUUCACAAAGCAUAAACCCAUCGAUUCCGACAAGUAGAGAGGUGCAGUCACACCGUUGAGAUAAGGAAAGAGUGCAGUCGCACCAUUGAACUUCCGCGGGAGGCACGACUGUCCGAAGAGCAAGCACCAGUCAACAAGAAAUGAAGUAGCCGCACCAUUACAUGUGAGAGACGUAGCCGGCUAGGGUGAGCAAGGAACAGACGGUGGGUUGCAUAUUGGAUUCCAAAAGAAGUGUAGCUGCACCAUUGUGAGAGAGGAGUGUUUUUUGAUGAACUAAAGUUGGAUGAUGCAAGCCUCGGGAAUGAACUUUGUGAAGUAGAUGGAUGGCAGCUUUUCUGUUAAUGGGGAUGCAUCUGGGUUUUGUUAAUGGAGUGGGGAACACACGUGCUAGAUUAUUGAGAGGGUGGUCUUUGAAUAUAACAAGAGAAUACACGCUGUCAAGGGGAAUUUCUCUCCAUUAACGUGCAGUGCUUUGGGAACUAUGCAGUGCAUUGGCAGUCAUCACACCAUGCAUCCUUGGAAUUGAUUUUAAAAAUCCUACUUGCACUUUGGUGGAAGGUGGCCCAUACGUUUAUGAAAAGGUAAGUUAAUUCUUUUUAUUUUAGUCUUGAUUCAUGAAUAUCCAAUUCAAUUCAUAGUUGUUUUAUAAUUUUAGCUAUUUAGUUUAAUUAUUUCCAAUAUCAAUAUAUUCAUGCUAUCAAUUUAUUAAAUUUAGUUUUAAAUUAUUCCCAUUUAGCCUAUGUAUUUUAAAUUUUUUAUUUAUUUAUUUUUCUAGUUUAAUUAAUCUUAUGUGGUUAUAUUCAUGUUUUCAAGUUAUUAAAUUUAGUUUUGAUUGAUUAUGUUCAGCUUCAAAGUUUCGAGGUUUUUUUAGUUGUUAAUUUUGAAUAGCUAGGUCAGUGUGUGCAUUUCAUAAAAUCAUUUGCUAUUAACUUUAAGUAUCCCUAUUAAUUUAUACUGCUCCUUAAAUUAUUAGUUUUUAGUUUUGAUUGACUCAUAAAUUUGUGUUGUCCUUAAAAUUAUUAAAUUUUUUUUAUCGAUCUAUGUUGAUUUUCAUUUUUUCUCAGAAUCCUUAGUCGUUGAUUUUAAAGAUCCAUGUUAAUUUAUAUUCGUCUCUAAGCAAUAAUUAAUUCUUGAAGAUCUAUGCCUUUAUAUGUUGUUCUUUAAAUUAUUAUAUGUUGUUUUGGCGAUCUAAAUUUUGGUAUCCAUCUAAUUGUGUAACGACACGAUAUAUUUAAGAAUUCUUGAUUGAUUAUUUUUUGUUUUGAGUUUUGAUUUUUAUUGAGAACUUUAACUAAAUAAGUUAAUUAUUAUCGACUCGAUUCUAAGUUUCUGUUUUUAAUUUAUUGAGUUUAAAUUUAAAAAUUUAUUUAAUUGCAUGGAUUACCAUUGUAUGGAUUCCAAGUUUUGAUUUUUCUAGGUUACGUUUUUAGGAUUAUAGGUUAUUAUUCUUAUUAGACCAUUUGAUUAAAUCCAUGUUUUAAAUUUUUUUAGCUUUAGUAUUGAUUGACCCAUAAAUUUGAGUUGCCUUUAAAAUUAUUAAUUUUUAUCGAUCCAUGUUGAUUUUUAUUUUUCCCAGAAUCCUUAGUAGUUAAUUUUAAAAAUCCAUGUUAAUUUAUAUUCGUCUCUAAGCAAUAAGUUAUUGAUUUUUUAUGAUUUAUGCCAUUAUAUGUUGUUGUUUUGGUGAUCUCGAUGACGUUUAUUAUUUCUUUGAAACUAAGUUGAUAAUUUGUGAUAAUCUCGUAUUAUUAGUUUCAUUCUAAAACUCAUUUAUAAGCUAUUGAUUGAUUUAUCUUAAGUUUAAAUGCAUUUAAAGUUCCAACGGUUAGUUCUUGAUCGAUAUCUGGUGAUCUUGCUUAAGGCCAUUGGAAAAUCAUGAAGAUUGGCCUCUACUCUCACCUUUAUCAUUUUUGUUGAUUAUUAAAAAAGUUUACUUUGUGAUUUCGUUUUCUUUUGUUUUGCUUGAUAUUUUGUUUCCUACAUUCUGUUGUUUUUCAAAUUAAUUUCUUUUAUUUUAAAGUAAAAAUACUUUUUCUCAUAAGAUCCCUUUGAAAAUCUAUUUUAAAAAUUCAUUUAGAGUGUUUAGAAUUAAAAUCACAUUUUCUUUUCAAAUAAUAUGCAACCAUGUUUUGAUUGGUUCGCAUCUUUCUCGGUUUUCAAUAAAAAUUAUGGUUUCGAGUAAGACAUAAAUCCAAGCUAGUGGUCCUAAAUAAAUGGGAUAAUUCUAGGCUAGAUUUAUGUAUAUCAAUCGGGGAAUUGGUGAAACCCCUACAUAAAAUUAUUUUUUUAAAACUCAUCUUUGCUGCCACCUUUGCUAUUGAUUGCAAUCAUAUCUAUUUUUUUUAGAAAUUAUAUACAAGAUGUAUGUAAUAAUUGAUGAUUUCGUAUACUUUGAUCAUUUUUGCUAUGCUAAUUAGAUAACAAUCAUGCUAAGAUUUCUUUAUUUUAUUAUUUAUUAUCUAACCCCUCAUGUUUUGCGAAAGCACAUUACAAGUUAUCUAUACUAUCCAGGUACACCCCCUAUCACCUACCUUCUAAAUUACGUAAAUAUGAUUGUCAGUACGAACCACACCUAUGUUUGAUAGUGCUUAGGUGUCUUGAUAUAUAUGUUUCAUUGUUCGAUUAUUUAUGAUAAAACGCAUGUUGGAUGAUAUACUAUUUGAACUAAUUUUGAUGUCUUGUGAUAGCGCUUAAGAAGCAGCCUAGGUACACACCCUAAAUCUUCUUUAUGAUUGUCAUUGGUUUUCUUGUUUGGCAUGCUAUUUUUUGAAAUCACCUUGUUUACCUAAGCACCCUUAAUCAACCAAUUAAUUGUCGCAUUUCCCUCAACUUAGUCAAUAGAGACCUUUGUAAGGCUUAGAGGGGUGCUACAUUUUUAGAGGUACCUUCCCAAUAGGUAACCUAAUCCCUGGACCUAGACUCGGGUUUUUCAAAGACACGUUUUUCCAAAAAUUAUGGAGUCUCUUUUUCAGGGUUUUUUUUUCUUGGUCUAUUUUCCUUUUUAAAAUAAAAUAAAAUAAGUGGCGACUCCGACUUUUUCCAAAACUAAAAUUUUCACCAAUAGAAGCGAGUCUCGCUAAUCGAGUGGGGACGCAUGUGAAAAAUGCGGAUCCACACAUACCCUUGGAUUCGAAUGUUCCCAAAUCUUUUUCCCAAUUUGUAGUAGAAAUCUCAAAUUCAUUUUGAUCUUCUACUUGAUGACUCUCUCUUGGAUCUUGGCUAUAAAUAAGUGUGGAACUCUAUUUAGAGGAAGUGUUGUUUAUGAUUUUUCUCCAAACAAAAUAUAAGAUAGCAGUUAGUCUAACGCUAAACCCUAAGAGGGUUUAUACAACCUCUUAAUUGGGUUUAAGUGACUAAGGCUAAUCAUAUAGGCUUAAGUUGUUUAAUCUUAGCCUAGUGAGUUUUAUUUAAUAAAUUAUCCUAAAUGGCUUCAAUUAAUUAAAUAGAUUAAAAAGAAAACCCAUAAGUCAUUUAAUCAUAAGUCCUUGUACAACCUUUGCUAAUACAAAAGCAUCCUUAUGCAUACUCAUAAUUAAGUACUAAAAAACACUCUCAAUAAAUGCCACCAAAAAGUGUGAGCUUUAGUCGGACCACCAGAACCCAUUGGAAAGUAUGUACUAGCUCUCUUAGAAUCAAAUUCUAAAAUUGACUCAACAUUCCAUUAAAGAGAGUCAAUUGCACUCCAAUAUCUUAUGAUAUUAGAUUGAGAUAUAAAACUUGGGUCCAUGACUUACUAUCCACUAUAUGUAAGUUCCCCAUAAACUAAUGAUUGUAAUCCAAAAAAUGUAGUAGUUAUCAACCUUUAAAGAUCACCUUUCACUCCUUGAGUCUUAAAUCCUCCUAUACCAUGACAAUUAAACAUACUCUAGUCCACAAAGGAUAUAUGUCAAAUUUCAUUGAAGAAAUUGCUAUAGCCAUAUACACUACAUGAUCUGAAAUCCUUGGGAUCGUCCAAGGGGAUACAUUGUCUCAAAUCCAUGAGAUAUUAUAGUGUCUCUAUUGAUCAUAAUAUCUAUUGUUACUUGCCAAAACCGUCGGUCACCCAAUCCUUUGGGAAUAUAUGAUCACUUUAGGAUUUCACCCAUAGGUCAAAGUAAUUGAUGACCUCGACAUUAGCAUAAUAUUAUCUAAAGGUUGAGAACCCAUGCAAUUAAUAUUUGGUAGUUUGGAGAAGUUAUGACAACCCAAUAAUCAUUAGUCAUUGUUGGAAAUCAAGCCCACGUCGCCUUCCUGCCUGUGCAUGUUCCUCCCCAUAUUUAGCAUCCUCUGUUUACUUCCCUGAAUUAGUGUAAUGUACAGCUUUUAUUAUAAUUGAUUUAGGAGUAAUUCUAGCAAGGUAGUUUAUUCACUUUCCAUGUAAGGGAAAUUUCGUCCGGUGAUAGUGUACCAUUCCAGAAUUGUCUCAUAUCUGUAGGCUAUUUAUUUAUGCUUUCAUUCAUUGUAAAAAAAAAAAAAAGGUAUCACAGAAUAAAUUGAGUUUGUGUUCCUCCAUAGUUUGUCUUCAAAUUCUUCAUAUUUUAGUCUUCAAAUUCUUCAUGGUAUCAGAGCAGGUUUAAUCCUGUCUCAUCGUCUUCAUCUUUAGUUAGUAUUUUUUUUCUUACUCAAUUCAUUCUUCUAGUUUAUGCCUAAAUACGGUCCAACCUUUGGAAUGGCUACCAACUCAUCAUCCUCUACUUCUGAUAUCAUCAUCUCAUCGUCUUCAUCCUCUCAUCAGAUGGAAACCUCUCAUCUUCCAAUCACAGCCCAUAAACUGAAUGGGCAAAAUUAUUUGCAAUGGUCUCAGUCCAUAUUAAUGUUUAUACGGGGAAAGGAGAAAGAUGACUACAUCACCGGAGCUUCGGCGGCACCAGAAACCAUAGCAUCAACCUACAAAAAGUGGAUAGCAGAAAAUAAUAUGGUCAUGUCCUGGCUAGUCAACUCUAUGACCAUUGACAUUGGUGAAAAUUUUCUGUCAUUUGAUACUGCCAAAGAAAUCUGGGACAUUGCAAAAGAAACUUUCUCAGACAAGGAAAACACAUCUGAAAUCAUCCAGAUUGAAGGCAUCUUCCACGAUUUGCGUCAAGGAAACCUUACGGUAACUGAAUAUUUCAAUACUCUUACUCGUCUAUGGCGUCAACUUGAUACGUUUGAGGUUCAUAACUGGAAUUGUGUUACAGAUGGUUUGUUGUAUAAAAAGAUUGUCGAAGGGAAACGUGUGUUUAAAUUUUUGUUAGGCUUGAACAAAAAUCUUGAUGAAAUCAGAGGAAGAAUCAUGGGAGUAAAACCUCUACCUAGCCUCAGAGAGGCAUUCUCUGAAGUCCGUCGCGAAGAAAGUCGGAAAAAUCUCAUGAUGGGAUCCCAUCAACAACUGAAUAUGGCAGAAAGCUCGGCUCUUAAGACUCAAUUCGCUCCUUUUGACAACCGUAAAAAAAUUAAAGGAGGUAGACCUUGGUGUGAUCAUUGCAGAAAGCCGGGGCACUCAAGAGAAACUUGCUGGAAGAUUCAUGGAAAGCCAGUAGAUUGGAAGCCACAUCAACCACUUGAGAAAGAAGGACGAGGCAAUCAUGUGGCUACCGAUGAACAAUCGCCACAACCUGAAGCUAGCCCUUUUAAUAAGGAGCAAAUGGAGAUGCUUCAGAAACUACUGUCUCCUCUUUUGUCAGUACAGUCACAAACUGGCUCAUCUUCCAACCAAGUCAUUGGUUCCGGAACCUUGGCUCACAAAGGUAAUUUUUUGAGUGCCUUCACUGCUAGUAAGAAACGUAAAAAACCUUGGAUCGUGGACUCAGGAGCAUCUGAUCAUAUGACGGGAGAUGCGACAAUUUUUUAUACAUAUAGCUCAUUUCCAAAUAAUUUAACAGUCCGAAUAGCAGAUGGUUCACUAUCAAAGGUUGCCGGAACAGGUUCAGUUGUGUUAUCAAGGGAUCUUACUCUCAACUCUGUUCUCCUUGUUCCUAACUUGGACUGUAAUCUAUUGUCAAUUAGUAAACUCACUAAGGAAAAGAGGUGUAUUACUAAUUUUUCCUCCACUCCAUGUGAAUUUCAGGAUUUGGAUUCGGGGAAGACGAUUGGCAAUGUUGAGAAAUGCUCUGGACUCUACAUCCUUAAGGAGCACCACGAUCCACAAGAACAACCUCAAAUGAUAGUUGGUAGUAAUUCUAUUUCGGUUUCAUGUCAAAAUAACGAUAGUGCAAUUAGGUUGUGGCACUAUCGCUUAGGUCAUCCAAAUGUUAUGUAUCUCAAGCAUUUAUUUCCUUCAUUAUUUAAUAAAAAUCCAAAAUCCUUUGAGUGUGAAAUCUGUCAAUUAUCAAAACAAGUCCGGUCUCAUUUUCCCAUUCAACCCUAUAAAGAGUCUAGUCCAUUCUCAAUGAUUCAUAGCGAUAUCUAGGGUCCGUCAAGAAUAAAAAAUGUAACUGGUACUAGGUGGUUUGUCUCUUUCAUAGAUGAUCACACUAGAUUAACUUGGGUAUUCCUCAUGAAAGAAAAAUCUGAAACGAGUCAAAUUUUCAAAAAUUUUAAAAAUAUGAUUCAGACCCAAUUCCAGUCAAAAAUACAAAUUCUAAAGUCUGAUAAUGCUAGGGAUUAUUUCAACUCCAUUCUAGGAGAAUUUCUAGCAUAAGAAGGGAUAGUUCACUUAAGUUCAUGUGUUGAUACCCCACAACAAAACGGAAUCGCUGAAAGGAAAAAUAGGCAUUUGUUAGAGGUGGCUAGAUCACUAAUGUUCUCCAUGAAUGUUCCAAAAUUAUUCUGGGGGCAAGCUGUCCUUACGGCAGCCUACCUCAUCAAUAGGAUGCCGUCUAGGGUACUAAAAUUCCAAACACCUUGUCAAACACUCCUAAAAUCCUUUCCGACUACUCGUCUCAUCUCCACCAUCCCACCCAAAAUUUUCGGGUGCUCUGUCUUUGUUCAUAUCAAUCAACAACAUAGAAGUAAACUUGAUCCUAGGUCACUCAAGUGCAUCUUUCUUAGGUAUUCUUCAAAUCAAAAAGGGUAUAAGUGUUACUCUCCGGUCACAAGAAAAUUCUACAAUUCAAUGGAUAUCACCUUUUUUGAAACCCAGCCUUACUAUCCUAAAAAUGAUAUUCAAGGGGAGAAUUCAACUCAGGAAUAUCAAUUUUGGGAUCUUGAGUCAUUCAAUGAGUCACCCAUCACCACUGAAAAUCACAUUCCUCUAGAGUCAUUUAAUCAGCCCGAGUCCAUUGUUGACUUAUGGGAUAAGGAGCACAUCCAAGAGGAAACGGAGGAAAGAGCACUUUCUCAACAAACCCAUGAGGCUGAACUGGGUCCUAAUCCAAGCAAACUUCCAAGUAACAACGCUCCUGAUGGUACUGUUGAUUCCGAGUUAGAAAAUGAUAUUCUUAAUAUGCCCAUAGCUUGGAGGAAAGAAGUUAGAUCAUGCACUCAGCAUCCCAUUGGAAAUUUUAUUUCUUAUGAUAAGCUAUCACCUACGUUUCGUGCAUUCACUUCUAGCAUCACAGAGAUACAAGUUCCUCAGAAUAUUCAGGAAGCUUUCAAGUAUCCUAAGUGGAAGGCGGCAGUCGAUGAGGAAGUUCGGGCGCUGGAAAAGAAUGGUACGUGGGAAAUUACUAACCUCCCAAGAGGUAAGAAACCAGUUGGGUGUAAGUGGAUUUUCACAGUAAAGUACAAGGCAGAUGGUAAUGUGGACAGGUAUAAGGCUCGGUUGGUCGCCAAAGGAUUCACCCAAUCCUAUGGCAUUGACUAUCAAGAAACUUUUGCUCCAGUUGCCAAGCUCAAUUCUGUUCGUGUACUUUUAUCCUUGGCAGCUAAUCUCGAUUGGUCGCUUCACCAACUUGAUGUGAAGAAUGCCUUCCUCAAUGGUGAUUUAAAGGAAGAAGUUUACAUGGACAUUCCUGUUGGACUUGAGACGACAUCAAAUUUCAACAAGGUUUGCAGACUCCGAAAAUCCUUGUAUGGUCUCAAACAAUCUCCCAGGGCUUGGUUUGAACAGUUCACUAAGGUAGUGAAAGGGUACGGAUUCGUUCAAUGUCAAUCCGAUCACACAUUAUUUGUGAAACACUUCCCAGAAGGGAAGCUGGCAAUUAUCAUUGUAUAUGUGGACGACAUAAUUUUGACAGGUGAUCAUGAAGAGAAAAUUGACUUACUUAAAAAAUUAUUGACAAAGGAAUUUGAGAUCAAGGAUCUUGGAACCCUCAAGUACUUUCUCGGAAUGGAGAUUGCUAGGUCAAAGAAAGGUAUAGCAGUCUCACAACACAAAUACGUUCUGGACUUAUUGAAUGAAACAGGAAUGCUAGUAUGCAAGCCGGCAGAAACACCUAUGGAUACAACUGUCAAACUGGAAGAAAGUGAUGGAAGUGUGCCAGUUGAUAAAGGAAGAUAUCAACGUCUUGUGGGGAAACUCAUCUAUCUUUCUCAUACAAGGCCAGACAUCGGCUUCUCCGUUAGUGUGGUAAGUCAAUUCAUGAAUAAUCCAACCGAAAAACACAUGACUGUUGUGAUCAGAAUAUUGAGGUACCUCAAGAUGACACCGGGAAAGGGUCUCUUCUUUCAAAGAACAACAAAGAAAGAGAUUGAGAUUUUUUCAGAUGCAGAUUGGGCAGGUUUAGUGACUGAUCGGAGAUCAACUUCAGGUUAUUGUUCAUUUGUCUGGGGGAACUUGGUUACAUGGCGAAGCAAGAAACAGUCAGUGGUAGCUCAUAGCAGUGCUGAGGCAGAAUUUCGUGCUAUGGCACAAGGUAUCUGCGAGAGAAUCUGGUUGAACAGGCUGUUAGAAGAAUUACGGGUUCCAUUGAAGCAUCCCAUGGUGUUAUACUGCGACAAUCAAGCUGCCAUCAGUAUCGCUAAGAAUCCGGUUCAUCAUGAUUGAACUAAGCACGUGGAGAUAGAUCGACACUUUAUCAAGGAAAAGAUUGAAGAAGGAGUUUUCAAAGUCAGCUACACUCCGACAAACUGUCAAACGGCUGACAUUCUCACAAAAGCUCUUGCUCGAGUUAACUUCGAAAAUCUGACAGAAAAACUUGGAAUGAUCAACAUUUACAACGCGGCUUGAGGGGGAGUGUUGGAAAUCAAGCCCACGUCGCCUUCCUGCCUGUGCAUGUUCCUCCCCAUAUUUAGCAUCCUCUGUUUACUUCCCUGAAUUAGUGUAAUGUACAGCCUUUAUUAUAAUUUAUUUAGGAGUAAUUCUAGCAAGGUAGUUUAUUCACUUUCCAUGUAAGAGUUUAUUCACUUUCCAUGUAAGGGAAAUUCCGUCCGGUGAUAGUGUACCAUUCCGGAAUUGUCUCAUAUCUGUAGGCUAUUUAUUUAUGCUUUCAUUCAUUGUAAAAAAAAAAAAAAAGGUAUCAUAGAAUAAAUUGAGUCUGUGUUCCUCCAUAGUUUGUCUUCAAAUUCUUCAUAUUUUAGUCUUCAAAUUCUUUAGUCAUGAUUCUCCAAAGGUCAUAUUCAAUCUGUAACCAUAUACACUAGUACACUCAUUGUGGUAAACCUAUCCUAAUUACCAAUAUAAGUUAUUCCACCACUUAAGAGGUAGUGUACUAUGACUUUUGAUGGAUUGACUAAGUCUAAAAAACGAUCGUAAACUAACUCAUCAACUCAUAAGAUGUUAGGAUAAAUCCUUUAAAAGCAUGACAUGAUAUAACAAAAUUUAGAAUUUAUUAUUUGUUAAUAAAGUUCCAGUUUUACUUAUAUCUAUUCUUAUUUCAUGUAUUAUACUUUAUGAAUAUAUAUUAUGGCUUACAUAUCUUGUAUUGUAUAUGAAUUGGAUGCAUUAGGAGUUAUACAGAAGAUCUAAGUUAUGAGUCCCUUGCAAGAGGAUGACUUGUUCAUAGCUAGUUUCUAUGCCUUGACAACCCAUUAGAGACUGUAGUGCAUUACCUUCUAAUUAUAGGGGUUACCGGUUUUGGCUAUCAGAUGGGUUUCUUGUAUUAGUGUGUAUGGUUACACAUUGGAUAUGACCUACGUUGAGUCAUGAUGUAAGACUCUAAAGUAGUCACGACUUCACCAAGUUAUUUCAUUGUGUUAUUUUCAACCUUGAGUGAAUAUUAAGCUUAUAGUAAAAUCAGUAGUGACUUUAACCUACAAGUGAGAUCCUAAAGUGACCAUGUAUUCCUUUAUGGAUUGGAUCACUAUUGAUGGAAACAUGUAACAAUGGGUAUUCUUAAUUAAGGUACCAUCAUAUCUCAUGGGAUUAAGAUAAAGUGUCUUAUUAGGUGAUCUUAAGGAAGUGUGUUUAUAUAAAUUAUGACUAUAGUAGUUUCUUAAGUGGAACUGGACAUAAACUCUUUGUAAGCUAAGAUUGAACAAGCAUAAAAGAAGAAUAGUUUAAUGAAGGUAAACAAAUUAAUUUAAGUUAAAAUUGUUUUUCACAAAAAGGAAAAAAGAGAGGAGUGUGAUGAAUAGAAAAAUAUUAUGUACUAGUAACAAAAUGAUGGAGGGUCCCAAAGAGAAUUGUCCCUCACUUAAGCAUGAAUCUUAAAGAACGUGAUGGCAACUUUUGGCCACUCAUAAUCACAGCUUGAAAUGCUAUUCUUCACCAUACCACCAUAAAAUUGGAUGAAAUUGGUAUCUUUAAUCCGCUUCUUGGCAAACAACAUUUUGAAAAUAAAAAUCCCUUUCAACCAUUUUGGAGAAACACCAUUUAGUUACAAAUGAAAUUCUAAUCCAAGAAUUUAGCCAUAAGUAGUUCUUCUAUGAAAUAGCAUUCCAAACACACUUUCAAAUGGUCAAAAGUCAUCCAACCCAAAUACUAGAAUGAGUAGACUUAGUCUAUUUUAUGACUCCGAAUGAAAUAUUUACUCCUUAGAAUAAAAUAUAAAGAAUGUUUUUCUUUUAAUUUAUUUGAGGGAAACAUCUUUUGGGGUGUGGUCAGAAAGAAAAUUUAAUUUUUGAAGUCUUGUUUGUUAUUGAUAGACAUUUUAUUUUGAACCAAUGACACUCAAUUUACUAUAGAUAUAUUAUUUUUGUAAAAAACUAAUUUAAUGUGUGCAUUAUUAAUUGUUUUAUUAUUUUCAUAAUUUCAUUUAAAGUUUAUAUAAUCAAAUUUCAAGAUUUUUUUAAUCAAAAUUUUCAUUGAUAUUAAUAUUUUCAUUUAUGUAAACUACCAAUAUUUUCAUGGAUAUUAAUUUUUUUUAUUAUGUAGGUUCUAUCAUAUGAAGUUAUAUGGUGUAUCACUCAUUUAUGUCUUAAAUAUAAUUUUCAAAAUUUAUUCAUUUAUCCUAAUUUGAAACUUUAUUAUUAUUAAUAUUGUUAUUAUUAUUAUAAUAAUAUUUUAUUCUUAUUUAUCCAUAACAAAAUACAAAAUAAUUUAACACAAAUUCAAUUUUUUUUUUCAAAAUUUUCUCACAUUCUUUUAAAAAGAAUUUAAGAAGAAAAUCUUUAACCAUUUUAAUUUUUUCUCUCAUUUUUUCCUUUUUUUUAUUUUUUUUUAUCAAGAACUAUCUUUCUUUAUAAAUAAUUUUUUUCCUUUUUCUUAAUCAUUUCCAAAAGUUUUUUGAGCUAUUAAGACUAUGUUUGAUUCCUAAAAAAAUUGAGGGAAAAUGCAAGAGAGAGAGAGAAAAAAAAAAGUGGAAACGUAGAAGGAAAGAAAAAAGAAAGGAAAAUAAAAACUAGAUUUGAAGUUAAUAAAUUAUUUUUAUAUGCUACUUCAAACUUAUUUUAUUGAUUUUAACUCUUUCAUAUGAAGAUUAAAUAAUUUGAAAUUGUAUCAUUUUCUAACUAGUUUUAAUAUAUAUUUGAUUUUCUUUAGUAUUUUUCACAUGACAAUCAAAUAUGAUAAAAUCAAUUUUUUUUUAAUAUUUUUUUCUUUCAUUAUUGCUUUCCGGGAAUCAAACAUAAUCUAAAUUUCUUGUUCUUUUUCCCACAAUAGAUCAACCAAGAGAAGAGAUAAGGGUCGUUGAACUUGACUUGAUGUAGAGAACCUUGAAUUUCUCUCUUUUCUUCCUCCAAUUACCUUGCCAAUUCAAAACGCCUUUAGUAGCAAGACUUUGAGGUCUACAACUAUGUACAAGUCAUGCACUCAAUUAUGCCAAAAACAUCACAUUCACAAGUCUUUUUCUUUCACUCUCCCAACUAACUUAAAUACUUCCUAUUAGAGAAACUACUAUAUAAAUAGUUAUAAAAUGUAUACUUAUUUAUAUUUAUUCAUGAUAAUAGGUAACAAUUAUAAUUAAAACAUGGAUUUUUGAGAUGAUAGCUACAAUAAAUUGAAACCUCAUCCAAUUAUUUUAGGAGAGGCAAAAUAAUGUUUGAUUAACAUAUAAACUAAAUUGAGUAAAUUACAAGAAAAAUGUUAUGCUUGUUAAAGAAUUCGAGCAUUGACUAGUGUGUUGUUUGGGCUAAAGGGAGACUUCCAUUUUCACAUUGGAGGGAAUAUAGACUUUAAUCUACUCAAGUGACAAUGACUUAUCCCGUUGAAUUCAAAUUAAUAAAUUUUAUAAUUAUAGAUAUUUUGAUAUUUUUAGUAAUAAAAUGAAAUAAUGCGGAUAUUGGAUUCAUUUAGUAUCACUUUCUAAAGUUAAUUCAUUUCUCCUCUUGAAACAUCCGUAAAAGUAAUGUUUAAACAUGUCUGGGCUUAGCAGUCUCUCCCAGCUGCUGCCAAUGAGAAUUCUAUUCUUUUUAUGGAUUUUAUUCAUGCCCUUAUGCCCGAUCUUUUUUGGUAUGCAUGUUACUUCUGUGUCCGGCGAAUGUCUGAGUGAUGGGAGGGUAUGCCUGGAAGAUGAGGUGUUGUUGCUGCUGCAACUGAAGAGCAGCCUCAUAUUUAAUACUGCUGCAUCGAAUAAACUUGUUUCCUGGAUUCAAAGCGCGGACUGCUGUUCUUGGGGAGGUGUAACAUGGGACGCCACUGGUCGUGUUGUCUCUCUUGAUCUCAGUAGCGAAUUCAUUUCUGGUGAACUCAAUAGCUCCAGUAGCAUUUUCAGUCUACAAUAUCUCCAGAGCUUGAAUUUGGCUAACAACACCUUCUCUUCUCAAAUUCCAGCAGAAUUCCACAAGCUUGGAAACUUAAAUUACCUGAAUUUGUCCAACGCUGGCUUUUCUGGGCAGAUUCCAAUUGAGAUUUCCUACUUGACAAGGUUGGUUACUAUUGAUCUAUCUAGCCUUUAUUUCAUCACCGGUAUCCCAGAACUGAAACUUGAGAACCCAAAUCUGACAACGCUGGUCCAGAACCUCAAGGAGCUUAGGGAACUUCAUCUUAGUGGUGUAAACAUUUCGGCCAAGGGAAAGGAGUGGUGCCAGUCAUUAUCAUCUUCAGUGCCAAAUCUCCAAGCGCUAAGCUUGUCCAGAUGUUUUCUUUCAGGCCCCAUUGAUUCUUCUCUGGAGAAGCUUCAGUAUUUGUCAAGAAUUCGUCUGGAUGGCAAUAAUUUUUCCUCUCCAGUUCCAGAAUUCCUUGCGAAAUUUCAAAAUUUGACUUGCUUGCGGCUCAGUUUUUGUGGAUUAUAUGGAACAUUUCCUGAAAAGAUCUUUCAGGUACCAACCCUUCAGAUUCUUGAUAUCGAAAACAACAUGUUACUUGAGGGUUCUCUGCCAGAAUUCCCUCUGAAUGGAGCUCUGGAAACCCUGAUCCUCUCAGAUACAAAAUUUUCAGGGAAAGUACCUGACUCAAUAGGCAAUCUCAAGAUAUUGACCAGGAUAGAGCUUGCAAGGUGUAAUUUCAGUGGGCCAAUCCCAAACUCCAUGGCCGACCUCACUCAAUUGGUUUACUUGGACUUGUCUGAAAAUCAGUUUUCUGGUCCAAUCCCGCUGUCACUGUUUUCCUUUCCAUCACUGCAGACGAUACAACUAACCAACAACUAAUUUUCUGGUCAGUUCAACAUUUUGCUUAAUGCGUCUUCAUCUGUAUUGCAUACCCUUGAUUUGAGUAGCAACAAUCUGGAAGGCCCCAUACCAGAAUCUGUUUUUGAACUACAGGGUCUUUACAUCCUUGAUCUAUCUUCCAACAAAUUCAAUGGAACAGUGGAGCUCAGCAAGUUUCAAAAACUUGGGAAUCUUACCACUCUCAGUCUUUCGUACAACAAUUUGUGGAUAAUUGCAAGUGGUAGUGAUUUCAUUCCUUCAAAAUUACCGCAUUUGACCACAUUAAAAUUGGCUUCUUGCCAGCUGGGGACAUUACCUGAUCUUAGCAGCCAGUCAAGAUUGUCAUAUUUGGACCUUUCCGAAAACCAAAUUCAGGGGGAGAUACCUAAGUGGAUCUGGAAAGUUGGUAAUGGCUCUCUUAUCCAUUUGAAUCUCUCUCUUAAUUUACUGGAGGAUCUGCCAGAACCUUCAUCUAUUCUUUCUACUAAUCUUUUGGUCCUUGACCUACACUCCAAUCAGCUCCAUGGGCGAAUUCCCACUCCACCCUCAUGUUCCGCCUAUGUGGAUUACUCAAACAACAGUUUCACCUCUUUCAUCCCAGAUGACAUUGGUACUUAUAUCUCCCUCAAUAUUGUCUUCAUGCUUUCAAAGAAUAAUAUCACUGGAAUUAUCCCUGAAUCAAUAUGCAAUGCCAGUUAUCUAAGCGUUCUUGACUUAUCUGACAAUGCUUUGAGUGGCAAAAUACCCUCAUGCUUAAUUGAGAUCGAGACUCUUGCAGUGCUGAAUCUAGGGAGAAACAAGUUUAGUGGCAUUAUAUCUGGCGAAUUUCCAGGAAACUGUGUCUUACAGACUUUAGAUCUGAAUGGGAACCUUUUAGAAGGAAAAAUUCCAGUGUCUCUGGCCAAAUGCAAAGAGUUAGAGGUUUUAAACCUUGGGAACAAUCAGAUGGAUGAUAACUUUCCUUGCUGGUUGAAGAACAUAAGCAAUUUGCGUGUCCUUGUUUUGCGAGCCAACAAAUUGCAUGGACCCAUUGGAUGUCCAAAUAGCAACUCCACCUGGCCAAUGGUUCAAAUUGUGGACCUAGCUCACAACAAUUUCAGUGGUGAGUUACCAGCAAAGUGCUUCUUGACCUGGAGAGCAAUGAUGGCAGGCGACGAUGAAGUCGAAUCCAAGCAUAAAAACCUCGAAUUUGAGGUCUUAUUAGGAUGGUACUAUCAGGAUGCUGUAAGAGUUACCAGCAAAGGUCAAGAAUUGGAGUUGGUGAAGAUCCUAACGCUCUUCACCUCUAUUGACUUGUCACGCAACAAUUUCGAAGGGGAGAUACCAGAAGUAAUGGGAGACUUGACAUUACUUUAUGUUCUCAACUUAUCUGGCAAUGGUUUCACAGGGCGCAUCCCAUCAUCACUAGGACAGCUCCGACAGCUUGAGUCAUUAGACCUCUCAAUGAACAAGCUGAGCGGCGAGAUCCCUACACAGCUUGCGAGCCUAAAUUUCCUUUAAGUGCUGAACCUCUCAUUCAAUCAAUUGGUGGGAAGAAUCCCAACAGGGAGUCAAUUGCAAACAUUUUCAGAAAAUUCCUUCCUGGGUAACAGAGGAUUAUGGGGCUUCCCCCUGAACCCAAGCUGCAAAGAUGCUACACCACCACCGGCGUUUGAAAGCAGGCAUUCAGGUUCCAGGAUGGAGAUUGACUGGGACUACGUGGCUCCGGAGAUUGGAUUCGUGACAGGGUUAGGCAUCGUGAUUUGGCCUCUAGUGUUUUGCAAGAGAUGGAGGAGAUGCUACUACGAGCAUGUUGAUGGAAUUCUCUCAAGGAUUCUCCGCGGCUAAGACAAGGAAGAGCAAAUAAUGGGAGCAGGGAUCUAGCGACCACUAGUGAGAAGGAUCUAGUUGGAGUGUAUUGUAUUUCUAUUAGAUAGAAACUAUCUUUUCUACCCAUAUGCAGAAAAGCUUUUUAGUUUUUACUCAAAACUAUAGUCUAUGACCCAGUUAAACCUACACAAAAUAAAAUUCUAAUUUCGGAGAUUCAACAAGUCAUUCAAGAUGAGCAAGAGGUUAAGAUAUGUUGGCUGGAUGUGGGCCCGAGUUGGGUUAAACUUGGUUGGCCUGAUUGGUACAAACCAAGACCAACUAUGGUAGUUAGGCCCAUGUUCAGCCCAAUCAACACAUCUGAAGCCAUUAGGGAGUUUAGAUUGAUAACCACUUAAUUAUCAUGCUAGCUAGUAAACCUGCUGCACAUCCACUUAUAAAAGUUUCAUUUGGAAAUGUUUCUCAUUUUACCCUUUUUUUUUAAUCACAAUUUUUAUUAUAUUGUUAAUUUAGAGGAAGAAAAAACUUCAAUCAAUUUUUUGUAAUCCUUUCUUCCAACAAUCAUUUAUGAAGAUUAAACAAUGAGACAAGUAUGAGAUGUUUUUAGAGUAAAUGGCGAAUUAAUGUAACUUCUUAGGUCUUCGUUCUUAAUGGAAUUUGAAAACAAUGAAUAUUUUUAUUCAGGUGAAAUAACAUUUUUUAAAGAGUCCACGAUCCUUCUCAUCAUACCCUGCAAAUGCUUGUACAGUUUUUUGGGUUGUUUUUGCCUUCACUCACCAUAAUUCCUAAUCAACUUUCAUGUGAAGAUUAAGAAGCACCGAAACUGGGCCAAACCUGUUCAUGGGGAAAGAAUAGUCUUUGGUUUCCGAUACGUCCUCAACAAACAUAAAAGAAGAAUAGUAAUCAAUUCAGAGUAAACAGGUCCAAUUGAUCAGUGAAUUGAGAGUGAGAGGACAGUUUGUAAGGGGACCUUUUUGGUCUCAUUCAGAGUAAUCAAUUCCAUUUCAGUAGGGGUUCUGCUUCCCUUGUUUUCUUUCUCUUUCACAAGGACUGGAGUGGGUAGACUUGAAGCCAAGCUGAACAGCUCUUAGCUCUUCCCAACUACCAGCCCCUCCCUCACCAAUCACUUCCACUUGCAACUUACAUUAUCGCUACAUUUGUCAAAGUGAAGGCUAUGAAUUUUUGUAGAAUAAUUGUAACAACAUUUAUUGUACUAUAACGAUGCCUAAGAGAGGAUGAAAAAUGGUAUUAAAAGCAAAAAAGAUAGAUGUCAUCUUUCUGUGGAUGACCUGUAAUCGGCUUGUUUUUUCGUUUAAUUUUUUGCAUGAAUUUGCGCACUCAACAUUUCUUGUUGGGUUUGAUUAAAAAGCCAAUGAGAGAAAGAUCGGUAUAUAUGAAUUGGAUACGAGCAUUGUAUAUAAGAUGAGUUUCUUAGGUGGUGUUUGUUUUUUUUACUUUUGCUGAAAGCAAAUUGUUUUCAGAAUUUAGGUUGUUUGUUUAUCUACUUUUUUAUGACUUAUUAUAAACUUUUUAUUAAAUAGAAAAAGACAAAAUAUGUAGCUUUUUUAAAAUAGAAUAAAAAUAUCAUAUUGGUUUUUCUUUACCUUUUAAUACUUAAUAGAAAUAGAAUACUAUAAAAACAAACAAUCUAAUAUUUAACACUAUUAAACAUUAAGGUUCUAUUUAAAAUUAAGUAAAAAAACAAACACCACUUUAGUCUCGUUCAAAGUAAUCGAAUCCAUGUCAGUAGGCAGUUUGAUUUUUCAAUGGAUUAAAAAGUUUGUAAUCAUUUCUAAAUAUUACAUGAAAUACAUGAAAAGGAAAAACUUGUAGUGGAACUUAAUGCUCUAAAAACGAAAUCAAAAGGCAAAUGUUGAACACACUCUUAAACUCUUUCUCCACUUAUCCAUUUAUUUUUCAAAAAAAAAAAAUAUAUGAAUGGUUAAAAAUACCUCUUUUUCAUCUUCUCGACACCACUCAUCACCAACCUUGGUUUUUUUUCUUCCAUUUUCUUUUCUUUCGAGUCUCUUACCUUCACCUACUAAAUAUAUGAAUUUGAUUUUCAUCAAACCCAUCAACAUAGGGUAAAAAAACCUUAUGUUGUUUUCUAUUCCAAAAAGCAUUGGGGAUAGAAAAACAUAAAUUUGUUUCAAUUUGAUUUUUAAUAUUUUCUAUUCUUGUUUGAAUAUCUUUUUGUAAUAGAUUUUCUUCCAUUCUUUUAUAAUGUAUUUCUUUGCUUAUGUGUUUGAUAUGUUGUUUUUUCUUUUGAAUAAGAUUUACUUCAUUUUCUUGAAGUGUAUUUAACUCUUUAAUUUUUAAAGAACUAAUAAAUUUGAAACAAAUACUUUGUCCUUUAUAACUAGUUUUAAUUCCUUCAUCAUCUACUUUAAAAGGAUAAAGUAGUGCAAGGAAUGGUGUUCCCAAGAUUAUAUCUUUAUUCAUAUCUCUGACAAUUUAAAGAGAAGUCUUGUAACAAACAUUUUGAUUAUAGAUAUGAACAUUUGAAAUUUUGAAAUCUACCAUCAAAGGCUUCGAGUUUGUACUCACACACUUGGUAAGUCUUUUCAAAGUAUAUAGUUGGGAUUAAUCCUUUCUGUACACAAUUAAUAUUAGCACUAGAAUCAAUUAAUGUUAAAAACUCUUUUAAAAAAAUCAGGUUUUAUAAAACGUUUUACUUUGAUGUGCCAUUUUUUAAUUAACAUUUUAGUUAUACUAUUUACAAAAAAUUGAGAAGAUUCUCCUUCUUCUAAUUGUUUAUCUUCAUGUUGUUCUAAUUUUUCAUUUUCUAAUAUUUGGAGUCUUGUUUUUUAUUUCUUGAUUUUGACUUAUCAUGGUAUUAAUUUGAAGUUUUAUCAACUUAUUUCAUUUUGAAGGUCUUGAAUUCCUAUUGGUUUUAAAGCAGAAAAUUGGUUUAAUACAGUUUUUAAACUGUAUUGAUUUGUAUUUUCUAUUUGUCUUUCAUUCCUUUGUUCAACAUGGAGGUAAUUUGAUUCCUACUUCCUGUUCUCAAUUAUUAUUCUUUAUAUCAAGAUUUCAAAUUCCAUGGAUCUUGUGUUGGGACUUUGUCCAAACACAAUUAAUUCCCCCUCUCUUUCCUCCGCAUUUGGCGGUUGAAUUCAAACUCAAAUGGUGGUCAAACUUUUCUCCUUCUUCCACCCAACAAAUUCCUCAUAUUCGUCAAUGGAUAUCUUCAAAAUAUUCUAACACAAGCAAAAAAAAUACAUUAUAAAUAAAUGGAAGAAAAUCUAUUACAAAAAGAUAUUCAAACAAGAAUAGAAAAGAUUAAAAAUCAAAUUGAAACAAAUUUAUAUUCUUCUAUCCCCAAUGCUUUUGGAAUAGAAAGCACCAUAAGUUUUCCUUACCCUAUGUUGAUGGAUUUGAUGAAAAUCAAAUUCCCACUAAGGCAAUACCAAUUCAAAUGAAUACUCAAUUAAUUACUUGAGUAUUGUAAGAAAGAAAUCAAGGAUCUUUUAGAAAAAAAUAGUAUUAGAAAGAGUCAUUCUCCUUGGAGUUGUGUAUCUUUUUAUGUUCAAAAACCUUUGAAAAUUGAAAGAGGUGCUCCAAGACUUGUCAUAAACUAUAAGCCUUUAAAUAAGGUUCUCAAAUGGAUAAGGUAUCCAAUACCUAAUAAGAGAGACCUUAUUGGAUGCCUUUAUUAUGCUUCAAUUUUCUCAAAAUUUGAUAUAAAGUCUAGAUUUUGGCAAAUUCAAACUCUAUCUCUUACUCUAAUUCAACCUAAUAUUAAACUUAUACUCUAAUUCAAACUAAUAUAUAAUAAAUAGAUAAAUACUAAUAUUUAAAUUAAGGACAACAUUAACUCUCUAUGAUAUUCUUAAAGAGAAAAAAGAAAAAAAAUUAAAUACAUUAUCCAUACUUUCAUAUUAAUUUAAUUUUUGAAUGAAAUUAACAAAAUAAGUUCAAUAGCAUUCACUUUCUAAGGAACCAAAAAAUAAAAAAUUUGUUCAUGCUUUUAGAUUUACAUAACGAAAAAUACUUUAUCAAUAUUUCAACGAUCAAGAUUCUUCUUAUUCAACUUGAAGAAUAAAGUAAGCUUACUGCAAAGCUAACAUAUAAAUUAUAUUUUGACCCAUAAUUUUAUGGCCCCAACUAUGUCUUUUUCUCAAAUUUCAACAAACCAAAAAAAUGUUUCAUAGAAAACGCAAUGUCUAAUUUAUUUAUUUUUUUUAUGGUUAAUUUGAAUGUAUAGAAAAUCAAAAUUUAAAACUAAAUUCUUUAUAUCACCACAAAUAAAUAAAUUUCAAUUAUUUCAUCAAAUUUAAUCAAUUUGCAUGUUAUAUACAUAAAAAUAAUCAUGAUAUUUCUAUCAAUAAUUUUUUAAGAUCUUUUUUAUGUAGUAAUUUAGUUCAAGUUAAGUAUAACUUGAAAACAAAAGUACAAAAAUUUUGAAAAUGUAUUAAAAAAACACAAAAAAUUGAUAGCCAUAGAUUAUUAUUUUUAUAUUAAAUAUAUUUUAAUGUGUUUUCAUGUAUUGGAAUUCAAUGAAAUACUAAUUUUAUUUCCACAUUAAUAUUUUGUAUUAAUUUUUGAAGUCUUGUUUCUCAUAGAUAGACAUUUUAUUCUAAACUAAAGACACAUAAUUUACUGUAGAUAUAUUAUUUUUGUAAAAACCUAAUUUAAUGUGUGCAUUAUUAAUUGUUUUAUUAUUUUCACAAUUUCAUUUAAAGUUUAUAUAGUCAAAUUUCAAGAUUUUUUUAAUCAAAAUUUUCAUUGAUAUUAGUAUUUUCAUUCAUGUAAGUUUAAACUACCAAUAUUUUCAUGGAUAUUAAUUUUUUUUAUUAUGUAGGUUCUAUCAUAUGAAGUUAUAUGGUGUAUCACUAGUGUAUGUCUUAAAUAUCAUUUUCCAAAUUUAUUCAUUUAUCCUAAUUUGAAACUUUAUUAUCAUUAAUAUUGUUAUUAUUAUAAAAUUUUACUCUUAUUUAUCCAUAACAAAUUAAUAAAAUAAAAUAAAAAUUAAUACAAAUUCAAAUUUUUUUUUUCAAAAAUUUCUCACAUUCUUUUAAAAAAAUAUUAAGAAGAAAAUAUUUAACCAUUUUUUUCUCUUUUUUUUUUCACUUUUUAAAUCUUUUCUCAUGAUACCUAAACAUCAAGAAAUAUCUUUCUUCAUAAAUAAUUUUUUUUCCCUUUUCUUAAUCCUUUCCAAAAGUUUUUUGAGCCAUUAAGACUAUGUUUGAUUCCUAAAAAAUUGAGGGAAAAUGCAAGAGAGAGAGAGAAAAAAAAAAGACAAAACAAAAAGAGUGGAAAAAUAGAAGGAAAGAAAAAAAAAAAGGAAAAAAAAAAAUAGAUUUGAAGUUAAUAAAUUAUUUUUAUAUGCUACUUCAAACUCAUUUGAUUGAUUUUAACUCUUUCAUAUGAAGAUUAAAUAAUUUGAAAUUGUAUCAGUUUCUAACUAGUUUUAAUAUAUAUUUGAUUUUCUUUGGUAUUUUUCACAUGACAACCAAAUAUGAUAAAAUCAAAAUUUUUUUUAAAUAUUUUUUCAUUCCUCAUUGCUUUCCGAGAAUCAAAUAUAACCUAAAUUUCUUGUUCUUUUUUCCAUAAUAGAUCAACAAAGAGAAGGGAUAAGGGCCAUUGAACAUGACUUGAUGUAGAGAAACUUUAAUUUCUCUCGUCUUGCUCUAGUUACCUUACCAAUUCAAAAUGCCUUUAGUUGGAAGACUUUGAGGUCUACAAACAUAACCUAAAUUUCUUGUUCUUUUUUCCACAAUAGAUCAACAAAGAAAAGAGAUGAGGGCCAUUGAACAUGACUUGAUGUAGACAAUCUUGAAUUUCUCUCGUCUUCUUAUAGUUACCUUACCCAUUCAAAACGCCUUUAGUUGGAAGGCUUUGAGGCCUACAACUGUGGAAAAGUCAAGCCCUCAAUUAUGCCCAAACAUUACACUCACAAGUCUUUUUCUUUCACUCUCCUAACUAACUUAAAUGAUUCUUAUUAGAGAAACUACUAUAUAAAUAGUUUUGAGAUGUAUACUUAUUUAUAUUUAUUUAUCAUAAUAGAUAACAAUUAAAAUUAAAACAUGGCAUUUUGAGAAGAUAGCUAAAAUAAAUUGAAACCUCAUCCAAUUGUUUUAGGAGAGGUAAGAUAAUGUUUGAUUAACAUACAAACUAAAUUAAAUGUGUAAAUUACAAGAAAAGUGUUAUGCUUGUUAAAGAAUUCGAAAAGCGUAUUUUUUGGGCUAGAAAAAAGGUCGCAAAGAAAAAAGAAUUAUGGAAAGGAGAAUUCCAUUUUCAUGUUGGUGGGAAGAUAGACUUGAAUCUAAUUUUCCAAGUGACAAUGGCAUAUUCCCAUUGAAUUCAAAUUGAUAAAUUUUAUCAUUAUAGAUAUUUUGAUAUUUUUAGUAAUGGAAUGAAAUAAUGUGGAUAUUGGAUUAUUUUGAUAUUUUUACUAAUGGAAUGAAAUAAUUUAGAUAUUGGAUUCAUUUGAACUAUGUUUGGAUCCCAGAAAAUACUAGGAAAAGAAAAAAAUGUUAAGAAAAAUGGUUUUCUCACGUUUGGUUUCACUAUAGAAAAUAUAAAAGAAAAUCAAAUAUAAUUAAAAUUAAUUUACAAUUUAGAUAUUUUAAAAUUAUUUAAUCUUGCUAUAAUAGAGAGAACUAAGUAAAUUGAGUUUGCAAAAACAUAUAAACAUAAUUUAUUAAAUUUAAAUUUUUCUUCAUUUUUUCUUUCUUUUUACUUUUCCUCUUUAUUUUCUUUCCUUUGCAUUUUCCUUCAAUUUUUUUGAGAACCAAACAUAGUCUUAGUAUCACUUUCUAAACUUAAUUUGGUAUGUAUACAUGCAAAACUCUAUAAAAUUGAAUUUGUUGUUUAUGUUGUAUGCCAUAAAAUUUGCAUAGACUCUUUGGGAAGCUUCCCUCCAUGUGUCCUUCACAGGCUCAAGGCCCUUUGGCCGUCCAAGGGAAGCAAAUAAUCUGUCUAGGAGAAAUCCAUCUGGACCAAGACAAUCUCCGUUUGGCAUAAAAGGAAAGACGAAUUUCCUUUUUCCCUAAUGCCAGACAGAAUGGACAAACUAAACCGACUGGGGGACUUUCAAAUGGACAAACUAAGCCAGUCGAAAAUUCCAAGCAUUGAGUAGAUGAUUAACCACCACCAAUGCCUAAGCAACAAGCAAAACAACAUUUACACCCAGAAAUCAAUGUCCCUUAGUCGUUACGUGCAAUCGGUGACAUUAAAAAACGUAUAUGCACAACCAACAACAUGGUUCGAGAUACAAAAAAUAAAUGACGCCAAUUAGUAACUCUUAUUUGGUAUGAUUGUCCAAUCCACACUAAGCUAAUGACAUUGACUACCUUAUUAAGGCAUAGUAUCCGCCAUGACGACAAUCAUCAGCGCAAGAAAUGCAUGAAUGCACAAUCAAUGCUAUGAUGAUGAUGUCAUACGUUCUAUAAAAACUCAUCUAAAAGCAUGAAAAAGGUAUGCACAUACAUAACCAUUCAAAAAGUUGGAUUCAUUCUCACUAGAUUCUGACUUAAGCUUCGAAGGGGCAUGCUCGGACCACCUAUCUGAACAUCCUUUUGUGUUGGGAACAAUCCAUCUAACUCUAAUGAAGUCAGAUCCUACAUGCAAUUGGCACAACACCAACAUUGGUGCAGUCUAUGGGAAACAACUAAGGAUGUUAAUGCCCUUUAGAAACUAAUCAUCAAUUAUUAGUGAUGAAGACUAUUUUGUCUAAUGCAAAAGAAUGGAGAAAGGCCAACGAGAAAAUGAGCAGCAAAUACAAACUUUGCUCUACUAAACAGAACGACUAAGAGAAAAGAACGAGGAGUUGCAGACUCAAAUGUCAAUAGUGAGCCCCUCUCAAAGUCGACACACUCAAAGCUGACAAACAGCCUCACGACGAACUGUUGAGGCAUCUUUCCUUGGGGGCACAAAGUUCUCCUUCGACAGCUACUCAAGACAAUACAAGAAGGAGUCUUCGCCAACUCAUCAAAUUUAGUCAGACGAAGGCAUCAAUUCCAUCUGGGCAUCAAGGAAAAAGAGGCGCGACAAAGGGUCGCAUUUGUCUAAUGCGAAGCGAGCCAGACUAAGACCUUAAGCACUAGGCGUGGAGACACAACCGCACAUGUUAAAAACUCUAAGGGCACGUCUAAGUCAGCCAGCCAUAACAACCACAUCUAGAUGCCCCCCCUCAACCACCAAGGCAAUAGCAGGCAGGAGUGUCAACAACGCGAGCCACACCUUACUCUAUUAGUCGAAGGUUGGAUGACAUGCUCUCCAUGUUGUUCGUCACUCAUAUCAUUAGCUAUGAACCACCCAGAGGGUUCGUGUUGCCCAAAUUCAUAAUGUACGAUGGAACGAGUGACCCAUUUGACCACAUCAUGCACUUCAGGUAGCUUAUGACCCUUGACAUAGGGAAUGAUGCACUGAUGUGCAAGGUCUUUCCGGCCAACCUACAUAGCCAAGUUCUCUUCUGAUUUCACCACCUUGCAUAGAAUUCUGUGAACACAUUCCAAAAUGUCUCAGAAGCCUUUGUGGGCCACUACUUAUGUUUUGCUCGCCAAAAGCAGAACAUAAGCACCUUAUAGAACAUCAAGUUACAGGAAAAUGAAAUGCUAAGGGAUUUCAUGAAGCGGUUUGGACAAGCAGUUCUUUAAGUUAAAUCAUAUAGUAUGGACGUCAUCCUAUAGAUCUUCAAGCAAAGUAUUAGCCUAGGCACUCCAUUUUUCGAGUUCCUUGCAGAAAAGCCACCCAUAACAAUGGAUGACCUAUUCAAGCGGACAGACAAGUAUUCUAUGCUCGAAGAUGAUGUCAAAGCAACCUCUCAACAAGUCUUGGUCACCAAUCAACCGGCCAAGAAUGAUAAAGCAAGGAGUUGUAAGCCUUCUAACCAAAUGAGACAGGUAGCAAAAAAUAAGACAACCGACAACAACAGUAGGAGAGUCUCACUUCUUUAAGUAUCUCUUAUAAGAAACUCCUCCCAUAGAUCUGUGACCCAUCGGACUUCAGAUGCUUGGAUCUAAUUAAGAUAGAUUCGGAUAGAUGGGACUAGAACAUAAGGUGCUCUUACCAUAGGGAAAAUGAAAACACCACUAAACAAUGCAAGAGUCUACAUUACUUGGCGAAAAAACUCAUCAAGAUUGGACACCUUAAGCAGUACUUUUGCACAACAAGCCAGCAAAGAAAGACAACACUAGAGGUACCCGCCCAAGCCCCUAUAUCUCCGACAACCCCCAAACUAUAAUUAACUAUAUACACGGAGGUCUAAUAGAUGACAAACACAACUCUAGGUGACAAAGGCGAAGGUUUCUUCAUGCAACUUCUAUAAGAAAAUAGAUUAGUUCCGUCUAGGACACCUUUGUAGAAGGAAGUGUGCAUCCAGUCGAUUACACAAUCACCUUUCCUCUUAUAGGUGUCAAUUGGGUGUUGCAACCCCAUAGAGAUGCCUUGAUCCUAACACUAGGGAUGGGCAAAUUAGAAGUGCGGAGAAUCCUAGUUGAUCCAGGCAAUUUAGCUAAUCUCUUGCAAAUGUCAACCUACAGGCAAAUGGGUCACUCACCAUCUGCCUUAGAAAAUCCAAGGCGUCUACUAUCCAGAUUUAAUGGACUUACAAUAACCUCCCUAGGUGAUAUUGUGUUACACGUCCAAUCCGACUCGAUCAUAACGAGUGUACAAUUCUCGAUGGUUAAUGAUCUGUCUCCAUACAAUGCCAUUAUGGGACAUGCAUGACUUCACAAAAUGAAAGUCAUUCCUUCUACGUACCAUCAAAUGGUAAGCUACCUCACAGAAGUGGAACAAGUCAAUUUCCUUGGUAGCCAACUAGCCGCAUGAUAAUACUAUCAAGUGGCGCUAGAGUUUGUACAUCCAACCAACGAUGAGGCACAUCUCGAACCAUCGAACACAAGGUAACAAUAGCAGUUACUAAGCCCGAUGGAGAAAUAUCCAUCCGCGGUUGAUCCGCUUCAACCACUGCUUUUUUCACAUGACACAAAUCAAAUCACCUACAAUCAGUUUUUUACUUGCGCAAGAUGAACUAGAACUGCUAGGGAAUACGAUUUAGUGCAAUAAAAACAUUUUUUCCUAGACUCACUAGGACAUGUAAGAAAUCCAUCCGGUCGUGGCCUCCCAAAAGCUCAAUGUCUCACCCACAUCGUAUCCUAUCUAGUAGAAGGUCUAAUGCUUUCAUAUGGAUUGUCAAAAAAUCAUCUAGAUGGAAGUUGACAAGCUAUUGGCAAUCAGAUUUAUUAGAAAAGUCAAAUAUUCAGAUUGGUUGGCGAACGUGGUGGUAAUUCCAAAGAAAAAAGGGAAAGUGGUGAGUUUACGUUGACUACACUAACCUGAAUAAUGCUUGUCCAAAGGAUAGUUUUCUCUUACCUAGAUAGAUUAGAUAAUCAACGCCACAAUCGAGCAUGGGGUGCUAUCCUUUUUAGAUGCCUUUUUCGGAUACCACCAGAUCCCUAUGUUAUAGCCAGAUGAGGAGAAAAUAGUCUUUGUCAUGCCACAAGGACCAUAUUGUUAUAGAGUCAUGUUGUAUGGACUCAAGAAUGUUGUCGCUACCUACCAGAGACUAAUGACAAAAAUCUUCAAGCCCUUGAUCGACAGAACUAUGGAAGUCUACAUUGAUGACAUUCUUGUAAAGAAUGAGACCCAAGUUGAGCAUGUUCAGCACCUAGAAGAAACAUUCCAUUUGAUACGAGCAUACAACAUGAAGCUCAAUCUAGUUAAAUGUGCCUUCGACAUCAAUGUAGGAAAAUUUCUAGGGUUUAUGGUAACCCAAAGGGGAAUUGAAGUUAAUCCAGCUCAAGUGAAAGCCGUCUUGGAAACACCUGCUCCAAAUAACAAAAACAAAUUGUAGCACCUUACAGGCCAUCUCACAACUUUGGGUCGUUUCAUAGCUCGUUUUAUAGACAAGAUGCAACAUUUUUUCCUCACAUUUAAGGGGGCAAGCACGUUUGGCUGGACAGACGAAUGUAAACAGGCAUUUGAGGCAGUCAAACACUACCUCAUUGAACCACCUAUUCUAAUCAACCCCAAAUUCGACAAAGAACUUUACAUGUAUCUGGUCGUAUCUAAUUACACUGUCAGUGUCAUCCUAUUUCGACAUAUACUAGACAAGGAACAGAAACCCAUCUAUUAUGGGAGCAAAGUAAUGGUGGAUGCUGAGACAUGGUAUUCCUAAGUAGAGCAAAUUGCUCUAGCACUAAAGAGUGUAGCUCAAAAGCUCCACCCACACUUCUAGGCUCAUCAAGUGAUCAUACUUACAAACCAGCCGCUUCGAGUCACCUUGCACAAGCUAUCCGGAUGAAUGUUGAAAUGGGCAAUCGAGUUGAGUGAGUAUGAGAUCAAGUAUCAAUCGUGGUUAUCCUUAAAAAGACAGGUUAUGACCAAAUUUAUAGUUGAACUCCAUGAAAAAAAAAAAAACCACAUCCGGUCAAUCGCCCUAGAAAGCAAUGGUGGAUAUUUCAUGUAGACGGAGCAUCCAAGGUGUCUAGAUCCGGAGUGGGUCUGCUCCUGCAGUCAUCAACUGGGAAACUAGUAUAAAAAACUAUCCACCUUAGCUUCUCGUUUUCCAACAACGAGGCAAAAUAUGAAGCUAUGCUAGUCAGGCUAGAUCUUACCCUAAUGUUAGCCAUAACCAAGUUGGAAAUCAUGAGCAAUUCUCAGCUAAUUGUUGGGCAGAUUCAAUAAGAGUAUGAAACAAAGGAUGAAUGUAUGACGCGAUACCUUGCCCUGGUGGAAAAACACCUGAAAAAGCUAGACGAAUGGAUUAUCAAACAGGUGCCGUAAGAGGACAAUGAAAAUACCAACACACUAGUCGAGCCAGCUGCCACUUUCCCCAUAAAUGGGACGGUAAUGCUACCCAUUUACCUCGAAAUCAAGUCUUCCAUCACUCCUAGGCUAGUAUGCAAUAUCGGUUAAAUAGACUCAGGAUGGAUGCUUGACAUCAUAAAAUACCUCCAAACAGGGGAUGUACCAAAAGACAGAAAGCAAACACACAAACUUUGCAUACAAGCAACAUGCAUCACUUUAAUUAAUGAUCAACUUUAUAAACGAUCAUUUGAAGACCCAUAUCUAAAGUGUUUGAGCAAGCCAGAGUUCAAGUAUGUCCUAAUCAAACUCCAUGAUGGCAUAUACAACAAUCACCUAGGGGGGCAAACUUUAGCGCACCGUGCCUACACGUAAGGAUAUUAUUGGCCCACCAUGAAGUGGGACACUGAAAGCUAUGUCAAAAGAUGCGAUCGAUGUCAAUGACACAUUCCCAUUCCCUGUGUACCUUCGAAAGUCCUCAAUUUGGUCACAAGUCCUUGGCCAUUUGUGUAGAGGAAUGGACAUAGUCAACCCCUUACGUAUUGGAGCAUCGCAAAAAAAGUUUUUGCUCGUUGCAAUCGACUACUUCAGCAAGUGGGUGGAGACAGAAGCUUAUGUCAGUAUCAAAGACAAAGAUGUUUCUAGAUUUGUCUAGAAAAACAUCAUAUGUCAAUUCGAAAUUCCACGAGCAAUUAUCAUGGAUAAUAGGCCCUAAUUUGAUAGGAUCGUCUUCUGAACAUUUUGUUCAAAGCUAAACAUUAAGAACUUUCACUCAACACCCCACUAUCCGCAAAGCAACAGACAUGCCAAGUCAACAAACAAAGCCCUAUUAAAUGCUUUGAAGAAAAUGUUGGCAAGAAUAAAAGGAAAAUGGGUAAAUGAAUUGCCCAAAGUUUUAUGGGCCUACCAGACAACAUCUAGACGGCCAACAGGAGCCACUCCCUCGCCUUUGCUUAUGGGAUGGAAGCCAUCAUUCCAACCAAAAUUGGCAUGCCUACUACCAAAAUAGCAGUGCAAGAUAAAAAAGACAACAAUGAACUCAUAAGGCAACUAGAUUGUGUUGAAGAAAAGUAAGAAACUCCAGCUAUCCGAAUAGCUUCUUACUAUUAGAGGGCAAUCACUCAGUACAACAAAAAGGCACGACUACGGUUUUUUCAGUUAGGAUCUUUGGUUCUUAAAAGAGUCUUAAAAAACACAAUUGAAAUGGGACAUGGAAGCUAUAAGCUAAUUGGGAAGGACCUUAUGUUGUAAUUAAGGUAGGAGACUUGGGGGCAUAUCACCUCCAAACACUAGACGACGUGUCUCUGCUCUUCCCUUUGAAUGUAACUAACUUAAAAAUAAUAUAGCAAAGACAAAUUGCUAAAAAGAGCACACUAGAAGGAAAAUUAAUAAGUGUAUUCAUAAUUGAGCAUACAUUGUGUAUAUAGGCAUAAAAAUCUAGGCCACAAUUGGCUAAAGAAAAGAAAAGUAAAAGAAGUCAAGUCUGCUCAUCAUGGGAGCCGUCUUCAACGGAAGGGUCCGUCUCCUAAACCAUGUCCAUCUCUUAGUGCAGGACUACCCGAAAACUCAUCUUCCUCAUCAUCAGAAGGGAACCUAGGAGUAUUGUUUGCAAUGUCAUGCUUCUUCAUACAACACCGGUAGCCAUAGAAGAAUAUGUCAUCAACCUGCUUCUAAUAAUCUGUUUCUAUAUCAUUCUUUUGAGUGGAAAACCCUUCCCGAAUAUCUUAUAGCUCACUUCUCAACUGGGCAGUCUUCUCUUGAACCUUCUCUUUUUUGGCCGCAAUAACAACCUUCUCCUUAGCCAGGCAGCGAGCCUUGGCCUGGGAUGCUUUCUUCUCUUCCUCGACUUUCCUCAGCAGGCAGACACCCUUUCAACCAACUUUUGGGUAGUAACAACCUUACCCAUUGCCGUCUUCAUGACGACUAAGAGCUCCUCAUUUUUGUCCAUGUUAUGGGCGAUAUAUGCCAUCAUGGUUUCGAUUGCUUCUAGUCGUUGGAAAAGGUGCGCUUGUUGUCGUAUGAGGUUACAAACCUCGACUAUCAUCUAGGGGUAGCAAAGAUCAUUAUGAAAUAAGACACUAAAGGAAAAAUGAGAAAAGUCACAAGUGAAAAAGAGGGGGACGACUAACCACUUCCACUGUCUCAAAAGCAGUGUAGUCCCUCAUAUGAAUGAUGCGAACAAUGGCAAUGUCCGGAGUACCAUAAAGAAGUCGCGCCAUGAAAGACUAAUUAGGGUCUUCAUCCACCUCAACCAGAAUUCGUUGCAUAGCUGGAAAGAGCUCUUUAUGUCCUACACUAGAGGCUCCAUUUCGGUAAAGGUUGGGAUACGCCUUAUAAGCUUAGACAAUUUCUUCAUGCUGGGAACAUAGGCUGGCUUUGGGCCGUGAGGAGAAGGAUUUAGACACUUGAAUGAAUCCUCAUUGAUGUUCCCUAAGACGACAAAGGGUUUCCUCAUCUCGUGGUUGGGAAUAUCACCAACAUAUGAGGGUUUAUCAUUCAAACCUGAGUCGACAAUGUUGGCUUGGACGGAGAGUCCAAACCGGGAGCUGGAUGAUCCUUCUUUGAAGAAGAUGGGCCAAUAGCGAUAGACUCAGACAGGCACUUACAUUGCCUCUUACGGAAUCUGGCUCUCAAAUUGGUAGCCAUCUCCUCUUCUUCGUUCUCAUCGUAAAUAAUUAAGGGCACCAACUGACUCUCUUGCUUCUGUCUCGUCAUUGGAAGAUGAAAAGGACAAAAAAAAAAAAAAAAAAAACGGAGAAGGCGAUGAAGACAGCAAGGCAGGAGGUGGAGUUCUCGUUUUUUUGAUGGAACGAGUCGCGGGCUUCUUAUUUUGGGCAUAAAGACGAACAACGAAGUUGGAAGCCGGACGACUAGCAACUUGAGCUUGCUUCAGUGUUCCCUCCUAGUGUUUCUUAUCACGUUCCUCUAAAAAAGCCUGAUGUGCUUUAGAAUAAGCCAAACAAGCAACCUUGUAGAAAAGUACAUCAUUCAGCACGAAAUGUUUGUCAGGCACUAAAGACGAAGAAGCUAGCCGGGAAUACACUAGGAUGAUCAAGACAUUGAAUUUUCAAUUAAGACCUGGAGGUUUUUAUCUGAUAGAAGAAAGUUGUGAGCCCAUUCAACAGCAUCAAUCUUGAACAACUUGUUUAAAUAGGCAAAUGAAGCCUUCUCCACCCACUCCGCAAGACGUCCCCACCUCUCUUUGCAUGUAUUAGACAAACAUGAAGAUCGUGAGUAGGUUAGCAACAAGGAUAGAAUAGUAGCAAGACAAGACGAAAAUGGUAAAAUCAUAGUCUACUUGGAAUCUUCAACAAAUGUUGCGGAGCAAAAACUUUAUCUAGACCCUCAAAAGAACCACUCUAGGGGCCAAACACCAAAACAUGCCCCUUCGCUCAGCCUUUGCUUGAGUUCAAAAAAUUGGUCACGAAUUGGAGAGAAGGGAUGUGGGCAAAUAAGUUGAACCUUUCCUUUGGGUUCAUCUUGACAGUGUAGAUGAGUAAGACUUCUAGUAGAGGAAGAUCUAAUUGGAAAAGCAUAUCCAACACAUUGCACCCCAUCGAUAUCCAGAUUAUGUUCGUAUGAAGGAAAGUAGGAGGAAUUUGUGUGAAGUGAAGAAAUUGUUUAAGAAGAAAAGGAAGAUGAAGACGAAGCCCCACGGAAAACUGUUCUUUAGUAAAGUAUAUCAUGUUAUUCAGGAUAUCGACUGACGAUAAAGCUUCGUCGACUGAUAGUUGAAUCAAGAUGGUGUCCAGAACUCGAAAACGAGCACGAAACUCCUGCUUGGACAGGUCACCAACUGGCAAUUUAGCUUAGAGUGCCCGACUCUAGCAUUUUUUUCAUCUGCCUUGCUGAGGCCUUCUGUUGGUAUUAGUAAUUCAUCCUCUAUCCAUUAUAUCAUAGGGAUCUGGGUUGUGUGGAAACCUGCACGGAUCAAUGUAGUUGGCGGAACCAAUCAAUCAACCCAUUCGUCGUUUGGUGUUGCCCUAGUAACGGACAUUUAAAACUAAAUGAACUAUAAUCUAAAUCUAGAUGGAUUUGAUUGUGAAAACUUGUAGAAAAAACUCCUUCGCCAAUGACGAACGCUGAAUCGCAUACAUCACACCUUCGCACCAUCACGAUGAUAGUGAAAGCAUGAGACAACAACACAAAUACAAUGACGACAUAGAAGCAAACAAGAAGUCUAAAACACCCAAAAUCUGGACAUUGAUAUGUCCAUUUUCUCUCCAAACAAACAACACCAACACAAUCAGAAAAGCAAAAACUAGCCCAACAAAGAAUCAAAAUGACAGUAAAAAACUUACCUAAGCUAAGACCAAAACGCUUUUAGGCGAGAAAAGAAAUCCUCUAGUAGCAUACUAGUUGACGACGAUGGAAGUGAAAAGACGCAAUCGAUGGUAAGCAAAGUAAUGACAAAGAAGCAACAUAGACAAGAGAACACUAUGUAUAGGAAAUGCACCAAAUGACACGCAUCCCUUGGCGCCCAAAAACUAAAAAAAAACAGAUAAUCCAUCAUGCCCCAGUUCAUCAGCAACCUGACCAAACAGAGGUAGACGGAUUAGGAGGAAUUGUGGGAAGCUUCCCUCCACUUGUCCUUCAUAGGCUCAAGACCCUUUGGUCGCCCAAGGCAAGCAAAUAAUCCAUUUGGGAAAAAUUUAUUUGGACUAAGACAAGCUCUAUUUGGCGUAAGAGGAAAGACAAAUUUCCUUCUUCCCCAAUGCUAGACAGAAUGGAUAAACCAAGCUGACUGUGGGACUUUUAGAUGAGCAACCAAGCUAGUAGGAAAUUCCAAGCAUUGAGCGGAUGAUUAACCACCAACAAUGCCUAAGCGACAAUCAAAACAACAUUUACACCCAAAAAUCAAUGUCCUUCAAUUGUUAUUCGCAAUUAUUGACAUUGAAAAACGUAAAUGCACAACCAACCACAUGGUCCAGGAUGUUUGCAUGAUAGACAACAAAUGGCGCCAAUCAACAACUUUUAUUUGGUAUGAUUUCCCAAUCCACUCUAAGAUAAUGGCGUUGACUACCUUAUUAUGGCAUAUUAUUCGCCAUGACGACAAUCAUAAGUGCAAGAAAUGCAUGAAUGCACAAUCAACGAUGUGACGAUGGUGCCAUACAUUCUAUAAAAACCCCUCCAUAAGCAUGAAAAAGGUAUGUGUGUACAUAGCCAUUCAAAAAGUUAGAUUUACUCUUGCUAGACUUAAGUUUCAGAGGGGCAUGCCUGGACCACCUGUCCGGACAUCUUUUUGUGCAAGAAAAUAAUCCAUCUGACUUUGGUGAAAUUAGACGAGCCUGCAUCUAGUUGGCACAACACCAACUGACUCCAUUUUUUUUAUUGAAAUGAUAUAAAAAAAAAUACGUACAAAAAAAAUUCUCAUAAAAUCUUGAAAAACUAAUAAAUUUUUAUAUGACUUGAAAUUACAUGAAUAGUGGUGAGUUUAUGUCUUGAUAUAUGAAACUAUCUUAAAAUGGGCAAAUAGGUAAUCUAAGCUCGUAGUUCAUAAUUUUUAAAUUAAUUUAAUUUGUGGAAAUCAAUAGUUUUCAAUCACAAGACAUAUUACAAGUGUAGGAAUUCUAAAGUUCUAUUCCAAAAUCAGAGAUAUUACCUCUUACUUGAAAUCUUCAAUUUAUCAACCUUCAUUACUUCAAUAAGUUAAUCCAAGGUCACUCAAACUAAAUAUUUAUAAUUAAUGUAUUAAAGCCUAAAUACAUGGUAACCUAUAUUAAGAAAAACUAAAGAUGAGAUUACCAUGACUUGUAGCAUCUAGGUUGUCAUCCCCUAAGAUCCAUAUACUAGACUAUUCAACAAAGCAAAUCCUCUAUCUACAUUGAAAAUGUCUAAAAGUAAAGUUUUUUAUGAAACUAAUUCUUUUUCACACCACUAUCAUGAAAGUAAUAAAAUCUAUAGUAAAAACUUUUGAAGAGUUCAAAAAUCUAAUUUUAGAUUCAUAGAUUGAGAUAGUAACUUUUAACCCUAAGACAAAUAUCAAAGUUCACUAUGAUUGAAUUAGAUCUUAAGAUCAAUUUGCAUCUAGUGUUAAUAUUUAAGUUUAAGGUACUAUUCUCUUAAACAAAUUUAACAUGUCUAUUAUUUCAAUUUUGAGUUUAUAUACUUUCAUUACUAAUAUCCAUCAUGUAGGUUUGAUUCCUAGAGUUUCUCUCAGUGGAUCAAAUCAAGUUGACUAGUGAUCAAUGUAUCCCCAAACAUCACUAGUACCAUAGUAAGAAUCCUUUGUACUUAACCUAAGCCAAACCACAUAGAGGAUUAUUCUAAUUAAUUUAAACACAAAAUAUUUAUAAACAAUCCAAAUGAACUUUAAUGUUCUAUCGCACAUCUCUCUAUAUAUGAAUCAUCUAUCUUUAUGUUACUAUUAGGAAAACAACCUUUAGAUCUAGAUUAAAGAGUGCAUGCAACUAAGAUCCCAAGUGUAGUGAAAAGAUGCCUAUUUUUUCAAAAAAUUAUUCUAAGGUGUUCUUAAAAAACAUACCCUUGGAUUCGAUCCAAAUCUUUUUCCUAAUUUGCAGUAGAAAUCUCAAAUGCAUUGUGAUCUUCUACCUGAUGACUCUCUCUUGGAUCUUAGCUAUAAAGAAGAAUGGACCUCUCUUUAGAGGAAGUGAUGGUUAUGAUUUCUCUCAAAACAAAUUAUAAGACAACAUUUAGUCUAACCCUAAAUCCUAAGAGGAUUUAUAUAAACUAUCAAUUAGGCUUAAGUGACUAAGGCUCAUCAUAUGGGCUUAGGUUGUUUAAUCUUAGCCUAGUAAGUCUUAUUUAAUUAAUUAUGCUAAAUGGCGUCAAUUAAUUAAAUAGAUUAAAAAGAAAACCCAUAAGUCAUUUAAUCAUAAGCCCUUGCACAACCUUUGCUUAUACAAAUGCACCCUUAUGCAUACUUAUAAUUAAGUACUAAAAAAGUUCUCAAAAUAAAUACCACCAAAAAGUGUGAGCUCGAGUGGGACCACCAAAACCCAUAGGAAAGUAUGUAUUAGCUCCCUUAGAAUCAAAUUCUAAAAUUCACUCAACAUUCCAUUAAAAAAAAAGUCAAUUGCACUUCAAUAUCUUAUGAUAUUAGAUGGAGAUAGAAAACUUGGGUCUAUCACUUACUAUCCAUUGUAUGUAAGUUCCUUAUGAACUAAUGUUUAUAAUCCAAAAAUGUAGUAGCUAUCAAUCUUUAAAGAUCACUUCUCAAUCCUUGAGUCUUAAAUCCUCCUAUACCAUGACAAUUUGACAUACUCUAGUCCAGAAAGGAUGUAUGUCAAAUUUCGUUGAAGGAACUGCUAUAGCCAUAUACUACAUGAUCAUGAAAUCCUUGGGAUCAUGCAAAAGGAUAUAUUGUCUCAAAUCCAUGAGAUAUUAUAAUGUCUCUAUGGAUCAUAAUAUCUAUUGUUACUUUCCAAAACAGUCAGUCACCCAAUCCUUUGGGAAUAUAUAAUCACUUUAAGAUUUUACCCAUAGAUCAAAGUGAUUGAUGACCUCUACAUUAGCAUAAUAUUCUCUAAAGGUUGAGAACUCAUGCAAUUAAUAUUUAGUAGUUUUGACAACCCGAUAAUCAUUAGUCAUGAUCCUCCAAAGGUCUUGUUCAAUCUGUAACCAUACACACUAGUACACUUAUCAUGGUAAACCUAUCCUGAUGAGCAAAAUUAUUUAUUCCACCACUUAAGAGGUAGUAUACUAUGACUUUUGAUGGAUUGCCUAAGUCUAAAAACCAGUCAUAAACUAACUCAUCAACUUGUAAGAUGUUAGGAUAAAGCCUUUAAGAACAUGACAUGAUAUAACAAAAUUUAGAAUUUAUUAUUUAUUAAUAAAGUUCCAAUUUUACUUAUAUCUAUCCUUAUUUCAUGCAAUAUACUUUAUAAAUAUUCUGGUUUACAUCUUUUGCAUUGUACAUGAAUUGGAUGCAUUAGGAGUUAUAUAGAAAAUCUAAGUCAUGAGUCCCUUACAAGAGGAUGACUUGUUCACAACUAGUUCGUGUUCCUAGGCAGCCCAUUAGAAAAUGUAGUGCACUACCUCCUAAUUGGAGGGAUAAUUGGUUUUGGCCAUCAAGAUGGGUUUCCUGUACUAGUGUGUAUGGUUACAUAUUGGAUAAGACCUACAGUGAGUCUUGAUGUAAGACUCUCAAGUAGUUAUGAAUUCACCAAGUUGUUUCAUUGUGUUGUUUUUCAACAUUGAGUGAAUAUUGAGUUUAUACUAAAAUUAGUAGUGGUUUUGACCUACAAGUGAGAUUUUAAAGGGAUCAUAUAUUCCCUUAUGGAUUGACUCACUAUUGAUGGAACUUAUAACAAUAGGUAUUCUCAAUAAAGGUACCAUUUUAUCUCAUGAGAUUAAGAUAAAGUGUCUUAUUUGGUAAUCCUAAGAAAGUGUGUUUAUAUAAAUUAUGACUAUAGUAGUUCCUUAAGCGGUAUUGGACAUAAGCUCUUUGUAAGCUAAGAUUGAACAAGCAUAAAAGAAGAAUAGCUUAAUAAGGGCAAACAAAUUUAAGUUAAAACUGUUUUUCACAAGAAGGAAAAAAGAGAGAAGGCCACACAAGAGUGAUAAUUAGAAAAAUAUUAUGUACUAGUAACAAAAUGAUGGAGGGUCCCAAAGAGAAUUGUCUUUCACUUAAGCAUGAAUCUUAAAAAAAGUGAUGGCAACUUUUGGCCACUCAUAAUCACUACUUGAAAUGCUAUUCUUCACCAUACCACCAUAAAAUUGGUAUCUUUAAUCCACUUCUCAGCAAACAACAUUUUGAAAAGAAAAAUCCCUUUCAUCCAUUUUGGAGAAACACCAUCUAGUUACAAAUGAAAUUCUAAUCUAAGAAUUUAGCCAUAAGUAGUUCUUCUAUGAAAUAGCAUUCCAAACACACCUUCGUAUGGUCAAAAGUCAUCCAACUCAAAUACUAGAAUGAGUAGACUCGAUCUAAUUUUAUGACUCCGAAUGAAAUAUCUGCUCCUUGGAAUAAAAUGUAAAGAAUAUUUUUCUUUUAAUUUAUUUUAGGGAAACAUCUCCUAGGAUGUGGUCAGAAAGAAAAUUUAGAAUGCAUUUGGGAGUGAUUCUAAAAAGCGUUUCUCACAUUUUUAACCCUUGAAUGAUAAAAAUUUUCAAGUAUUAGAAAUAUUAAAAGCGCUUCUUAUAAUCACUACCAAAUGGGCUUUUAAUACAAGAAUAUAGUUAAAAUAAUCUAGAAAGUUGUAUUGGAAACAUUCCUUCAAUUAGAAAAAAAAAUUAAAUUAACAUUUUUAACAAGAUCAACUUAUUAUGAUUAAUUAUAAAUUUAAAAUUUUGUAGAAAUACAUAAUCAAGAUCCGAUUAGACUAGCGUUGCCAAUACAUGUCUGAUCCAAAAUGAAUUCGGAGUGAUACUUCUUUUCAAACCCAACUUAAAUUAUAAAUUAAGGAAUCCAAGAUUCUAAAAGAUGGUGCCAAGGAGCACGUAACAAUAAUGAUGAGAUAAGAAAAUAAGUGUAGACUGAAUACAGAAGAAUUGGAACCAAGUAGAGUUGAAAGUGAAUUGAGAGUGAAAGGACAGCUUGUAAGAGGACAUUUCUGGUUCUCAUUCAAAGUAAUGAAUUCUAUGUCGGUAGGCGUUCUGUUCUGCCUUCCUUGUUUUCUUUCUCUUUCACAAGGACUUGAUUAGGAAGACUUGAAGCCAAACCGAAGCAUUCCCACUUGCAACUUAGAUUAUCACUACAUUUGUCAAAGUCAAGUUGGACCAAGUGUUCAGUUUGGGUGUGAAUACAUUAACCAAUAAUUAUAUCAGCAAUAGCUUGAUAGGGUUUAUUCAGAGAGGACAACUUAAAAGGUGAAACGCAUCACACUAAUUUAGGAAAUUUUAGAAAAUGAUUGGACUAUAAUAAUACCCAAGCGAAGAAGAAAAAAUAAAUGGUAUUAAAAGCUAAAAUGAUAGAUGAAAUGUUUGUGGAUGACCUCUAAUCAGUUUUAUUUUUCUUUUUAAUUUUUUUUUAAUUUUAGCACUUAAAUGUUGGGUUUGAUUAAACAAUUAAUGAGAGAUAGAUAAUAGAAAUGAAUUGGAAACAGGCAUUGAUUGCAUGUCCUUAGACGGUUUUAUUUUUUAAAGGAAAGACAAAUGUUAAAACACACUCUUAAACUCUUUCUCCACUUGUCCAUUUUUUUUUUCAAAUAAAAAUAAAUAUGAUUGGAUAAACAUACCCUCUUCUUCAUCUUCUUAAUACCACUCCCUCACCAACCUUAGUUCUUCAAUUUCCUUCCCUUCCCUUCCUUCACCUACUAUAUAUUAUUGCUAUUACAGAAAGGGUUUUCCUUUAAGGUUAGGAAAGAUCAAACCAACUUAAUAUUUAUGCAAGUAAUGGAAAUAAAUUAUAUUAAGGCUACUCUUCCCAAAAUCAAAAGUAUUAAAAAGUUCAUGAAAUUUAAGGAAGAACAUACCAAACUAGUAACAACUCUUUUUUUAGGACAUUAAUGGCUCAGUUGAUCACCAUGCAUGAAAUUUAAUGGUUCAUGGAGGAUAAGUAUCUCUUAAUAUAUUUCAUAUUUAAUUCCUUGUCUCUUAAACAAUAUGGGUCAUUUCAAUUGAAUUAUAAUAUUUUUAAGGAUAAGUAGAAUGUUAAUAAAUUGGUUACUACCCUUGUCCAAGAGGAGAUAGGGCUAAAGCAACAAAUGAACUCAUGCACUUCAUUUUAUAAGCUUUCAACUAGCUAGAAAGAAGUCUACAAAGGGCACAAUCCAAUGACCAUAAUUGAAAUUAAAUGAGUCUUAUAAAGAUUCCCAAAAGAAUGAACAACAAGAAUAAUAAAAUAUCAUUUUUGAAAGAAAAUUGGGCAGUAUAAAAAAGAUUGCUAGCUAGAAACAUAAUGCAUCAUUUUUUUUAGAAAGAUAAGUUGAGUACUUACAUACAUUUUGAAUCAAAUUUAACAGAAGAUCCUUACAACCCUUAGUGGAUUGAUUCACACAUAACUACUCAUAUUUCUAACACAGCACAAGGAUUCUAUAAAAUCCAAAUCAUAAAUCUAAAUGAGAACUUAAAUCCAAUCAAAGCUCCAAUUGAAGCCGCUAGAAUUUGGCAUUUGAAUUUUAAGCUCCAAUUAAAUACAUUGGGAUUUAUUGUUUGAAUUUUAAACAACCAUUAGACUUGUUCUAGACACUUCAUAUAUAUUGUUUUCAAGCAAUUUGAUUUCUUUGUCUAAAAUUGAUGCUUCUGGAUACACUUUCAAAUUUAGGAAUAGGUGUUUCAAUUUUUCUAAAAAUAAUCAUCUCCUAAAUUUUAGUAUCUUACAUGAUGAUUUGUACAAGUUGAAAGGUGAGAAUCUUCUAAAUUAUAAAAAUUUUAGUACCAGAAUGUUUAGUAGAUAAGCCUUUAGCUUUCUUGUGGCAUAAAUGUUGGGGAUUAGUUAAUAAUGAAAUUCCUCCAAACUUAAAUUUAACUGAUACUCAAUGUGUAUGUGGAUUAUAUUAGAGUAAAACCAACUAAACUCCCUAAGAAAUGAGGUACUAGGAGAAUAAAACUUCUUGAGAUUAUAUACAUGAUAUAUGUAGGCAUUUUGAUACCCAUCAUUUGGUGGAGAAAAAUAUUUGUCAAUUUUAUUGAUGAUUUUCCACGUCAUGAUUAUGUUUACCUAUUGCAUAAAAAAAAAAAAUAAAAAAAUAAAAAAUCUCAAUUAACGAGCAUCUUUGGGCCAUACACUAGUGGGGUUGAAAGAUAUAAAAAAGAUGAAAAUUGUAAAGUCAUAUGUGGGUGGUGACUAUUAUGAUAAUUACAAUGAAUCAAUAAAUGUCUUGGAUCAUUUGCUAAAUUCCUUGAAAGAGAUGACAUGUGUGCUCAAUAUGUUAUGUAAGGCACACUAAUAAAGUGAUGUAAUUGAAAAACAUAAUCGUACUUUGAUGAACAUGAUUAAAAGUAUUUCAAGUAAUUUGUUUUUAUCCUUUUUAUUGUAGUUACAUUUUUUGAAAACCAUCAUUUAUUUUUUGAACUGCAUUCCUAGUAAGGCAUAUCCAAAGUUUCCUUUCAAACUAUGGACUAAAAGAAAACCUAGGUUAAGGCACAUGCACGUUUGAGGUUGUGAUGGGGGUUAGAAUAUGUAAUUCAAAGGGAAAGAAAUUAGAUUUUAAAAUGAUAAGUGGAUAAUUUAUUGGUUGUCCAAAAUAGUCUAGAAGUACAAAUUAAAUUUAUUGUCCAACUUAUAGUCCAAGGAUUUUAGAAAUUGGAAAUGCUAGAUUCAUAGAAAAUGGAGAAAUUAGUGGGAGUGGAGAACCGUGUAAUAUGGUUAUUAAUGAAGAAGUUAGGAUACAAGUUCCUUUACCCAAAACUUCAAAGGUUGUUGUUCCUAUAUAUACAAUUGUCAAACAAUUUGAUAACAUUUAAGAACAAAAAGUGAAUGAUCAAGCUUUUCAUAAUGAAACUAUAUUAAUUAACCCGUAGUAGACGAACCACAUGAAAUAGCAUUAAGGUCUCAAAAGAAAGGAGAUUAUGAAAAUCAUGUGGUACAUUUAUAAGUCAAUAUUUAACUUAAGAAUCAAUAAAGAUCCUACUUCAUUUUCACAUGCCCUAAAAGGUAUUGAUUUAGUUAAUUAAAUGGGUCGAUGCUAUGAAAUAAGCUAAAAUCAACAAAACAAAGUUGGCAUCUUGUUGAAUUGUUUGAAAGUCAUAAAAAUUUCUAUGUAAAUAGGUCUUUAAAACCAUGAAUAUAGUAGAAAUUUUGGCAAUAUAAAACCAUAUUGUUUGCCAAAGGUUUUAAUAAAAAGAAAAUGGCACAAAUAACGUAUUUCAUUGACAAGGGAGAGAUCUAGAGUAUUCACUUGCCAAGGUUAAAAGAUUCCCCCACAAUAAUAAUCACCUUCAACAAUAAUUAACAACCUAACAAGAAUCAAGAUUGAUAAUUAAGAAAAUUCAACCAAAAAGGGGACACCAAAUAUAACAUGGAAAAACCCUCCAAAUGGAGAUAAAAAACCACUGAAUUCUACUUUAAUAAGGGGGGAUACUAUAAUUAAGUCCUCAAAUUUCUUCGUCUUGAAAAGUUAUAUAAAUAUCUCAAUACCUAAGGUGGGAAUCCAUCACCUUAGGAAACAUGAACAGAAAGAAAUUAGGGAAAAAAAAUAUACCAUAGGGACUUCCCAAAAAGGUUGAUGAAAAAAACUUGUAACUUCACUUUGAGUCCCAAAAUAGUGCCCAAAAAACAACCCUAAUUUUAUUUUUAUUUUUAAAUCAAAUCUUCCUUCUCUCAUAAUACCAAAGAUCUAAUGCUCAUGGGUUAAACAAACAUAGCCUAACAAUCUCCCCCUCUAGCACAUGAGCGAGGAAUGCCAAUCUAUAACUCCAACACAUGGAGUUUAAACCCUGCUGUCGUAAUGGACAAUUGAAGCUUCUACUGGGGAACAACCUUUAUAAAUAUAUCUGAGGCAUUGUUGUUUCUAUUAAUCUUCUUCAAUUUGGCUACAUUUUCUUCAACUAUAUUGUCCUUUCACAUAUAUUUUUCUUAAUUUUUAUGUUUUUUUUAAAUAAAAAUAAAAAAAGAGAUGUGGAUAUAAAAAGAGAAAUGAUGGAUGUGUUUAAAAUUUAUCUUCCCUAAAACAUUCUCAUAUUAUCUUUUUAAAAGAAUUCAAAAAUACUUUCUACUAAUUUUUUUCUUAUUUUCAUUAUUAUUAUGAUUAUUAUUAUUAUUUUUCAUGAUAUUCAAAUAUAAGAAAACAUCUCCCUUAAUAUGCAAAAUUUUCAAAUUUUCAUAAUUAUUAUUUGUAAAAGGUGGGGCCAUUGAAUAAGACUUCCUUAAGAGAGCCUUGAUUCUCUCUCUCUCUCUCUCUCUCUCUCUCAUCCUUCUAUUUUCUUGCCAAUUUAAAAAGACUUUAGGAAGACCUUGAUGCCUAAAACUAUAUACAAAGUGAACCCUCAAUUAGGCCGAAACAUCAACCUCAUACUCUCAUGAUCAAUUCAAUAAUGUUUCCGACCAAUAAAACUCUUGUAUAAAUGGUCGAAAAAUGUCUACAUAAUUAAAUUUAUUUUUUAUCAGAUGAAUUAAGAAUUAUAAUUAUAGUUGAAACAUGGUCUUUGAGAAGACAACUGAAAAUAAUUGAAACCUUAUGAAAAUAUUUAGGAGAGGUGAGAAAAUGUUGAUCACCAUACCGAGUAAUGUGAAUAAAUGGAAAGAAAAAAUGUUCAGCUUAAAGAAUUGACCAUUCACUACGUGUUGUUUGAGCUAAACAAAAGGUAGGCCAAAAAAAAUGACUGAGACUUCCUUUUUAUGUUGAUGGAACGCACAAAAGAAUUCCGAAUUUCCAAGUGAUAAUGACUUUAUUAUUAUAGAUAGUUUUAUAUUUUCAUUAUAAAAUGAAAUGGUGCAAAUAUUGAAUUCAUUCAAUAUCACUGUCUUUCUAAAUUAAGUCAACUAUACAUGUAUAAGUCUAUAAAAUUGAAUUAAAUAUUUAUAUUCUUUUAUCAAAAUAAUACAAAAUCAUAGUUAAUAUGUUUUUUUAAGAACAAAAGCAGGAAAUAAAUAAAUAAAUUUCCACACAAAUUGUUGUGUGGAAAAAAUGAAUAAAUUUUUGAAAAAGAAAAUAAUAAAUUGUUGUGUGACUUGGAAUAACAUGAAUGGGAAAAUAAUUGAAAGAAAAAGCAAAAAUGGUCAAAUUAAGGUGAUGUUUGUUAUUUUACUUCAUUCUAAAUAGAACUUUAAUAUUUAAUAGUAUUAAGUAUUAGACUAUUUAUUUCUAUUAAGUAUUAAAAGGUAAAGAAAAUCAAUAUAUAUUACUUUUUAUAUUUAGAAAAAAAAACCAAAUAUUUUGACUUUUUCUAUUUAACAAAAAAUUUAUAAUAAGUCAUGAAAAAAAUAUAAAAACAAACAACCAAAAGUUUGAAAAUAAAUUGCUUUUACAAAAAACUAAAAAAACAAACACCCUCUAAGAUUUUGAUUAAUAAUGAUAUUAAUGGUCAAGAGUGAAGAGAUUAAAAGGGAACUCACUCCUCCAAAAGGUUUAAAUUGGAUCAUUCUUAAAACUUCACUUAAAGAUCAAUUUUAGCGUUAUGAUGGUUGAUUGAGAAGUGGAUUAAUUUUCUAAUAUUAAUUGUCCUAUGAUGAUGAUGAUGAUGAUUAUUAUUAUUAUUGUUAUUAUUAUAUUUAAAAUAUGCUGUGGAAAAAUGUAUAUAAAGAAAAAAACAAGAUAUAUAAAGUGAGGUGUCAUCUUAUGUGUAACUAUAUAACCGUUUCUCAUCUUGAAACAUCCAUAAAAGUAAUGUUUAAACAUGUGUGGGCUUAGUAGUCUCUCCCAGCUGCUGCCAAUGAGAAUUCUAUUCUUUUUAUGGAUUUUAUUCAUGCCCUUAUGCCCGAUCUUUUUUGGUAUGCAUUGUACUUCGGUGUCUGGCGAAUGUCUGAGUGAUGGGAGGGUAUGCCUGGAAGAUGAGGUGUUGUUGCUGCUGCAACUGAAGAGCAGCCUCAUAUUUAAUACUGCUGCAUCGAAUAAACUAGUUUCCUGGAUUCAAAGCGCGGACUGCUGUUCUUGGGGAGGUGUAACCUGGGACGCCACUGGUCGUGUUGUCUCUCUUGAUCUCAGUAGCGAAUUCAUUUCUGGUGAACUCAAUAGCUCCAGUAGCAUUUUCAGUCUACAAUAUCUCCAGAGCUUGAAUUUGGCUAACAACACCUUCUCUUCUCAAAUUCCAGCAGAAUUCCACAAGCUUGGAAACUUAACUUACCUGAAUUUGUCCAACGCUGGCUUUUCUGGGCAGAUUCCAAUUGAGAUUUCCUACUUGACAAAGUUGGUUACUAUUGAUCUAUCUAGCCUUUAUUUCAUCACCGGUAUCCCAAAACUGAAACUUGAGAACCCAAAUCUGAGAAUGCUGGUUCAGAACCUCAAGAAGCUAAGAGAACUCCAUCUUGACGGUGUAAUCAUAUCAGCCCAGGGAAAGGAGUGGUGCUGGGCAUUAUCAUCUUCAGUACCUAAUCUCCAAGUGCUGAGCUUGUAUAGCUGCCAUCUUUCAGGCCCUAUACAUUAUUCCCUGAAGAAGCUUCAGUCCCUCUCAAGGAUUCGUCUGGAUGAUAACAAUAUUGCUGCUCCAGUUCCAGAAUUCCUCUCCAAUUUCUCAAAUUUGACUCACUUGCAGCUCAGUUCUUGUGGAUUAUAUGGAACAUUUCCAGAAAAGAUCUUUCAGGUACCAACCCUCCAGACUCUUGAUUUGUCAUACAACAAGUUGCUCCAGGGUUCUUUGCCAGAAUUCCCUCAGGGUGGAUGUCUAGAAACCUUGGUGCUCUCGGUUACAAAAUUUUCAGGGAAAUUACCCAACUCCAUAGCGAAUCUCAAGAGGUUGGCUAGAAUAGAGCUUGCAGAUUGUGAUUUCAGUGGUCCAAUCCCAACGGUGAUGGCAAACCUUACUCAAUUGGUUUACUUGGACUUCUCUCAUAAUAAGUUCUCUGGUGCAAUCCCAUCUUUUAGUUUGUCCAAGAAUCUAACCCUAAUAGACCUUUCUCAUAAUAAUUUAACAGGUCAGAUUUCUUCCUCUCACUGGGUUGGUUUUGUGAAUUUAGUGACUAUUGACUUUUGUUACAAUUCACUGUAUGGAAGUCUCCCGAUGCCCCUGUUCUCCCUCCCGUCACUGCAGAAGAUAAAACUUAACAACAACCAAUUUUCUGGUCCAUUUGGUGAAUUUCCAGCUACGUCUUCUCAUCCCAUGGAUACCCUUGAUUUGAGUGGCAACAAUCUGGAAGGGCCAAUACCUGUAUCCCUCUUUGAUCUCCAGCAUCUUAACAUCCUUGACCUUUCUUCCAACAAAUUCAAUGGCACUGUUGAGCUAAGCCAGUUUCAGAAACUUGGAAAUCUUACUACUCUUAGUCUUUCGUACAACAACUUGUCCAUCAAUCCAAGUCGUAGUAAUCCCACUUCUCCUCUUCUGCCAAUUCUUUCCACGUUAAAAUUGGCUUCUUGCAAGCUCAGAACAUUACCUGAUCUUAGCAGCCAGUCAAUGUUGGUAAUUUUAGACCUUUCCCAAAACCAAAUUCCGGGGAAAAUACCAAAUUGGAUUUGGAAGAUUGGUAAUGGCUUUCUUUCUCAUUUGAAUCUCUCUCAUAAUUUACUGGAGGGUUUGCAGGAACCUUUGUCCAAUCUUCCUCCGUUUCUGUCUACCCUUGACCUUCAUUCCAACCAGCUCCGUGGGCCAAUCCCCACUCCACCAUCUUCCACCUAUGUGGAUUACUCAAACAACAGGUUCACCUCUUCCAUUCCCGAUGAUAUUGGUACUUACAUGAACGUCACUGUUUUCUUCUCUCUUUCAAAGAAUAACAUCACUGGAAUUAUUCCUGCAUCAAUCUGCAAUGCCCAUUACCUGCAAGUUCUUGACUUUUCUGACAACAGUUUAAGUGGCAAAAUACCCUCAUGUUUGAUUGAGAACGGGGAUCUUGCAGUGCUGAAUCUACGGAGAAACAAGUUUAAGGGCACUAUACCUGGGGAAUUCCCAGGUCACUGUCUUUUACAGACCCUAGAUCUCAAUGGGAAUCUUUUAGAAGGAAAAAUUCCAGAGUCUCUGGCCAAUUGCAAAGCAUUAGAGGUUUUAAACCUUGGGAACAAUCGGAUGAAUGAUAUCUUUCCUUGCUGGUUGAAGAACAUUAGCAGUCUGCGUGUUCUUGUUUUGCGAGCCAACAAAUUCCAUGGACCCAUUGGAUGUCCAAAUAGCAAUUCCACCUGGCCAAUGCUUCAAAUUGUCGAUUUAGCUUGGAACAAUUUUAGCGGUGUGUUGCCAGAAAAAUGUUUCUCAAACUGGAGAGCAAUGAUGGCAGGUGAAGAUGACGUCCAAUCCAAGUCCAAUCACCUGCGAUUUAAGGUCCUAGCAUUCAGUCAAUUGUACUAUCAGGAUGCAGUAACAGUUACCAGCAAAGGUCAAGAAAUGGAGCUUGUGAAGGUCCUAACUCUCUUCACUUCCAUUGAUUUCUCAUGCAAUAAUUUCCAAGGGGACAUACCAGAAGAUAUAGGAGACUUGAAGUUACUUUAUGUUCUCAACUUAUCUGGUAAUGGUUUCACAGGCCAAAUCCCAUCAUCACUAGGACAGCUGCGACAGCUUGAGUCAUUAGACCUCUCACUGAACAAGCUGAGCGGGGAGAUCCCUGCACAGCUCUCGAGCCUAAAUUUCCUUUCGGUCCUGAACCUCUCUUUCAAUGGAUUGGUGGGAAGGAUCCCUACAGGUAAUCAAUUGCAAACAUUUUCAGAAAAUUCAUUUGCAGGUAACAGAGGAUUAUGCGGCUUCCCUUUAAAUGUAAGUUGCGAAGAUGCUACACCACCCACGUUUGAUGGCAGGCACUCAGGUUCCAGGAUAGCGAUUAAGUGGGACUACAUAGCUCCUGAAAUUGGAUUUGUGACAGGGCUGGGAAUCGUGAUUUGGCCUCUUGUGUUGUGUAGGAGAUGGAGGAAAUGCUACUACAAACAUGUUGAUGGAAUUCUUUCAAGGAUUCUCCAUCAGAAAAACCAAGGAAGAGAAAGUGGUGGAAGACGAGGUCACGGAAUUCGGAGGCGGAGAAUGUAGCACUGAUGAAGAGGGAUGUGACCACUGGCCAUGAGUCUAUUUCCAUUAAUUCAAUCCGAAACAUUAAAAAGGGGUCCAUAAUAUUAUUUAAGUAAAUGUAUAAUUUUAUAUUUGGACAAUGCCAUGGUGUAGAUUUUUAUAGUAACGUUACUCUUACCUUUAGUGAUGCGAGUAUCAUGGUAUAUAAAUAAACGGUUUUUAUAUAAUAAAGAAUUUAAGUUGUAAAACCACUCCAUGAAAGCUUUCCUACAAAUAUAACAUGUUAUAUUUAAGAAAUUUGAAACAAAGCUAUAGAAAAUUGUUUUUACAUAUUAAAUAGAAAAUAUCUUUUCUACCCAUGUCCAGAAAUGCUUUUUAUGUACAGCCACAGUCUAUAACCAUUUUAAACCUACCCAAAUUAAAAUUCUAACUAGGGUGAUUCAGGGAGCCACUCAAGCUGGGCUGGAGAAUGGGUAAAGAUAUGUUGGCUGGAUGUGGGCCCGAGUUGGGCUAAACUUCGUUGGGUGGAUUUCUGUUGGUAUUAAAAAAUAUGGGCCUGGUUGUUACAAACGAAGACCCCCAAUGAGGGAGCUAGGUCCAUAUUCAGCCCAAUCAGCACAUCUGAAGCCAUAAGGGAUUUAACAACAUGAGCUUGAAAACUAAAACCCAAAACCAUUCCCUAAAUUAUCAAAAUCCAUGUCCAGCUUGGCAUUCAAAUUGAAUUUCCCUAAGCAGGUUCAAUCUCUCCUUCCCUAUUUCACCCUUUAUGAAUCCAUGACCUUCACAUCAUACCCCGCAAAUGACUGUACAGUUUUUGGGUUUGUUUUUGCCUUCCUAAUCAACUUUUAUGUUAAGGUAAAGAAUUCAUUUGGGUCUUCACAUAGUAGUUUAUCUAUCAUUUGUAAUUAUUGUGAGAAAAGAUUAUAUAAUUUCACUUCUUUUUUUUUUUUUUCAUCUAGUUUUAGGAUGCAUUGGUACAUGGAAAUGAAAAUGGAAAUAUGAUGGAAAUGGAGGUAAAUAAUAAGUGAGAGUAAAAUUUAGUUUCCAUGAUAAUGAAUCUUUUUAUUCCUAUUUUCAUUCUAAGAAACUAUUCAACCACAUUAAUGAAAGGAAAAUUGAAUUGAUUUCUCAUUCCUUAUUUUGCUAUUCCAAACAUGGCUUUUAAUCUAUUUUACUUUUAAAAGAAAGAAAAACUUAUCUUUAAGGACUCAAGGAUGUACCAAACGUAAUUAGAGUUGGUAAGUAGUUAAUAGAUUGUCCAUUGUUUGUAACUAAUUAGAAGGUUGUAAGUUAUAUAAUUUGUGGCUACUUAUUAGUGUUGCUGUGUGGUUGUUCAAUUUUUUAGUUUUUAUUUUUUUUAUCAAUUUUCUCUCAAACAAGUGCUCUGGAUCUCUUACGUACUCUCUCCAUAUUGAUUGUUUUGUACGUAGCUACCAAAGAGUUUUAGAAAGUGUAUGCUUGAGGCACAUAACAUGAGAUCUUUCAAAGUUUGCAAAUCAUAACAAAAAAAGAUAUGUAGAUUUGUGACACUUUGAGGUAAUGAGACAUUGGAGAUGGAAAUAUUGAAAAUGAUGUCUCUUCUCUCAUUAAAAUUUUUCUCUUGGUUGAAAAUUUAUAGCACAAUUUAUUGAAUAUUAAUUAAUUUUGUGACAAAGAUUUUUAUAUUAUUUUUUUUUUUACUUAAUUUGUUGUAUUAUUAAAGAUAUUCAAAAUGAUGAAAUCAUUUCCUGAGGGUCAUAAAAAUAAAACGGUUUAUACUACAAAACAUAAUAAAAAAUAUAAUUAAUGACCAUGAAAUUUUUUUUCUAUAUAUGAUUAAUUCGAUUUGAAGACUAAUAUAAGUGUUUAAUCAUCUCUAAUCUUACAUAUUCAUCCCAAUGUUACUUUUUAAUAAGCCUUUUUCCUAGAGUCAACAAUCUCUCCCCUAAGAUAGAGCUCCUAUAAUUCGAACUCAUGAUCUAAUUUUGAUAUCACUUGUUAAGAUCAAGAACUUAGCUAUAUUAUCUUUGAAAAUCAAUUUGCUAUCAAUGAGGUCAUCCUAAUCCUUUUUAUGUGGUUCUCGUUCGUACUCAUCUUGAGACUUAACCAUCUCGAGUGAAAUAUUGGUGCCUUAGCAUCUUCCGCUUUACACAUUUUUCAAUAGCCAUUUUUUGUAAGAAGCAACAAUAUUAUUGCACACUUAACAACUUUCUCCUUCCUUUGUCUUACGUAGUUUGAUGCUUUGAUAGGACAAUGACCAGAACCGGAGAUUAGAGGAUGACCAACAAUGACCACCUUUUUGAUGCCCUAAUUCAUGAAUAACUAACAUGCUUUGAUACUAUUUUGAAUCUUUGAUACUCUGAUUCACCAAUGGCCUUCAAACUGACGAGUUGAUUCCAUUUCAAAUUAGUGUGUUAAUGAUGCUGAUGCUGUUCUGAUUAGAGGAAGCUGAUGGUGCUCGAAUUUGAAGCUGGGGAUUCUGUUGCAGGGUACUGAUUAUACCAGUGCUAUAAUAUGGUAGUGAUUUUGUUUAUUGGAGAAGGAGAUUUUGAAUAUUUGAUCGAUGCUGCUAGUUGAAAGGUAUUUUUGAUAUUUAAAUAUUUUUGAUGAAUAUGCUCCAAUCCAGGACAUUGUUUGAUCAAUAGGCCCAAUACGUAAUUUCCUAGUUUGUUUUUUAGUAAUUGGAAGUAAAGAGAAAUUUGAGGGUGUGCAAACUUAAGGGUAAGUGAGUUUGACAUUACAAGUGGCUAUUGUGAAAAUUUAUGUAGAAUCUAUUAUUUUUUAAUUUUUUAUAAUUAUUUUAAUUUUAAUAAUAUAUAAAUUAUGUGUUUAUAGCAUUAUCAAUUUGAUCAAAGUUCAAUGAAUAGUUUGACUGUUGAACCGUAAAUCAAUGACUUUUUCAAUUUAGUUCUCUAAAAUAUUAAACAUUGCAAAUGGGAGUACAUAUUAAUUAAAAAACAAACAAACAAAACUUAUCUUUACGUCAAGAACUUCAUAUUUGCUCAUUUUAGGACUUUUAAUAAUGGAGGAACGUAUCAUGCAUUUGCCAUAAUGAAUGAUUUAGGUACAUAUGAGUUUUAUUUUUAAGUUAUAAAAAUGAACCUUCUCUUUUUCUGUCAAAAUCUUGCAAAAAGGUUAAAAAUGAAAAACAAAAAAAAAUUACAAUCACUUAUAAUCUGUAUUGAUCAUGGACAUAAUUUUUCUAUUUCUAAAACACCUUAAUAGAUAGGUUGUUGAAGAGAAAAAUAAAUCUAUAUAAGAAACGACAAAAACUUGGCUUAAUGAAAACAAUUUUUCUUAAUGAAAAUAGUUUUCUAAUUAUUUUGGGUGAAAGCAUUUAAUAUUACUUGCUAUAUUUUAAAUAACGUUUGAUAGAUAAACUCAUCAUUAGAGUUUUCAAGGUCUUUAUGUUCUUUACGUAAACUUUUUAAGAUGAUCUUUAAUAUUCUUUAUUCAGUAAUAAUGUUUUUGUUUUUAUUACUUGAUUUGUAUAUUAAAAAAGUAAUUAAGCUCCCUUACCAUAUGCUCAUUUCAAAUUCAUUUUCUAUAUAUAUACUAAGAGAAUUAUUGACAAAGAGAGAUGCUAGUAGCACUAAAUAUUAUGUUGUCAACAUAAAUUUAAACUAAGAGCAUGUCAUUACAUUUGGUUUUAAUAAAUAUUUUAGUGUCCAUUCUAUCCAUUUUUAAUCUAUUAUCAAGCAUAGUUUUGUUUACCCAAUUGAAUUAGAAGUGAACAUCAAAAUAUUUUUUUCCAAACUUUAUGAAAGUCACAAUAUGUAGCAUUUAACAUGUAUGAGGUUUACAUGUAACGGUCAAUAUUUUUACUCAACCUUGUUUGAAAUUAAUAUAUAAACUCAUAUUAUUUCAAAUGGGUAGAAUUUGUUUUGUGAAAAUUUCAAGGCAUGAAACAACUUCUCAUAUAAAUUAAAAAAGAAUAUGAAAAAACUUAAAUACAUCAUCCAUACUUUUUCAUACUAUUUUUUUUUUUAAUGAAAUGACUUAAAUAAAUUCAAGAGCAUUUACGUCCUUAAAAACGUGUUUAAAGAAAAUAAAAGAAGAAAAGAAAGCAAAAUAAAACAAAACUUAAAUACAUUAUCAAUGUAACUCAAAAAGAAAAGGAAAAAAAACUUAAAUAUAAUAUCCAUAUUUUUAUAUUGAACAAUUUUUCAUUAAAAUUAACUAAAUAAGUUUGAAUGCAAGUUCAAACUUAAUUUAAUCCUAAAAUUAACUAAAAUUUAAUUUUAAUGCUAGGUUCAUAGAAAAUGCUAGGUUCAUAGAAGAUGGUGAGGUUAAUUAGUGAGAGUCAAGAACUAUGUAAUAUGAUUAUUAAAGAAGUUAGAAUGCAACUUCCUUUAACCAAAACUUCAAAGAUUGUUGUUCCUUACAAUUAUUAAACAAUUUGAUAACAUUUAAAAACAAAAAGUGAAUGAUCCAACUUUUCAUAAUGAAAUUGCACUAAUUAACCCAUAGUAGAGGAAGGGCACGCGUGAAAUAGCAUCAAGGUCUCAAAACAAAGGAGAUUAUGCAAAUCAUGUGGUACAUCUAUAAGUCAAAAAUUUAACUUUUUCAUUUUUACAUGCCCUAAAAGAUAUUGAUUUAGUUAAUUAAAUGGACCAAUGUUAUGAAAUGGGCUAAAAUCAAUGAAACAAAAGUUGACAUAUUGUUGAAUUGUUUAGAAGUCAUAAAAAUUUCAGUGUAAAUAGGUCUUUAAAACCAUGAAUCUAGUAGAAAUGUUGACAAUAUAAAACCAUAAUUUUUGCCAAAGGUUUCAACAGAAAAAAAAAAAAAAAUGGCAUGAAUCACGAAUAUCCCUGUCUCACCCCAUCUCUAAAACACGUUCAUUUAGAAUCUUUAUGGCAUUGAUAGACUUGGAGUAACACAUUCAUUUUAAAAUGACUUAACGUAGCUAGGAAGACUUUGAGGUCUAAAGUUAUAGAGAAGUCAAUAAGCUCUUGGGAAAAACAUGAAGCACAUACGUCUUCUAUAGGACAAGAUAGGAGUAUUGUAUGUUCUCUUUGCCACAGCGACUCCUGUCACUCUCACAGCCAACUUCCAUGAUCCUUCCCACAGAAGUAUCAAAGUCGAGGUGGUCGACCAAGAUCUCUGUUAUAGUGUGAAUACCUUUACCACAAAGAGUUGUAAGAUAAGCAUGAAGAAUGUGUUCAAGAUACAUUUAGAAUGCUGUGUUGUUUAUGCAUAACUAGACACCCCCCUUUCUUUUUUCUUUCUGUUCAAACAUCUACAAAAAAAUAAAAUAAAAUAAAAUAAAAAAUCAUAUUAAACAUGUUUUGUUGUAGCAGUAUCUCCCAGCUGCUUCCAAUGAGAAUCCAAUUCUUUCAAUGGCUUUAUUUCUUGCCCUUAUGCUUAAUCGUUUUUGGUAUCCAUGUUGCUUUGGUGUCCGGGGAAUGUCUGAGUGAUGGGAGCACAUGCCUGGAGGAUCAGAUGUCCUUGUUGCUGCAACUGAAGAGCACCCUCAAACACAAUGUUGCUGCAUCAAGUAAACUAGUUUCCUGGAAUCCAAGCGGGGAUUGCUGUUCUUGGGGAGGUGUAACCUGGGACUCCAGCGGUCAUGUUGUCGGACUUGAUCUGAGUAGCGAAUUGAUUUCUGGGGGGUUCAAUAGUUCCAGUAGUCUUUUCAGUCUACAACAUCUCCAGCGCUUGAAUUUGGCUAACAACAGCUUCAACGAUUCUCAAAUUCCGUCUGGAUUCGGUAAGCUUGGCAAUUUGAUUUACCUGAAUUUGUCUAGCGCUGGGUUUUCUGGGCAGAUUCCAAUUGAGAUUUCACGCUUGACGAGGUUGGUUACUAUUGAUUUCUCUAUCCUUUACUUCCUUGGACUUCCUACGCUGAAACUCGAGAACCCAAAUCUGAGAAAGCUGCUUCAGAACCUCAGAGAGCUUAGAGAACUCCAUCUUAAUGGUGUAAAUAUAUCGGCUGAGGGGAAGGAGUGGUGCCAGUCAUUAUCAUCUUCAGUGCCUAAUCUCCAAGUGCUGAGCAUGCCAAACUGUUAUCUUUCUGGCCCUCUUGAUUCUUCCUGCAGAAGCUUCGGUCUCUCUCAAGCAUUCGCCUGGACAAUAAUAACUUCUCUGCUCCUGUUCCAGAAUUCCUUGCGAAUUUCUUGAAUUUGACUCUAUUGCGGCUCAGUUCUUGUGGAUUACAUGGAACCUUUCCAGAGAAGAUCUUUCAGGUACCAACCCUACAGAUUCUUGAUUUGUCAAACGACAAGUUACUACAAGGUUCUUUGCCGAAAUUCCCUCAGAAUGGAUCUCUAGGAACCUUGGUGCUCUCGGAUACAAAAUUCUCAGGGAAAGUACCAUACUCCAUAGGCAAUCUCAAGAGGUUGACUAGAAUAGAGCUUGCAGGUUGUGAUUUCAGUGGCCCAAUCCCAAACUCGAUGGCAGACCUUACACAACUGGUCUACUUGGACUUAUCUAAUAACAAGUUUUCCGGUUCAAUCCCACCUUUUAGUUUGUCCAAGAACCUGACCCGAAUAAACCUUUCUCAUAAUUAUUUAACAGGCCCGAUUUCUUCCUCUCACUGGGAUGGCCUAGUGAAUCUAGUGACUCUUGACUUGCGAGACAAUUCACUGAAUGGAAGUCUCCCCAUGCUCCUGUUUUCCCUCCCAUCACUGCAGAAGAUACAACUGAGCAACAACAAAUUUUCUGGUCCCUUGAGUAAAUUUUCAGUUGUGCCUUUUUCUGUACUGGAGACCCUUGAUUCGAGUAGCAACAAUCUGGAAGGGCCAAUACCUGUAUCUGUCUUUGAUCUCCAUUGUCUUAACAUCCUUGAUCUUUCUUCCAACAAAUUCAAUGGCACUGUUGAACUAAGCAGCUUUCAGAAACUUGGAAAUCUUAGCACUCUUAGUCUUUCAUACAACUUCUUGUCCACCAAUGCGAGUGUUGGUAAUCCCACUUCACCUCUGCUGUCGAAUCUUACCACAUUGAAAUUGGCUUCUUGCAAACUCAGUACAUUACCUGAUCUUAGCACCCAGUCAAGAUUGACACAUUUAGACCUUUCCGAUAACCAAAUUCGCGGGAGCAUACCUAAUUGGAUUUGGAAGAUUGGUAAUGGAUCUCUUAUGCAUUUGAAUCUCUCUCAUAAUUUACUGGAGGAUCUGCAGGAAACUCUCUAAUUUUACUCCUUAUUUGUCCAUCCUUGACCUACAUUCCAACCAGCUCCAUGGCCAAAUCCCCACUCCUCCCCAAUUUUCCAAAUAUGUGGAUUACUCAAACAACAGUUUCAACUCUUCCAUCCCAGAUGAUAUUGGUACUUACAUGUCCUUCACUAUUUUCUUCUCUCUUCCGAAGAAUAACAUCACUGGAAGUAUUCCUAGAUCCAUCUGCAAUGCAACUUACCUGCAAGUUCUUGACUUCUCUGACAAUGACUUUAGUGGCGAAAUACCAUCAUGUUUAAUUCAGAAUGAGGCUCUUGCAGUGUUGAAUCUAGGGAGGAACAAGUUUGUUGGCACUAUACAUGGGGAAUUGCUGCACAAGUGUCUUUUACGGACGCUAGAUCUCAGUGAGAAUCUUUUACAAGGAAACAUUCCAGAAUCUCUAGUUAAUUGCAAAGAGUUAGAGAUUUUAAACCUUGGGAACAACCAGAUUGAUGAUAUCUUUCCUUGCUGGUUGAAGAACAUAAGCAGUUUGCGUGUCCUUGUUCUGAGAGCCAACAAAUUCCAUGGAACCAUUGGAUGUCCCAAGAGUAAUUCUACCUGGGCAACGCUUCAGAUUGUCGACCUAGCCUUCAACAAUUUCAGUGGUAAGUUGCCAGCAAAAUGCUUAUCGACCUGGACAGCAAUGAUGGCGGGUGAAAAUGAAGUCCAAUCCAAGCUCAAAAUCCUGCAAUUUAGGGUUCAACAAUUCAGUCAAUUGUACUAUCAGGAUACUGUAAGAGUUAUCAGCAAAGGUCAAGAAUGAGUUGGUGAAGAUCCUAACUCUCUUCACCUCCAUUGACUGGUCGUACAACAAUUUUGAAGGGGAGAUACCAGAAGUGAUAGGGAACUUCACAUCCCUUUAUGUUCUCAACUUAUCGCAUAAUGGUUUCACAGGCCAAAUCCAAUCGUCAAUAGGGAAUCUGCGACAACUUGAAUCAUUAGACCUCUCGCAAAACAGGCUGAGUGGAGAGAUACCUACACAGCUUGCGAACCUAAAUUUCCUUUCAGUCCUGAACCUCUCAUUCAACCAAUUGGUGGGAAGGAUCCCUACAGGUAAUCAAUUGCAAACAUUUUCACCAAAUUCCUUCGUGGGUAACAGAGGAUUAUGCGGCUUCCCCGUAAACGUAAGUUGCGAAGAUGCUACACCACCGGCGUCUGAUGACGGGCACUCAGGCUCCGGGAUGGAGAUUAAGUGGGAAUACAUAGCUCCUGAAAUUGGAUUUGUGACAGGAUUGGGAAUCGUGAUUUGGCCUCUAGUGUUGUGCAGGAGAUGGAGGAAAUGCUACUACAAACAUGUUGAUAGAAUUCUUUCAAGGAUUCUCCAAGGAAGAGCAAGUGGUGGAAGAAGAGCUCACAGAAUUCGCCUCCGGAGGCGGAGAAUGUAGCCGUGGUGCAGAGGGAUGAAGUGAUUAGUCAAGAGUCCAUUUCCAUUAAUCCAAUCCUAUGUUUCAUUGAAGGAAUAUUAAAAAGGGGUCCAUAUUAUUGGAUGGGCCUUCAAUCCGUGUGUCAAAUGUAAUUCUGGCUUGCUUCUUAUAAAUUUAAUCGAAUGCAUAAUUUUAUAUUUGGACAAUGUCAUGGUGAAGUAGAUUUUCAAAGUAACAUUUUUCUUACCAUAUUCAGCCCAAUCAACACAUCUCAAGCCAUAAGGGAUACAACAUUGAUAAGCAAGUAAUUAUCAUACUAGGUGGUAAGGUGGCUGCCCAUCUACUUAUAAAAGUUUCAUCCUCUUACAGGCUUUCACAUUAAAUUUGGCAAUGGUUCUCACUUUAUUUUAUUUUUUACCACAUUUUUUUAUUAUUUUGUUAAUUUAUGGGAAGAAAAAAAUUUAUCAAUUUUUUUUAUAGUCCAUUGUUCCAAUGAAAUGAUUAAACAAUGAUAAGAGUAUGAGAUUUUCAAAAGUAGAAGGUCAAUCGAUAUAACUUGUAAAUUUUUAGAUUUUAAUGGAAUUUGAAAAGUACUAAUAUUAUCAUGCAAGUGAAAUAACAACAUGAACUUGAAAAAUUAAACCCAAAACCAUCUCUAAAAUUAUCAAUAUCCUGACCCAACUUCACAUUCAACUUGAAUCUCUUUAAACAAGUUCAAUCCUUUCUAUUUUUCAAUUUUCUUUCACUUUUUUUUUUCUUUCUAGAAUUAGACUCUUUAUGGGUACCAUGAAAAAGAUUGCUAGCUAGGAAUGUAAAGCAUGGUUUUUAAGAAUGAUAAGUGCUCAUAUAUAUUUUGAAUCAAAUUUAAGAGAAAGUUCAUUACAAUGAAUUGAUUUUCACUUAACUACUCAUAAUUCUAGUAUGAUACAAGGAUUCCAUAUAAUCCAAAUCAUAAAUCCAAAUAAGAACUUUAUGUCUAUGGGAAAUCUAAUAAGCUCUAAUUGAAGUCAUCUAAAUUUAUCAUUUGAUAUUUAAGCUCUAAUUGAAUCCAUUAGAAUUGUUAUUUGAAUUUUAGACAUAUUAGAUAUCAUUUAGACUUCUUUUAGAUAAUUCGUAUAUCUUGUUUUCCAGGAAAUUUGAUUUCUUUGUCCAAACUUGAUGUUUUCGAACAUACUUUCAAAUUUAAUUAGAAACAAAUGUCUCAAUUUUUUUCAAAUAAUCAUCUUUUCCAUUCUAAUAUCUUACAUGAUGAUUUGUAGAAGUUGAAACUCGAUAACCUUUUUACCAAGAUCCUUGUUACCUUGCACUAUAAUGUUUAGUAGAUAAGCUUUUAGUUUUCUAGUGACAUAAAUGUUGGAGAUUAGUAGAGAAUGAAAAUCUUCAAAACUUAGAUUUUAUUGAUACUCAACGUGUAUGUGGAUUGCAUUAGAGUAAAACCAACCAAACACACUAAGAAAUAAGCUACUAGGAAAAAAAUAAUAAAAAUUAUAUUAGAAAAAAAAAUCCAUAUGCAUUCGUAUAUAACGGAGCUUACAACCAAUCUACAAAUAUUAAUAAAAUAUUCGUAUACAAACGGAUUUUUCACUAGCCGUUGGAGCAUUUAAUGCUCCGUUAUCUUUGACCAGACAUCGAUCAAGAAGGCAAAUACCUCGACCAGGAAGGAAAGGCUAUUAGCAGAGAGAGAGAGAGAGAGAGAGAGAGAGAGUGUGUUUUUUGCUCCUCUCGACUAGAUCUCAAUCAAGAAGGAGUAAUCGGUCAACCAGUACCCUGGUCGGUUGAGCCGGUUUGGCCAGUGUCUCGACUGGUUCACCAUUUUUGGCCCAAAAAACCUAUAUUUUUUUGCUAUUUUCUCUUCUAACACUUAGGCAAGGUAUUUAGGUAAAUUAAUUUGCCAAUUUUGAAAUGAUUUGCCUAAGGUUCAUUUGAUAAAACUCGGGUUUUGAUGGAAAUGUAACUUUAAAGCAUAAACUGAGUUUUUCAAAUAUGCAUGAAAUGAUACGUAAAUCCUAAGUGCACCCAUGCAUUCAUCUUACAUAUGUUUCCUAUGAUUAAAGGUCUUCCAAAAGUCUUAAUCUUGCAUCCAUUAGGUCAUUUGAUGAAUUUCCAAACUGACAUUUGAAAUUGUUUAUAAUUCAAACCAAUUAGUAACUUAACCAUAAUUUGUUAUCAUCAAAACAUGAUUAGGAGAACCCUUGGGCUAACAAUCUCCCCCUUUUUUAUGAUGACAAACCUUGGUUAUCUAAGAGAAAAAGAAUCUCCCCCUCAAACCAAUCAUGGAUCAACAAUCAAAAUUUACGAAGUUAAAACCAAGAUAAUCAAGACAUACUAGAGAGAAUUUGCAAUAAGAAACAACGUAAGUCAUCAAAAAUAUAAGAAUAUCAUAUAUAAGUCAAUGUAUCAAUAUCCAGUAUAUACGAUCCAAGUGAUAUGACAAUGAUAUGCAUGUAAGUCUCCUAGAUCCUAAAAUAUCUCCCCCUUUUGGCAACAUAAAAAAUGAACUAAUAGGGUCUCGAAGGAAUCAAGGAUGAGGAAGUGGAGGAGAAAACACAGAGCGCAAAUAAGCCAUCAUAUUCUCAUGUUGACUCUCCAAACGAUCCUCAAUACGCUCAAUCCCCUAUUGGAGAUACUCAAACUGUGAAGUGAAGCCAACCUGAUGAUCCAUGCAAUCCUCCAUAAAGUAGAACCGUGUGUCACUGACUACAACAAGCUCCUCCAUAUGAGUGCUUAGAGAGCUAAUCUAAGCAGAUAAAUCCAUCCAUGGAGCAUGGUCAAGAGCAAGAGGUGUUUAAGCAAAUGGUAUCUCAAAAAGUGUAGGCUUAGUGAAUGCAAGUUCAAAGGAAGACUUAGUGAAUGACAAUUAAGUAUAUGGACCCGCUAUAAAAGUUGGCUCAAACAUCAUUGGCUCAGAGAAAGUAGUCUCAAACUGAACACCACUAACUGGAGUGGAGGAAUGUCAAGCUCGGGCUCUCUCUGUUGAUAGCCACUCUGAGGGUCUACUCCACACUCCAUCUUUUUAAUCUCUACCUCCUCCUCAACUCCGGGAUGUGCCUGUCCCUGUCCCCGAGCUUGUGUCGUUGCUCUCUUUGCUUUCCUUACCCAAGAACCAUUUGUGGCCUUCUCAAAUUUCAUCUUCCCCAUGGACUGAUCAUCAUACGUAUCAUAAGCGUUGGGGACCUCAAAGUUUGUCUCUCUGCUCAAGUCAAUGCCGACAUCCUUGCACACUCUAGUAAGGAAGUGACCAUAGGGGAGUACGCGAGUCGUGCUCUCGCAACAUGAGAUCAAGUGCAUCAUCAUCAAGUACCCCAAGUGGAUUCGUCUUCCAGUCAAAAUAGAGUCAAUAAGGAAUGCCUCAUAAUAAGAGACCUCAUCUCGGUGUCCACCCCGUGCAUAUGAUGUAGCACUUUGCUGAUGACCGUCAGGUUGUGUGCUGAGGGUUUGUCCAUCCCGUGGGCAUCUACAAGUUCACAAAUCCUCUUAAUGGCUCUAGGCUCAAAUCUUGGCACAAUGGGCCACAUUUUGGACUCAUAUACUUUGAGUCCAACUGGAGCAAUAUCGAAAAUACUACAAAUGCUCUUUAGUCCAGACGAAUCUUGACGCCUUUAACAGUAGAAAUGAUCGAGCCACCUGAUGAGAAUCAACAAGCAUUCGAGGAUCCAUUGUAUGUUCCAGUUGGGCCUAUUACUAAAGCAAGAUCCAAGAAGAUUAAAGAAGCAAUUAAUGGGCUAAUUCAAGAGAUUUGGGUUGAUUCUAACGUAGGACAUUCCAAGCUUGGCCCAAAGGAAGAUGAAGGUGUAAUAAAUUUAAUCGAAGCUAUUGAGGGCUAAUCUGGCUUGAUUGGGCGUGAUUUAUGGCGUGGAUUAAUGACUGAUUGACUUUCGAACUCCAUAUCAGUUAAUAGACAUUUUUCCUAUUUUAGAGCUUCUAAUUUUAGGUUAAAUCUACCUUAAUUUUAGGCUUUUAUUAUUUAGAACGAUUUUUAGCUAUUUUCCUAUUUUGGAUUUGCUAAUUUCAGACCAACUAAACUUUUAUUUAGGGUUUUAAUAUUUAGUAAGUUUUUAUUUCAUGACAUAUAAAUAGCAUGCACUCAUUGUAAUAGAGGAUAAUUUGAUUGAAUAAAAAAUUAGAAAAGGUGAGGCUUUGCUCUUCUUUUGGUUCUUCAAGGACUAUGAACUUAUCAGGGAUUCUUCUUUGUGGCUUUCAAACUUUAUACUUUCGGUUCGUGAUUCCAUUGUAAUCAUUGGGUCAAGGUUGUUACUUAUACUUUUGGUUCACGUUUCACUUAUAAACGUUGGGUGUUCUAUCAAAAAUCUGUAUUUUAGCUUUCUUGGGCAAUUAUUCCAAUACUGUUUGUUGGGUCUCAAAGCGUGUCGAUUGAGGUUCACAUCAUUUGGUAUUAGAGCUCAGGUUCUAAAAUCAGUCGAUUGAGGUUCGCAUCACCACCUAUGCCAUAAGUCGCCUUUGAGUAAAAAGCUCACACCAAAGUCGAGAAAAUCGACUCCAAAACAGUGACCACAGGAAACCAACCCAUCCUAGUGAAUAAACCCUCGAAUCCGAAGUGCUCAAGUUGGGGAAAAUUAAUAUUUCUCCUCAGAACUACUCGUCCCAAAGCAAAGUGAUGUUUGUACCGUUGGUAGUCCACCACGAAGUUGAACAAGGCAGUAUCAAACCUUGCCUUUCGGGUUUGACAAGGUUCCAAAAGCUUGAAUCCUAAAUCCUUAAGAGGGUUUAUAUAGGAUUUCCUAUGGACUUAAGUGACUUGAGCCCAAAUUUGGCUUGAGUCACCCGAUCUAGCCCACUUGGGUCCUAAUUAAUUAAUUAUUUUAAUGGACUCCAAUUAAUUAAUUAGCUCAAAACACCAAUCUAGAAAAAUUGUUCAUAAGAUCUUGUGCAACCUUGUAUUUUUACUAAAACACCCUUAUGUGCCCUUAUGAACUACAAAUCUAAAUCUCUCAAAUAAAACAUGUCACCAUGAACUAGGAGCUCAAGCGGGGACCAUUGGGACCUAUAAGAUUAUAUUGGCUCCCUCAUAAUUGAAUUCCAAAAUUGAUUCGAGAAUCCACUAAAGAGAAACAAUUGUACUUCGGUAUCCUACAUUAAGACAAAGCUUAGGUUUGUAACCUACUAUUCAUUGCAUGCAAAUUCCUCAUGAAUUAGUGUUUGUAAUCUAAUAAGGUAGUGUUAUCAACCUAUCAAGAUUAGCUCUUUAAUCUUUAAGUUAUAAAUCCUCCUAUUAUGUGAUCAAUUGACAUACUCUAGCUUAUAAAGAACAUAUAUCAAAAUUCACUUAAAGAAUUACUACAACCACAUAUUUCAUAAUCAUAUGCCCUUUAGAUCAUCCAAGGGAACACUUUGUCCCAAUUCUAUGAGAUGCCAUGGUGCCUCUAUUGAGAAUAUGUAUUAUCACCAACCUCCAUCAACAAUUGCAAUUCAUAGGGAAUCUAUAUAUAUAAUCACUUUAGGGUCUUACCUAAUGGUCAAAACCUCCUAUUGAUUUUUAGCAUAGACUUAAUAUCUUCUUAAAGUUGAGAGUCCAUGCAAUAUAGUAACUUUGUGAAUCAUGACAACCCAAUGACCUUAUGUCAUGAUUCAUCAUAGGCACGAUUUGAAAUAUUGCAAAAUUUCAGCGAAAUAUCGUCGAUUUUUCGCUUAUCGGAGAGAAUCAACAUGACAUUCGUCAUUGAUAAUCAAUUGACGGAUUUAUUGCGGAUUUUUUUGGGAAUAUCGGUAAUAUUUUGGCAUUUAUCGACAUUUUUGCCUAUUUUUCGAAAAAUUUCCCGAUUUUUUGGUGCCAACCACUUUGGUCAACACGAAAUCAACCCUCACAUUUUUUGUUGUAAUGCCUAGGGGAUUUGAACCUAGGUCAAAAGGCUUGGGUUGAACCCUGGUUACAACUGGGCCAAAAUGUCAUUUGUAAAUAUAUGUUCAAUUUAAAUAUGUUAAAGUUCAGCAUUUAAAAAAUAAUUUUAAUUAUUUUAUUUUAAAUUUUAUGUAAUUGAUUAAUAAAAAUAUAAAAACCAACAUUAUAAUUUUUUUAACAAGUCUUUUUUUAUAUCAUUUAUAUGAUAAUUAAAUAUAAAAAAUAUAAAUAUUAAAAAAUCAUAUAUGUAUCAUCAUUUAUUUUACAUUAUUGAAUGCAUUUAAAUUAAAUAAAUUAUAGUUUUAAUAUUAAAUGUAUUAUUAUUGAUCUCAUUAAUCUUAUUUUAAAAAAUAAUUAUCACUUCACUUUUAAAUUUUUUAUAUUUAUUUGUUUAUUUUUUAAUAUCUUUAUUUUAAAAUAUUAAAAAUAUAAAUUUAUUCAAAAUAUACUAAAAUAUAUAUAAAAAAAUUAAUAAUGAAGUUCUAAUAUUUUAUAAAUUAAAAUUAAUUUGAUAAGAUAAAUAAUAAAUUAUAUAUUAUGAUUGAUAUAUCCUUGCUUAGAGAUAAUUUUCUCCUUAAUCAUACUUAUGUCAAUUAUACUUACAAAUUAACUUUAGCAUGUGCCUUUUUACUUAUUUUAUCAUUUUUUUUUGGAGUUUUUCCAAAUAUUUCAAUGAAUUUUGAAUAAUUUUCACCUCACCAAAAUUUUUGUCAAAAUAUUCACCAAUAUUUCUCCGAUAUUUUCAAUAUAAUCGUAAAAUUCAAGUAUCAAUAUAUCCAUAUUUUCCAAUAUUUCAAACCAUGAUCAUAGGUCUUGUCUUAUGUAUAACCAAUACACACUAGUGUACUCACAAUAGGAACCCUAUCUCAAUGGUCAAGAUAAGUCAUAUUUUAUAACCAUACACACUAGAUUUUAAAAGUGUGAGAUAAUGCUCAUAAAAAUAACAAAGUAGAGAAUUUGUUGAUAAUUAUUCCCAAAUAAAUGUCAUUAAAACAAUUUGAACUAGAAUUUAAAAUAAAAAGAUGUCACAUGGAUUAACCUAGGAUUUGAGAAAUUUGGCCUCAUCAUAGGCCAUACUACAAACCUUAGAUGAAUUUUAGGAGAAAAUGAGUAGAAGUUAGAAUAAUAAAACAGUUCUUUUAUUUUCCAAAACAAAAAAAUUGGAAAACACAUUUUACAAUCAAAAAAUAUUUUAUGCUUUUUGUUCUCAAGAACAGAAAACAAAGUGUUUCAGAUAAUAUCUUUUAGUUAUUUUAAUUAUUUUCACUUAUUUUUUUAGAGUUGUUUUAAAAAAUAAUUAUAGAAAUAUGUAUCAUGAUUAAAAAUAAAGCUCGAUCUAGAUAUAAAAAUAAUUUUUAAAACUUACUUAAAAAUAUUAAAACCAUUUCAAAUUCUCAAACAGACUUUUAGUUUACAAAACAUCAAAGAAUAGUUUUUAAAAAUUGUUCUUAAAAACUAUUUUUCAGAAUUAUUUCAAAAACAGUUAUCACACAGGUCCUUAAUUUCUAGCCUGUGAAAGAAGAGACAAAAAUGAGUAAUUUUGUUUAAUAUAAAUAAACAAAGAGUCAUGUGAAUAAAGGGAUCCUUGAUAUAACAACAAAAAUCAACCUUUCCAACUUCUCAAGUGAUUCUAUCUCUUUGUUGACCAUCGUGACAACCUUAAUCUCUUUUCAUUAGCAGUAGGAGUAAGGUAGAUUAGCAGUAGAUUCAUCAAUGGGGAAACCAUUUUAUGCUUGUUCCUAUCAUUUAGGUUUACAUCAAUGAGUGGUUUGGAGGGUGUACUACCUAUAGUCUAUUUAAAUUUGAGGGGAAAGGCUUUUAUCCUUUAAAGGACUUCUUGCCACCCUUCUUCAAUUUUGGGGAGAGUUCGAUCAAUAUUCAAUAACCAUUUAGCAUUAUUAUCCAAGGGGUCAUGGGAGAGAAGUUUCUCUAGCAUUGGUUAUGCCAUAUCCAAUAUACACAUCACUAGAGGGUGACAUUAUCCCAAUAAUCACAUCAUGCCCUUCAGUACCAGUAUAGUUUUGAUCAAUGCAAUUUGCUGUGAAUUUCUGUAGUGGUAGAAUUAUAGCCAGGAGGUUCUAGCCCCAGUAUCCACCAUAGGCCAGCAAAGUGAAUAAUCCUAGGAGAAUAAGCUCAGAAGCACAAGGAUUUGAUCAAUGGAACCUGGUUUUUUUUGUUUUAAUUUCUUUACUGAUAUAAUAAACCUUCUGUUUAUUUGGUUCGCUGUCAUUAUUAUAAUCUCUAGUAGUUGCACCAUCCUGGGUGAAUGAGCUAUUACCCCUACCAAUUGAACUUUUUUUUGGUUAUAGUCCUUGGUAUUCUCUUGGAAUUGACAACCAUUUGGAAAAUAAAAAUUCCUUUAUUUAGACAUAAAAAGAAUCCACAAGCAUGGACCAUUGCUAAAAGAAGAUUGAUAUGAGACUAUUCAACCCGAGACACUAUUUGCCUAGGUAUAUUUCGGGAUGGUGAUUAAUUCCUCUAAUAGGACUAGAACAAAUGGCUAAAUUGCUCUGAUAUGCUCACAUCUUUAAUCAAUAAGUUUACACUAAAUCAGUAUAACUCCCUACCAAAACGCUAGGUGAGAGAUCAGGGGCAAAGCUAGGUAGUGUCUGGGAGGGGCAAAUGAAAUUUUAAUAAAAAUAUUAGGGUUUAUUGCUAACUAUUUGGUUACUGGUGAAGUUCCAAGUGAGUGGAAAACACAAGACAGGAAGCACUUUUUUGCAAAGAUUCAUGCUUAUUAUUGGGAAGAGCCCUUCCUUUUCAAGUAUUGUGCAGAUCAGAUCAUAAGGAAGUGUGUCCCUGAAGAAGAGCAACAAGGGAUCCUCAGCCACUGCCAUGAGAAUGCCUGUGGAGGCCACUUUGCCUCUCAGAAAACAGCAAUGAAGGUCUUGCAAUCAGGGUUUACUUGGCCAUCGCUUUUUAAAGAUUCCCACAUCAUGUGUAGGAGUUGUGAUAGAUGCCAAAGACUCGGGAAGCUUACAAAAAGAAACCAAAUGCCCAUGAACCUGUGGACCCGCAUUUUUCACGUGCGUCCCCACUCGAUCGGCGAGACUCGCUUUUUAUUUAUUUGUGAAAAAUUGAUUUUUGAAAAAAAAGUUGGAGUCGCCACUUAUUUUAUUUUUAUUUUUGAAGGGAAAAUAAAACAAGAAAUAAAACCCUAAAAAAAAUGACUCCAUAAUUUUUGGAAAAGCGUGUCUUUGAAAACCCAAGUCUUGGUCCGGGGAUCAGGUUACUUAUUGGGAAGGUACCUCUAGGAGGUAACACCCCUCUAAGCCCUAAAGAGGUCUCUACUAAUUAAGUUAAGGGGAAUAUGGCAAUUAAUCGGUUAAUUAUGGAUACCUAAGUAGGCUAGGUGAUUUCAGAAAAUUUGCAUGCUAAACAAGAUCAAAUUGCCNNNNNNNNNNNNNNNNNNNNNNNNNNNNNNNNNNNNNNNNNNNNNNNNNNNNNNNNNNNNNNNNNNNNNNNNNNNNNNNNNNNNNNNNNNNNNNNNNNNNNNNNNNNNNNNNNNNNNNNNNNNNNNNNNNNNNNNNNNNNNNNNNNNNNNNNNNNNNNNNNNNNNNNNNNNNNNNNNNNNNNNNNNNNNNNNNNNNNNNNNNNNNNNNNNNNNNNNNNNNNNNNNNNNNNNNNNNNNNNNNNNNNNNNNNNNNNNNNNNNNNNNNNNNNNNNNNNNNNNNNNNNNNNNNNNNNNNNNAACAAAGAAUUAAGAUCAACUAAUGCAUUUAAAUUAAAAAUGAAUUGAAAUCAAACUAAUUGGGAUUAAAAAUACAAACUUUAUUCAAUACAAUUAUUUAAACUUAAGAAUUAAAAUCAACAAAAUACAUUUAAACUAAAAAAAAAAAGUUAAAAUCAAACUAAUUGGGAUUAAAAAUACAAACUUUAUUCGAUAUGAUUAUUUAAACUUAAGAAUUAAGAUCAAUAAAAUGUAUUUAAACUAAAAACGAAUUGGAAUCAAACUAAUUGAGAUUAAAAACAUAAACUUUAUUUAACGUGAUUAUUUAAAGUCAAGAAUUAAGAUCAACAAAAUACAUUUAAACUAAAAAACAAAUUAAAAUCAAACUAAUUGAGAUUAAAAAUACAAACUUUAUUCGAUAUGAUUAUUUAAACUAAAGAUUUAAGAUCAACAAAAUACAUUUAAACUAAAAAACGAAUUGAAAUCAAAUUAAUUGGGAUUAAAAAUACAAACUUUAUUUAACGUGAUUAUUUAAAACAAAGAAUUAAGAUCAACAAAAUAAAUUUAAACUAAAAAACAAAUUAAAAUCAAACUAAUUGGGAUUAAAAAUACAAACUUUAUUCGAUAUGAUUAUUUAAACUUAAGAAUUAAAAUCAUUAACAAACUUAAACUAAAAGAUAGAUUAGAAUUAAACUAAUUGGGGAUUUAAAAAUAAAAUAAUAUAAACUUUAACACAAAGAAUUAAUCAAAAACUAAAAUUUCCAAAAAAUAAAAAAAAAAAUAAAAAAAAAUCUAGGCUAAAUAAAAGUACUAUAUAGAAAACUAACCUUUGAAGUGAAAGAGAAAAUCCUCUCUUGAUGAUUAAAUGACAGCCCGAUCUCCGUUCGAAGUCCCUUGCUUUUUUCCCAAAAUUCCGUGUGCUCUGCCCCCCCCAAGAAAAAUCUCCUAUUCUUUUCCUUUUCUCACCUAUAUAUAUCACCCCUCAAGACCUAAAUUUGUUUCCAAAAAGGAAAAUUCUCCUCCUUCCUUUCUUCUUCUCUUCUUUUUUUAAAUCCUCCAAUCAAAAGCAAUCUUCCCAAUUUCAAAUUCCCCUCCAAAACCUUCCAAGGAGAGUCCCAUCUUCCUUAAACUCCAAUGGUAAGUUUCCUUGCAAAAACAUGAAAUUUUUGAAGUUAAAUAAUUGCAUGUAUAGAUAAAUAAGUAAAUAAAUUAAAAAAUGGUAAAAAUAAUAAAUAAAUAAAUAAGUUAAGGAAAAUAAUAUAAAGAGGAAGAUAACCAAUAAAAAGUGAAUGAUAAUCAUAAAAUUAAAAUUAAAAACAAAAUAAAUAAAUAAAUAAAUAAAAUAAAAUAAAAUAAAAUAAAAGUCUUCGUAGGCCUAGUGUGCCUAAACGGGCCUAAGGUGAGACUAAGUGGGCCUAGGGUAGUGCCUAAUGGGCCAAGUGUAUCUAAAAGCUAUCCUAAAAAAACAAGAAAAGCCUAAAUCUAAGUUAGGGCUGCCAAGGGUCACAAUAAGGGAUCAAAUAAUCCCUCAACCAAAAUCUCCGAGGUGACUCAGAAAAAGGUAAGUGGUAUGAGUAGCCAUGGGCCACCAAGGAACUAUUGUGGAGCAUUGAAAAUGAAUUUUAAAGACAUGUGCUAAAGGGACAAAAUUGAGGGUCUACAGAACCCCAUCCUUAUAGUUGAUCUUUUUGAUGUUUGGGGUAUUGACUUCAUGGGACUUUUCCCAAUGUCUUUUGGUAACUCUUAUAUAUUGGUGGGGGUGGACUAUGUUUCCAAAUGGGUGGAGACAAUCCCCUGUAAACAUAAUGAUCACAGGGUGGUUCUCAAAUUUCUCAAGGAGAACAUCUUCUCAAGAUUUAGGGUGCCCAAGGCCAUAAUCAGUGAUGGAGGUACUCAUUUUUGCAAUAAACCUUUUGAAGCACUAUUAGCCAAGUAUGGAGUGAAGCAUAAGGUAGCUACACCUUAUCAUCCUCAAACUUCCGGGCAAGUGGAGCUAGCAAACAGAGAAAUAAAAAACAUACUGAUGAAAGUGGUGAUUACAAGCAAAAAAGAUUGGUAUAUUAAGCUGCAUGAUUCAUUAUGGGCAUAUAGAACAGCUUAUAAGACUAUUCUUGGCAUGUCUCCCUAUCGUCUCGUCUAUAGCAAAGCAUGUUACCUCCCUGUGGAAGUUGAAUAUAAAGCUUGGUGGGCAAUCAAGAGGUUGAACAUGGACUUGAUCAGAGCUGGGGCAAAGAGGUGCUUAGACCUUAAUGAGAUGGAGGAAUUAAGAAAUGAUGCUUACAUCAAUUCCAAAGUUGCAAAACAGAGGAUGAAGAAAUGGCAUGAUCAGCUAAUCUCCAACAAAGAAUUGAGGAGAUGACAAAGAGUCCUACUCUACGACUCAAGGCUCCAUAUUUUUCCAGGGAAGCUCAAGUCAAGGUGAAUAGGUCCUUUCAUUAUUCACCAAGUACAUCUUAAUGGAGUGGUGGAAUUACUAAAUUCCAAUGGCAUAGAUACCUUCAGAGUCAAUGGUCAUCGCCUCAAGCCAUUCAUUGAGUCGUUCAAGCCAAAAAAUGAGGAAAUCAACCUCCUUGAGCCACAAAAAUCCUGAUCAGAGAAGGGUUAGAUGGACUUGGUUUCACCAAAGUCCAUAAUUUUGUUAAAUAUGUUAAUUUUUAAGUUUUGUAAAUUAUUUGAUUGUAAUUCUGAUCUUAAAUUAUGUUAAUUGUAACUAAUUUUUUUGAAUGAUUAAAAUCAGGAGGAAUUACAAGAAAAUCGAAAGAAGCUGCUCCCAGCUCCUCAGAGCCAUCACAGGCCCCUCUUUUUGUUAAUCAGCCUUUGCCUCAUUCAGAGCCUCCUAUAGGAGAGACAGCUAAGCCAUUAUUUCCACAGCAUCACUUCAUGUCACUCAGGAGGUACCACUUCCUCCCUAUUUUUCAAUUGCUUCUGUCACAUUGAGGACAAUGUUCAGUUUGGUUGGGGGGAGAGUUGAGGAAGGAAGUUUUUGUUAUUAAUGCUAAGUUAUUUUGGUAAUUUAGUUGCUUUUUGCUUAAUUUUAAAAUUUUUUAAGUUUUUAUUCUACUCUCCAUGGUUAUUAAGGAAAAAUUCUCAAAAAUGAAAUGAGAUAAAUUAAAUUUUUGUCUUUUUACUUGACUUAGAUUUUGUAUUAUGCUUACUAAAGUUGAUGAAUUGUUGAAACUUCUAUUGAAUUCAACCUUAAUUCUUCCACUUUAAGCUAUUCACACACUGUGCACAAUAGGUUCUGAUUAUAAGAUGAAGAACUAUUUCCCCCUUAACUUAGGAAAAUUUUAGACUUGGUACCUUUGACCUCAUUUAAUAGUGUUGGGACACCUUAUAAAAGGCCAAUGAGCCUUUGAAAAAAAGAAGAAAGAAAGAAAAAUGUUUACUUGCCUUGAAACCCGAGCAAGGUUUGAGGGGUAUAUGGUGAAAAUCUUAAAAACCUGGUGCCCUAAGCCUUCAGUGGUUGGGAGUCACCGACCUCAAUGCUCGUUACAAGGGUGGAUAGGUGGAGUUUAACAUACUGUAGGUGCUUGGGUAUUAAAAAUUCAUUCUCAAAAGUCCGGGGUAAAAUCCGAGUUAGUGGUUGAAAAAUCCUUAAAGCUUGAUGCCCUAAACCUUAAUUGGUUGGGAGUCAUCGAUGGACCCCCGUUACAUGGACAAUUUAGAAAAGAAUACCUUUAGCCUUGUACUCCUACAAUGAAAAAAAAAUUGUGAAAAAAGAGGUGCGUUCUUAGCCUAUUGGAGGUUGAUUAGUUUGCUAAGCUUUGAAAAAGAACUAGGUUGGGGGAGAGAUUAGUUUAACAUACUAUAUUCAGAAACUAAUAAAUAACACUUAGAUUUUUGUGGAAUAGUAAGGUUUGACCAUCUGGGAGUGGAAACUCUUUUAAAGCUUAAAUUUGCAUAAUGUCGUCUCUAUAAGAAUUGUGAUUAAGACAAGUUAUUUGAUAACUCUUGUUGAAGCUUGAGUUUUAUUUCUUUAAUGUUCCAUGUGAGAGUUAGAUCAUCAUGCCACUUGAAAAUUGUUUUUUGAUCAGCAUGAUGUUGUAAAUUAUAGUACUGUUUAUUUUUAUUUUUUUCUCUCCUUCAUUGCUAAGGGACUAGCAAUAUGUCGGUUGGGGGGAGUGAUUACUACUCAAAAAGUGCUAUUUCAUAGCUUGUAAUAAACUCUUUUAAACACUUUUGAGUAGUAGUUAUCACCUUUUAACCCAAUUAACAUCUUAAGGACCCUUGCAAUCAAUUCUAAUCAAAUUGUGUUAAGUUUUGGUGUUUUGAUAGCUUUUUUAUCACCAAAGCAAUCAGAGAUUGAGGAGAGUUCUUUAGAAUCCAUGACAAAAGAUGUUCGGACAGGGCGUCCGGACACACCAUUGGAGAGCAGCGGAGCGUGGGCUGUAGAAAGGCUUGCUCACUGUAGUCAAUGAUCCGGACAACAUAUCCGGAUAGGAUAUGCUAUCAUCCGGAGUGUGAUGUUCGUGAGUGCCGGAUAGCAUGGCGGCGCAUGUCCUCUUGGGGAAUCCGGAUGAAGUUGAGUCGGAUGGGUCCCUACACCUUACACACGCAGACAGUCCCUCUUGCGCAGCAUAGCUCAGUCCACCCGGGGAGGAAUUCUGUGCGCCAACAUUUCACAUCCGGAAUUCCGUGCGCCGACAUUUCACAUCCGGAAUUCCGUGUGCCGACAUUUUACAUCCGGAUAUCUCACAUCCGGAUGGGAGAGGAAGACGCUUCAACUUCUCCGGAUAUACAUAUCCGGACCUUUUGAUAACGCUUACCCACAGAGUUCUUCUCUCAGUAUACAGUGCAGCGGUGUUCUCCUGAAGCUUCCUGAUAUUUCCGACCGACAUUUUGAGAUAUUUUGGGAUAUUUUUCUUUAGAUAUUUGUUGUCUAAAUCCCCAAACUCUCCUUGUAAUCCACCUAUCAUAGGAUUCCUUAGUCUUUAAGCAAGAAAAAGGGUGAAUAACCUCAUAUAUAUAGUUUGUAAUUUUCUUUACAAAGAGAAUUAUUAUGUAAUCAGCAGAAGGAAGAAAUAUAUUUUACAGAGCACUUGCUCUGUUUUUCCUUCUUAUAAUUGUUUUCUCGUUAGUUUUCUUACUAGCCAAACAAGCUCUGAGGAAGUUUCCUCAGAGAAUGAGUGGCUAGACUUUUAGUUCCUUGGAGUUAAGGUUGCCGGGAAAGGUUCCAAGUGCAUGAAUUAGUAGCUUUGUGGUUUCAGCCAUUAAUGGAGAGAAAGUGUGAUCCUUUAAUGAUUUCUAUGUUUUUAGUUAACUUAAAACACUUUCAAUUCACUUGAGCCAACACUUGGUAAGGCAAGUGAGCUCCGUCCAUGGAGAUGCACUAGUUUACCUCUUGCGAGCUUUUGGGAAGUGACUUGGAGGUAGGAUUUUCUAGAAUUGCCAACACUUGGUAAGCUUUUGGACUCCAAGGAGACAUCCAUUAGUUAUCUCUUGCGAGCUUGAGAAGGGAAGUCCAAAGUUAAAGAUCACCUUGAAUGGCAAAUGCUAGGUGAGAGGCACGAGCCAUUGCAAGUUGCAUCAGUGAGAGGGAAUUAGAGCUGAAAUCCAUUUAAAUGAUACAUCUGUACAGCACUGGUUAGAGAAUUGACUAUAUGUUAAUUCUCUAAUGUGAGGAAAUGAACCAAAUGACCGGAGCUCUGUUUUUGCAUAAGGAACCUCCCCUGUGAACCUAAACCUCCAAGGAAUGUUUUUCUUCAUAAGUAAUUUCUAUUACUUUCUUUUUAGUUAGCUUUAAACAAAACCUCAUUUAAACAAAGUUUGUGUUUUAUUUCUUAAGCUAGCCUUGAAAUGAAAAAGCACCAAUUUACUUUGAAUUGGUAUCAGUUGUGAGUUGAAAGCCCUUCCUAGUGAACGAUCCUAGAGCCACUAUGCUAUAUUAGCUAAGCUAUCCUAAUGCAUGGUGAUAUAGGUUAUAAAUUUUGUUGAUUACUCUCUCAAUCAAAGAGCACCAGCUGGACAUGAAUCAACUGAGACACCAAUUGGGAAGGAAUCAGGAGGUGUGACCUGGGAUGCCAAUGGUCACGUUGUCGGUCUUGAUCUGAGUAGCGAAUCAAUUUCUGGUGGAUUCAAUAGCUCUAGUAGCCUUUUCAAUUUACAAUAUCUCCAGAGCUUGAAUUUGGCUGGAAACAGCUUCUGCGGAGGAUUGAACUGGCCUAACAACAACUUCUGCUCUUCUCAAAUUCCAUCAGGAUUUGACAGGCUUGCUAAUUUAAUUUAUCUGAAUUUAUCCAAUUCUGGCUUUUCUGGGCAGAUUCCAAAGGAAUUUUCGCUCUUGACUAGGUUGGUUACCAUCGAUUUCUCCAGCCUUGGUUAUCUCAUUGGAUUUCCUACACUGAAACUUCAGAAUCCAAAUCUGAGAAUGUUGGUUCAGAAUAUCAAGGAGCUUAGGGAACUUCAUCUUAAUGGUGUAGACAAUCAGCCGAGGGGAAGGAGUGGUGCCAGGCAUUGUCAUCUUCAGUGCCUAAUCUCCAAGUGCUUAGCUUGUCCAGCUGUCAUCUUUCAGGCCCAAUCCAUUCUUCCCUGCAGAAGCUUCGAUCUCUCUCAAGGAUUCGUCUGGAUGACAACAAUUUUGCUGCUCCAGUUCCACAGUUCCUCGCUAGCUUCUCAAAUUUGACUCACUUGCAGCUCAGUUCUUGUGGAUUAACUGGAACGUUUCCAGAAAAGAUCAUUCAGGUAACAACCCUACAGAUUCUUGAUUUGUCAAUUAACUUACUUGAAGAUUCUUUGCCAGAAUUCCCUCAAAAUGGAUCUCUAGAAACAUUGGUGCUUUCGGAUACAAAACUUUGGGGGAAACUACCCAACUCCAUGGGAAAUCUUAAGAAGCUGACUAGCAUAAAGCUGGCACGUUGCUAUUUCAGUGGCCCAAUCCUAAACUCAGUGGCAAACCUUCCUCAACUGAUUUACUUGGACUUGUCUGAAAAUAAGUUUUCCGAUCCAAUUCCAUCUUUUAGUUUGUCCAAGAGACUCACCGAAAUAAACCUUUCCUACAAUAAUUUGAUGGGUCCAAUUCCUUUCCACUGGGAAAAACUUGUUAAUUUAAUGAAUCUUGACCUGCGGUACAAUGGAAUUACAGGAAAUCUCCCCCCGUCCCUGUUUUCCCUCCCAUCCUUGCAGAGGUUACGACUAGACAACAACCAAAUUUCUGGUUAGUUCAAAAUUCUUUUAAAUGCAUCUUCUUCUAGAUUGAGCACCCUUGGUUUGAGUAGCAACAAUCUCGAAGGCCCGAUACCUAAUUCUGUCUUUGAACUGCGGUGUCUUAGCUUCCUUGACCUAUCUUCCAACAAAUUCAAUGGAAAGAUUGAACUCAGCAAGUUUAAAAAACUUGGGAAUCUUACUGAUCUUAGCCUUUCAUACAACAACCUGUCCAUCAAUGCAACCCUUUGUAAUCUGUCCCCUUCUAUACUGCCUAUGUUUACAACAUUAAGGUUGGCUUCUUGCAGGCUGACAACUUUACCUGAUCUUAGCGGCCAGUCAAGCUUGACACAUUUAGACCUUUCCCAAAACCAAAUUCACGAGAACAUACCUAGUUGGAUUUGGAAGAUUGGUAAUGGCUCUCUUGUGUAUUUGAAUCUCUCUCAUAAUUUACUGGAGGAUCUCCACGAACCUUUCUCUACUUUUACUCCUUAUCUGUCCAUCCUUGACCUACAUUCCAACCAGCUCCAUGGCCAAAUCCCCACUCCUCCCAUAUUUUGCAGCUAUGUGGAUUACUCGAACAACAGUUUCACCUCCUCCAUCCCAGAAGAUAUUGGUACUUACAUCUUCUUCACUAUUUUCUUCUCUCUUUCUAAGAAUAACAUCACUGGAAUUAUCCCUGCAUCAAUCUGCAAUGCCAGUUACCUGCGAUUUCUUGACUUUUCUGACAACGCUUUGAGUGGAAUGAUACCCUCAUGUUUAAUUGGGAACGAGAUUCUUGAGGACCUGAAUCUACGGAGAAACAAGUUAAGUGCCACUAUACCUGGGGAAUUUUCGGGAAACUGUCUUUUACGGACUCUAGAUCUGAAUGGGAAUCUCUUAGAAGGAAAAUUCCAGACUCUCUAGCCAAUUGCAAAGAGUUAGAGGUUUUAAACCUUGGGAACAAUCAGAUGAGUGAUUUUUUUCCUUGCUCGUUGAAGACCAUAAGCAGUUUGUGCGUCCUUGUUCUUCGAUCCAACAGAUUCUAUGGACCCAUUCAAUGUCGACCAUAUAGCAAUCCCACCUGGCCACUGCUUCAAAUUAUGGACCUUGCUUCCAACAAUUUUAGUGGUGACUUGUCAGGAAAAUUCUUUUUAACCUGGAAGGCAAUUGUGGACCCGCAUUUUUCACGUGCGUCCCCACUCGAUCGGCGAGACUCGCUUUUUAUUAGUGAAAAAUUGAUUUUUGAAAAAAAGUUGGAGUCGCCACUUAUUUUAUUUUUAUUUUAAAGGGAAAAUAAAACAAGAAAGAAAAACCCUAAAAAGUGACUCCAUAGUUUUGGAAAAAGCAUGUCUUUGAGAAACCCGAGUCUAAGUCCGGGGAUCAGGUUACUUAUUGGGAAGGUACCUCUAGGAGGUAGCACCCCUCUAAGCCCUAUAAAGGUCUCUACUGACAAAGUUAAGGGAAGUGUGGCAAUUAAUCAGUUAAUUAUAGAUACCUAAAUAGGCUGGGUGAUUUUAAAGAGUGGCAUGCCAAACACAAUCAAAUUGCAAUAAAGGAGAGUUAGGGUGCGUACCAGAACCGCUCUUCAAGCGCUAUCAUAAAACAUAAAAGUUAGUGUAGAAUUGUAGCACACAACAUUUGUUUUAUUCAAGCAAAUCAGGCAUAUAUCAAGAUAUCCAAGAAUCACGUCAAAUAUGGAUAUAGUCAUCAAUGGCAUACAAAUCCAUAGAGUUCUAAAAAAUAGAUGAGAAGAGAGCGUACCUGGAUAGCAAGCUAGUACUCCUCUAUGGGAAUCAAGAGCAUCUCAACAAUAAAUACGAAACAAAUUCAUGUAUAUCAUCAAGAAUAAUCAAAAAUCAACAUAUCAAGCAAACAAUAUUGAAGAAGGUAUCAUGAAUGUCGGGCCCCCACCAAAGCCCUAAUUGCUUUCGCACAAAUUGAUUCAACCAGUCCUAUUAUUUAGAACCAUGAAGUUUAUUUGCGCUUGUUGAAAAUCGAGAAAACCAUGAAAAUAGUUGAAAAUCCCAAAAGAUGCAUGUUUGAAUGAAAUAUGGGAGCAAGGGUUUUUAAAACUGAAUUUUCUCAACCUGAAAUCCUCCAAUGAUGAAAUUAAAAAAAGAAUAAUAGCUUUGAUGGAAAAGAGAUUUAAAAAAAAACGUGAUUCAAAACAUGUAAGAUCACAAGGAAAUAUCAAAACAAUAAGGGAACGGUGCAUCAAGAUGGCCACUGUAUGAGUGAGGUCUGGGGGUGUGAUUGAGACUACUUCGCUAAAUUUGAAGAUGAUUUCCUUAAUUCCAUUCUGCUGCAACGUUCUGAUAUGCCUCAAUAAUUCAGGCACAUUCAUCUCCUUGGCCAUCUGAAACAAGCUCCAUGGUUUGCAGAUAAUUAUAAGUCUCAUGAAUGCAGGAGUAAUCAUUACCUAUUUCCAGUAAUUAACAUAUUUAACACCCUGUUCACGAGUCAUGCAACCUGGUUGAUCCACCAGAUUGCAAAGAAUUGAUGCAAAGUAAAUUCUAUGAGGAACAAGUGAGUGUCACGAUUCUCAAUUUUUGAAGCUUCAAUCACAGACUACACAAAUAGUUGACUUUCACUAAGUUCAUCAUCAUCAUCAUCCACACAACCAGGUUGUUGUUUCAAUUCAGUGUCAAGUUGCUGAAUCUUCUUCUGUUUUAGCCAUGUAGGAAGCCUUUUCGAUUGUAAAUCCGGAAUGACAUCAAGUUUAAUCUCCAAUUCUGAACCCUCAAGGUACAGUUUCUUCAUUGAGCCUUUAUUACUUUUCCUUUACUGAUAUUACAGUAGUUCAAUUCAGGCAGCCAACUUAGCUAAACACUCACAACCUCGAAUUCAAAGACGGCACAAUUGGCUCAUAGUAAAAAUCAUCCCUUCCACCGAACUCCUAUGGCGCGGCUGGUUGUUUGAGGUGUAUCUAACCACUUUCAAAAUCACUUCCAUCAGCAGUCCCAAAUUAAUCACUAUGAGACUCCUUAGUGAGUUCAGGGAAUAACCCACCUUAGUGGGGAGUACAUGCACUUACCAUGCGCACACCACGUGGAUGUGCUCAUUGUGUCAAGGCGACUUUCCACUGACAUUUUGGCUUGAGAUUUAACAUGUAUUAGGCGCUGACUUCAUAAGCAAUGCCAUGUAAGAAUAUCUUUAACCAUUCAGGAGUGAUAGGUGGACAUUGGAAGGAGUUUGUAAUGCUGGAGGCAACAUCGACUUAUACAUCUGAUUGGCCGGCGAGUGGCUUCUCCAUCUUCUAAUUCUAAAUCCAUAGAACUUUCAGAAAACGUGCUGAAAUGGUGUUAGUGAGUGCACGACAGCAAGAAGAAGCAUUACAUAUGUCACCUUUCUCCCAAGCUGUUCAUCGGCAGUUUGCUCCAUGACCUGAGUAUGUCUUCUUUUCCUCAGGUAUUCCAAUCAUCUUUCAAUUCAGCUGGCUCAUGAUCAACAAAAUCUGGGUCUCUUGUUCUUUAGGUCGAUAUCGUUAACCAUGACAUGGGAAUAAACUCAUUUGGAGGUGAGUUUGUUUCGUCUGCAAUACCAGGGAACAUGAUUGAUCCACCACUGAGCACAACACUGCCAUAGUAGUUCUUAUCCUAAAAUGGUUGUUGUUGUCAUGAUUGCAAAUUUAAUUUCAAAUGGAAACCUAGAUGGGUGUACAGCCUUGAAUGAUUGUGCCAUGAUUCAGGAUUACAAGGACACUACUAAAGCACUUUAAAGACGGACCAUUCUUCACAUUCUCAUUGCAUGUAGCAGCGGCUUGAUUAGAUGCACGAGCAAUAGAGGCAGGGUGUUUCUGCUAAACAUAAUCUUGUCAUCACAAGCGCAUGGAGCCAAGAGAGCACCAACUUAGGAUUCCAAUCAAGUCAGAAUAUUAAGAGUACCAGGUGGCAGGCUCACCUCCAUGCACACAUUAGCUAGUUUCUAAACAAAUCACAGAAGCCAUCUCAGAUGACUUUAAUAUUGCCAUGCACCCAAUUAACUAAGGCAAGAGCCAUUUUCCGCAUAACUGUCCCCUGUCCCCUGUCCUCUUCAAGUUAUUAGAAGUCUUUUCCUACAUCUUUAAUUGUCCACACCAUGUCGAGGAAGACUAAAGGCAACUAGUCAAUUUAGAAGCAAAUUCCCAUGCAUUAGUUCUUUCUGGCUCAUCAAGCCAUCAACACCUCAACUUUCUAUAUUGUAAAAACCACCCAAAUUAUCUAUAUCCUGCUGCCUUGUGAAGAGAGGACCCCCAGUCCACAAACUUGAAGGAGAAAGAGAGCACAUAAGUCACUUUCCAUUGUAACUCGUGACAAUAUUGUUGAUUUUUGAAUUCAGAAGGGGUGUCAUCAGAUUGAAUGCGUCUGCUCCCAUGUAUGACCCACCAUUUCAAUUUUGUUGACAAGCUCCAAUAACAAUUGAGAUCUAACUCUCUGAGCCUUUACAUCAUGCUGUCCACAAGCAUCCUUCAGAAACCUAAUCAGUGGUUCAAUAAAAUUCUUAGAUGAUAGCGAAUGCCAAAGUUGAUCAUCACCCUUCAAGUCUUUUUCUGCAUCUUCGAUCACCUGGCAUUUAGGACUUCUGUGGAUGUGUAUCAAGUUCAGAUAAAAACUUCAAAUCUGUCUCAGGUUUAUCAGCAUACCAUGACAUCUGCGAGAUUCAUUACUAGUCUUCACGGAAAUCAAAUUUGAGCCAUCUCUGAUUUUAAUGCAUGAUGAGCCUGAACUGUGACGGUUAUCUAAAGAUUCAAGUGAUAUACUGUUGAUAUCUAUUGGCGGAUGUAGAUCAUUCAUAGAAAUUAUGAGGCUUGCGAUAGAGGUAGAACAAAAUUCCCAUGUGUUAUGUGCUGGUGGUUCUACACGUGGGCCAAGUUUGGAGAUUCCAUGCUCCAACAGUAUCCAGAAGAGUCACCACAAAUAAGCACCAGAAACAGGGGAAGGUAUCCAAAAACAGAGCAUGAAGAAUAGAAACAAAAGGAACCGAUAAAAGUCGUGUUUCAUGUUUUGAAUCAACGGUUUAAACAGGUGGGCGAAACCAAACACAUUUCAAAUAGAAAUCAAUACAUGAUCGCAGGCAUCUAACAGAGAAACUAAAGCAGUACCAAACCAAUCUUAACAAAACCCAAAAGAAAGUGAAACAUGAACACACUAUAAUCCAAUCCAAAGAAUAGCAAAGAAGCCAAAUGCAUGACAGGAUAUCCAUGCCCAAAAUCAACAACAAGCAAAUAGGUCUCUGAUGACCGCACUAAAGCAUCAGACAAGUCUCAAUAAUAGCAAACAAAAUAAGUGUACAAAGGAGCAGUGAUUUUACAAUGAAGAACUUACCUUUAAGAAUAUGCAAUCUGAUAGAUCUCCUCUGUUAUACUCUUCUUUCUGUUCUGCCCCUCUGUCUGUUCUUUUUUGUCCUGCUCUUCUUUCUGUUCUGCCCUUCUCUCUGUUCUCUUUUUCUGUUCUGCUCUCCCUUUUUGUUCGUUCUCCAUGCCUUCAUAGAGAUUCUCCCAGAAAUCUCCAGGCUGCUCUUUUGGAAAGUCCCUCAUCAUUCCUUCUUCGAAUGUGUGUUGGCCCUCCAAUCCUGCAGUACCCCUGUGUGUCCUCUUCGUAUAUAGAAGGCUGAUUCUUUUAAGCAUGGCGACGUGUUGUCUCUUUGGAAAGUCUUGCUACCCUCAGACUCAUGGAGAAUCAAAUCCCACCCAUCACUCGUGCUUAUUUUUGGAAAAUCCUUUUUUUCAUUUUUUUUUUUUAUAUGUACGUUGUAAUGUCCAAAAAGUCCAUAGGGUGCAUGCUGUGUUUGGAGAUAAUCUCCUCUUUCCAUCUAGGCGCAACCGGCAUCCCUUUUCUUCCAUGUAUGUACGGCCUUCCAUGUGUGGUCCGGAAUUUUGCAUGGAUUCUCCAUUACACAACCACCAGGAUCUCAUGCAAAAAUAUAAAAAUUCGAAUCAAGACUCACGCAAUCUCCUAGACGAACUCGGUUGCACUUGCUCCUUUCCUGCUCCUUUGUGCUUUCUCCUCAAAAAUCCUCAGAAUUUCUCCCAAUCCUCCAAUGCGUGCUUCCACCAAGAUAACCGAAGAAUUCUUAUAGUACCCCUGAUUCAAACCACCAGAUUUACUGAAGAAGGGUCACCCUGGCUAGCAGCUGUACGUGUUGCAUAAUCUGAAGUUCCUUGCAUGUAGUGGACACCAUGCGAUUCCAUGUAUGAGUGAAGGUCAGAGCCCACCCAAUUUCCACUUCGUCUCAAAACUCUGACCAUCUCCACUACCACUCAAAGCUGGACCUUUGAGUAAAGACUGGCAGAGGCUUGGCUGCAAUCUCCUUUUUCCCGCUCUUGUGCACCUUUCCACCCCUCUCAAUCCUCCAAUGUGUGCUUCCCUUGAAUUCUCCCUAAAAAAAAAUCCUCUUUUGCCCGGUCACUCAUUCUUCCUUCCUCCUUCCGAAAAACCUAAAUCUCCUUAAAAAAAAGCCAAAUCUCCUAUUUUCUCUCUUCUUUUCUCCUUAUCCUUUUUUAAAUCUUCCAAUUCAAAAGCAAUCUUCCCAACUUCAAAUUCUCCUCCAAAACCUUCCAAGGAGAGUCCCACUUUCCUUAAACUCCAAUGGUAAGUUUCCUUGCAAAAACAUGAAAUUUUAAAAGUUAAAUAAUUGCAUGAAUAGAUAAAUAAGUAAAUAAAUUAGAAAAUGGUAAAAAUAAUAAAUAAAUAAAUAAGUUAAGGAAAAUAAUAUAAAGAGGAAAAUGAAAUAAAAUAAAAUAAAAAUAAACAAAUUAACAAAAAAUGGGCCCUACGAGCCAUGCAAACAUGCAAACCAUGCAAAAACAUCUAAAGGUGACCUAGGGUGUGUCCUAGUGCGCUAGGGCAAACGAAGUGGACUAAGUGUGCUUAAAAGCUAUCCUAAAAAAAACAAGAAAAGCCUAAGUCUAAGUUAGGGCUGCCAAGGGUCACAAUAAGGGAUCAAAUAAUCCCUCAACCAAAAUCUCCAAGGUGGCUUAGAAAAAGGUAAGUCGUACGAGUAGUAAUGGGCCACCAAGAAACUAUUGUGGAGCACUGAACACGAAUUUAAAGACAUGUGUUAAAGGGACAAAAUUGAGGGUCUACAGCAAUGAGGGCUGAUAAAGAUGGAGCCAGGUCAGAGCUCAAUCACCUACAACUUCAGGUACUACAAUUCAGCCAAGUGUACUAUCAGGAUACGGUGACUGUCACUAGCAAAGGCCUAGAAAUGCAGCUUGUGAAGAUUCUAACCGUCUUCACUGCCAUUGAUUUCUCCUUCAACAAUUUCCAAUGGGAGAUACCAGAAGCUAUGGGAAGCUUGAUUUCACUUUAUGCUCUCAACCUGUCCCAUAAUGCUUUGACGGGCCAAAUCCCAUCAUCACUAGGGAAGUUGCGGCAGCUUGAGUCAUUGGACCUCUCACAGAACAGCCUUAGGGGGGAGAUACCAGCACAGUUUGUGAGCCUAAAUUUCCUUUCCUUCCUUAACCUCUCCUUUAAUCAACUGGAGGGAGAAAUCCCCACAGGUACUCAACUUCAAACGUUUUUGGAAUCUUCUUAUGAAGGGAACAAAGAACUAUGCGGACCCCCCUUGAAGAGGAAGUGCACAGAUCCAUCCCCACCCACCUAUGAAGAAACACAUCCGGAUUCUGGGAUGAAGAUUAACUGGGUGUACAUAGGUGCUGAAAUUGGAUUUGUCACCGGUAUAGGAAUUGUGAUUGGGCCUCUUGUGUUAUGGCGAACGUGGAGACGAUGGUACUACACACAUGUGGAUAGACUUCUUUUGAGGAUUCUCCCGCGUCAAGGCGAAGGAGUUCAUGGCAGGAGACGUCAUAGAAGUCAGGGACGGAGACUCUAGCACCAGAAAGGUGGCGCAGCUAGAGUUUGUUCUAUGGAAGGAAAAAUAAAAACUAAAAAGUAUGUUCAUUGCUAGGAUUUCUGUGUUUUUUUACCUUAAAAAUUGGAAGUACGUUGUUUUUGAAUAAUAUCUUUCAAUUAUUUUAACUUAUUUUAAAAAAUAAUUAUACAAAUAUGAACAAAAAUUAAAAAUAAAAUAAUACUGUAGACCCCCAUUUUGGGGGGCAUCUUUUUGCAAAUUAUUUAUGUUGGUGGAGGGCUCUUAACGAGCCACAUGUUGCCCCAAGUUUGGUCUUUAGAGAAUCAUGUUAGUGGUUUGAAGAAGCAAUGGGAGGGCGACACGUGUCAUGGGAAUAUUCAGAAACAAUUUUUUUUUUAGGGAUUUGGAGGAGCAUAUAUUUGAUAUAGAGACAGGGAGGCCGUUAAGGAAGGGGAGAUAUUUGGUUGCUGUUACAGAGAGGUAUAGGUAGCUUGGGAGGCAAGACUGAGGAGGCAUGUUUUUUGGGGUUGCUUAGGAGAGAGGGAUACCUGGGGGGAUUCUCUCUGGAGGAGGUUACAGAGGAGUGUUUUUUUUAGUAGCUUGAGAGAGAAGACAAUUGGAGAGAAGACCAUUUGAGCUAGAGAAUGGGAGGAGGAGAAUCGAUUGAGCUUGGAAGGGAGAACUGGUCAGAGAGAGGAGGAAACACACAGAAGAAUCGUCUUGAAAGAGGGUGACACAGUAAAUCGGCCCAUCACUCAGGUACACUCCUUGCCUAUCUUGUUUAUUCGGUUAUUUUGUUUUGAUUGAUAUUCAUUCGGUAUCCAUGUUUGAUCAAUCAAUUGUCAUACUUGCUUCAGCUCAUUAGUAGAGACCCGUUUUUAGGGACUUAGAAGGGUGUUACGAUCUUUACCGUACCUUCCCAAUAAGUAACCUAACCCCCGAGCUCAAACUUGAUUUUUCACAGACCACCUUUUCCAAAAUAAAGAGUCACACUUAGGGUUUUCUUUCUUAUUUUGUUUACCCUUUAAAAAUAAAACAAAAAUAAGUGGCAACUCCAAGUUAUUUUCUUAAAAAAUAAAUAAUUUUCAAAUAAAAAGCGAGUUUUCCAUCGAGUGGAAGCGCAUGAGCAUAAAUACGAGGUCCACAAAUACACACUUAGGGUUUUCUUUCUUCAUUUUGGCAUUCAAAGCCACAUCUUCAUUUUGGCGUUCAGAGCCACCAUCCCUUUUUAAUUUGGCAUUCAGAGUCACUAUCUCUUUUUUCGAUUUGGUGUUCAAAGUCGCAUCUUCAUUUUGGCGUCCAGAGCCGUUGUUUGCUUCUAGUUCAGUAUUCAUAGCCAUCAUACCUCUUUUUCGGUUUGGCAUUCAGAGUCGUAUCUUCAUUUUGGCAUUCAAAGCAGUUGUUCAGUUUAGUUCGGUAUUCAAAGCCACACCUUCAGUUCGGUGUUUAGAGCUGCAUUUUCUGUUUGGCAUCCAGAGCCGUUGUUCAUUUUCAAUUUGGUGUUCAGAGCUGUCGUUUAUUUCUAGUUCGGCAUUCAGAGUUGUCGUUUGUUUUUUUAGUUCAACAUUCAGAGUCGUCAUGUCUUUCUUUAAUUCGUCGUUCAGAGUCACAUCUCUAGUUAGGCGUUCAGAGCCGCAUCUUCCGUUUGGCGUUCAAAGUCAUGUCUUCAGUUCAACAUUCAGAGUCAUUAUUCAUUAUUGACAUUCAAAGCCAUUGUUUCAUUCAGGCAUUUGAUGCCACCAUUUUUCUUUAGUUUUGGUGUUCAGAGCCAUUAUGCAUACUCAUUCAGGCAUUUGAUCCCAUCAUCAUUCUUUAGCUUUGGGGUUCAAAGUUGUUGUGCAUACUCGUUUAGGUAUUUAGAGUCACCAUUCUUUCAUCCCUUUUGGCAUUCAGAAUCAUUUUCCUCACCUUGUUACCUUGUGCUUAUUGCUUGUUCAUCAUGGUCUUCUAGACUUCCCCUUCCACUACACAUGACAUAGUCCUUUGAGUUCGCGACACAUAUUUUGGUCAUGUUGUUGGGCACCCCACAUUUAGCGUUCUCAUGUAGCUCACAUAGGGCGGUCUCCUUUGAGCACAUUCUUUUCUGUACUCCAGGAUGGUUCGACCAUUGCUCAUCUUUGACAUUGACCUUCAAGUCACUUUUGGAGACGUCUUAGAUGGAGUUUGGAUCCUUAAUGCAACUUUAGAGGCACAUUGAGACAUGUUUUUCUCUUAGGAUUAGAGUCAUUUUGUUCAUCUAUUGGUCUAAGUGAGUUUGUGUUUUGCAAAUGUCCCUUUGGGGGUCUCCUUGGUUCUUCAAUAGAGUUCACUUCAUUCCACUCAUUAUGCACAUUUUCUUUUCACCUUAGUGUUCAUAUUCCUUACACUCGUGAGUUCUAUCGAAGAGGGGCAUAUUUGUAGGCCCCCUUUUUGGGGGCCAUUUUUUUGAAAAUUAUUUCUGUAGGUGGAGGGCUCUUAAAGAGCCACAUGUUGCCCCAAGUUUGGUCUUUAGAGAAUCAUGUUAGUGGUUUGAAGAAGCAAUGGGAGGGCGAUACGUGUCAUGGGAAUAUUCAGAAACAGUUUUUUUGAGGAUUUGGAGGAGUGGAUUUUUGAUAUAGAGAGAGGGAGGUCGUUAAGGAGGGAGAGAUAUUUGGUUGUUGUUACAUAGAGGUAUAGGUAGCUCGGGAGGCAAGACCGAGGAGACAUGUUUUUUCGGGUUGCUUGGGAGAGAGGGAUACCUGGGAGGGGACUCUCUGGAGGAGGUUAUAGACAAGUGUUUUUUUUAGUAGCUUGAGAGAUAAGACAACUGGAGAGAAGACCAUUUGAGCUAGAGAAAGGGAGAAGGAGAAUCACCUGAGCUUGAAAGGGAGAACUGGUUAGAGAGAGGAGGAAACACACAGAAGAAUCGUCUUGAAAGAGGGUGACAUAGUAAAUCGGCCCAUCACUCAGGUACACUCCUUGCGUCUCUUGUUGAUUCGAUUAUUUUGUUUUGAUUUAUAUUCAUUCGGUAUCCAUUUUUUAUCAAUCAAUUUCCAUACUUGCUUCAUCUCAUUAAUAGAGGCCCGUUUUUAGGGACUUAGAGGGGUGCUACGGUCUUUAUCGUACCUUCCCAAUAAGUAACUAGACCCUCGAGCCUAGAUUCGGUUUUUCACAAACCACCUUUUCCAAAAUAAGGAGUCACACUUAGGGUUUUCUUUCUUAUUUUGUUUACCCUUUAAAAAUAAAACAAAAAUAAGUGGCGACUCCAAGUCAUUUUCUUAAAAAAUAAAUCAUUUUCAAAUAAAAAGCGAGUUCACCAUCGAGUGGAAGCGGAUGAGCAGAAAUACGGGGUCCACAAAUACAUAUUAAAUUUAUUUUUAAAACAAAUUUAAAAAUAUAGCAAACGGUUUAAAAACAUUUCAAAUUCUCAAAUACACUUUUGUUAAUCUACUAAACAUUAAAUAACAUAUUUAAAAAAUUGUUCUCAAAAACUCUUUUAGAAUACACUUCUCACUCAAAACCUAAUAAACUAAGAAUAUCAAUAACAAAAUAUCAAUAAAAAUAUUUAAAUAAAAUAUGGAGAAAUCCUAUUCAAAAAGUAAAGUCAUGUUUAACAACUAUUUUCUUAAAACAGUUUUUUUUUUAUUCAGAAUAAAAAAUAGGAAAACAUGUUUGAGAACUAAAAAUCAUAAUAUGGUUUUCUAUUAUUAAAAGCAUGAAAUGGUGUUUUCAAGUAACAUCUUUAAAAUUUUAAGAGAUUAUCGGAUCAUGUCAAAAGGGUUUAGCUAGAAUAAUCUAGGAAAUUUUACUCUAAGGUACUUCUUCAAAUGCUCAUCAUCAUUGAAUCCCAUGAUUCCAAUUCUACAAUUGUAAGAGUGCGUUUGAGAGUGAUUUUAGAAAACGUUUAUAGUAUUUUCAACAUUUAAAUGAUAAAAAAUUUCAAAUAUUAAAAAGAUUAAAAACGUUUCCUAGAAUUAUUUUCAAACGGACUGUAAAUCCUUUUCUGGUUAUGUAAAUGAAAUAUACAAAUAUAAUAGUCGGAGACUAAAGACAAAAUGUUGUUUUAUAUAUACAUAUAUAACCGAAAUACAUGAAACUUGUAGUCUGAUUUUUCCAAUGGAAGGAGACAGUUCCACCAUUAUAUUGAUUUGGUAAUCAUUUCGAAAUAUAAUUUAACUCAUGCUUUGAAAUGCAAGAAACUAAGAAAUUAAACUGAAAUCUAAUAGAAUUAAAAUAAGAGAAGUUAACAAUACCCAUCCACCCAUUUUUAUUUUAUUUUUCUUGUUAAGUCCUCAGCUUUCCUCUUACUUCAUGCUUUUUCUUUCCCCAUGUUAAGAGACAAUUUAACAUCUAUUGAAAUAGUAUGUUGGAAGAUGGUUGAACACUUGUGAGAGAUAGUUAAGUACUACAAAUUAAAUAUAAUAGCAGAAAUUCAUCAAUGCAAACUAUUUUAAGGAUGUGCCAAAUUUCGUGAAAGAUGUAUCAAAUUUUGUAAAGGAUGUACCAAAUUGUCCUUAGGAUGUACCUUGGGUUCCAAUGUUCGUUUCAAGGUGGGGAACAACCUCCAAUUCCUUCUCGAGGGUCCCCAAAGGAAUAUAUGAACCAUAAGAAUGGAGAUAGGGGUCUUGGUUCCUCUAAGAAUGGAUAUACCUAGGAUUGCAAAGUUUGUUUUAGGGUGGGCGAGUACCUCCAAUUACUUAUCAAGGGUCCCAAAGGAAUAUAUACACCAUAAUAAGUAUGAUAAUGGUUCUAGUUCUCCUAAGCAUGAUUUACCUAUUUUUUUAAGGAUGCACCUAUUUUUUUUAUGAAAUUAAUAUAAAAGGUUAAAUACAAUUUUUUAUGAAAAAUAUAUUUUCUUUUAUAUUUUAUUUUAAUUAAAAAUUAAAGAUUUUAACCAAACAAAAAGUUAGAUCUACAAUCAAAUUAAAAUCAUAAGAAAAAUGAUAAAAGCAUCAUCACUUAUUGUGAUUUUGAUAUGAUAAAUUUAAAAUGAAAAUUAAAAGAAAAAUAGUGUAAAUAAUAAAAUAGUAUUACAAAGAUAUUUUUAUUUUUACAUGUGAUAGAAUUUACAAAAUAAAUAAAUCUUUUGUUGAGUAUUAAUAUAAAAAAUCUUAUAUCAUAAACUUCUAAAUAAUAAAAUAGAAUUUUUAAAUUUAAACCUUAAUUUAUCAAAUGUAUUAUUAUAAUUAAUAUUUAAAAUCAUCAAGUAUAUUAUUUGUGUGAUAAUAUUUUCAUUUUUGUCCAUUAUAUAUUUUUGUUUUUAUUUAAUUUGUUAUAUUAAUUAUUUAUUAUAUAUUAUCAUUUUAAGUUUAAUAUGUCAAAAAAAUAAUUAAAAUCAAUAAAUAUGAAGAAAUUAGAGAGUAAAGAAAAAUUAAAAUUAAAGAAGUUUUAUGAGAAAAUACAUGAGCAUAUUAAAAAGAAUAUAAAAUAAAAAGAGAAAAAUAAUAAUAAAAACUAUAAUAGGUGGCAAUAGAUUAUGGUGGGAAGAGAGGAAAAAAAGAGAAAAAAAAAAAAAGGAAAAAAGUGGGAAUGUGAUCAGAUAAGCUAGAUAUAUUAAUGGGAGAGAAAUAAUAAAAAUAAAUGACACAUGUAUUUAUCGUGGUAUUAAAUGAAUAGAUAAUAUUUUUUUCCUAUUUUACACAAAAUGUCAAAAGGAAAAAGUAAAGUUAUAAAAUCUCAUUGUAGACCCCUUCUUGCAAGACCAAGGUGUUAUUUUUAUUUUAUUUAGCUGCCACCACCCGAGGAAGGGGGUUUUUCUUUUUUUUGGUAGGAUGGGGGGACCCCUUUUCUGAAAGGAGAGCAGCUUCAUAGACACGGCGAGAGACGUGGGCGGCUUGCUGAGGUGAGGAACAGUAGGGCAAGUAGUGGCUUGCCAAAGAAGAUAGAAAAAAGGGGAAAAAUGGGGAAAAAGUGGCAGGCGGGUUCUGGGAGGAGAAAAAGAAAAAGGAGAUCCGGAAAGAAUCUGAGGAGAAAGCAAGCCGUUUUACCCUCACUUGAGGACUCAGGUAUGACCAUUAUGAGCGUUCUUACUUUAUAUCAUUUGGUUUUCCUCUCUUCACAUCGUUGAUCUUAGGCAGGGUUUGAUGGUUUUUGUUAUCAUAUUCAUUCUAUUAUUUUCUUUCUCUGUUUUCUCUGUUUUCCCUCAAAUGGCUGGGAUAUAGUUUACUUUCUUUGAGUUUGAUGUUCAAUUAAAUAUAUAAUAGCUUACUGCUCAUCCCACCAGUGGGCACUUCGUUUGUUGCUCAUGAAACGAGGUCUUGCUUGAUGAUUUCUUGAUUUCUUACUCUGUUUUAUCUAUUUUCAUCCCCCAUGCUUUUGGGCUCACGUGUGUUUAAUUGUGAAAAUUCCUUGGGCCGUGCAUCACCCUUCGUUGGACUGUGUUUCACCCUCUGAGGAAGCUUCGGCUGCCCCUAAUCUAGAAGCUGUUGAUAAUUCUGGAUACACAUUCGAGCCUCAACGAGGGUAAGGUUGUUGCCUACCCAUCAGAUAUGAGAUACUGUCACUUCAAGAACCGGGUUUGGAUGUUCAGCUGAGAGUGUCAACAGAGGAGAGGAGGCUAACAAUCUGCGUGGGGUUGUUGAUGCUUUUCACUUAAAGCACAGGGAAUAUGCUGAUGGGAUGACACAAAAAUUGGUAGUUGCAUGGAAUGUGAUGAUUCCGGGAAGAUGCCGGAGAUGAUUUUUUUUAUGCAGGCUGUGAUGAAUACCGGGACUGGCGCUAAACGGCUUCGGUGAAGAGGGUCUGAAACUAUCCUAUUGUACAGAGCCAGAGGAUUUUGAGCCAUGUGAUUACGCAUUUGCAGGGGUAAUUAUUGCUCGUGUUUGGUUGGCAGCGUUGAUACGUGGAUGGCAGCUCCAUGCUCAGCUUGUCCAGCCAUGUUUUGAUUCCAUCUUUCCAGCGGGGAAUGCGCUGAUCGUAAUGCAUGCAAGAUGUGGUGUGGUUGAGGCAGCCUAACAAAGUCUUAUUUGGGUCCGGUACCCUAGAACACCAUGAUUGCAGCUUGGGCCAACACGGGCAUGCCACGCUGAUUUAGUUGAAGGGGGACUUGGCCACUUUGAAUCCAUGUCAGGCCUUUAUUGUAUAUGCCCAGGCCCACCCAUUUGAGAGACACUUCUUGCUGGUUGUAGGACUCAUGAGAACAUGAACUGGGGUAUUCCCCAUACGCAUGCAGUGCAUGCAUGUAUAGCUACAUGAAACACUCCACAGCCCGUCCACUUAAGAGUCUCCAUGCCCACAUCAUCUUUCAUGACUCACACUGUUACCACCCCAACCCAUUCAACACCAUGCUCCAUUCAUCUUCAUUAACCCAUCUCUCACUAACUCACCCGUUACGUACCCUCCAUACCCAUUUGGUCACCAUCUUUAGCUCAUGCCUCUCAUACUCACCACGUACCCACCGCCCAUCUCCAUACCCAUCUUUCAUGCAUCCAUGUAAACUCACCACGUUUAUAUAUUCAGCCCUACAUACAUGGUCAUCUCCCAUAGUGCCCUUGUAAACACUCAUCUUCAUACCCAUUUUGUAACCACACCCAUCUCUUGUUCCAUAGACUCACCAAGCCCAUUUUCUUUCACUUUCACUCACCACCUAUUCAUCAUCCGUCCACCUCUCAUCCAAACCCAUUUUCUUAUCACCUUUCUCAUGCUCAUGCUUGCCACCACCUUUCCUCUCUCUACGUUCCCUAUUGCCCAUUUCUCUUUCUAACUCUCCACUCUUCAAACCGUUUCCUCAUCACUCUUUCACCCUCACCACCCAUCAGAAACACCAUCCUCUCAUUCCCAUAAUCUAUUUCACGUGCAUGGAGUCCCAUGCGUGCGGCCACCCCAAGCACCCUCCACGUUUGCUUAACCCAUCUCCUCAUACCCGUCUUCUUUUGAUACCCAUUCUCCAUACAUGCAUGGCUGCCCAAGCCCCCCUCUCCAAAGCUACUUCUAUGACCCCUCAUCUUCUCACUCAGAGUCUCUGUUUCUCGGAUCUAAGCCACGGCCAGUGCGAGAGAGGGAUACACACCGUUGAAGAAAUGGUGAUUUACAUCAUGUGAGCAUCGGGUUUAGAGCUGAAUUUCAUGAAAUGGAGGAAGUUAAUUUCAGCGGUUUGGAGUUAGUAUACCAUGUCAGGCACACCUUUGGAUCAGUCUUCUUGGAUGAUAGUGACAGUCAUGAUCAGCUGAUUGGGGUACUGCACCAUGAGGGACGCCUUUAUCCCUAACGAGGUGGGGCUGUUAGUGACUAGUUCAAAGGCACUAUUUGGAGCAGUUUCUGUGCUCGAUUUGAGGAGGUUGCUGUGGUCGGCAAGCUGUCGGAGCAUGAUGACCCUGAUCUUGGAUAUGAGGCGGCCAAAGGUGAAUGUGUUGAUACGGACAAAAGAUGGAUGAAGGGAAACCCUCAUCCCGGAAAUCGUUACGGGUGCACUCCUGCUGGAUGCCCUGUUCAUAAGUAUAUUGAGACGGCCAUAGAUGGCUCCAAUGCUGUCAUAAUAACCUACAAAGGGACACAUGACUAUGCCAUGCAUGAACAAAGAGAAAGCGACAUGGCCCAUCGAGUGCUCCUCUCGUCGCGGCUGCCGCUGCCUGGCUCCACAGAAUCAUGGGUGCGCCUCUUGCUCGGGUGAGGAAGUAUAGGUUCAUUGUGGUCCUUGGUUGGUAAGUGACAAAGCAUUGAAAGCGGCUGAUUGCAAGAGCGACGGGGAACGUUCCCAAUCCUCGUUCUCAUCCCAGCUGGAGAUCAGCCAUGGCCACUGAGUCCGUCGAAGGACCUCUUGCUGUCUUCACUCCGCGCAAUCCCUUUCGUUUUCUUCCCCGAGUUCCCUCCGAGACUCUCUCUCACACUUGAUCCGCUCAAGCACUGCGCUGAAGCUCUCAAGUUCUUCAAAGAUAAGCUCCAGACGCCUGAGAAGACCCGCUAGGGGUUCGUUUUCUUGCAGGUCAACAGGAUGGGACUAUCCGAAAUGAUGAGAAACUACACUGUGGCUCUCGACAGUGUCAAUUUAAGAAAAUACUGCUGCUGAUGUUGCUCUGAGGCUUGUAAGGCCAAGAAGAAAGAACAAGGAUGUAACAUAGGCAAUUCGGAGGGUUGCUGCUGCAUAUGCCUGCCAAAUUGUCGAAGGUAUACUCAGCCACCAGCCAAAGCAGUUUGUGAUAGAUGGGAACAAAGUCGUACUGAGUGUUCCCUGUCCGGAGACCAGAGUUGAGGAAGCUGUGAACUCUGAGACUUUAUUUCAGAUCCAGUCUCAGGUACAAGAAAACCUAGGGUCUCGGCCUGCCGAGAUAAAUGAGAUAUGGCAGCCUAGUAUAUUUGAUUCAUGGAGAGCCAGUCAACGUUAGUAUGAGAAUUGGUGAUGGCCGGCAAGAGAUCCUUGAGAGAAGUUUCUAUUCCAGGUGGAGGGGUCCCUGUUGAUGAUGAGACAAUCUUCUUUGCCGCUUUGGUGUGUCAGCCUACUGCCCACCUCAAAAAGCUUGUGGAUCAAGAUCCUAUGAGGCUAUGGUAUAUCCUCCUGAAGCUGCCAUAAAAAGCCCAGGCCCAUUUCUAGCAUGGCAUGCAUGGCCACCUUUGAUCCAGGUGCCAUUUCCCAUUUUGCCAUCUUUAACUUUUUAAAAUAAUUUUCCAAGUCCUUUUCUUCAAAUAAAUUUCCGGGUUUUAGUCUUUAAAUAAUUCCAGCUCCAUGUUUUUCUUCAUCCUUAGAAUUUUUAGGUUCCAAAAAUCUAUUUUCCAAUAAAAUUUGCCACAAUUUUCUUCUUGGCGAGUCUCAUUUUCACAUUUUCCGUGAUUUCUAAAAUGUUUUUAAAAUAAGCAAGGAUCAAAUUUUGUAAUUCCUAAUUAUGGAAUUUACGGAUUUGGCUCAUGCAAAAUAAAUAGGCUUUGGUGGGGGGCCCCACAUAUAUGUUUCUGAUGAUUGAUUGGUUGAUUGUUCGAUUUGAUUAUCAUACAUGUUUGAUUUAUCCUGCUCUUUGACGUACAUGCCAUUAUUCUCUAAUUGUGUACUAACCAUCUUUCUUGAUAAUGCAUUGAUCGUUUGACGCCAAGGUAUGCCCUUUUCUCACUCUAGUCACUCUAUAUAUAUGUAUUGAUUCUCACACCUGCAUGAUCAUUUUGAGUAUUCAUUGAUUUACUCGUCAAUUGCCGCGUCAGCUUCAUUUUAUUAGUAGAGGCCCGACUUUAGGGACUUAGAGGGGUGUUAUGGUCUUUUACCGUACCUUCCCGAUAAGUAACCUGACCCUCGAACCCGAUUCGGUUUUUCACAGAUCACCUUUUCCAAAAUAAGGAGUCGCACUUAGGGUUUUCUUUCUUAUUUUAUUUACCCUUUAAAAAUAAUACAAAAAUAAGUGGCAACUCCAAGUCAUUUUCUAAAUCAAUAAAAAUCAUUUUUCAAAUUAAAAUUGAGCUCGCCAUCGAGUGGGAAACGCAUGAGCCAAAAUGCAGGGUCCACACUCAUAUUUUUUUAAAUUAGUGUAUGAUUACAUGAUUUCCCAAAAAAGAAUAUCAGUGUACACAGAAUCCCGAAGAAUUGGACACAAGUAGAAUUGAAAUUGAAUGUGAAUCGAGUGUGAAAGGACAACUUGUAAGAAGACAUUUCUCAGACUUUUCUCAAUAGUACGGUAAUUUAAAAAAAUUAUUCUUAAAUUAUUGUAGUAGAAGAAGUUAUUACAAAUAUAUGAUAGUUUUUGCCACUUAGGAGAGAGGGUGAACGGAUAAAUUUUUUUUUAAACCAAAAUCGUCUUUUCAAAAGACGAUUUUAUUUCCAUUUAAAAAAAAAAAUUCAAAAGGGAAAUCGUCUCUUGAAGAGACGAUUUCCCAUUAAAAAAAAUUAAUAUUUUUUUUAAUAUUUAUUACAAAUUAUUAAAAAAAAAAAAACCCAAGGGAAAUUGUCUUUUGAAGAGACGAGUUCCCAUGAAAAAAAAUAAUAUUUUUUUUAAAAAAAAUCCCGAAUUAAAAAAAAAAUCCUCAAGGGAAUUCCCAUAAAAAUUUAAUAUUUUUUUUUUAAAAAAAUUCCAAAUUAUAAAUAAAAAAUUAAAAUAAAAAAUCCUCAAGAGAACUCAUCUCUUUAAGAGAUGAGUUUCCAUGAAAAAAAAAAUAUUUUUUUUACAAAAAAAUUCCCAAAUUAAAAAAAAAAAAAAAAAAAUCCUCAAGGAAACUCGUCUCUUGAGAGACGAGUUCCCAUGGAAAAAUAUAUAUAUAUAUAUAUAUAUAUAUAUUUAAAAUUCCCAAAUUAAAAAAAAAAAAAAAUUCCUCAAGGAAACUUGUCUCUUCAAGAGACGAGUUCCCAUGAAAAAUAUAUAUAUAUAUAUAUAUAUAUAUAUAUAUAUAUAUAUAUAUAUAUAUAUAUAUAUUUUUUUUUAAAAUCCCAAAUUUUAAAAAAAAAAUUCCUUAAAGGAACUCGUCUCUUUUUUUAAAAAAAAAAUCCCAAAUUAUAAAAAAAAAAAGAAAAAAAAAAUCCUCAAGGGAACUCGUCUCUUCAAGAGAUGAGUUCCCAUGAAAAAAAAUCUCAAAUUAUAUAAAAAAUAAAAUAAAAUAAAAAAUCCUCAAGGGAACUCAUCUCUUCAAGAGACAAGUUCCCAUGAAAAAAAAUUAAUAUUUUUUUUUUUAAAAAAAAUCCCAAAUUAUAAAAUUAAAAAAAAAAAAUCCUCAAGGGAACUCGUCUCUUGAGACGAGUUCCCAUGAAAAAAAAUAAUAUUUUUUUUUAAAAAAAAUCCCAAAUAAAAAAAUAAAAUAAAAAAUCCUUAAGGGAACUCAUCUCUUAAAGAGACGAGUUCCCAUGAAAAAAAAUUAAUAUUUUUUUUAAAAAAAAAUCCCAAAUAUAAAAAUUAAAAAAAAUCCUCAAGGGAACUCGUCUCUUCAAGAGACAAUUUCCCAUUAAAAAAAAUUAAUAUUUUUUUUUAAAAAAAUCCCAAAUUAAAAAAAAAAAAUCCAAAGGGGAAAUCGUCUCUUCAAGAGACGAUUUCCCAUUAAAAAAAAAUAAUAUUUUUUAAAAAAAAUCCCAAAUUAUAAAAUAAAUAAAUAAAUAAAUAAUUCCAAAAGGAGAAAUUGAAAAACUUUUAGAAUAUUGUAAACAAGAAAUUGAUUCAUUAUUAAAUACAAAAUGCUGUUGAGAUAGAAAAAGGAGCACCAAGAUUAGUCAUUAAUUAUAAACCUUUAAAUAAAGUAUUACAAUGGAUAAGAUACCCUAUUCCUAGUAAGCAAGAUCUACUCAAAAGAAUACAUAAUUCUGUAAUUUAUUCAAAAUUUGAUAUGAAAUCUGAAUUUUGGCAAGUUCAAAUUAAAGAAGAAGAUAGGUACAAAACUACUUUUACUAUCCCUUUCGGUCAUGAUGAAUGAAAUGUCAUGCCUUUUGGUCUCAAAAAUGCCCCUUCUGAAUUUCACAAUAUUAUGAAUGAUAUUUUCAAUCCUCAUUUUCAAUUUAUAAUUGUAUACAUUGAUGAUGUCUUAGUAUUUUUUGAUUUAUUAGAAAAACAUUUUGUUCAUCUAAAAAAGUUUUUCAAUGUCAUUAAAGCAGAUUUUUAGAACAUGAAAUUUUUUAAGGAAAAACAAAACCGAUUCAAAGGUCAAUAGAAUUUGCUGACAAAUUUCCUAAUGAAAUAAAAGAUAAAAAACAAUAGGUUGUUUAAAUUAUGUUUCUGAUUACUUCAAAGAUUUGAGAAUCAUUUGUAAACCCUUAUACAAAAGACUUAGAAAAAAUGCACCUGCAUGGACUGAGCAUCAAAAGUCAUGAAUAGUAGUGAAUAGUAGAAUUUGUCUACUUUCUACUACUUUGCAAUCAACGUGGAGGAUGGGAAAGUAAAGUGAAUUUUUCUCUUUUCAAGUCUCUGACAAGGAAAAGAAAUUCUCCCUCUCCAGACUUCAUUACCCAACUGUCUCUACACGUGAUGAAUUUCAAAAAUUUUCAAGAUUGAAGAUUCAAUAGAAUUUCAAGUCUGAAUCAUCGCCUAUAAAUAGAGCCUCAACAUUCUUCAUCAAGCAGAGUCGGGAAGAGAGCUUCAAGAGCAGAAAAAAUUUAGAGAGUGCAAAAUUUUGAGCGUUCAAAAAUUUUUCCCUUUGGAAUUUUUUUUAUUUUUUUAUUUUAUAAUUUGGGAUUUUUAAAAAAAAAAUAUUAAUUUUUUUUCAUGGGAACUCGUCUCUUCAAGAGAUGAGUUCCCUUGAGGAUAUAUAUAUAUAUAUAUAUAUAUAUAUAUAUAUAUAUAUAUUUUAUAUUUGGGAUUUUUUUUAAAAAUAUAUUAAUUUUGUUUCAUUUGGGAUUUUUUUUUUAAAAAAAUAUUAAUUUUUUUUUCAUGGCCCUUGAGGAUUUUUUUUUAUUUGGGAUUUUUUAUAAAAAAAAUAUUAUUAUUUUUUCAUGGGAACCUUGAGGAAUUUUUUUUUAAUUUGAGAUUUUUUUAAAAAAAAUACUAAAUUUUUUUUUAUGGGAACUCGUCUCUUCAAGAGACGAAUUCCUUGAGGAUUUUUAUUUAUUUAUUUUUUUAUACUUGGGAUUUUUUUUUCAUGGGAACUCGUCUCUUCAAGAGACGAGUUCCCUUGAGGAUUUUUUUUUUUUUUUUUAAUUUGGGAUUUUUUUUUAAUAUUAAUUUUUUUUUCAUGGGAACUUGUCUCUUGAAAAGACGAGUUCCUUGAGGUUUUUUUUUUUUUUUUUUACAAUUUGGAUUUUUUUUUUAAAAAAUAUUAAAUUUUUUAAUGGGAAAUCGUAUCUUCGUAGGGAUUUUUUUUUUAAUUUGGGAUUUUUUAGAAAAAAAAAUAUUAAAUUUUUUUAAUGGGAAAUCGUCUCUUGAAGAGACGAUUUCCCUUUUGAAAUUUUUUUUUUUAAAUGGAAAUAAAAUCGUCUUUUCAAAAGACGAUUUUGGUUUUUGAAAAGACGAUUUUGGUUUUUGAAAAUACGAUUUUGGUUUAAAAAAAAAUUUAUCCAUUCACCCUCUCUCCUAGGUGGUAAAAACUACCAUAUAUUUGUAAUAACUUUUUCUACUACAGUAAUUUAAGAAUAAUUUUUUUAAUUUAUCGUACUAUUGAGAAAAGUCCGACAUUUCUGGUUCUCAUUCAAAGUAAUGAAUUCCAUGUCGGUAGGCGUUCUGUUAUGCGUUCCUUGUUUUCUUUCUCUUUCACAAGGACUUGAUUAGGAAGACUUGAAGUCAAACCGAGCCUCAUUGAUCUUCCAACUACGUACCAAAUAUAUAUCUAUUAGUUGAUCUUCCAUUUAAGAUUAAUAGAUGGAAACCAAAAAGUCAGGCGUAUUGUUUGAGCCGCAGAAAAGUCGGCAAUGAAGACCUCUUUUCCGUCGUCGUGGAAAGAUAGGCACGAAUUAAUGAAGUGAACGGGCCAUUGUUGUGUCAAAUCAUAAUUGGUUCCUAAAGGAAAAUUCUGACAAAAUCGUAAGAGUAAAAAAUGUAAGAAAAUGAUAAAUUGUCAUGUGACUUGAAAUGGAGUAGAUAGGGGGAAACAAGGAAGGAAAAAACAUAAAAGAAAUACAUAUUAAACAUGAUCUAUAACUAGAUCAUUCUUUUUUCUUCCUGUUUAAUUUAUCCCAAUCUACAUAUUAAACAUGCUUUGUUGUAGCAGUACUUCCUAGCUGCUUCCAAUGAGAAUUGCACUCUUUUCAUGGCUUUAUUUCUUGCCCUUAUGCUCAAUCGUUUUUGGUAUCCAUGUUGCUUUGGUGUCCGGGGAAUGUCUGAGUGAUGGGAGCAUAUGCCUGGAGGAUCAGAUGUCCUUGUUGCUGCAACUGAAGAACACCCUCAAAUUCAAUGUUGCUGCAUCAAGUAAACUAGUUUCCUGGAAUCCAAGCAUGGAUUGCUGUUCUUGGGGAGGUGUAACCUGGGAUGCCACUGGUCAUGUUGUCGCUCUCGAUCUCAGUAGCCAAUCAAUUUAUGGUGGAUUCAAUAACACCAGUAGCAUUUUCAGUCUACAAUAUCUGCAGAGCUUGAAUUUGGCUGACAACUCCUUCAACUCUUCUCAAAUUCCAUCUGGAUUCGGUAAGCUUGGCAAUUUGAUGUACCUGAAUUUGUCUAAUGCUGGGUUUUCUGGGCAGAUUCCAAUUGAGGUCUCAUGUUUGACGAAAUUGGUUACUAUUGAUUUCUCUGUGUUUUACCUUGGAGUUCCUACGCUGAAACUUGAGAACCCAAAUCUGAGAAUGCUGGUUCAGAACCUGACAGAGCUUAGAGAACUCUAUCUUAAUGGUGUAAACAUAUCGGCACAAGGGAAGGAAUGGUGCCAGGCAUUAUCAUCUUCAGUGCCUAAUCUCCAAGUGCUGAGCUUGCCAAGCUGUUAUCUUUCUGGGCCUCUCGAUUCUUCUCUGCAGAAGCUUCGGUCUCUUUCAAGUAUUCGCCUGGACGGUAACAACUUCUCUGCUCCUGUUCCAGAAUUCCUAGCCAAUUUCUCGAAUUUGACUCAAUUGCGGCUCAGUUCUUGUGGAUUAAAUGGAACAUUUCCAGAAAAGAUCUUUCAGGUACCAACCCUUCAGAUUCUUGAUUUGUCAAACAACAAGUUGCUCCUGGGUUCUUUGCCGGAAUUCCCUCAGAAUGGAUCUCUAGAAACCUUGGUACUCCCGGAUACAAAAUUUUCAGGGAAAGUACCAAACUCCAUAGGCAAUCUCAAGAGGUUGACUAGGAUAGAGCUUGCACGUUGCAAUUUCAGUGGGCCAAUCCCAAACUCCACGGCCAACCUUGCUCAAUUAGUUUACUUGGACUUGUCUGAAAACAAGUUUUCCGGUCCAAUCCCACCUUUUAGUUUGUCCAAGAACCUGACCCGAAUAAACCUUUCUCAUAAUUAUUUAACAGGUCCGAUUCCUUCCUCUCACUUGGAUGGCCUUGUGAAUCUAGUGAUUCUUGACUUGCGUGACAAUUCACUGAAUGGAAGUCUCCCCAUGCCCCUGUUUUCCCUCCCAUCACUGCAGAAGAUACAACUGAGCAACAACCAAUUUUCUGGUCCCUUGAGUAAAUUUUCGGUUGUGCCUUCUGUAUUGGACACCCUUGAUUUGAGUAGCAACAAUCUGGAAGGGCAAAUACCUGUAUCCAUCUUUGAUCUCCAGUGUCUUAACAUCCUUGAUCUUUCUUCCAACAAAUUCAAUGGCACUGUUUUACUAAGCAGCUUUCAGAAACUUGGAAAUCUUACCACUCUUAGUCUGUCAUACAACAACUUGUCCAUCAAUUCAAGUGUUGGUAAUCCCACUUUGCCCCUGCUGUUGAAUCUUACCACAUUAAAAUUGGCUUCUUGCAAGCUCAGAACAUUACCUGAUCUUAGCACCCAGUCAAGAUUGACAUAUUUAGACCUUUCCGAUAACCAAAUUUGUGGGAACAUACCCAAUUGGAUUUGGAAGAUUGGUAAUUGCUCUCUUGCCCAUUUGAAUCUCUCCCAUAAUUUACUGGAGGAUCUGCAAGAACCUCUCUCUAAUUUUACUCCUUAUCUGUCUAUCCUUGACCUACAUUCCAACCAGCUCCAUGGCCAAAUCCCCACUCCUCCCCAAUUUUGCAGCUAUGUGGAUUACUCAGACAACAGGUUCACCUCUUCCAUCCCAGAUGGUAUUGGUGUUUACAUUUCCUUCACUAUUUUCUUCUCUCUUUCGAAGAAUAACAUCACUGGAAGUAUUCCUAGAUCCAUCUGCAAUGCAACUUACCUGCAAGUUCUUGACUUCUCUGACAACCAUUUGAGUGGCAAAAUACCUUCAUGUUUAAUUGAGUAUGGGACUCUUGGGGUGCUGAAUCUACGGAGAAACAAUUUUAGUGGUGCUAUACCUGGGAAAUUUCCAGUCAACUGUCUUUUACAGACUCUUGAUCUCAGUAGGAAUCAUAUAGAAGGAAAAAUUCCCGGGUCUCUGGCGAACUGCACAGCAUUAGAGGUUUUAAACCUUGGGAACAAUCAGAUGAAUGGUACCUUUCCUUGCUUGUUGAAGAACAUAACCACUUUGCGAGUCCUUGUUCUGCGAGGCAACAACUUUCAAGGAUCCAUUGGAUGUUGCAAGAGCAAUUCGACCUGGGCAAUGCUUCAGAUUGUUGACCUAGCUUUCAACAAUUUCAGUGGUAAAUUGCCAGCAACAUGCUUCUCGACCUGGACAGCAAUGAUGGCUGGUGAAAAUGAAGUCCAAUCCAAGCUCAAACACCUGCAAUUUAGGGUUCUACAAUUCAGUCAAUUGUACUAUCAGGAUGCUGUAACAGUUACCAGCAAAGGUCUAGAAAUGGAGUUGGUGAAGGUCCUAACUCUCUACACCUCUAUUGACUUGUCGUGCAACAAUUUUCAAGGGGACAUACCAGAAGUGAUGGGGAACUUCACAUCGCUCUAUGUUCUCAACUUAUCGCAUAAUGGUUUCACAGGCCAUAUCCCAUCGUCAAUAGGGAAUCUGCGACAACUUGAGUCAUUAGACCUCUCGCAAAACAGGCUGAGUGGAGAGAUACCCACACAGCUUGCGAACCUAAAUUUCCUUUCAGUCCUGAACCUCUCAUUCAAUCAAUUGGUGGGAAGGAUCCCACCAGGUAAUCAAAUGCAAACAUUUUCAGAAACUUCUUAUGAAGGGAAUAAAGAACUGUGUGGGUGGCCUCUGGAUCUAAGUUGCACUGAUCCACCACCAGAAUUUGAUGACAGGCACUCAGGUUCCAGGAUGGAGAUUAAGUGGGAAUACAUAGCUCCUGAAAUUGGAUUUGUGACAGGAUUGGGAAUCGUGAUUUGGCCUCUAGUGUUGUGCAGGAGAUGGAGGAAAUGCUACUACAAACAUGUUGAUAGAAUUCUUUCAAGGAUUCUCCAAGGAAGAGCAAGUGGUGGAAGAAGAGCUCACAGAAUUCGCCUCCGGAGGCGGAGAAUGUAGCCGUGGUGCAGAGGGAUGAAGUGAUUAGUCAAGAGUCCAUUUCCAUUAAUCCAAUCCUAUGUUUCAUUGAAGGAAUAUUAAAAAGGGGUCAUAUUAUUGGAUGGGCCUUCAGUCCGUGUGUCAAAUGUAAUUCUGGCUUGCUUCUUAUAAAUUUAAUCGAAUGCAUAAUUUUAUAUUUGGACAAUGUCAUGGUGAAGUAGAUUUUCAAAGUAACAUUAUUCUUACCUUUUAGUGAUGCGAGUAUCAAUGUGCUUCUCUAAAAUAUUAUACUAAUAAAGAAUUUAAGUUGUAAAACCACUUCAUGAAAGCUUUUCUACAAAAGCAUCAAAUCUUAAAUUUGGCCAAAAAACUUUUUAACCUUCAUAUGUUUAGUCAAUAAAAGCCCUUUUGACCAAUGUAAGGAUUUUUAAAUAUUAAAAAAUUUAGCCAAGUAAAAAAUAUAACAUGUUAAAUUUAAGAAAUUUGGAAACUCUUCUUCUUCAGGGAAGGAAUUCAAGCUGAGCAGGAGAUGGUCUAGGAUAUGUUGGCUGGAUGUGGGCCAGAGUUGGGUUAAACUUGGUUGGCUGGAUUUCGGUCAUUAAUGAAAUAUGGGCCUGAUUGGCACAAACGAAGAGCAGCUGAGGUAGCUAGGACCAUAUUCAGCCCAAUCAACACAUCUCAAGCCAUAAGGGAUAUAACAUUGAUAAGCAAGUAACUAUCAUACUAGGUAGUAAGGUGGCUGCCCAUCUACUUAUAAAAGUUUCAUCCUCUUACAGGCUUUCACAUUAAAUUUGGAAAUGAUUCUCACUUUAUUUUAUUUUUUACCACAUUUUUUUAUUAUCUUGUUAAUUUAUGGGAAGAAAAAAAUUUAUCAAUUUUUUUUAUAGUCCAUUGUUCCAAUGAAAUGAUUAAACAAUGAUAAGAGUAUGAGAUUUUCAAAAGUAGAAGGUCAAUCGAUAUAACUUGUAAAUUUUUAGAUUUUAAUGGAAUUUGAAAACUACUAAUAUUAUCAUGCAAGUGAAAUAACAACAUGAACUUGAAAAAUUAAUCCCAAAACCAUCUCUAAAAUUAUCAAUAUCCUGGCCCAACUUCACAUUCAACUUGAAUAUCUCUAAACAAGUUCAAUCCUUUCUGUUUUUCAAUUUUCUUUCACUUUUUUUUUCUUUCUAGAAUUAGACUCUUUAUGGGUACCACGAAAAAGAUUACUAGCUAGGAAUGUAAAGCAUGGUUUUUAAGAAUGAUAAGUGCUCAUAUAUAUUUUGAAUCAAAUUUAAGAGAAAGUUCCUUACAAUGAAUUGAUUUUCACUUAACUACUCAUAUUUCUAGUAUGAUACAAGGAAUCCAUAUAAUCCAAAUCAUAAAUCCAAAUAAGAACUUUAUGUCUAUGGGAAAUCUAAUCAAAGGUCUAAUUGAAGCCAUCUAAAUUUAUCAUUUGAUAUUUAAGCUCUAAUUGAAUCCAUUAGAAUUGUUAUUUGAAUUUUAGACAUAUUAGACAUCAUUUAGACUUCUUUUAGAUAAUUCGUAUAUCUUGUUUUCCAGGAAAUUUGAUUUCUUUGUCCAAACUUGAUGUUUUUGAACAUAAUUUCAAAUUUAAUUAGAAACAAAUGUCUCAAUUUUUUUUCAAAUAAUCAUCUUUUCCAUUCUAAUAUCUUACAUGAUGAUUUGUAGAAGUUGAAACUCGAUGACCUUUUUACCAAGAUCCUUGUUACCUUGCACUAUAAUGUUUAGUAGAUAAGCUUUUAGUUUUCUAGUGACAUAAAUGUUGGAGAUUAGUAGAGAAUGAAAAUCUUCCAAACUUAGAUUUUAUUGAUACUCAAUGUGUAUGUGGAUUGCAUUAGAGUAAAACCAACCAAACACACUAAGAAAUAAGCUACUAGGAAAAAAAUAAUAAAAAUUAUAUUAGAAAAAAAAAUCCAUAUGCAUUCGUAUAUAACGGAGCUUACAACCAAUCUACAAAGAUAAAUAAAAUAUUCGUAUACAAACGGAUUUUUCACUAGCCGUUGGAGGAUUUAAUGCUUGGCAGGUGAUCGUUAUCCUCUACCGGACAUCGAUCAAGAAGGCAAAUACCUCGACCAGGAAGGAAAGGCUACUAGAAGAGAGAGAGAGAGAGAGAGUGUUUUUUGCUCAUCUCAACUAGAUCUCAAUCAAGAAGGAGUAACCGGUCAACCAGUACCCUGGUCGGUUGAGCCGGUUUGGCUAGUGUCUCGACUGGUUCACCAUUUUUGGCCCAAAAACCUAUAUUUUCUUUGUUAUUUUCUCUUCUAACACUUAGGUAAGGUAUUUAGGCAAAUUAAUUUGCCAAUUUUGAAAUGAUUUGCCUAAGGUUCAUUUGAUAAAACUCGGGUUUUGAUGGAAAUGUAACUUUAAAGCAUAAACUAAGUUUUUCAAAUAUGCAUGAAAUGAUACGUAAAUCCUAAGUGCACCCAUGCAUUCAUCUUACAUAUGUUUCCUAUGAUUAAAGGUCUUCCAAAAGUCUUAAUCUUGCAUCCAUUAGGUCAUUUGAUGAAUUUCCAAACUGACAUCUGAAAUUGUUUAUAAUUCAAACCAAUUAGUAACUUAACCAUGAUUUGUUAUUAUCAAAAUAUGAUUAGGAGAACCCUUGGGCUAACAAUCUCCCCUUUUUUUAUGAUGACAAACCUUGGUUAUCUAAGAGAAGAAGAAUCUCCUCCUCAAACCAAUCAUGGAUCAACAAUCAAAAUUUACGAAGUUAAAACCAAGAUAAUCAAGACAUACUAGAGAGAAUUUGCAAUAAGAAACAAUGUAAGUGAUCAAACAUAUAAGAAUAUCAUAUAUAAGUCAAUGUAUCAAUAUCCAGUAUAUACGAUCCAAGUGAUAUGAAAAUGAUAUGCAUGUAAGUCUUCUAUAGUCUCAUAGAUCCUAAAAUAUCUCCCCCUUUUGGCAACAUAAAAAAGGAACAAAUAGGGUCUCGAAGGAAUCAAGGAUGAGGAAGUGGAGGUGGAAACACAGAGCGUAGAUAAGCCAUCAUAUUCUCAUGUUGACUCUCCAAACGAUCCUUAAUACGCUCAAUCCCCUGUUGGAGAUACUCAAACUGUGAAGUGAAGCCAGUCUGAUACUGAUCCAUGCAAUCCUCCAUGGAGUAGAACCGUGUGUCACUGACUAUAGCAAGCUCCUCCAUAUGAGUGCUUAGAGAGCUAAUCUAAGCAGAUAAAUCCAUCCAUGGAGCAUGGUCAGGAGCGAGAGGUGUUUGAGCAAGUGGUAUCUCAAAAUGUGUAGCCUUAGUGAAUGCAAGUUCAGAGGAAGACUCAGUGAAUGAUGACUGAGUAGAUGGACCCGCUAUAAAAGUUGGCUCAAACAUCAUCGGCUCAGAGAAGGUAGUCUCAAACUGAACACCCAUUGACUAGAGUGGAGAAAUGUCAAGCUCGGGCUCUCUUUGUUGAUAGCCACUCUAAGGGUUUACUUCACACUCCAUCUUUUUAAUCUCUACCUCCUCCUUAACUCUGGGAUGUGCCUGUCCCUAUCCCCGAGCCUAUGUCGGUGCUCUCUUUGCUUUCCUGACCUAAGAACCAUUUGGGGCUUUCUCAAAUUUCAUCUUCCCCAUGGACUGAUCAUCAUACGUAUCAUAAGCGUUGGUGGCCUCAAAGUUUGUCUCUCUGCUCAAGUCAACGCCGACAUCCUUGCACAUUCUAGUAAGGAAGCGACCAUAGGGGAGUACGCGAGUCGUGCUCUCGCAACAUGAGAUCAAGUUCAUCAUCAUCAAGUACCCUAAGUGGAUCCGUCUUCCAGUCAAAAUAGAGUCAAUAAGGAAUGCCUCAUAAUAAGAGACCUCGUCUCGGUGUCCACCCUGUGCAUAUGAUGUAGCACUCUACUGAUGACCAUCAGGUUGUGUGCUGAGGGUUUGUCCAUCCCGUGGGCAUCUACAAGUUCACAAAUCCUCUUAAUGGCCUCUCUAGGCUCAAAUCUUGGCACAAUGGGCCACAUUUUGGACUCAUAUACUUUGAGUCCAACUGGAGCAAUAUCGAAAAUACGAUAAAUGCUCUUUGGGUCUAAACGAAUCUUGACGCCUUUGACAGUAGAAAUGAUCGGGCCACCUGAUGAGAAUCAACAAGCAUUCGAGGAUCCAUUGUAUCUUCCAGUUGGGCCUAUUACUAAAGCAAGAUCCAAGAAUAUCAAAGAAGCAAUUAAUGGGCUAAUUCAAGAGAUUUGGGUUGAUUCUAACGUAGGACAUUCCAAGCUUGGCCCAAAGGAAGAUGAAGGUGUAAUAAAUUUAAUCGAAGCUAUUGAGGGCUAAUCUGACUUGAUUGGACGUUAUUUAUGGUGUGGAUUAAUGACUGAUUGACUUUCCAACUCCAUAUCAAUUAAUAGACAUUUUUACUAUUCUAGAGCUUCUAAUUUUAGGCUAAAUCUACCUUAAUUUUAGGCUUUUAUUAUUUAGAACAAUUUUUAGCUAUUUUCCUAUUUUGGAUCUGCUAAUUUCAGACCAAAUCAACUUUUAUUUAGGGUUUUAAUAUUUAGUAAGUUUUUAUUUCAUGACAUAUAAAUAGCAUGCACUCAUUGUAAUAUGGGAUAAUUUGAUUGAAUAAAAAAUCAGAAAAUGUGAGGCUUUACUCUUCUUUUGGUUCUUUAAGGACUGUGAACUUAUCAGGGAUUCUUCCUUGUGGCGUUCAAACUUUAUACUUUCGGUUCAUGAUUCCAUUGUAAUCAUUGGGUCAAGGUUUGUUACUUAUACUUUUGGUUCACGUUUCACUUAUAAAAGUUGGGUCAGGGUUCUAUCAAAAAUCUGUAUUUUAGUUUUCUUAGGCAAUUAUUCCAAUACUGUUUGUUGGGUCUCAAAGUGUGUCGAUUGAGGUUCGCAUCAUUUGGUAUUAGAGCUCAGGUUCUAAAAUCAGUCGAUUGAGGUUCGCAUCACCACCCAUGCCAUAAGUCGCCUUUGAGUAAAAAUCUCACACCAAAGUCGAGAAAAUCGGCUCCAAAACAAUGACCAUAGGUAAUCAACCCAUCCUAGUGAAUAGACCCUCGAAUCCGAAGUGCUCAAGUUGGGGAAAAUUAAUAUUUCUCCUCGGAACUACUUGUCCCAAAGCAAAGUGAUGUUUGUACCGUUGGUAGUCCUCCACGGAGUUGAACAAGGUAGUGUCAAACCUUGCCUUUCGGGUUUGACAAGGUGCCAAAAGCUUGAAUCCUAAAUCCUUAAGAGGGUUUAUAUAGGAUUUCCUAUGGACUUAAGUGACUUGAGCCCAAAUUUGGCUUGAGUCACCUGAUCUAGCCCACUUGGGUCCUAAUUAAUUUAUUAUUUUAAUGGACUCCAAUUAAUUAAUUAGCUCAAAACACCAAUCUAGAAAUAUUGUUCAUAAGAUCUUGUGCAACCUUGUAUUUUUACUAAAACACCCUUAUGUGCCCUUAUGAACUACAAAUCUAAAUCUCUCAAAUAAAACAUGUCACCAUGAACUAUGAGCUCAAGCGGGGACCAUUGGGACCCAUAAGAUUAUAUUGGCUCCCUCAUAAUUGAAUUCUAAAAUUGAUUCGAGAAUCCACUAAAGAGAAUCAAUUGUACUUCAGUAUCCUACAUUAAGACAAAGCUUAGGUUUGUAACCUACUAUUCAUUGCAUGCAAGCUCCUCAUGAAUUAGUGUCUGUAAUCUAAUAAGGUAGUGUUGUCAACCUAUCAAGAUUAGCUCUUUAAUCUUUAAGUUAUAAAUCCUCCUAUUAUGUGAUCAAUUGACAUACUCUAGCUUGUAAAGAACAUAUAUCAAAAUUCACUUAAAGAAUUCCUACAAUCACAUAUUUCAUAAUCAUAUGCCCUUUAGAUCAUCCAAGAGAACACUUUGUUCCAAUUCUAUGAGAUGCCAUGGUGCCUCUAUUAAGAAUAUGUAUUAUCACCAACCUCCAUCAACAAUGGCAAUUCGUAGGGAAUCUAUAUAUAUAAUCAUUUUAGGGUCUUACCUAUAGGUCAAAACCUUCUAUUGAUUUUAGCAUAGACUUAAUAUCUUCUUAAAGUUGAGAGUCCAUGCAAUAUAGUAACUUUGUAAAUCAUGACAACCCGAUGACCUUAUUGCAAAAUUGAAAUAUUGAAAUAUCUUCAUGAUUCAUCAUAGGCACGAUUUGAAAUAUUGCAAAAUUUCAGCGAAAUAUCGUCGAUUUUUCGCUUAUCGGAGAGGAUCAACACGACAUUCAUCAUUUAUAAUCAAUUGACAGAUUUAUCGCGGAUUUUUUUGGGAAUAUCGGUAAUAUUUUGGCAUUUAUCGACAUUUUUGCCUAUUUUUCAAAAAAUUUCCCAAUUUUUUGGUGCCAACCACUUUGGUCAACGCGCAAUCAACCCUCACAUUUUUUGUUGUAAUGCCUAGGGGAUUUGAACCUAGGUCAAAAGGCUUGGGUUGAACCCUGGCUACCAUUGGGCCAAAAUGUCAUUUGUAAAUAUAUGUUCAAUUUAAAUAUGUUAAAGUUCAGCAUUUUAAAAAAUAAUUUUAAUUAUUUUAUUUUAAAUUUAAUGUAAUUGAUUAAUAAAAAUAAAAAAACCAACAUUAUAAUUUUUUAACAAGUCUUUUUUUAUAUCAUUUAUAUGAUAAUUAAAUAUAAAAAAUAUAAAUAUUAAAAAAUCAUAUAUGCAUCAUCAUUUAUUUUACAUUAUUGAAUGCAUUUAAAUUAAAUAAAUUAUAGUUUUAAUAUUAAAUUUAUUAUUAUUGAUCUCAUUAAUCUUAUUUUAAAAAAUAAUUAUCACUUGACUUUUAAAUUUUUUAUAUUUAUUUGUUUAUUUUUUAAUGUCUUUAUUUUAAAAUAUUAAAAAUAUAAAUUUAUUCAAAAAAUACUAAAAUAUAUAUAAAAAAAUUAAUAAUGAAGUUCUAAUAUUUUAUAAAUUAUAAUUAAUUUGAUAAGAUAAAUAAUAAAUUAUAUAUUAUGAUCGAUAUAUCCUUGCUUAGAGAUAAUUUUCUCCUUAAUCAUACUUAUGUCAAUUAUACUUACAAAUUAACUUUAACAUGUGUUUUUUUACUUAUUUUAUCAUUUUUUUUUUUGAGUUUUUCCAAAUAUUUCAAUGAAUUUUGAAUAAUUUUCACCUCACCAAAAUUUUUAUCAAAAUAUUCACCAAUAUUUCUCCGAUAUUUUCGAUAUAAUCAUAAAAUUCAAGUACCAAUAUAUCCAUAUUUUCCAAUAUUUCAAACCAUUAUCAUAGGUGUUGUCUUAUGUAUAACCAUACACACUAGUGUACUCAUAAUAGGAACCCUAUCCCGAUGGUCAAGAUAAGUCAUAUUUUAUAACCAUACACACUAGAUUUUAAAAGUGUGAGAUAAUGCUCAUAAAAAUAACAAAGUAGAGAAUUUGUUGAUAAUUAUUCCCAAAUAAAUGUCAUUAAAACAAUUUGAACUAGAAUUUAAAAUAAAAAGAUGUCACAUGGAUUAACCUAGGAUUUGAGAAAUUUGGCCUCAUCAUAGGCCACACUACAAACCUGAGAUGAGUUUUAGGAGAAAAUGAGUAGAAGUUAGAAUAAUAAAACAGUUUUUUUGUUUUCCAAAACAAAAAAAUUGGAAAACACAUUUUACAAUCAAAAAAUAUUUUAUGCUUUUUGUUCUCAAUAACAGAAAACAAAGUGUUUCAGAUAAUAUCUUUUAGUUAUUUUAAUUAUUUUCACUUAUUUUUUUAGAGUUGUUUUAAAAAAUAAUUAUAGAAAUAUGUAUCAUGAUUAAAAAUAAAGCUCUAGAUAUAAAAAUAAUUUUUAAAACUUACUUAAAAAUAUUAAAAACAUUUUAGAUUCUCAAACAAACUUUUAGUUUACAAAACAUUAAAGAAUAGUUUUUAAAAAUUGUUCUUAAAAACUAUUUUUCAGAACUAUUUCAAAAAAACAGUUAUCAAACAGGUCCUUAAUUUCUAGCCCGUGAAAGAAGAGAAAAAAAGAGUAAUUUUGUUUAGUAUAAAUAAACAAAGAGUCAUGUGAAUAAAGGGAUCCUUGAUAUAACAACAAAAAUCAACCUUUCCAACUUCUCAAGUGAUUCGAUCUCUUUGUUGACCAUCGUGACAACCUUAAUCUCUUUUCAUUAGCAGUAGGAGUAAGGUAGAUUAGCAGCAGAUUCAUCAAUGGGGAAACCAUUUUAUGCUUGUUCCUAUCAUUUAGGUUUACAUCAAUGAGUGGUUUGGAGGGUGUACUACCUAUAGUCUAUUAAUUAAAUUUGAGGGGAAAGGCUUUUAUCCUUUAAAGGACUUCUUGCCACCCUUCUUCAAUUUUGGGGAGAGUUCGAUCAAUAUUCAAUCACCAUUUAGCAUUAUUAUCCAAGGGGUCAUGGGAGAGAAGUUUCUCUAGCAUCGGUUAUGCCAUAUCCAAUAUACACAUCACUGGAGGGUGACAUUAUCCCAAUAAUCACAUCAUGCCCUUCAGUACCAGUAUAGUUUUGAUCAAUGCAAUUUGCUGUGAAUUUCUGUAGUGGUAGAAUUAUAGCCAGGAGAUUCUAGCCCCAGUAUCCACCAUAGGCCAGCAAAGUGAAUAAUCCUAGGAGAAUAAGCUCAGAAGCACAAGGAUUUGAUCAAUGGAACCUGGUUUUUUUUUGUUUUAAUUUCUUUACUGAUGUAAUAAACCUUCUGUUUAUUUGGUUCGCUGUCAUUAUUAUAAUCUCUAGUAGUUGCACCAUCCUGGGUGAAUGAGCUAUUACCUCUACCAAUUGAAGUUUUUUUUGGUUACAGUCCUUGGUAUUCUCUUGGAAUUGACAACCAUUUGGAAAAUAAAAAUUCCUUUAUUUAGACAUAAAAAGAAUCCACAAGCAUGGACCAUUGCUAAAAGAAGAUUGAUAUGAGACUAUUCAACCCGAGACACUAUUUGCCUAGGUAUAUUUCGGGAUGGUGAUUCAUUCCUCUAAUAGGACUAGAACAAAUGGCUAAAUUGCUCUGAUAUGCUCACAUCUUUAAUCAAUAAGUUUACACUAAAUCAGUAUAACUCCCUACCAAAACGCUAGGUGAGAGAUCAGGGGCAAAGCUAGGUAGUGUCUGGGAGGGGCAAAUGCCCCCCAUGAAAUUUUAAUAAAUAUAUUAGGGUUUAGAUCCUUAACCUAAAAUUCUGAAAAACCUAACUCUCAAACUAGGUUUCAUAUAUUGCCCCCAAUCAAUUAAUUUCCCAACUCCACCACUGUGAGGGAUUGUACCUAAGUAGGGCAUCACUUUCAUAAUUCUAUACUCCUCUUGUCUCUUUUCCAUUCAAAAGGACUUGAGUUGAAAGAUUUUGAGGCCUAAAAUUAUAUACAAGUCAAGCCCAUAGGCCAAAACAUAGAACUGGUGGGUAAAGCACCCCAAACUAGACUUCUCAAACACAAUAAUAUUGAAGAUUAAGCUAAAAUUUGUAACUGCAUUUUAUAUUGAAGUGAGUUUCAUUUUAGUAUUAAUUUUUGGAUAAAGUUAAAAACUAAAGGACAUCAGAAAUGUUAUUUUUAAUUACGUAUAUCAAUAGCACUUUAUAGGAGAAAUUUUAAGUAGUGAAAUAUGGAAAAUUUAAGCUCAUAUAGAAUGAAUAGUUAAAUGCAAAAUGGUACACUUAUUAAAGAGUUGAACAUUGACCAACUUAUUUUCUGGGCUAGACAAAAGUAGACAAGAAAAUUCAAUGAAAUAUUGGGGACUUUCUUUUCUGUGUGGUUGAAAGAUACAGAAGAAUUAUAAAUCCUACACUAAAUUUGAAGCGACUUAUGAGUGAUACACCAAACUUAUUGUUUGGGCUAGAGAAAAGUAGGCAGGAAAAUUCAAUGAAAUGGGGACUUUCUUUUCCGUGUGUUAAUGAUGUUAAAUGAAGAAAGAAAAUCUGUGUCACUAAGUUUAAAUGUGCUCAUCUUUAAAAUUGCACUAAAGUCAUUUACGUGAGUCCAACUUUAGAAAAAAGAUGGUUGAUUGUCAAUAUAAGUUGUCAUAUUAAUCAUUAUUAUAUUUAAAAUUUGGAAAACAUGAACAUGAAAAGGAAAAAGGAAAUUCAAAAACAAAAUAAUGAAAAACAACAAUUAGAAAAUAGAAAUCAAUAUAGCCUAAAAAUUGUAUUAGAACAAUUUUCUAAACCUAAACCAAUAGGAAUUCAAAACCUUCACAAUGAGAUAAGUCAAAUUAAACUUCAAGUUAAUACUAAGUUAAUUCAUAAUCAAGAAGUAGAAACUAGACUUCAAAUGCUAGAAAAUGAAAAAGUUCAAAUCAUAGAAGAUGAUAAUAAACAAUUAAAAGGAGAAUUUUGGGAAUUGUUUGUAAAAACUAUAACAAGAAUGAAAACUCAAAAAUGGUAUGUCAAAGUAAAACUCUUCAUAAAACCUGAUUUUUCAAAAUAAUUUUUAGCAUUAGUUGAUUGUGGUGCUAAUAUUAAUUGUGUACAUGAAGGAUUAAUUCCAAUUGUAUACUUUGAAAAAACAUACCAAGGGGCCGUAAGUGCAAACUCACAACCCUUGGCAAUAGAUUUCAAAAUUUCAAAUGUACAUAUAUGUAGUCAAAAUAUUUGUUUCAAGACUUCUCUAUUGCUAGUCAAAGACAUGCAUAAAGAGAUAAUUUUAGGAAUACCAUUCCUUGCUAUAUUUUAUCCUUUUAAAGUAGAUAGUGAAGGAAUUAAAACAAUUUAUAAAGGACAAAAUAUUUGCUUUAAAUUUACUAAUCCUAUACAAACCAAAGAAUUAAAUACACUUCAAAAUGAAGAAGUAAACUUAAUUCAAAAGAAAAAACAACAUACCAAAUUCAUAAGCAAAGAAAUACAUUAUAAAAGAAUUGAAGAAAAUCUAUUACAAAAAGCAAUUCAAACAAGAAUGGAAAAAAUUAAAAAUCAAAUUGAAACAGAACUAUGUUCUUCUAUUCCCAAUGCUUUUUGGGAUAUAAAGAAACAUAAAGUUUCCUUGCCCUAUAUUGAUGGAUUUGAUGAAGCUCAAAUUGCCACUAAGGUAAGACCAAUUCAAAUGAAUGCUUAAUUAUUUGAAUACUAUCAAAAUGAAAUAAAAGAUCUUUUGAAUAAACAUCUUAUUAGAAAGAGUCACUCUCUUUAGAUCGUUGCUUUCUAUGUUCAAAAACCCUCAAAAAUUGAAAAAAGUGCUCCAAGACUUGUAAUAAAUUAUAAGCCUUUAAAUAAGGUUCUCAAAUGGAUAAGGUAUCCAAUAGCUAACAAAAGAGACCUUAUCGGACACCUUGAUAAUGCUUUAGUCUUUUCAAAAUUUGAGAUGAAGUAUGGAUUUUGGUAAAUUCAACUUCAAGAAAAAGACAAAUACAAAACUACAUUCACUGCUCCAUUUGGGCAUUAUGAAUGGAAUGUAAUGCCUUUUGGUUUAAAGAAUGCUCCAUCAAAAUUUCAAAAUAUAAUGAAUGACAUUUUCAAUCACUAUACUAAUUUCUCCUUAGUAUAUAUUGAUGAUGUGCUUAUAUUUUCAAAUUCUAUUGAACAUCACUUCAAACAUCUUGAAAUCUUUCAACAAUUUGUUAGGGAAAAUGGCUUAGUGGUAUCUGCCCCUAAGAUCAAACUAUUUCAAACUAGGAUAUUUGAUUUCUACUUCUUGUUGUCAAGUAUAAUUCUUCCUUUCAAGAUUUCAAAUUCCUUGAAUUAUGUGUUGGGACUUUGUCCAAACACAAUUAGUUUCACCUCAUUUUCCUCCACAUUUAGCAAGAGAAUUCAAAGUCAAAUGGUGGUCAAAUUUCUCUCAUUCUACUGCCUAACAAAUUCCCCAUAUCCAUCAAUGGAUUUCCUCAAAAAAUGCUCCUUCAAAGCUAAGUCCUUCAAAAACUCCUAUUCAAAUUCCUCUUGAUAACUUUUUGUUAUCAAGAACUUUGUUCCCUUCAGACAAAGAAUUCAAAAACAUCUCAAAAUGCUUAUGAAAAAAUAGAAACCAUGUCUCAACUCUCUGAUUUUGGUUCUGAUGAUGAUACUGCAUCAUCUACUUUUUUAGGGGAUCUCAAUGAAGACAUGUGCUAUGGAUUUCUAUACACGCCUCUGGAGUAACGCCUUCAAGUCUUCAUUAAAAUCAAUUUGUGAAGCACUUCAAAAGAGACACUUAGGUCUUCAGGUCAAGCAAAAUGUUCGCAUUCUUGCCUUUGAUUACAUUUUCCAAAGAGACUUUGGAUAUCGUGGCAAAAUCUCAAAGGACCUCAAAUUUCUCAAAGAAUCUAGGUUUGAAGAUGAUUUCCUAUUGUAGACUCCAACAUUUUCCAAUAUGAGUGGGUUGAUGAGACAUCAAUACCGCUCUUCAAAUUUAUGGAUAAAAACAAUGGGCUACAAACCGCUCUUCAAAUUCAAAGGAUAGCUGCACAAAAGAAAAACUACUUUCGGUGGAUUUCAAAACUCUUCAAAUCUAUGAACUUAAAAGGUUUUCAUAUCCGUCCUCAAAUCCUAUAUAAGGCCCUCAUUUCUCAUUGUAAGGCAUCGACAAUUCAGUAGUGGUAUUUGAGUAAAAACAAGUGAAAUAUCCCUCUAAGCGAAAGUCUUGUAAUUGAGAAAAUCUCAAAGCUCUCAAAGUUUUGUUUAAGCUCUCUUCAAAAGCUUGUAAGUUUAUGUUUCAAAUUCUUUUGUAAUUAUUUUAUGCUUUGAAUGAAAUUUCAAAUUCAACUGUUCUUCAAGUUUUACAUAUUGCAUCAAAGAACCCCUUUGAAUAUGAACUUUCUUGAAGUUCUGUCAAAGUUAUCUGGGUUUUAAGUGAGACCAUUAUGACUCCUCUAGAUUCAAUUGGGAGAUUUCAUCAAAAUUCAUAUUGAAAUUCAAAUUGAAGUGUUCUUUAUUUCAUUUUAUUUCAUCCAUCGAUAUUAAUUUUUGGAUAAAGUUAAAAACUAAAGGACAUCAAAAAUGUUAUUUUUAAUUACGAUAUCAAUAGCACUUUAUAGGAGAAAUUUUAAGUAGUGAAAUAUGGAAAAUUUAAGCUCAUAUAGAAUGAAUAGUUGAAUGGAAAAUGGUACACUUAUUAAAGAGUUGAACAUUGACCAACUUAUUGUCUGGGCUAGAGAAAAGUAAGCAAGAAAAUUCAAUGAAAUAUUGGGGACUUUCUUUUUUGUGUGGGUUGAAAGAUACAGAAGAAUAAUAAAUCCUACACUAAAUUUGAAGUGAUUUAUGAGUGAUACACCAAACUUAUUGUUUGGGCUAGAGAAAAUUAAAGUAGGCAAGAAAAUUCAAUGAAAUGGGGACUUUCUUUUCUGUGUGGAUAUAGAAGAAUUAUAAAUCCUACGCUAAAUUUGAAGUGACUUAUGAAUGAUACACCAAACCAUAUGUUGAUCACAAUGGCUAAAAUGAAUUAUCUUGUUGAAUCCAUAUUAAUAAAAUUUAUUGUUAUGGAUAUUUUUUAUAUUUCUAUUAACAGUAUGGAAGAGUGUUAGUGAAGCUGAAUCUAGCAUACACCUAAAAUGCUAUGAAGAGAUUAUUUAAUAGUGAUUUUAAAAAGUAUUUUUAAUCUUUCUAAUUUUGAAAGAUGACAAUUUUCAAGUGUUCAAAAUGGUACAAACACUUUUUAGAAUUAUUAUCAGAUACACUCAAAAUUUGUAAAAAGAAAAAAGAAUAUAAGAUAAGUCAGCUUAUGUUGGUAAAAAUCUUGGUCAUUCAACAUGAAUGGUUUGGUCUAAGAAAUUUUCUAACCCAAAGAAGGAAACAGAUUUAGGAAUUGAUAGAAUGUGUAAGGCAUGAAUUGUGUGGCUUUAUCCAAAGGAAUAAAUUCCAUUUUGGUGUUCCUAAUAGAGUAAUUAGAAUAAUUUGAUUGUAACUUUUCAAUUUGAUCACCUCGAACUAAACAGAACAUACAUAAGCAAUGCCAUGAAAUUUGUAUAAAAUUAAAACUGUUGUUUAUGGUAAUUUCAUAAUUAAACCGUCUUUCAUCAAAAGCACAAGAAAACUCAUAUGAACUAAAAAGAUAUGAAAAUAGCUAGAAGUAGUCCCAUCAUGACCCCUUUUUUUUUUUUUUUGACUGAACAGGAUACCAUGCGUGGAAUGUUGUCUUAUUAUUUAUGUAAUAUUAGAACUUUUUCUCUUCUUGAAACAUGAAUAGAAGUUAAUUAUGUUUUGUGUUAACAGUAUCCCCCAGCGGCUUCCAAUGAGAAUUCUACUCUUCUCAUGCCUUUUUUCCAUGCCCUUAUGCUCAAUCAUCUUUGGUAUCCAUAUUACUUUGGUGUCCGGUGAAUGUCUCAGUGAUGGACGGGUAUGCCUGGAAGAUGAGAUGUCUUUGUUGCUACGGCUGAAGAAGACCCUCAAAUUCAAUGUUGCUGUUUCAAAUAAACUAGUUUCCUGGAAUCGAAGCGCAGACUGCUCUUCUUGGGGAGGUGUGACCUGGGAUGCCAAUGGUCACGUUGUCGGUCUUGAUCUGAGUAGCGAAUCAAUUUCUGGUGGAUUCAAUAGCUCUAGUAGCCUUUUCAGUUUACAAUAUCUCCAGAGCUUGAAUUUGGCUGGAAACAGCUUCUGCGGAGGAUUGAACUGGCCUAACAACAGCUUCUGCUCUUCUCAAAUUCCAUCAGGAUUUGACAGGCUUGCUAAUUUAAUUUAUCUGAAUUUAUCCAAUUCUGGCUUUUCUGGGCAGAUUCCAAAGGAAUUUUCGCUCUUGACUAGCUUGGUUACCAUCGAUUUCUCCAGCCUUGGUUAUCUCAUUGGAUUUCCUACACUGAAACUUGAGAAUCCAAAUCUGAGAAUGCUGGUUCAGAAUCUCAAGGAGCUUAGGGAACUUCAUCUUAAUGGUGUAGACAUAUCAGCCGAGGGGAAGGAGUGGUGCCAGGCAUUGUCAUCUUCAGUGCCUAAUCUCCAAGUGCUUAGCUUGUCCAGCUGUCAUCUUUCAGGCCCAAUCCAUUCUUCCCUGCAGAAGCUUCGAUCUCUCUCAAGGAUUCGUCUGGAUGACAACAAUUUUGCUGCUCCAGUUCCACAGUUCCUCGCUAGCUUCUCAAAUUUGACUCACUUGCAGCUCAGUUCUUGUGGAUUAACUGGAACGUUUCCAGAAAAGAUCAUUCAGGUAACAACCCUACAGAUUCUUGAUUUGUCAAUUAACUUACUUGAAGAUUCUUUGCCAGAAUUCCCUCAAAAUGGAUCUCUAGAAACAUUGGUGCUUUCGGAUACAAAACUAUGGGGGAAACUACCCAACUCCAUGGGAAAUCUUAAGAAGCUGACUAGCAUAGAGCUGGCACGUUGCCAUUUCAGUGGCCCAAUCCUAAACUCAGUGGCAAACCUUCCUCAACUGAUUUACUUGGACUUGUCUGAAAAUAAGUUUUCCGGUCCAAUUCCAUCUUUUAGUUUGUCCAAGAGACUCACCGAAAUAAACCUUUCCUACAAUAAUUUGAUGGGUCCAAUUCCUUUCCACUGGGAACAACUUGUUAAUUUAAUGAAUCUUGACCUGCGGUACAAUGCAAUUACAGGAAAUCUCCCCCCGUCCCUGUUUUCCCUCCCAUCCUUGCAGAGGUUACGACUAGACAACAACCAAAUUUCUGGUCAGUUCAAAAUUCUUUUAAAUGCAUCUUCUUCUAGAUUGAGCACCCUUGGUUUGAGUAGCAACAAUCUCAAAGGGCCGAUACCUGAUUCUGUCUUUGAACUGCGGUGUCUUAGCUUCCUUGACCUAUCUUCCAACAAAUUCAAUGGAAAGAUUGAACUCAGCAAGUUUAAAAAACUUGGGAAUCUUACUGAUCUUAGCCUUUCAUACAACAACCUGUCCAUCAAUGCAACCCUUUGUAAUCUGUCCCCUUCUAUACUGCCUAUGUUUACAACAUUAAGGUUGGCUUCUUGCAGGCUGACAACUUUACCUGAUCUUAGCGGCCAGUCAAGCUUGACACAUUUAGACCUUUCCCAAAACCAAAUUCACGGGAACAUACCUAGUUGGAUUUAGAAGAUUGGUAAUGGCUCUCUUGUGUAUUUGAAUCUCUCUCAUAAUUUACUGGAGGAUCUACACGAACCUUUCCCUACUUUUACUCCUUAUCUGUCCAUCCUUGACCUACAUUCCAACCAGCUCCAUGGCCAAAUCCCCACUCCUCCCAUAUUUUGCAGCUAUGUGGAUUACUCGAACAACAGUUUCACCUCCUCCAUCCCAGAAGAUAUUGGUACUUACAUCUUCUUCACUAUUUUCUUCUCUCUUUCUAAGAAUAACAUCACUGGAAUGAUCCCUGCAUCAAUCUGCAAUGCCAGUUACCUGCGAGUUCUUGACUUUUCUGACAACGCUUUGAGUGGAAUGAUACCCUCAUGUUUAAUUGGGAACGAGAUUCUUGAGGUCCUGAAUCUACGGAGAAACAAGUUAAGUGCCACUAUACCUGGGGAAUUUUCGGGAAACUGUCUUUUACGGACUCUAGAUCUGAAUGGGAAUCUCUUAGAAGGAAAAAUUCCAGAAUCUCUAGCCAAUUGCAAAGAGUUAGAGGUUUUAAACCUUGGGAACAAUCAGAUGAGUGAUUUUUUUCCUUGCUCGUUGAAGACUAUAAGCAAUUUGCGCGUCCUUGUUCUUCGAUCCAACAGAUUCUAUGGACCCAUUCAAUGUCGACUGAUUACUACCAAAAAGUGCUAUUUUGUAAACCUAAUUAUAAUGGUUUUAAGCACCUUUGAGUAGUAAUCAUAUUCAUUUAACCCAAUUAAUUCAUUAAGGUCCUUAGUAAUUGGUUUUAACCAUUUUGUGGCAAGUUUACAUGUUUAUAUCAGCUUAUGAAUCAAUUCAGGCAUGCCAAAUGAUGGAGGAGCUACUUGGACAAGUUAAAGCAAGCUUUUAGCUACACCAAAGCAAGCCAACAAAAGGAGAAAAGCAAAGAGAAGCAAAGAGAAGCAAAAAGAAGCAAAGAGGAAAAUAGAGGACAGCAGCUGCAGUCUUCUUUGGCACUUUUGGAGCACUUCCCGAAGUCCAUUUUCUACAUGCUAUAUACCAUUUCAAAGCUCAGGAAGUCAAGAAUCUAACGCUUCAAACCGUGUACGAUUUGGAGCUGAAAUGAGGAAGAUAUGGCCUUUGAAAGACAACUGCUCCAGGUGUGCGAAAGGUGUGCGAAUGGUGUGCGAAACUCGCACACCCCCCUCAGGUGUGCGAAAAUUUCGCACACCCCAUGCGUGGUGCGAAUUUUGCUCUGUUUUUGCCGACUCCACUUUAGAUAUUUUCUUUUGUAUUUUUUGAUGUAAUUUCCUUUCUUCUCCUUGUAACAAGCCAAUCACAAGCUUUUGCUUUUGUAAAGACUAUAUAAGGGGUGGAAAUCACCUCUUGGAAUAUAUAAUACAUAUUACGUUUUACACUCUCUCGUUUUCUCUUUUCUCUUCACUAUUUUAUUUUCUUGGUAGCCAAACAGCCUCUAAGGGCUUUUCCUCAGAGGAUGAUUGGCUAAAACUUUUAGUUUCUCAAAGUAUGGAUGUUAUGUGAUGACUUGGAUGCAAUCCCAUGGAAAUUUCUCACACCCGGAAGGUAAGGUAGUCGUUUUUCAUUAAAGGUUCAUUAAUGCAAAGUUUGGUUUUUAUUUCCUUUGGACAACUUCCAACGGCCAAUACUUGAUAAGCUUUUGGAUUUCUAUCCAUUAGUUAUCUCCUACGAGCUAUUGGAAGGUGAGGUUUUCAAUUCCAAGUUUUGUAUUAAUCCGUUAGAACCAAUUUCAAUGGCCAUUGAAAGGUGAGUUUAUCACCUGGAAUGACUUUGAGUUGCCAAUAUUUGGUAAGCUUUUGGCUUUAGACCAUUAGUUAUCUCUUACGAGCCAUUCAAAGGAAGUCUAAGGUGAAUAACCAUUGAUGAAAUUCACUACCAUCUGUUUUGCCAUUUUAAAGGAUUAAAACGUGAUUUGCUAAAUCCAUACCGGUUCGGGAAGCAAGCAUCACCAUAGUUGCAACCCCAACGCGAGGAGCCUAUCCUGAGAUUUCCAAUUUGCAUAAAAGCCAGAGCAUAGCUAUCCUAUCUUUGAGAAACUUGUUUUAAGAAAAUCACCUAUUUUCCUAACUUGAAUAUCACUUGUGUUUGCGAAAACCCUUCCCAGUGAACGAUCCUAGAACCACUAUGCUAUAGUAGCUUGGCUACUUGAGUAAUAGUAUUCAAGGUAUAAAUUUUGUUGAUACGCCUUUAAAGCUAAGCUACCAUGAGUCGCAUCAUCGACCACAUAGCAAUCCCACCUGGCCACUGCUUCAAAUUAUCGACCUUGCUUCCAACAAUUUUACUGGUGACUUGUCAGGAAAAUUCUUUUUAACCUGGAAGGCAAUGAGGGCUGAUAAAGAUGGAGCCAGGUCAGAGCUCAAUCACCUACAACUUCAGGUACUACAAUUCGGCCAAGUGUACUAUCAGGAUACGGUGACUGUCACCAGCAAAGGCCUAGAAAUGCAGCUUGUGAAGAUUCUAACCGUCUUCACUGCCAUUGAUUUCUCCUUCAACAAUUUCCAAGGGGAGAUACCAGAAGCUAUGGGAAGCUUGAUUUCACUUUAUGCUCUCAACCUGUCCCAUAAUGCUUUGACGGGCCAAAUCCCAUCAUCACUAGGGAAGUUGCGGCAGCUUGAGUCGUUGGACCUCUCACAGAACAGCCUUAGGGGGGAGAUACCACCACAGUUUGUGAGCCUAAAUUUCCUUUCCUUCCUUAACCUCUCCUUUAAUCAACUGGAGGGAGAAAUCCCCACAGGUACUCAACUUCAAACGUUUUUGGAAUCUUCUUAUGAAGGGAACAAAGAACUAUGCGGACCCCCCUUGAAGAGGAAAUGCACAGAUCCAUCCCCACCCACCUCUGAAGAAACACAUCCGGAUUCUGGGAUGAAGAUUAACUGGGUGUACAUAGGUGCUGAAAUUGGAUUUGUCACCGGUAUAGGAAUUGUGAUUGGGCCUCUUGUGUUAUGGCGAAGGUGGAGACGAUGGUACUACACACAUGUGGAUAGACUUCUUUUGAGGAUUCUCCCGCGUCAAGGCGGAGGAGUUCAUGGCAGGAGACGUCACAGAAGUCAGCGACAGAGACUCUAGCACCAGAAAGGUGGCGCAGCUAGAGUUUGUUCUAUGGAAGGAAAAAUAAAAACUAAAAAGUAUGUUCAUUGCUAGGAUUUCUGUGUUUUUUUACCUUAAAAAUUGGAAGUACGUUGUUUUUGAAUAAUAUCUUUCAAUUAUUUUAACUUAUUUUAAAAAAUAAUUAUACAAAUAUGAACAAAAAUUAAAAAUAAAAUAAUACUAUAGAACCCCAUUUUGGGGGGCAUUUUUUGCAAAUUAUUUAUGUAGGUGGAGGGCUCUUAACGAGCCACGUGUUGCCCCAAGUUUGGUCUUUAGAGAAUCAUGUUAGUGGUUUGAAGAAGAAAUGGAAGGGCGACACGUGUCAUGGGAAUAUUCAGAAACAGUUUUUUUUUGGGGAUUUGGAGGAGCGUAUUUUUGAUAUAGAGAUAAGGAGGCCGUUAAGGAGGGGGAGAUAUUUGGUUGCUAUUACAGAGAGGUAUAAGUAGCUUGGGAGGCAAGACUGAGGAGGCAUGUUUUUUGGGGUUGCUUAGGAGAGAGGGAUACCUGGGGGGGAUUCUCUUUGGAGGAGGUUACAGAGGAGCGUUUUUUUUAGUAGCUUGAGAAAGAAGACAACUGGAGAGAAGACCAUUUGAGCUAGAGAAAGGGAAGAGGAGAAUUGGUUGAGCUUGGAAGGGAGAACUGGUCAAAGAGAGGAGGAAACACACAGAAGAAUCGUCUUGAAAGAGGGUGACACAGUAAACCGGCCCAUCACUCAGGUACACUCCUUGCCUAUCUUGUUUAUUCGGUUAUUUUGUUUUGAUUGAUAUUCAUUCAUAUCCAUGUUUGAUCAAUCAAUUGUCAUACUUGCUUCAUCUCAUUAGUAGAGACCCGUUUUUAGGGACUUAGAGGGGUGCUACAGUCUUUACCGUACCUUCCCAAUAAGUAACCUAACCCCCGAGUUCAAAUUUGAUUUUUCACAGACCACCUUUUCCAAAAUAAAGAGUCAAACUUAGGGUUUUCUUUCUUAUUUUGUUUACCCUUUAAAAAUAAAACAAAAAUAAGUGGCGACUCCAAGUCAUUUUCUUAAAAAAUAAAUCAUUUUCAAAUAACAAGCGAGUUUGCCAUCGAGUGGAAGCGCAUGAGCAGAAAUACGGGGUCCACAAAUACACACUUAGGGUUUUCUUUAUUUAUUUUGGCAUUCAAAGCCACCGUUCCUUUUUAGUUCGACAUUCAUAGCCAUCAUACCUCUUUUUCAGUUUGGCGUUCAGAGCCACAUCUUCAUUUUGGCGUUCAGAGUCACAUCUUCAUUUUGGCGUUCAGAGCCACCGUCCCUUUUUAGUUUGGCAUUCAGAGUCACCAUCUCUUUUUUCGAUUUAGCGUUCAGAGCCGCAUCUUCAUUUUGGCGUCCAGAGCUGUUGUUUGCUUCUAGUUCAGUAUUCAUAGCCAUCAUACCUCUUUUUCGGUUUGGCAUUCAGAGCCGCAUCUUCAUUUUGGCAUUCAGAGCAGUUGUUCAUUUUAGUUCGGUAUUCAAAGCCACACCUUCAAUUCGGUGUUUAGAGCUGCAUUUUUUGUUUGGCGUCUAGAUUCGUUGUUCGUUUUCAAUUUGGUGUUCAGAGCCGUCGUUUAUUUCUAGUUCGGCAUUCAGAGCCAUCAUACAAUUUUCAGUUUGGUGUUCAGAGCCAUCAUUUGUUUUUUUAGUUCAACAUUCAGAGUCGUCAUGUAUUUCUUUCAUUCGUCGUUCAAAGUCACAUCUUCAUCUUGGCGUUCAGAGCCGCAUCUUCCAUUUGGCGUUCAGAGUCAUGUCUUCAAUUCAACAUUCAGAGUCAUUAUUCAUUAUUGAAAUUCAAAGCCAUUGUUUCAUUCAGGCAUUUGAUGCCACCAUUUUUCUUUAGUUUUGGCGUUCAGAGCCAUUGUGCAUACUUAUUCAGGCAUUCGAUGCCACCAUCAUUCUUUAGCUUUGGCGUUCAAAGCUGUUGUGCAUACUCGUUUAGGCAUUUAGAUCACCAUUCAUUCAUCCAUUUUGGCGUUCAGAAUCAUUUUCCUUACCUUGUUACCUUGUGCUUAUUGCUUGUUCAUCAUGGUCUUCUAGACUUCCCCUUCCACUACACAUGACAUAGUCCUUUAAGUUCAUGACACAUAUUUUGGUCAUGUUGUUGGGCACCCCACGUUUAGCGUGCUCAUGUGGCUCACAUAGGGCGGUCUCCUUUGAGCACAUUCUUUUCUGUACUCCAAGGUGGUUCGACCAUUAGCAUCUUUGACAUUGACCUUCAAGUCACUUUUGGAGACGUCUUAGAUGGAGUCUGGAUCCUUAGUUCAACUUUAGAGGCACAUUGAGACGUGUUUUUCUCUUAGGAUUAAAGUCAUUUUGUUCAUCUAUGCGAGUGAGUUUGUGUUUUGCUAAUGUCCCUUUGGGGGUCUCAUUGGUUCUUCGAUAGAGUUCACUUCAUUCCACUUAUUAUUCACACUUUUUUUUCACCUUAGUGUUCAUAUUCCUUACACUCGUGAGCUCUACCGAAGAGGGGCAUAUUUGUAGACCCCCAUUUUGGGGGGCAUUUUUUUGAAAAUUAUUUCUGCAGGUGGAGGGCUCUUAAAGAGCCACAUGUUGCCCCAAGUUUGGUCUUUAGAGAAUCAUGUUAGUGGUUUGAAGAAGCAAUGGGAGGGCAAUACAUGUCAUGGGAAUAUUCAGAAACAGUUUUUUUGGGGAUUUGGAGGAGCGUAUUUUUGAUAUAGAGAGAGGAAGGUCGUUAAGGAGGGAGAGAUAUUUGGUUGUUGUUACAUAAAGGUAUAGAUAGCUUGGGAGGCAAGACUGAGGAGGCGUGUUUUUUGGGGUUGCUUGGGAAAGAGGGAUACCUGGGAGGGAUUCUCUCUAGAGGAGGUUAUAAAGGAGCGUUUUUUUAGUAGCUUAAGAGAGAAGACAACUGGAGAGAAGACCAUUUGAGCUAGAGAAAGGGAGAAGGAGAAUCACCUGAGCUUGGAAGGGAGAAUUGGUUAGAGAUAGGAGGAAACACACAGAAGAAUCGUCUUGAAAGAGGGUGACACAGUAAACCGGCCCAUCACUCAGGUACACACCUUGCGUCUCUUGUUCAUUCGGUUAUUUUGUUUUGAUUAAUAUUCAUUUGGUAUCCAUUUUUUAUCAAUCACUUGCCAUACUUGCUUCAUCUCAUUAGUAGAGGCUCGUUUUUAGGGACUUAGAGGGGUGCUACGGUCUUUAUCGUAUCUUCCCAAUAAAUAACCGGACCCCCAAGCCUAGAUUCGGUUUUUCACAAACCACCUUUUCCAAAAUAAGGAGUCACACUUAGGGUUUUCUUUCUUAUUUUGUUUACCCUUUAAAAAUAAAACAAAUAUAAGUGGCAACUCCAAGUCAUUUUCUUAAAAAAUAAAUCAUUUUCAAAUAAAAAGCGAGUUUGCCAUCGAGUGGAAGCGCAUGAGCAAAAAUGCGGGGUCCACAAAUACAUAUAAAAUUUUUUUUAAAACAAAUUUAAAAAUAUAUCAAACGGUUAAAAAACAUUUCAAAUUCUCAAAUACACUUUUGUUAAUCUACUAAACAUUAAAUAACAUAUUUAAAAAAUUGUUCUCAAAAACUCUUUUAAAAUACACUUCUCACUCAAAACCUAAUAAACUAAGAAUAUCAAUAACAAAAUAUUAAUAAAAAGAUUUAAAUAAAAUACGGAGAAAUCCUAUUCAAAAAGUAAGGUCAUGUUUAACAACUAUUUUUUAAAACAGUUUUUUUUUUUUUUAUUCAGAAUAAAAAAUAGGAAAACAUGUUUGAGAACUAAAAAUCAUAAUAUGGUUUUCUAUUAUUAAAAGCAUGAAAUGGUGUUUUCAAGUAACAUCUUUAAAAUUUUAAGAGAUUAUCGGAUCAUGUCAAAAGGGUUUAGCUAGAAUAAUCUAGGAAAUUUUACUCUAAAGUACUUCUUCAAAUGCUCAUCAUCAUUGAAUCCCAUGAUUCCAAUUCUACAAUUGUAAGAGUGCGUUUGAGAGUGAUUUUAGAAAACAUUUAUAGUAUUUUCAACAUUUAAAUGAUAAAAAAUUUCAAAUGUUAAAAAGAUUAAAAACGUUUCCUAGAAUUAUUUUCAAACGGACUAUAAAUCCUCUUCUGGUUAUGAUUGUAAAUGAAAUAUACAAAUAUAAUAGUCAGAGACUAAAGACAAAACGUUGUUUUAUAUAUACAUAUAUAACCGAAAUACAUGAAACUUGUAGUCUGAUUUUUCCAAUGGAAGAAGAUAGUUCCACCAUUAUAUUGAUUUGGUAAUCAUUUCGAAAUAUAAUUUUACUCAUGCUUUGAAAUGCAUGAAACUAAUAAAUUAAACUGAAAUCUAAUAGAAUUGAAAUAAGAGAAGUUAACAAUACCCAUCCACCCAUUUUUAUUUUAUUUUUCUUGUUAAGUCCUCAGCUUUCCUCUUACUUCAUGCCUUUUCUUUCCCCAUGUUAAGAGACAAUUUAACAUCUAUUGAAAUAGUAUGUUGGAAGAUGGUUGAACACUUGUGAGAGAUAGUUAAGUACUACAAAUUAAAUAUAAUAGCAGAAAUUCAUCAAUGCAAACUAUUUUAAGGAUGUGCCAAAUUUUGUGAAAGAUGUACCAAAUUUUGUAAAGAAUGUGCCAAAUUGUUUUUAGGAUGUACCUUGGGUUCCAAUGUUCGUUUCAAGCUGGGGAACAACCUCUAAUUCCUUCUCGAGGGUCCCCAAAGGAAUAUAUGAACCAUAAGAAUGGAGAUAGGGGUCUUGGUUCCUCUAAGAAUGGAUAUACCUAGGAUUGCAAAGUUUGUUUUGGGGUGGGCGAGUACCUCCAAUUACUUAUCGAGGGUCCCAAAGGAAUAUAUACACCAUGAUAAGUAUGAUGAUGGUUCUAGUUCUCAUAAACAUGAAUUUACCUAUUUUUUUAAGGAUGUACCUUUUUUUUACCUUUUUUUUUUUUUUUUUUUUAAGGAUGCACCUCUUUUUUUUAUGAAAUAAAUAUAAAAGGUUAAAUACAAUUUUUUUUAUUAAAAAUAUGUUUUCUUUUAUAUUUUAUUUUAAUUAAAAAUUAAAGAUUUUAACCAAACAAAAAGUUAGAUCCACAAGCAAAUUAAAAUCAUAAGAAAAAUAAUAAAAGCACUAUCAGUUAUUGUGAUUUUGAUAUGAUAAAUUUAAAAUGAAAAUAAAAAUAAAAAUAGUGUAAAUAAUAAAAUAGUAUUACAAAGAUAUUUUUAUUUUUACAUGUGAUAGAAUUUACAAAAUAAAUAAAUCUUUUGUUUAGUAUUAAUAUAAAAAAUCUUAUAUCAUAAACUUCUAAAUAAUAAAAUAGAAUUUUUAAAUUUAAACCUUAAUUUAUCAAAUGUAUUAUUAUAAUUAAUAUUUAAAAUCAUCAAGUAUAUUAUUUGUACGAUAAUAUUUUCAUUUUUGUCCAUUAUAUAUAUAUAUAUAUAUAUAUAUUUAUUUAUUUAAUUUGUUAUAUUAAUUUUUUAUUAUAUAUCAUCAUUUUAAGUUUAAUAUGUCAAAAAAAUAAUAAUUGAAAUCAAUAAAUAUGGAUAAAUUAGAGAGUAAAGAAAAAUUACAAUUAAAGAAGUUUUAUGAAAAAAUACAUGAGCAUAUUAAGAAGAAUAUAAAGGAAAAAGAGAAAAAUAAUAAUAAAAACUAUAAUAAGUGACAAUAAAUUAUGGCGGGAAGAUAGGAAAAAAAAGGAAAAAAGAAGAAAGGAAAAAAAUGGGAAUGUGACUAGUGAUAAGCGAGAUAUAUUGAUAAGAGAAAAAUAAUAAAAAUAAAUGACGCAUGUGUUUAUCAACAGGUGGUAUUAAAUGAAUAGAUAAUAUUUUUUUCCUAUUUUACACUAAAUGUCAAAAGGAAAAAGUAAAGUUCUAAAAUGUCAUAUUUUUUUAAAUUGGUUUAUGAUUACAUGAUUUCCCAAAAAAGAAUAUCAGUGUACACAGAAUCGCGAAGAAUUGGACACAAGUAGAAUUGAAAUUGAAUGUGAAUCGAGUGUGAAAGGACAACUUGUAAGAGGACAUUUCUGGUUCUCAUUCAAAGUAAUGAAUUUCAUGUCGGUAGGCGUUCUGUUAUGCGUUCCUUGUUUUCUUUGUCUUUCACAAGGACUUGAUUAGGAAGACUUGAAGUCAAACCGAGCCUCAUUGAUCUUCCAACUACAUACCAAAUAUAUAUCUAUUAGUUGAUCUUCCAAUUAAGAUUAAUAGAUGGAAACCAAAAAGUCAGGCGUAUUGUUUGAGCCACAGAAAAGUCGGCAAUGAAGACCUCUGUUCCGUCGUCGUGGAAAGAUAGGCACGAAUUAAUGAAGUGAACGGGUCAUUGUUGUGUCAAUUCAUAAUUGGUUCCUAAAGGAAAAUUCUGACAAAAUCGUAAGAGUAAAAAAUGUAAGAAAAUGAUAAAUUGUCAUGUGACUUGGGGGAAACAAGGAAGGAAAAAACAUAAAAGCUGCUUCCUGUUCAAUUGGGGGAAACAAAAAAAGUGUAAUGUUGUGUUGUUGAUGUAUAACUACAACAUUCUUUUUUCUUCCUGUUCAAUUUCUCCCUAUCUACAUAUUAAACAUGCUUUGUUGUAGCAGUAUUUCCCAGCUGCUUCCAAUGAGAAUUGCACUCUUUUCAUGGCUUUAUUUCUUGCCCUUAUGCUCAAUCGUUUUUGGUAUCCAUGUGGCUUUGGUGUCCGGGGAAUGUCUGAGUGAUGGGAGCAUAUGCCUGGAGGAUCAGAUGUCCUUGUUGCUGCAACUGAAGAACACCCUCAAAUUCAAUGUUGCUGCAUCAAGUAAACUAGUUUCCUGGAAUCCAAGCACGGAUUGCUGCUCUUGGGGAGGUGUAACCUGGGAUGCCACUGGUCAUGUUGUCGCUCUCGAUCUCAGUAGCCAAUCAAUUUAUGGUGGAUUCAAUAACUCCAGUAGCAUUUUCAGUCUACAAUAUCUGCAGAGCUUGAAUUUGGCUAACAACACCUUCUACUCUUCUCAAAUUCCAUCUGGGUUCAGUAAGCUUGACCAUUUGAUAUACCUGAAUUUGUCUAAUGCUGGGUUUUCUGGACAAAUUCCAAUUGAGAUCUCAUGCUUGACGAAAUUGGUUACAAUUGAUUUCUCCGUGUUUUACCUUCCUGGAGUUCCUACGCUGACACUUGAGAACCCAAAUCUGAGAAUGCUGGUUCAGAACCUGACAGAGCUUAGAGAACUCUAUCUUAAUGGUGUAAACAUAUCGGCACAAGGGAAGGAAUGGUGCCAGGCAUUAUCAUCUUCAGUGCCUAAUCUCCAAGUGCUGAGCUUGGCAAGCUGUUAUCUUUAUGGCCCUCUUGAUUCUUCUCUGCAGAAGCUUCGGUCUCUCUCAAGCAUUCGCCUGGACAGUAACAACUUCUCUGCUCCUGUUCUAGAAUUCCUAGCCAAUUUCUCGAAUUUGACUCAAUUGCGGCUCAGUUCUUGUGGAUUAUAUGGAACAUUUCCAGAAAAGAUCUUUCAGGUACCAACCCUUCAGAUUCUUGAUUUGUCAAACAACAAGUUGCUCCUGGGUUCUUUGCCGGAAUUCCCUCAGAAUGGAUCUCUAGGAACUCUGGUGCUCUCGGAUACAAAAUUUUCAGGGAAAGUACCAUACUCCAUAGGCAAUCUCAAGAGGUUGACUAGGAUAGAGCUUGCAGGUUGUGAUUUCAGUGGAGCAAUUCCAAACUCGAUGGCAGACCUUACACAACUGGUUUACUUGGACUCAUCUUAUAACAAGUUUUCCGGUCCAAUCCCACCUUUUAGUUUGUCCAAGAACCUGACCCGAAUAAACCUUUCUCAUAAUUAUUUAACGGGUCCGAUUCCUUCCUCUCACUUGGAUGGUCUUGUAAAUCUAGUGACUCUUGACUUGCGAGACAAUUCACUGAAUGGAAGUCUCCCCAUGCUCCUGUUUUCCCUCCCAUCACUGCAGAAGAUACAACUGAGCAACAACCAAUUUUCUGGUCCCUUGAGUAAAUUUUCAGUUGUGCCUUUUUCUGUACUGGAGACCCUUGAUUUGAGUAGCAACAAUCUGGAAGGGCCAAUACCCAUAUCUGUCUUUGAUCUCCAGUGUCUUAACAUCCUUGAUCUUUCUUCCAACAAAUUCAAUGGCACUGUUUUACUAAGCAGCUUUCAGAACCUUGGAAAUCUUACCACUCUUAGUCUGUCAUACAACAACUUGUCCAUCAAUUCAAGUGUUGGUAAUCCCACUUUGCCCCUGCUGUUGAAUCUUACCACAUUAAAAUUGGCUUCUUGCAAGCUCAGAACAUUACCUGAUCUUAGCACCCAGUCAAGAUUGACACAUUUAGACCUUUCCGAUAACCAAAUUCCCGGGAGCAUACCUAAUUGGAUUUGGAAGAAUGGUAAUGGAUCUCUUUUGCAUUUGAAUCUCUCUCAUAAUUUACUGGAGGAUCUGCAGGAAACUUUCUCUAAUUUUACUCCUUAUCUGUCCAUCCUUGACCUACAUUCCAACCAGCUCCAUGGCCAAAUCCCAACUCCUCCCCAAUUUUCCAUCUAUGUGGAUUACUCAGACAACAGUUUCAACUCUUCCAUCCCAGAUGAUAUUGGUAUUUACAUUUCCUUCACUCUUUUCUUCUCGCUUUCGAAGAAUAACAUCACUGGAGUUAUUCCUGAAUCAAUAUGCAAUGCCAGUUACCUGCAAGUUCUUGACUUCUCUGACAAUGCUUUUAGUGGCAAAAUACCCUCAUGUUUAAUUCAGAAUGAGGCUCUUGCAGUGUUGAAUCUGGGGAGGAACAAGUUUAAUGGCACUAUACCAGGGGAAUUCAGGCACAAGUGUCUUUUACAGACACUAGAUCUCAAUGAGAAUCUUUUAGAAGGAAACAUCACAGAAUCUCUAGCCAAUUGCAAAGAGUUAGAGAUUUUAAACCUUGGGAACAACCAAAUUGAUGAUAUCUUUCCUUGCUGGUUGAAGAACAUAACCAAUUUGCGUGUCCUUGUUCUGCGAGGCAACAAAUUCCAUGGGCCCAUUGGGUGUCUCAGGAGCAAUUCCACCUGGGCAAUGCUUCAGAUAGUUGACCUAGCAGACAACAACUUUAGUGGUAAGUUGCCAGAAAAAUGCUUCUCGACCUGGACAGCAAUGAUGGCGGGUGAAAAUGAAGUCCAAUCCAAGCUCAAACACCUGCAAUUUAGGGUUCUACAAUUCAGUCAAUUGUACUAUCAGGAUGCUGUAACAGUUACCAGCAAAGGUCUAGAAAUGGAGUUGGUGAAGGUCCUAACUCUCUACACCUCUAUUGACUUGUCGUGCAACAAUUUUCAAGGGGACAUACCAGAAGUGAUGGGGAACUUCACAUCGCUCUAUGGUCUCAACUUAUCGCAUAAUGGUUUCACAGGCCAUAUCCCAUCGUCAAUAGGGAAUCUGCGACAACUUGAGUCAUUAGACCUCUCGCAAAACAGGCUGAGUGGAGAGAUACCUACACAGCUUGCGAACCUAAAUUUCCUUUCAGUCCUGAACCUCUCAUUCAAUCAAUUGGUGGGAAGGAUCCCACCAGGUAAUCAAAUGCAAACAUUUUCAGAAGCUUCUUAUGAAGGGAAUAAAGAACUGUGUGGGUGGCCUCUGGAUCUAAGUUGCACUGAUCCACCACCAUCUCAAGGCAAGGAAGAAUUUGAUGACAGGCACUCAGGUUCCAGGAUGGAGAUUAAGUGGGAAUACAUAGCUCCUGAAAUUGGGUUUGUGACAGGAUUGGGAAUCGUGAUUUGGCCUCUAGUGUUGUGCAGGAGAUGGAGGAAAUGCUACUACAAACAUGUUGAUAGAAUUCAUUCAAGGAUUCUCCAAGGAAGAGCAAGUGGUGGAAGAAGAGCUCACAGAAUUCGGAGGCGGAGAAUGUAGCCGUGGUGCAGAGGGAUGAAGUGAUUAGUCAAGAGUCCAUUUCCAUUAAUCCAAUCCUAUGUUUCAUUGAAGGAAUAUUAAAAAGGGGUCAUAUUAUUGGAUGGACCUUCAGUCCGUGUGUCAAAUGUGAUUCUGGCUUGCUUCUUAUAAAUUUAAUCGAAUGCAUAAUUUUAUAUUUGGACAAUGUCAUGGUGAAGUAGAUUUUCAAAGUAACAUUAUUCUUACUUUUUAGUGAUGCGAGUAUCAAUGUGCUUCUCUAAAAUAUUAUACUAAUAAAGAAUUUAAGUUGUAAAACCACUUCAUGAAAGCUUUUCUACAAAAGCAUCAAAUCUUAAAUUUGGCCAAAAAACUUUUUAACCUUCAAAUCUCUUUGGUUUUAGUCAAUAAAAGCCAUUUUGACCAAUGUAAGGAUUUUUAAAUAUUAAAAAAUUUAGCCAAGAAAAAAAUAUAACGUGUUAAAUUUAAGAAAUUUGGAAACUCUUCUUCUUCAGGGAAGGCAUUCAAGCUGAGCAGGAGAUGGUCUAGGAUAUGUUGGCUGGAUGUGGGCCCGAGUUGGGUCAAACUUGAUUGGCUGGAUUUCGGUCAUUAAUAAAAUAUGGGCCUGAUUGGGACAAACGAAGAGCAGCCGAGGUAGCUAGGACCAUAUUCAGCCCAAUCAACACAUCUCAAGCCAUAAGGGAUACAACAUUGAUAAGCAAGUAAUUAUCAUACUAGGUAGUAAGGUGGCUGCCCAUCUACUUAUAAAAGUUUCAUCCUCUUACAGGCUUUCACAUUAAAUUUGGAAAUGGUUCUCACUUUAUUUUAUUUUUUACCACAUUUUUUUAUUAUCUUGUUAAUUUAUAGGAACAAAAAAUCUUUAUCAUUUUUUUUAUAGUCCAUUGUUCCAAUGAAAUUAUUAAACAAUGAUAAGAGUGAGAUUUUCAAAAGUAGAAGAUGAAUCAAUAUAACUUGCAAAUUCUUAGAUUUUAAUGGAAUUUGAAAAUUACUAAUAUUAUUAUGCAAGUGAAAUAACAACAUGAACUUGAAAAAUUAAACCCAAAACCAUCUCUAAAAUUAUCAAUAUCCAGGCCCAACUUCACAUUCAACUUGAAUAUCUCUAAACAAGUUUAGUCCUUUCUGUUUUUCAAUUUUCUUUCACUUUUUUUUUUUUCUAGAAUUAGACACUUUUUGGAUACCAUGAAAAAGAUUGCUAGCUAGGAAUGUAAAGCAUGGUUUUUUAGCUAGAAUGAUAAGUUAAGUGCUCAUAUAUAUUUUGAAUCAAAUUUAAGAGAAAGUUCCUUACGACCCUUAGUGAAUUGAUUUUCACUUAACUACCCAUAUUUCUAAUAUGAUACAAGGAUUCCAUAUAAUCCAAAUAAGAACUUUAUUUUUAUGUGAAAUCUAAUCAAAGCUCUAGUUGAAGCCAUCUAAAUUUAUUAUUUGAUAUUUAAGCUCUAAUUGAAUCCAUUAGAAUUAUUAUUUGAAUUUUAUACAUAUUAGACAUCAUUUAGACUUGUUUUAGACAAUUCAUAUAUCUUGUUUUCCAGGAAAUUUGAUUUCUUCGUCCAAACUUGAUGUAUUGGAACAUACUUUCAAAUUUAAUUAGGAACAAAUGUCUCAAUUUUUCUCAAAUAAUCAUCUUUUUCAUUCUAAUAUCUUACAUGAUGAUUUGUAGAAGUUGAAACUCGAUAACCUUUUUACUAAGAUCCUUGUUACCUUGCACUAUAAUGUUUAGUAGAUAAGCUUUUAGUUUUCUAGUGACACAAAUGUUAGAGAUUAGUAGAGAAUGGAAAUCUUCCAAACCUAGAUUUUACUGAUACUCAACGUGUAUGUGGACUGCAUUUGAGUAAAACCAACCAAACACACUAAGAAAUAAGCUACUUGGAAAAAAAUAAUAAAAAUUAUAUUAGAAAAAAAUCCAUAUGCUCCUGCAAUAGAGUUGACAACAAUUUACAAAGACAAAUAAAACAUUCAUAAGAAAAGAAUGUAUACAAUUUAUUCAUAUCUUUAGGCCAUGAGAUUACUAUAUAAUGUUGCAAAAUGGAGUUGACACACCUUAGAAAGGAUCUAAUGUGUUAUUCUUUAAAUCUAAAGGUUCUGAUACCAAUUGUUAGAAAAACACCCACUAUAUAUAGAUUAAAGAGUGCAACUAAGAUUCUAGGCAUAAUGAAAAUGAAAGUUGUUUAAUUUUUCAAAAAAUUAUUCUAGGAUGUUCUUAGAAAACAUACCUUUGGAUUCAAAUGUUCCCAGAUAUUUUUUCCAAUUUGCAAUAGAAAUCUCGAAUGUCUCGUGACAUUUGGAUCUUGUCUAUGGAUAAGUAUAGACUUUUCUCUAGAGGGAGUGAUGGCUACUAGGGUUUUCUUUAAACUAAGUGAAAGACAACAACUAGUCUAAGCUUAAAUGACUAAGAGGAUUUAAAUAGACUCUCAACUAGGCUUAAAUGACUAGGGUCUAUCCCAUAGGUUUGGAUCAAUUAAUUAGCCUAAUGGGUCUUAUUUAAUUAAUUAGCCUAUUGAGAAUGUCUAUUGCCACCUUCCUAAACCACCAAUAGUCCAAUCCAUUAGGAAUAUAUGAUCACUUAGGAUCUUACCAUUUGUCAUGACUUUUGGUAGGUCUUAUUCAAUAUGUAACCAUACAUGCUAGCACAUUUACUAUGUGAAAACCAUCCUGAUACCUAAGACAUGUCAUCCAAAAAUUAGGAGGUAAUGCAUUAUAAUUUCUAUAGAUUGUCAUCUUAGUCCGUGAACCAACCUUAAACAAGCUUAUCCCAGAAUUGCCAAAAGGGGAGAUCGUAAGUGAUUAUCAAGGUUGGCAAUUCUAUGCAAAAAAAAAUUAUCCAACCUUCUAAUUUAGUUUUUCGAAUCCUUCCUUGGGCUACUGGCCUAAUGAAAAUCAAGUGUUGAAUUUUCUUAAAGGUCAAGGUAUAUAGUUGAGAUUGUAGAUGGGUGAAAUUAAAUCAACCAAAAUUUUCAAAUUGCUAUUUAUCUUGAACUAUUUUUUAUUUUUUUUUAAAGUGUUGAAGAGGCAAAGGCAACAAGUUUUUUCAACUAAGUGUUCAUGUGCCCUAUACCAGGAUCAAUCCAAAUUUGGGUAAGAUUGAUCCAAUUUUUGUUUGAUCUUUUCUUAGCCAUUAGAUCAAGGGUUUCUUUCCUUUUAAGACCAAAAUGCCUUCAGUUUGGGAUUAAGGAAAGACUUGUCGUCGUUCUUCUUCCCUCUUGUGCUCUCUCUAUCCUUACCUAAUUAAGGGUAUUUGAAAAAAAAAUACAUGUUCAUUUUGAUUUCCAAACUAUUUUCUAAUGGAUUUUCUUAUAAAUAAAAAAAUGGGUUUCUUUUGUUCCAUUCAUCUCUCAAUUUCCUAUCUAUUUAGGUUUUGAGUAGAAACCUAUUUUCUUAUUGAUUGAGCUUCCAAAAGAGGCUGAGAUCAAUCUUGGUCAGGACUCCAAGUAUGUUUCGGAAGAUGGAAGCAUAUGGCUGAAGUAAGAAGGUGUUGGUCAAGUUGUUUGUUAAGGAUUAGUAGACUUGAGCUAAGUAAAUUCUUAUACACAUUAAUUAUUCUUCAUAGUAGAUUUCUUUAUCAUUGACCGGCCCAUGGUUUUUUUCAUCUCUUAAGAGAUUUUCCACAAAAUCUAAUGUCAUUGUCUCUCUUUUUCUCAUUCUACUCUUUGAUUUAUUUCUAGUUAUCGAUAUCAUCUGUUACUUGAGCAUGUAUGUUGAAAUGAUGAAAUAUGAGUUGAAAUUGGUGUGAUUAUCUUUUGGAUAUAUUUUGAAUAAUUUUUUGUUCAAUUUGAUAAAGAUAUCAAGAAGUAAUUGAAAAUAUAUUAAGGAGGAUUUUUUCUUAUAAAUUUGUGUUAAGGAGUGUUAAAGCAUUUACAUAUGACUUGCAUUUAUAAAUUGUUAGAAGUAUAUUGAUGUAUCCAUGCUUGCUUGUGAUUUUUAUUUAUUAUUGAAAAGUAUUUGAAGAGAGGAAUAUAGGUUGUGAGAAAUUUUAACGAAAGAUAAUAUAUGUUGGGAAACCGUUUUUGAAUUUUUAAAAAAAAUACUUAUUCCCUUCUCCUCCUAUAGGUGUAGUUCAUCAUUGAGAUUCACUCUCAAAUUCUUUUAAGGAUUCCCCGCAACUAAGACCAAGGAAGAGCAAAUCAUGGAAGCAGGGCUUCCAGGACUUAGAGGCCAAGAAUCUAGCCACCACUAGUGAGAAGGAUCUAGUUUGAGUGUAUUGUAUUUCUAUUAGAUAGAAAAUAUGCUUUCUACCAAUUUGUAAAAAAGCUUUAAACGUACCUAAAAUAAAAUUCUAAUUUGGGAGAUCCAUGAAGUCAUUCAAGUUAAGAGGUUAAGAUAUGUUGGCUAGAUCUGGGCAAGAGUUGGGUUACACGUGAUUGGCCCAAUUGGUACAAAGCAAGACCAACUAAGGUAGUAGGCCCAUGUUCAGCCCAAUCAACACAUUUGAAGCCAUUAGUAGUUUAGUAAAGAUGUAAGAAAGAAAAAACUUCAUCAUUUUUCUCUUAAUCCAUUCUUCCAAUCAUCAUUUUAUCACUUCCAAGAAAGAUUAAACAAUGAGACAAGUACGAGAUUUUUCAAAGUAAAUCUUGAAUCAAUAUAAUUUCUUAAUUCUUAGUUCUUAAUGAAAUUUGAAAAUAAUGAAUAUCUUUAUACAAGUGAAAUAACAGUAUGAACUUGAAAAAUAAAACACAAAACCAUAUUCUCAAAUUAUCAAAGUCCAUGCCCAACUUGACAUUCAAAUCAAGUAUCUUUAAACAAGUUGGAGCAGGGAUUUCGUGUCAUUCCCUCCCCCUCGAAGAGUCCUUGUCCUCAAGGACGGAACUCCGGGUAUGCUUCGCUAGUCCAAUCUCCACAAGCCAAUCCCCAAACUCCUUAUUGAUCUUCCUCUCGAUAUACGAUCGAAUCUCCGGGAUCUGCUUCUCUAGCAUUUUCCGCAGCGUCGACGACGGAGUUUUGUCAAUGAANNNNNNNNNNNNNNNNNNNNNNNNNNNNNNNNNNNNNNNNNNNNNNNNNNNNNNNNNNNNNNNNNNNNNNNNNNNNNNNNNNNNNNNNNNNNNNNNNNNNGGAGAACGCAUGGCGAUUCUCCAAAGCAUACCCGGUAGUUUCGUCCUUAAGGACAAGGACUUUUCGAGGGGGAGGGAAUGAUACGAAAUCCCUGCUCCAACUCCUAUUUGCUUGCAGAUCACAGUUACGUGGGCAACACCUCAACACCUAGCUUGAAUUUUGAUUUGUUGCUACCUCCCUAGACUUAGGCCACUAUUUGUGUUUCAGUUGAUGUUUCAAUUGUCUGUGCAUCUAUAAAUGCACCUGCAUGAAGUUAAUAAAGCAUGGCAGAAUUCAAAACUUCUAUCUCCUAUCUCUCCUGUCAUCUCUUAAAUUAAACUCAUCAACUAGUUGUAAUCACCAACACCAGAAUGAGAAGUAAUCAUUGCAACAAGUUGAUUGUUUACAGAAGGUUGAAAAGAAUGAUCAAAACGAUAAUAGCAAUUGACCAUAUUUGUCACAAAUUUGGCAUUGUGGCCUACCACCAUUUCUAGAAAAAUUAGGUCCUGAGAAAUUAGCAAAAUUGUUUCCAAAAUUACCUUGAUUAUUACCUCUACCUGAAUUUCCCUUGGAAUAGAAACCACGUCCGCAACGACCAAACUGUUUCUGAUUGAAUUGCGAUAGACUCUGGUUAAGGUUUCUUCUUUGAAACUUGCAUUGACUAGUCCUUUGAUUUUUUAUUUUUUUUAUAGUUGUUUCCUUGCGAUUGUAGAAAGGCUACGCUUGCUUGAAGAAGAUUGGUUUCAUCAGUGGCAUUCUGUUGCUCUAAGCGAUGCUUGUAACUAAGCAACAUAUUAUGUGUCUCUUCUAAAUGCAGAGGUUCAUGCUUAGAUGUUAUAGAGACCACAAAGGAGUUGUAAUCAGCUGCUAAACCGCCAAGCAAAAAAAGAACGUGGUCUUGUUCAAAAAUUGAUUCUCUGAUUGCAAUAAGAUUAUAUGCAAUAGAUUUCACCUUGUGAAGAUAUUCCAUCAUAUUCAAACCAUGUUUCUUCAUAGUCUGAAGUUAAAGACGAAGUUGCAUAAUUCUAGCCUUUGAUGCAGCAAAGAAGAAUUUCUCGAGAGCACUCCAGAUUUCAGAAGUGGAAGUGAGACCGAUGAUUUGAGACAUUACAUUCUCGAAGAGAGAUGAAUAAAUCCAGCACAUGACUAGAAGAUUUUGUCGUUGCCAAAUCUGAAAAUCUGGGUUCGUACUUUUAGAGUUCUCAAGAAAUUUUGGAAGACAAGGUCGUGAGCCAUCGAUCAUCUCCUCAACUCCAUUAGCGAUUACAAUAUUCAGCAUCUGAGUACGCCAUAGAAGAUAAUUUGAGCGAUCAAGCCUGAUGGUGAAUGCUUGAUUCAGAGAUUGCAUUAUCGAAGUUGUAUUUGGGCUUGAACUAGUACCAUUUUGGUGAGAACAACAAGUAUAGAGGAAGAGAAAUCUUCAAACAUCAUGGAAAGAGAGCUUCAAGGAUCACAAGCUCUAAUACCAAGAUAAAAUAUAAAGAUCUGCCUCUUAUUUGAGAGAGUGUUACAAAGAGAUAUCUUGAAGAAGAAAGUUUCCUCUGUUUUUUAUUCUUAGUCAAAUACCCAGUACUCACAGUGAAUGUUGAAAUUGGUAUGUUUCUUUUUGCUUAAAACUUUGGAUCCUAGCCAUCCAAAAAAAAAAAAAGGCUUAACCAAUAAUUGAUAAGUGUCUGCUGAAUGUAUGAUCCAAAAAUUAGGUAAUUUAAUAUUUUAAAAAGUUAUUUGGAAAUAUAUUUAUAUUGGGAGUAAUAUUACAACAAUUUCAAUGUAUAUUACAAUUCAACGACUUCAAUAUUAUAUUUUUAAAAUAAAAUUUUCAUUAGGAAUAAAUAAUUUAUAAAACUAUGUAAAUAGAAAAUAGACAUAAAAAAAAUCGAGGGCAGUUGUAAUUAUUCAAAUAUAAUGAGGAUGAAAAUAGUAUAGGCAAUAUAAUUUGAGACCGGAAAACAAAACACAAAUAUAUAUAUAUAUGUAUAUAGAUAAAGAGGGAAUAACAAUAAUCAUGUAAUUCAUUUUUAUACGGAGUUUUAAGUCACUAUUAAUAUUAUUUUUGAAAAUAAAUUUUAAAAUUAGAAAGAAUUUAAAAUGUAAAGAGGGUAUGAAAAUUGUGAACAAUGUACUAAAAAUGUGAAGCAUGUAAACAUGGUACAAAAAAUGUAAGGAUCCUUAUAUUCUCCUCAUGUUUUUCAUAUCCUUCAAAUUUUACAUUUUGUUUAAUUUUAAAAUAUAUUUUUGAAUUGAAAUUACUAUAAAAUAUAUUAAUAAUGUUAUUUUGAGUUACUAUUAAUAGCAUUUUUGAAAAUAAAUUUUAAAAUUUUUAAAAUUUAAAAGGGUAAAAACAUGUGAGGAAGGUAAAAAAAAAAUAUAAUGAAGGUAUGAAAAAUAUGAAGAGUGUAUGAAAAAUAUGAUAGUACAAAAUAUAUGAGCAUGGUACAAAAAAUAUGAGGAUGCUCACAUUCCUAGUAACUUCUUCAUAUUUUUCCUAACCUCCAAAUUUUAAAUUUUUUAAUUUUAAAAUUUAUUUUUCAAAUUAAAAUUUCUAAUAAUAUUAUUCUGAUUUACUAUUGAUAGCAUCUUUGAAAAGAAAUUCUAAAAUUAAAAAAAAAAUUAAAGAGGGUGCAAAUCUUGUUAGGAAUGUAUGAAAAUAUGAGGAUGCAAAAAAUGUAAAAAGGGUAAAAAGAAUGUAAUUUAUUUUUUGAAUUAAAAUUAUAUUUAAAAUAAAAUAAUAAUAGAAUUUCCGGUUACUAUUAAUAGUAUUUUCGAAAAUAAAUUUUAAAAUUAAAAAUUUAAAGAAAACACAAAAAUUGUGAGAAAAGUAUAAAGAAUGUGAGGAUGAUAUGAAAAUGUAAAGAUCCUCAUAUUUUUCAUACCCUCUUCACAUUCUUGGUACAAUCCUCAUAUUUUUUAUUCUCUUAUCACAUUCUUUGUACCCUUCUCAUUUUCUUCAUACCCAUUUUUUAUACUCUUCUCACAUACUUUGUACUUUCAUCAUAUUUUUCAUACCCUUCUCACAUUUUUGUUAUAACCUCCAAAUUUUAUAUCUUUUUAAAUUAUAAGAUUCUUUUAAAAAAAGACUAUCACUAUUUCAUCUCAUCCUCUCCAUAUAAAAUUUAAAAUUACAAUAAAAGAAAUUAAUAAUACUAUUUUGAGUUAACAAUAAAUAAAUUUAAUUUUCUAAUUUUAAUAAUAACUACUUUAACUAAUAUAUUUAUGAAUGAUUUUUUUCACAUGAUCUUAAAGUUAUAACUUUAUAUCAUAAAAUAAAUAACAAUUAUUCUUUUAUGAAAUUUUUAUUAUUGCUUAAUAGAAGUAGAUUUGGAUAAUCAUUAAAUUUUUUUGUAUCCUUAUAUCCAUCAAGCCCAUUCCACACCCAAUACUUUUAAAAUUAAAACUAAUUAUAAGCCCAUAUUUGAUCCAAAACACUAAGCCCAAUUCAAUGACAAGAAAUGCUUGUAAAACUUAUAUUUGGGUCAUGCCUCCAAGCCCAAUUUGCUGGCAAGUUUGACUUACCAAGGAUGUUACAAGGUAUUUAUAGAGUACUUAAAGUACAUAGAAUUCAUGUGAUUCCAAUAUGGGAUUGAGACUACGUUGCUUCUUGGAGAGCUCUUAAAUAUUUAAGUUUAAAGUCUUUGAACCAUUGAGCAUUGUACCAUAUUUAUUAAAUGAUGUUGUUAAAAAAAAUUAUAUAUAAUAAGAAUCUAAUAUUAAUGUUUUUAUUUCAAAUUUUUUAUCAUAGAAAAUCUUUAAAGAAAUGUAAAUAUUUAAAUUCCUAUUUAUUUUUACAAUAAUAAUAUGAUAAUAAUUAUAAAAAAUAAUUUAAAUUAAUUAAUAUAAUAAUUUUAAAACAAUAAAAUACAAAGACAAAAAAAUAAAAUUAAAUAUUAUUAAUUUUUUCAUCUUAAAUAUAUCUUUAUUCUUAAAUAUUAAUUAUAUAUUUCUAUUUAAUAAAAUUUAAAAUAUUAAACUUUAUGAUUUAAUUUAAUAUAGCAAAUAUAAAAAUUAAACAUUAUUAAAAUUUGUAAUUUUAUAUAAUAUAUAAAUUAUAUAUUUAUUGCAUCACCGAUUCAAUUGCAGUUCAACCGUAGAUUCAACCAAUGAACCAUAAACCGGUAAUUUUUUCGAUUAAAUGACCAGUCCCAUUAUGAAAAUAUUGUAUAAUAUUCCAUCCAUUUAAAACAUAUGUUAAUGGCCUGGUGACUCUGGAAUGAGUUUUUUCUUAAUUUUUUAUUUUGAUUCACUCUAAAUGUAUCUCAUUCCAUUGGUUCAAAAAUGUGAGUGUGGUACUAAAAAGUACCCUACAAACUAGUUCAGACCAUUUGCAAAUAACAUUUCAAAUUUAGAUUUGUAGAAAGUUACCCAUAACUUUUCUUAUCCAAUCAUCGAGUAGUAAUUUUCAAGAUUAAUCCAAUUGAUUGUUAGAAUUCAAGUUCCCUUACCAAGUUCAAUCCAAAUCUAUUUUCUAAAAAAGUUUCCAUUUAGUAAAAAUAUAUGUUUGAGUUGCCCAGGUUAGUCGGAUUUGCAACUAUUGUUUAAACCUAACAUCAAUCUUUUACCAAUACAUUGAAAUUUAUUUAAAAAUAAAAAAACUAUUUAUAAUCUAUUUAACUAGAAGUUUAAAUGAAUCGAAAACAAAUACAAAUGAUUUGAGAGUGAGGGGGCAGUUUGUAAGAGGACCCUUUUGGUCUCAUCCAAAGUAAUGAAUUCCAUAUUGGUAGGCCUUCUGCUUCCCUCGUUUUCUUCCCAACUACCAGCCCCUCCUCACCAAACAUUAUCACUGCAUUUGUCGAUGUCCAACUUGGGUGUGGAGACUUGCAAGGAAAUUAAUUACUACAUAAAAUGUGGUGAAGUUUCGUAGAAUAAUUGUAACAAUAGCUUAGCUUGAUAGGGUUUAUUGGAGAGGACACAUAGCAAUGACUUGGGAAAUUUUAGAAAAUGAUGGGAUUAUAAUGAUGCCCAAUCGAGGAAGUAAAAAUACUUGGUAUUAAAAGCUAAAAGGAUAGAUGAAAUGUUUAUUAGAAGACUUUGAGGUCUUCUUGCUCAAGUCAAUAAGCUAAGUCUUCUUUAAGACUUGAGCAAGAGUACUACAUGUUCUCUUUUCCACAACCACUCCUGUCACUGUCACAACUAAAUUUCAUGACGCUUCCUACCGAAGUAUCGAAGUCGAGGUGCACCAAGACUUCAGUUUCAGUGUGAAUACCUUUCCCCACGAAGAGAUGUAAUGAAGCAACUUUAUAAAUCAUUGUGAAGUUUCUACGUAAUUAUAACUAUAUUUAUAGUUAUUACGAUUAAAAUUAAUAGAUGGAAACAAAAAAGUUCGGCAUAUUGUUUGGAAUAGAGAAAAGUCUUGGCAAUGAAGGCCACCUUUUCCGUGGUCCUGGAAAUGUUGUGUUAAUUCAUGAUCGGUUCCUAAAGGAAAAUUCUGACAAAAUCGUUAGAGAAAAAAGUGUAAGAAAAUGAUGAAUUGUGAUGUGACUUGAAAUGGAGUAGAUAGGAGGAAACAAGGAAGGAAAAAUCGAAGAAGUAAAUAUCAUUAAGUAAUGAAAUCACCGAAUUGGUUGGUAUGAAUAAGAUAAACAGGAAAAAUCUGUACUAUAUAUAUUUAGAAUGCUGUGGUGUUUAUGUAUAACUAGAACCCCCUUUUUUUUCCUCUUCUAAAUCAUAUUGAACAUGAUUUGUUGUAGCAGUAUCUCCCUGCUGCUUCCAUUGAGAAUUCAGCUGUUUUCAUGGCUUUAUUUCUUGCCUUUAUAUUCAAUCUUUUUCGGUAUCCAUGUUGCUUUCGUGUCCGGCGAAUGUCUCAUAUGCCGGGAGGAUCAGAUGUCUUUGUUGCUGCAACUGAAGAACACCCUCAAAUUCAAUGCUGCUGCAUCAAGUAAUCUAGUUUCCUGGAAUCCGAGCACAGAUUGCUGUUCUUGGAGAGGUUUAACCUGGGAUGCCACUGGUCAUGUUGUCGCUCUUGAUCUCAGUAGCCAAUCAAUUUCUGGUGGAUUCAGUAGCUCCAGUAGCAUUUUCAGUCUACAACAUCUCCAGAGCUUGAAUUUGGCUAACAACACCUUCUACUCCUCUCAGAUUCCAUCAGGAUUCCACAAGCUUGUUAACUUGACUUACCUGAAUUUGUCGAAUUCCGGCUUUUCUGGGCAGAUUCCAAUCGAGAUUUCACUGUUGACAAGGUUAGUAACAAUUGAUUUCUCUACCCUUUAUUACAUCCCUGGAGCUCCUACAUUGAAACUUGAGAACCCAAAUCUGACAACGCUGGUUCAGAACCUCAAUGAGCUCAGAGAACUCCAUCUUAAUGGUGUAAACAUAUCGGCCGAGGGGAAGGAUUGGUGCCAGGCAUUAUCAUCUUCAGUGUCUAAACUGCAAGUGCUGAGCUUGUCCAACAGUUUUCUUUCUGGUCCUAUUGAUUCUUCUCUGAAGAAGCUUCAAUCCCUCACGAGGAUUCAUCUGGAUAACAACAAUUUUUCUGCUCCAGUUCCACAUCUCUUUGCAAAUUUCUCAAAUUUGAUUCACUUGCAGCUCAGUUCUUGUGGAUUAUAUGGAACAUUUCCAGAAAAGAUCUUUCAGUUACGGACCCUCAAAAUUCUUGAUUUGUCAAAUAACAAGGUACUUGAGGGUUCUUUGCCAGAAUUCCCUCUGAAUGGAUCUCUAGAAACCUUGGUGCUCAGUGAUACAGAAUUUUCAGGGGAAGUACCCAACUCCAUAGGCAAUCUCAAGAGGUUGACUGGAAUAGAGCUUGCGCGGUGCAAUUUCAGUGGUUCAAUCCCAAAGGCGAUGACAGACCUUACUCAAUUGGUUAACUUGGACUUCUCUCAUAAUAACUUCUCUGGUCCAAUCCCAUCUUUCAGUUUCUCCAGGAAUCUCACCCAAAUAAACGUUUCUCAUAAUUAUUUAGCAGGUCAGAUUCCUUCCUCUCACUGGGAUGGUCUUGUGAGUCUAGUGACUCUUGACUUAUCUGGUAAUGGUUUCACAGGGCAAAUCCCAUCAUCACUAGGACAGCUCCGACAGCUUGAGUCAUUAGACCUCUCACUGAACAAGCUGAGCGGGGAGAUCCCUACACAGCUCACUACCCUUAGUUCCCUUUCAUUCCUGAACCUCUCAUUCAAUCAAUUAGUGGGAAGCAUCCCAAAAGGUGGUAAAUUUCUAAGGUUUUCAGAAAAUUCUUUCGUGGGUAACAGAGGAUUAUGCGGCUCCCCCCUAAAUGCAAGUUGCGAAGAUGCUACACCACCGACGUCUGAGGAGAUUCAGUGGAAAUAUAUAGCUCCUGAACUUGGAUUUGUGACAGGGUUGGGAAUUGUGUAUUGGCCUCUAUUGUUGUGCAAGAGAUGGAGGAAAUGUUACUACAAACAUGUUGAUGGAAUUCUUUCAAGGAUUCUCCAUAACCAAGACCAAGGAAGACAAAGUUGUGGAAGAAGAGCUCACAGAAUUCGGCGGCGGAGAAUGUAGCAGUGGCGCAGAGGGAUGUAGCUACUCAUCAAGAGUCUUAUCUGUUAUCCAUUUUGAUCUCCAUUAUCACCAACAAUAGAAACUGAACAUAUAUAUAUAUAUAUAUAUAUAUAUAUAUAUAUAUAUAUAUAUAUAUAUCAAUCCUGAAAACAUGUCAUGAUCUCCAGAUAGGGAAUCAACGAACCUGAGUCCGUUUUGCUUUUCGUUUUGAACAAGGUGUGGAUCUUCUAAGGUUGUGGAGGGUACCACCUCUUACUGAAUUCUCUCUGACGAUGGGAGCGGGAGAGAAACGAGUCUAUUCUUAUUUCAAAAUGAUGUGAUGAAUUUGAACAGACACUUAAUCUUUGGAUUUAUACCCUUUGCCUUAGGGACCAUACCCUUUGACUAUUGGGUCUCACGAGUCUUAGGCCCAUCAUGUGAUGGCAAUGGGCUUUACACAUAAGGUGGUUCAUACUAUGGAAAACCGAUACAAAGUAAAUAUCAAAAGGCGAAUAGCUUAGUCAUGUACCAUUGUUAAACAUGUGUGAGUCCAUAUCUUAACAUUAUCUACAUCAAUGCAAUCCUCUGUUUGAUGAAAGAAACAUUAAAAAGGGGUCCCUUAUUGAAUGGGCCUUCAUUUAGUGUGUUAAAUGUCAUUAAGUGAAUGCAUAAUUUUAUAUUUAGAAAAUGUCAUGGUGAAGAUUUUUGACAAUCAUAGGAAUUAGAUUUUCAAAGUAACAUUAUUCUUACCUUUUAGUGAUCCAAUAUCAAGGGGAUUCUCUAAAAUAUUAUAUAAAUAAAAAGUUUUUAUUUAACAAAGAAUUUAAUUUUCAAACCACUCCAUGAAAGCUUUGUUAGAAAAUCAAGUAAAUAGAAUCUCAUAAUUUUAGUUUAAUGAACUAAAACAAAUCUACAAAACUCACCUUAUGUCAUUACGAUAAAGAUCACCUUAACGUAAAUAGUUCACAAUGUUAUGUCAUUUUGGUAGCACCUUACCACUUUGUAUCAGUAUUAACACCUUAUAUCUUCCCUCUUUUUUACUUUUUCUCACUUAAUGUACAUACAAAUUAUGGGAAACCUUAGUAACUUAUAAUCAAUGAUGAAAAUAUCGGUAAUUACGGAUAUAUUGGUUCUUCGAUUUUACAGAUAUAUCGGUGGAUAUUUUGGAAAAAAAAUAUCGAUAGACCAAAAAUUGAUUAAAAUUCAUGGAAAUGUAAAAAAAAAAAAAAAAAAAAAAACUCUUAUUAAAAUAUAAUUAAAAAUGUAAUAGAAAUUUUAAAGUUGUUUUAUUAAAAAAUUUGAUAUAUGUAUAAUAUGAUUUAUCAUAUUUGAUAAUAAUAUCAUAUGCGUUGAUAAAAAAUAUGAAUUUUGUAAGUGUAUUUUUAUUAUUAAAUUAUAUCAAAUAUUAUUUCAUAAUAAUAUUGUAAUAUUUGAUUAUAAUAUAACUAAUUUAAAAAUAUAUUUAAUAUUAAAAUUAUGAUUCAUUUCAUUCAAUUGUAUUAAAUGAUAUAAAAUAAAUUGUCAUAUAUGUAUAAUUUUUUAAUAUUUAAUUAAUCUAUUAAUGAUAUUCAAAACACUAUGAAAAAAAUUAUCAUGAUAAUUUUUAUAUUUUUGGUAAUCAAUUAAAUGAAAAUUUUUUAUUUAAUUAUAAAAUAAUUAUAAUUAAUUUGUUCUCUAAAAAUAUUCUUUUAGGCUAUGUUUGGUUCUCGGAAAAUACUAAGGAAAGAAAAAAAAAAUACAAAGGAAAAUGAUUUUUUCAUGUUUGGUUGUCCUAUGAAAAAUAUCAAAGAAAAUCAAAUAUAAUUAAAACUAAUUAAAAACUUAUACAUUUUUAAAUUAUUUAAUUUUUAUAUUGAUGAGUUAAAAUAAAUAAAAUGAGUUUAAAGUAACAAAAAAAAAAUUGUCGACUUUUAAUCUAUUUUUUAUUUUCCUUCAUUUUUUUUUCCUUUCACUUUUCCUUUAUAUUUUUUUUCCCUUACAUUUUCCCUCAAAUUUUCUGGGAACCAAACAUAGCUUUAAUAUUUUGUUUAUAUGAUAGUUUUGAAUAUAAAUAUGUUAAGUGCAAUAUAAUAAACAAGGAGGAUACUUACUCCAAUGGUAAACAACAAAAUUAAAAGGCAAUUUUAAGCUUAAUUGAAGCACACUAUAAUGCUUUCACUGUGUCACACUAAAGCGGUAUUGACCCGUGUUGACCACCCAAAAAAUCAAUGAAGUAUCACCGUAUCGACGAUUUUUCCCAAAAUUUCACCUAGGUGAUAUUUCUUCUAUGCUUACAAUGAGUGGACGGAGGGAAGGACCAAGAGUCCUUUUAUAUCAUAUAAAUGACCUUCCUUUAAAAGUCAUAAUGAACAUUUUCUACUAGAUUAUAUGAGUCAACCUUUUCCAAUUUCAUGUAGUAUUCAUAGUAUAUGAAAACUUCAAUGUAGGUACAUGACUUUGGUCAUUGUAUUUUAUACACAAUUUGAUAGGUAUGACUUUGGUCAUGAUACCUUAUAUUUUUCCAUAUACCUUAUACAUUUAAUCUUCGAGCAUAUAUGAGAUGUAUAAUAUGAUAAAUGUAAAUACAUGAAGGACACAAUAUUCCAACCAGCUUUACUAUAAAAGUAUCAAAUCUUAAAUUUAAUCGACAUUAACGUAAUAUGACUACUCCUUGACUAAUGCUAAUGAAUCUUGAACAUUGACUAAUGAUUUAUUGUUAAAAAAUAGAAGAAAAUGACUGAAACUAUCCUCUAAAGUUAGUCAUAAUCUUUAAUGCAUAUUCGUUAAUAGAUUUGAUGAAUGUGUAAAGAAGUUUUUUAAUUCAAAACUAUAAUAUCUAACAAUUACACUUUAGUCUCUCAUGAUUCUAAAAUUACACCGACAUCUUUGACAAUAUUCAAAACUAUCCUCACUCAUAUUCCUCAACCCUUUGAUUUGAUGAAAGCCCUAGUUGCUUUUUUACUAACAUCAACCAAUGUUGAAAAUUGACCAUUAAUUACCCAAUAAUUAUUGUUAAAAAAUGAAAGAAAAUGAAAAAAAAAACCCUCUAAACUUGUUUUCCAAUUUUUAGAAUGUGUUUGAUAAUGAUUUUAAAAAGUGUUUUUAACUUUUUUUAACAUUUGAAAAUUUUUAUCUUUCAAAUAUUAAAAAUGUUAUAAACAUUUCAUAAAAUUACUGUCAAACGUAGUCUUAGUUCAAUAGACCUCAUUAUCUAAUUAAUCUAACCAAAAUUUUAAAAUAAAAGACUUAAUUAAUUUAAAUUAAACACUCCUAAAAUGCCCUUAAUCCUAAUUAAUUUUUUUAUACAUAAUUAAUUCUAAUUAAUUUUUAAUAAAUAUAUUAAUCAUAAUUAACUUCAGACUAUCAUCAAUUAGAAUAAUUAAAAAAAAUUUAAAUACUAAAAAGUCAAGAUAUUAAAUAAAAAUUACUUCCUAAUUAGUCUUGAAUAUUUUUUAUUCAAUAGAUUAAAUUUUGUUAACCUCAAUUUUUAUUAAUUAAAAUCACUAAAUUUUACUGUUCAGUAUCAUUUUUUUCCUUUUCCUUUUAGUUUUUCUUAAUAUUUUGUGUGCUAAAUGGGGAAAAAAAAAUGUCUAAACUUUCAAGACUUUUUAAAUCUGAAAUUAUUUUUUCUUUAAAAAAAAAAAAAUCUUUAUCAUCUUCCUAGACAAAAACCUAAUUUUUCAAAUUAAAUCCUAAAUAAAAAGAAAAAAGGGAAAAAAAAAGUUUGAAGCCUUGAAUUUGAAAUCCUAAAAUUUCUUUUUAAGGCUUUGUGCACUUCCAAAAAUACCAUAUCUUACCUUAUCUUAUUUCAUCAUUUCAUAUCAUUAAUUGUAAUUAAAUUUCUUUAAAUUUUUAUAUAUAAAAUCUAUUUAAUUUUAAUUAAAAAUGUAUAAUUAAAAUUUUUAUUAAAUAUUUAAUAUUAAUUAAUCUUAUAUUAUCAUUAAUUAAAAUUACUAAUAUUAAAAAUAAUAUGUUUUACAUAGACUAAUAUUAAAUAGUAUCCUUUCUAAAUUUAUUAAUACACUUUCAAAUUAAUUAAAAUACUAAUUAAUACACUAUUAAACCAAAAAUUUCCAAGUCAAAAUCUAAAUAUUAACUCUUGUGUACUUUUCAAAUCAAACCUUAAAUGAAGAAAAAGAUCUAAAACCCUAAAUCUAAUUUCUUUUUCAUUACAUUAACCUAUGGAGUUCAUAUCCGAAGACACCAAACACAUACUUAUUAGGAAGAUUUGAAGAGAAAGCAAGGUACAUCUAUCAUCAUGAAUACCCUUGGUGGUUUUGUUGUCAACAAAGAAAAGAUUUUUGACUCCAUUGACUCCUCAAUAAGAAGAUGCCUUCAAAUUGACUCAUAUGAUUGAAGGGAAUAUAGAUAUGAUUCUACAAAUGGUGUUUGAGAAGUAGGAAGAUUUGAACAAAAAGCAAGGUACAUAUAUCAUCAUGAAAUCCUUUAUAGUCUUGUUGUCGAUGAAGGAAAGAUUUUUGACUCAAUUGACACCUCAAUUAGAAGGUGACUUCAAAUUGUAUCGUAUCAUUGAAGAGAAUUUAAAUUUGGUUCUACAAAUGGUUAUUGAGAAGGAACUUGAAGAGAAAUGGAGGACUAAGGUUAUGUAAUUAUGGUUAGAGAUUGAUCCAAUGACUUCAUCAAAUCAAGAUUGAGGGAGAGAGGGGGCUCAAAUUCUUGAAAAGAUGGGGUUUUAGGAGUAAGUUUCUUUCUGCAUUGCAAAUUAAAACUUCAAAACAAGAAAAAAAAAAAAAAAAAAAAAGGAAAAAAGAUAAAUAGUGAAAAAAGAAAUUAAAAAAAAAAUCAACUUCAAAAGAAAGAAAAAAAAGUGAAUUAGUUCAAGUCACGUUUUGAUCAUGAUUUGUGCUAAAGAAAAAAAAAAUUGGAUUAUUUCACGUAUUUAUAAAAUGAAGCAAAAACAUAAAUCUUUUUAUGUUUAAAGAAUUAGGGGCAUUUUGGUAUUUUUAAUUUUUUGUGAAGGGAUUUUUAAUGGCCAUUAAGCAAAAACUUUUACAAGGGAUGUCACUGUAGUUUUAAGGGACUAAAAUAUAAUUUUUAGAUACCUCAAUCUCUGUCAGAAUAUUCAGGAAGGUAUUCAAGUUAAGCAGAAGAUAGGUUAAGAAUCUAAAGAUACAUUAGUUGAAUGUGGGCUAUUAAAAAAUCUGAGCCUGGUCUGGUCCAUGCUAGGACUCAAACUAAUGAGGGCCCAAGUUGGGUUAAACUUGGCUAGCUAGAUUUGGGUCGCUAAAAAAUAUGGGCCUGAUUGGCACAAACUAAAGACCAACAGAGGAAGCUAGGCCCAUGUUAAGACCAAUCAACACAUCUUAAGGCAUAAGGGAUUUAAGAUUGAUUAGUAAGGUGCUUGUCCAUCUACUUAUAAAAUUUACAUCCUUCUUAUUAGAUGUCUGGAAAUAUUUUUCAUUUUAUUUAUUUUUAGUAAUUCAUGCUGCCAAUCAUCAAUUAUCAUUUCCAAGAAUGAUUAAACAAUGAUAAGAACUUGACAAUCUAAAUGAUCAAAAUCCAUGCCCAACUUUGCAUUUGAAUUGAGUAUCACUAAACAAGUUGUGACACACCAAAUAGAAUUACACCUAUUUCAAUCUCUUCUCUAUUUCAUUUUUCUUUUCAACCCUUUUUUCUAGAAUUGAAAUCUCUAGGAGUCCUACAUCCUUCAAAUUAUACCCUACAAAUAAUUGUACAAUUUUUGGGUUGUCUUUCCUUACAAUAAUUUCUAAUUAACUUUCAUGUUAAGGUAAAAAAUCCAUUAGGUUCCCAAAGAAAGAAAAAACUUAUCUUGAAUGACUCAAGGAGGCAUGAGCACCUAAAACAACUUAUUGUUUUGUACUUGGCAAAGAAAAAAUUUAAAUAGUGGGUGCUCAAGAUUUAUGAGGGAGACCUCUCAAAGUUUGCAAGUCUUACUUAGAAUAAAUGUGCAUUUGUGCAUUAGUGUCUUUUUUCUUAUUAAAUUUUUUUUUUAUUAAAGGUUUAAAGCAUAAUUUGUUGAGCCUUAUGUAAACUUUAUGGCAAAUGUUUUAAAAUGAUAUUUGAAUCAACUUACUACAUCGUUAAAGGUAUUCAAGAUGAUAAAAUUAUUUUUAAGCAUCACAUAAGUAAACUAAUUAAUAUUAAAAAAUAUAAUGACUAUGAUAAUGACUUUUCUUCUAUAUAUAAUUAAAAUUGUUUGUGGCAUAAGGGGUUGGAAUAUGUUAACAUAGACCUCAUUAUCUAAUUCAAAAAAUAUAAAUUAUAAGAUGCCUUCUCAAAAUUAUUUUUGAGAAAAAUAAAAUUUGUUAAGCGUGAUAAAUGGGAAAAGCAUAUUAAAAAGAAUAUUUUAAAAACAAAAAUAUGAUUGCUAUAUCAUGACUUUCAUAAUUGCUUCUUGUGUAUUUAUUUGGUCUUUUUAGGCUUUUUAUUCUUAGAGGAAAGUAUUAUGUAUUUGUUAUUUUAAUAACUUAGAUAUAUAUGAAUUAUAUUUUUGGGUAAUAGAAAUAAACAUUUUCUUACUUUCUCAAAGUUUUGUAAAAAGGUUGAAACUUAAAAAUCUAUUACAAUCACUUAUACGAGAAGUGAUCAUAGGGGAGAAUUGGAAAGGUUUGAUUUUUAAAACUUUUACGUUGCUCUUGUUAUUGAGCAUAAUUGUUUGGCUCUUAUGGCACCUUAACAAAUGAGUUAUUGGACAAAUAGAACUAAGGAACGACAAAAACUUUGCUUAGUGAAAAUAAUUUAUUAAAUUAUUUUUUUGAAAGUGAUUAAUAUUUUCUACUUGUUAUAUUUUUUAAAUAAACUUUUAAUGAUAUCCAUUUUAAAGAAAACCUCCCAUGAGCUUAAAAAGACACACACGAAAACAAAAACAAAAACAAAAAUUCAAACUUUUAGAAUUCACAACACAUCAUUUGCCGGUAAGGAUAUGUGUGAACAUCAAGAUCAAAGAAGAGGCCAAGGAAAUGGAUGGGAUUGAGGAUGAGAACAAAGGUAAGGUUGAAGGUAAGGAUGAGAAGAAAAACAAGAGUGAGACUAGGAUGAUGUUGAGGUCAACCUCCAUUAGAGGCUUCUUAUACUAUAGAUGGACCUUCACAAAUUGCCCAACAACAUGGUCAUCAUAGAUGCCCUAAACAAAAGAGAAGAGUAUGGAAAGUGGACUUGUGCCCCAGUGGGUACCCAUGUAACUUGUAGCAAUGGUCCACAAUGUGCCCUGUGAGCCUAGAAUGAGAACAUAUUGGGCGAUCAUGCUUGGGCUUACCCUAAGAAGAGGAAGUUGCAACAGAGGGUGACAACAAAGAGGUGCUAAAUGCAAGGGAUUCGGACAGAGUAGGGGAACUAGAUCUAAUAGUGCAUUGUCGUUCUUCUUGAACGACAAGAUUGAAAACCUUUGCAACAAGGGGUAAUGUGUCAAAUAUCAAAAUAUGUCUUAUCAUCCCUAUUGUUCUAAGGGUAUUAAAACAGGACAAAAAACUUAUCAUUGAUAGGUCGAAGUGUGACAAUGCAUUGUCCUUGAAAUAGACCCACCCUCCUCGAAGACGAACUCGGUGCACUAGGGUACUAGUGGUCUACAUCUAGGAUCUAACAACCACUGCAUCUCGCCUUUGGUGCACUCUGUAGGCGAGACAUGUAUAGCGCGAGUUCUGAAAUAUUCCUCCAGAUAGAUGUAUAAAUGAGUGGAAAAUGAAGCAUAACAUUGGAAGAUUUAGAAGUAUUCUUUAAAAAUUUGGUAUGUUAAGAAUUGACGGGUGACCUGCUUUUAUAGACCACUAACACAAUCCCAACAAAACUCUACUUGUAGUCGGAACCAAUGACACAGUCCCAAUGGGACUCUUCCCAAAGAGUUGGCCAAAUAAGUCAAACGAAAUAAAAUUAAAUUUAAAAAAAAAAUUCUUUUGAAUUUUGUAAAAAUUAUUUGAGGUCGCGUGCAUAUGCAAAGAAGGGGACCCCGUGUAGGAAACGAUACACAUUAAGGAAUUAUAGCCCAACCAGUCUGAAGCCCCACUCAAAUGGGCUUGGUCCCCAUAGGCAUGCGAGACUCUCCUACACCUUUCCACAAACCCAUUAGGUUAAGGAAAGUGGGCUAGUUAAUAAACCCAUAAAAAGUGUUUCUCCUUUUCCUAUGUGGGACAAGCUAAAACACUUAAAGCGCUUUUUCACAUUUACACUCUUCCUACAAUCCCCCACAGAGUGUAGACAUGAAGAAAGAAAAUUUUGGAGGAGAAUAGAAUCCAAUGCAUUAGUACUAGUUCCCAAAGGCUAUGAACCUAUCUUAGGACAAAUAAGUAUCAAAUCACAAAACACGAUGAAAAUAAAUUUCUAUAAACUAGUGUUUCUUGAUGUAACUCAAGGGACCUUUAUCCAUAUUAGUUUUCUCAAUUGCACUACGAGUCGUACAAAACGAGUUGGCACAAAUAGGUCAUGCGCUCUGCUUGGAUAUUCAUGAGAGCUCUAGAGAAUCUACCUAAGUUCUCAUAGGAAGCAGUCCCACCUCCACUCUCAAUAGGUGAAUCCAUCAAGUAUGUUUUGCAUUAAACAUACCAUCCAUAAGGAAUAUGUUACUCAUUAAGAACAAACACUCAACCUUAGUCAAUGCAAAAUACAUUCUAUCUACACUAUAGGAAUAAACUCUCAUACAAUUAAAGUUGAUAGAGCACUUCAAGUCAACAAGUGAUUUGUUAUUACCCAUAUGAACCUACUUCAUGGAAUUUCCAUUCUAAUAGGUUAGUUACCACCACUCUUGACUUCUGUUAUAAGCAUAAGCCCUACCUCCCUCGAUGUUUCUUCCACUAGUUUCUUAUUUAGUGGUUUGAUCAAAGGAUCGACCAAAUUCAACUUUGAUCUCACAAAUUCUAGGGAUAUAACCCAUGUUUCAAGUAAUUGUUGCACAAUAUUAUGUCUUAGGCAUAUGUGUCUGAUCUUCCCAUUAAAUAUUUUACUCUUAGCCUUAGCAAUUGUAGCUUGCCUAUCACAACGCAUAGACAUAGACAGGACUGGUCUCGUCCAUAAAGAGAUAUCUACUUAAAGGUUUCUAACUCACUCAACCUCAAAACUUGCCUUUACUAAGGCAAUAAACUCAGUCUCCAUAGUAGACCGAGUAAUGCAAGUUUGCUUGGCAGACUUCCAAGAAACUGCACCUCCUCCAAGGGUAAAAACAUACCCACUAGUGGAUUUCAUCUCAUCUAAAUCAAAUAUCCAAUUUGCAUCACUAAAUCCUUGAAGGACACUUGGAAAUCCAUUAUAGCACAAACUAUAGUUCAUAGUGCCUCUCAAAUACUUAAGGACUCUACGAACAACAAUCCAAUAGUCCUGAUUAGGACUUUGGGUGUAUCGACUCAAUCUACCUACUACAUAAGCAAUGUCAGGUCUGGUACAAUUCAUUAAGUACAUUAGGCUCCCUAUGAGCUGAGCAUACUCGAUUUGGGCAAUAUCAUGUUUUCUAAUUUUCUUCAGUUGUGAGCUAGAAUCAUAAAGAGUUGACACUAGUUUACAAUCAAAGUGUUCAAACUUCCUUAAGAUCUUCUUAACAUAGUGUUCUUGAGAAAGUUUAAGCUCAUUAGGUGUUCUAGUUAUUUUGAUUCUUAGAACCACCUCUGCCUCUCUUAAGUCUUUCAUGCCAAACUUAGAACCUAGGAGUUCUUGGUCUCACACACAACCUCUAAGCUAGUUCCAAAAAUCAACAUGUCAUCAACAUAAAGGUAGAUGACUACACAUGUGUUAUCCUCAUACUAGUUGUAGAUACACUUACUUAUCAGAAUCAUUAAUGGAAUAUCCAUUAGUUACUAACACAUGAUCAAACUUGUUAUGCCAUUAUUUAGGUGCUUAUUUUUAACCCAUAUAGUGAUUUAACCAGCCUACACACUUUUUUCGCCUUCUUUGGAACUACACAACCCUCAGGUUGUUCCAUAUAAAUUUUCUCUUCCAAAUCCCCAUUCAAGAAUGUAGUCUUGACAUACAUUUGGUGUAUAACCAUAUAUAUUAUGAAUGGAAGCUAGAGCAAUCAAUACUCUAAUUGACGUUAUUCUAGUUAUAGGGGAAAAAAUGUCAAAAUAAUCUACAUCCAUCAUUUGUUUAAAGCCUUUGGCAACUAAACGAGCUUUAUACUUCUCUAUGGACCCAUCUUGUUUUAACUUUCUUUUAAAGAUCCACUUACAACCAAUAAUCUUUGUACCAGGAGGUAAAUCUACUAACUCCCAUGUGUGGUUAUACAUGAUUGAUUUGAUUUCACUAUUAAUAGUCUUCUUUCAAAAUGGCGCAUCAGGCAAAGUGAUAGCUUCUUUGUAGGAUCUAGGGUCCUCAUCUAUUACGAAAGUGUAGAAACUAUCUCCAAGGUUUUUUUUUUCCUAUCUCUUUUACUCCUUCUAGGUUCAAAUUCAGAAGGUUCAACAAACUCAUCUUUACUUGUUUUUUGAACUUAUUGUUUACCACCACUUAGUUUCACAGGAAAGAUGUUUUCAAAGAAAUCUGCAUUUCUUUGUUUCUAUUAUGGCAUUUUCAUCUACAAGACUAUUUUCUGACUUAGUAACAAGAAACCUAUAUGUUGCACUAUUCUCAACAUAGACAAUGAACAUUGCAUCAAAGGUUUUAGGACCCAGUUUUCAUUUUUUAGGUUAAGGAAAAAGAACUUUAGCUAAACACCCCCACACUUUCAGGUAUGCUAUAUUAGGUGCAUAACCCUUCCACAACUCAUAAGGAGUUUUACCAGUUUUCUUGUAAAGUAUUCUAUUUUGAAUAUGACAAACAGAGAGGAUAACUUUCCUCUACAAGUUUAAGGGUGCUCCUAAACUUACCAAUAUUGCAUUCAUCAUUUCUUUUAAGGUCCUAUUUUUCCUUUCUGUUACUCCAUUACACUCAGAGGAAUAAGGAGGAGUAGUUUCAUGAAUGAUUCCAUGAUUUUCACAAAAAGAAUUAAAGGGUUGGACUCAUACUCUCCUCCCCUAUCAUUUCUAAGUUUUUUAAUUUUCUUAAUUAGUAGAUUUUCCACUUCAUUUUUGUACUUGAUGAAAGCAUCUCUUGCUUCAUCUUUGUUUCUCAAAAAAUAUACCCUUGUAUGUCUUAAGUAGUCAUCUAUGAAAGUUAUGUAGAAUCUUUUACCACCUCUAGUCAUUGUAUUUUUUAGGCCUCCUAAGUUACUGUGUAUUAAACUUAGUAGAUCUAAUUCUCUUUCUACUGAUUUGCAUGAUUUCUUUGUGGUUUUUUAUUCUACACAGGAUUCGCAUUUUCCAUGGUUUUCUAAGGACAACUUAGGGGUUAAACUCAAUUCAAUCAUUUUCUUCAUAUAUAAAAAGUUCACAUGUCCUAAUCUACUAUGGAAAAUAUCACAAGCAUCAACUAUGUAAGCAAAAGAAGAAUGUGCAUUAUUAUUGAUAAUAUCAUAAACAUUUAACAUAAAUAAAUCCUGAUUACAAUAGCCCUUCCCCACAAAUACAUCAUUCUUGGUUAGAACUAUUUUAUCAUAGUCAAACAAGAUCCUCACUCCUGUUUUCCCAAGCAGAGAUAUUGACACCAAGUUCUGGAGAAUAUCUAGCACAUGUAGAACAUCACUGAGGGUGAGUGUUUUUCCAGGGGUUAGCUUGAAAAGAAAUUUCUCUUUGCCAAUCACUAGGAUAGAUCUAGAAUCACCUAUGAACACUUGUUCCUUUCCUUCCUUUACAGUGGUAUAUGAAACAAAUGCACUUUUGUUGCCACAGAUGUGCUUGGUAGCCCUAGAUUCUACGACCUAGUUCUUCAUAUUGGUGACCAAGCUCACCUUAGAGGAGACUACUACUAUGAUCUUUGCUAGAUUUGCCUUUGAAUUGGUCUUCUCAAUUCUCUUCCUAUGGCAGCAUUGAGCUUCAUGGAGUCCACCUUGCCACAGACAAAGCAAUUACCCCAUUUUUUAAUAGUUGGGUUAUGAACCUUAUUUGUUGCAUUGGGCUUGGUCCUAGAGUUUUACUUUCUGAACCUUUUUUUUUUUUUUUUAGGUUUGGGUUUUUCUUCUACUACAUUAGCCUUAGAAGACAGUUCCUUAGUUUUCUCAACAUUGUCCCUAUUUCGGUUUUAUGCAUCAAUCUUAAUAUAGGUUAUGACAUCUUUUAAGGGCAUUUGUUUCCUUUUAUAUUUCAUGUUAUUUUUGUAGUCUUUCCAAGACUCUAGAAGAGUCUCUACUAAGUAACCGGCCACAAAAGGUUCAGGUAAUUUAAUGUCUUCAAUAGCUAAGUCAUUAAUCAAUAAAUAGUAGUCAUGGAUUUGAUAUGAUACAUCUCUAUUCUUGGUCAUUUGGAAAUUUCUAAAAUUUUGUAUGGCAUAUUUCUGAGCUCCUACAUAUUCCAAAAUACAUUUUUUAUUCAUUUCAUCCCAAAUUUCUUUUGCAACUUUAUACUGACAAUAAACAUCAAAAAGUUAAUUUGAAAGGGUACUCAUAAUAGCAUGUCUAACUUGUUUAUUUCUAGUUUCCUAGGUAGGAAACAAAUCAAAACCAUCUUUUGGUUGUAGGUCAGUCAAAAUGUGUUCCAAGUUCACUACAUCAAUUGAUGAGAAAACCCUUUCUUACCAUUUCUUAAAGAAUGACUCAUUGAAGGGAUCAAUCUUAGAGGUAUUAGGACGUGUGUGAAAUAGGGAAGCUUCCAUUGAUAUUUUUCAAGAUUGUUGAUCUAAGGGUAUUAAAAUAGGACAAAAAACUUAUCAGUGAUAUGCUGAGGCAUGACAAUGCAGUAUCCUUGAAAUAGAUUCACCUUCCUUGAAGAUGAACUUGGUGUACUAGGAUACUAGUAGUCUACCUCCAAGAUUCAACAACCAGUGUAUCUCGCCUUUGGUGCACUCUAUAGGCGAGAUGUGUACAACUCAAGUUUUGAAAUAUUCCUCCAGAUAAAUGUAUGAAUGAGUCGAAAGAGAAACAGAACGUUGGAAGGUUUAGAAGUAUUCUUUGAAAAAUUGGUAUGUUGAGAGUUAAGGGGUGACCUACUUUUAUAAACCACUAUUACAGUCUCAACUAGACUCUACUUGUAAUUGGAACCACUAACACAAUCCCAAUGGGACUCUACUUGUAGUCUGAACCACUAACACAAUCCUAAUGGGACUUUUCCUAAAAAGUCAGCCAAAUAAGUCAAACUAAAUUAAAUUAAAUUAAAAAAAAUUAUUUUGAAUUUUGUAAAAAUUAGUCGAGGUCACGUGUGUAUGUAGGUAGGGACCCCUUGCAUAGGAUGCAUAUGCUGACGCAACGCACAUUAAGGAAUUCUGACCCAACCAGCCCAAAGCCCCACUCAAAUGGACUUGGGCCCCAUGGGCGCGUGAGGCUCUCCUACACUUCUCCACAAGCCCAUCAAGCUAAGGAAAGUGGGCUAGUUAAUAAACCCACAAAAAGUGUUCCUCUUUUUCUUAUGUGGGAUAAGCUAAAACACUUAAAGCACCUUUUCACAUUUACACUCUUCCUACAAUCCCAACAUAAGAUUCAUUCAAGCCCAUCAAAAAUUGCAUCACAUAUUCUUGCUAUUGAUAAUCCAUCUAUGCUUUCAUUCCACCACAUUGACAAAUAAAUGGGAAUGAGUUACAAAUUCUUGUGUUCAUCCUAAAGAAUUUUCAAAUGGGUAUAAUAAAGUAUUGAUAUCAAGGGAACCUUGAGACAAACCGUGCAGUUGUUGAUUAAUCUAAAAAAUGCGUUGGGCGAUGCUAUAAUGAAACUGAUUGUGUAGAUCUGCCCAAACAACUUGAGUGAUGUCCAGGUAGAGGAGACUAUCAGCAAUCUCUUUGGAAGCGACAUUGAAAAGCCAAGAAGUGUCCAUACUAUUACAUCUUGACCAAACCCCAACAAAAGGAUCCUAUGGAGGUGGUUGCGAAAUCGAUCCAUCGACAAAACCAAGUUUAUGCUUGGCAUUGAGAGCCAUAAGCAUGGCUCGGCCCCAAGUGUUGUAGUUGGGGCCAAUGAGGAGAUGAGAAACAAGAACCAAUUCGGGAUGGUCACCUCUAUGUAAGAAAAAUAGAAUGCUAGUGCUAUCCAUGGAAAAAGAAGAAUCGUGGUGAGCCAUGGUACUAGUGGAAGAAGAGGGUGUGAGUGGCUGGAAUCGGUUAGUGUUGUUAUUCUGACCACCAUGAGCCAUUUUAGCAAAAAGAUAGAAGAGCAACAAAAGAAAAAUGCUCUGAUACCAUAUUAUGAGGAGAGAAUGGAAAGGAGAAAAACAUUCUCAUUUCAUUGUAUAUCUCUUUUAUAGUCUGAAGGUACAAAAAAAAAAUAUUGCAGAGUGCUCUACCUUACAUUGCCAAAGGAGAUAGGUUGUACAGCUCAUCACUAUUCUCAUAAACUAUAGAAUGUUCUAUACUAAUAUAACUGUUAUAAGAGAAAAAAUAAAUAAAUAAAUGCUAGUAUGCUAAAACUUAAAACUAUUAAUUGUAUUGUAUAUAUUUAGAUCAAGAUUGUUUUUAUGAUAAUUUUAUUUUGAUGCAUGUAUAUAUGUUUUUCCAUUUUGAUACAGUUGAUGUUAGUUGUUUAUGAGAUUUGGAAUAUAAUUAUUUUGUUUAUGAUACACUGUGAUUAUGAUAUAAACAGGUUGAUUGUAAAUAUUUAAUUUAAAUUAAAAACAUCUUUUGAAAAUAUGAUUUUUGCAUAAAUUUGUAAAUUAUAAGUACAUUAAAAUGGUCUUUUUAAAAGAUAAUUUCAUUAAAUAAAAUUAAUUUUUUCAAAAGAUAAUUCCAUUGAGUAAAAUCGUCUUUUUGAAUGAGAAUUUCAUUCAAUGAAAUUGUGUGUUGAAAAUAUUAUUUAAAAAUAGGAAAUCGUUUUUCCAAAAGUCGAUUCCAAUGUAAUUUUUCAAAAGUGAUUUUAGGAAUGCUAAUAUUAAUUGCACUAUUGGAACUUUAAAACCUUUUUUUUUAAACAAGCUUACAAAGUAAAAUCAACUUUCAAUAUCAACACAAUUUAUAAAUUUUUAUUAAAAUUAUCUUGUUGAAAAAACGAUUUUGAUGGGUCACCAUAACCGUUGUAUUUUUAGAAUAUUCGUAAAUACCAUUUUUAAAUAUACAUGGUAGUGUACAAAAAAGGGUCUAUGACUAUGGUUUUGUCACUUCAAAGUGAAAAGAAAAAAGAAAGGAAAGGAGAUUAAGGUUGGCGUUAAACCUUAAUAGACAUGAUUUGAUAAACAAGAGCAGCCAAAAGCCACAUGAGUAAGAAGGUCAAGGAUGGUUUUUGUCUAUCAACCAGAAUAAUCAAAUUCAAUUAUGGUGGGUAGUUUAAUUUUUGCAAUGGAGAGGAGGUCAAGUAAUAAUAAAUGUUGUAGAGUAAUAAAAAAAAAUUGUAAAGGCAAUAAGGAGGCUAAAAAGAUAAAAUGAAAAUAUAAACUUAAAAAUUAGUUAAUUAUUUUUAUUUAUUAUUUAAUUUUAUUUUUUAUUUUAAGUAAUAUAAUUAAUUUAUUUUAUCAAACAUACUUAUUUAUUAAAUAACUUAAAUUAAGUUAUUAAGUUAUUUUAAAUUAUUGAAUUAGUUUACCAAACACUCACAAAUAUCAAACUAAUUUCUUUCCCAAAAAAACUAAAAAAAGAAAAAAAGGCAAACUCAUAUUCUAAUAAUUCGUUUUGUUUUUAUUUAUAUUUUUCCAAGAACCCAUUUCUUUUUCUCUCCAACCCUUCGGACUACACUUUCCUCUAUAUAUAUAUAUUCAUUUUUAUUUUUUUUAAUCAUAUUUAUUACCUAAUACAUAUAAAUAAAUAUAAAUAUAAAUAUAAAUAUUUAACGACCUUUAAUUCUACAUUUAUUUUUAGAUGAUAAAUGUACAAAUAAUAUAGGUAAAAUAUAAUAAUCUUUAAAAUUAUAAAACAAUAAAAUUCCUAACUUUUGGAACCUUAAUAAAAUUGAAUAAUAAAAUUAUCUUUCGCUUUUGGAUAUACCUUCUUAUCACUUAACUGUAUACAAAUAUUAUUUAAUAAAAUUAAAAAUACUAAUAUAUUUACACUUCAUCUUUAUCUUAAUUUACUCUAUUAAUAUUAUAAAAAAAUAUAUAUUACUUAGAAUGUAUUCAAUAGUGAUUCUAGAAAAUGUUUUUAAUUAAUAUUUUAAAUUUUUUAUUUUUUAAAUACCAAAAAAGUUAUAAAUCCCGGAUAAAAUUACAAUCAAACAAGCUUUUAAUGAACAUAAAAAAUACUAAUAUAUUUAUAUUUUAUAUUUAUCUUAACAAAUAAACUAAUUUUCUGGAAUCAAAGCAUGGACUGCUGUUGUUGGGGAGGUGUAACCUGGGAUACCACAGGUCAUGUUGCCUCUCUUGAUCGCAGUAGCCAAUUAAUUUAUGGUGGAUUCAGUAACUCCAGUAGCAUUUUCAGUCUACAACAUCUCCAGAGCUUGAAUUUGGCUAACACCUUCUACUUUUCUCAAAUUCCAUCAGGAUUCCACGAGCAUGGUAAUGUGACUUACCUGAUCAAUUAGUUAAAAGUAUGUCUUUUCUGGGCAGAUUCCGAUCGAGAUUUCAUGCUUAAGAACGUUGGUUACCAUCGAUAUCACUAGCUUUAAUUACCGCAUUGGAAUCCCUACACUGAAGCUUGAGAGCCCAAAUCUGAGAAUGCUGAUUCAGAACCUCAAAGAUCUUAGAGAACUCCAUCUUAACGGUUUAGACAUAUUGGCCCAGAGGAAGGAGUGGUGCCAGGCAUUAUCAUCUUCAGUUCCUGAUCUCCAAGUUCUGAGCAUGUCCUAGUGUUUUCUUUCAGGCCCUAUUCAUCCUUCCCUUAUGAAGCUUCACUCCCUUUCAGUUAUUCGUCUGGAUUAUAACUUCACAAUACUUCUCAAUACUGGAAAGGCUUUUCGAAUCUUGUGAAUCUUGACUUAGGUCACAAUGUACUGCAUGGGAGUCUUCCAUGGUCCCUGUUCUCUCACCCAUCAUUGCAGAGGAUAAGGCUUAAAAAUAACCAAUUUUCUGGUCAAAUUGAAGCCCUUAAUUUGAGUAGCAACAAUCUAAAAGGGCCAAUACCCAUGUCUGUCUUUGAUCUCCGGGGUCUUCACAUCCUUGAACUCUCCUCCAACAAACUCAAUAGCACACUAGAACUAAGCAUAUUUCAAAAACUAGGGAACCUACUUCUCUCAAUCUUUCGCACAACAAGUUGUCAUUCAUUGAGGAGAGUUUCUAUUCCACCCUUUCUAAAUUCCCCCAGUUCACCACAUUAAAAUUGUCUUCUUGCAACCUAAGAAGAUUCCCUGAUUUAAGGAACCACGUACUUUUUUUUUACAUAUUUAGACCAUUCACAAAACCAAAUUCAGAGGGAAAUUCCUGAUUAGGUUUGGAAGAAUGGUAAUGGCCAUCUUAUGCGUUUGAAACUCUCUCAUAAUUUUCUGGUGGAUCUGCAAGAACCUUUUUCCAAUCUUCCUCCUCAUCUGUCUACCCUUGACCUACAUUCAAACCUGCUCCAUGGUCGAAUCCCCAUUUCACCCAAAAUUUUCUGCUAUGUGGAUUAUACUCAACCAACAGAUCCUGAAGAUAUUGGUUCCUACAUCUCCUUCACUAUUUUCUUCUCUUUCAAAGAUAACAUCUCAGGAAUCAUUCCUGCAUCCAUUCUUGACUUCUCUAACAACGCUUUGAAUUGGUGGAAUACCUUUAUGUUUGAUUGAGAACGAGGGUCUUGUGGUUCUGAAUCUACGGAGAAACAUGUUUAGCAGGAUUAGAUCUGGGAAUUUUCAAGGCAACUGUAAUUUACAGACUCUGGAUCUUAAUGGGAAUCUUUUAGAAGGGACAAUUCCUGAAUCUGUGGCCAAUUGCGAAAAGCUAGUGGUUUUAAACCUUGGGAAUAAUCAGAUAGAUGAUAUUUUUCCUUACUAGUUGAAGAACACAAGCAGAUUGCAUGCCCUUGUUCUGCGAGCCAACAGAUUCCAUGGGCCAUUUGGAUGUCCUGAUAGUAAAUCCAUCUGGGCAAAGCUUCAGAUUGUCGACCUAGCUUACAGCGAGGUGCCAGCAAAAUGCUUCUUGACCUGGAGAGCAAUGAUGACUGGUGAAGGUGAAAUUCAAUCCAAACUCAAACACUUUGCUAUUUAGGGUUGUAGAAUACAGUCAACUGUGUUGUUCUAAGGGUAUUAAAACAGAGGACUAACCCAAAAACACACAAGCAAAUAAUAGAAUGAGGAACUGGAAACUUAUCGAUGAUAGGCUAAGGCGUGGUAAUGUACUGUCCUUGAAAUAGAUCCACCCUCCUCAAAGACAAACUCGGUGUCUUGGGUGCACUCUGUAGGUGAGAUGCAUACAGUUUCGAUUCUUAAAUAUUCCUCCAAAUAAAUGUAUGAAUGAGUGGAGAGGGAAACAGAAAGCUGGAAGGUUUAGAAGAACUCUAUGAAAAUUGGUGAAUUGAGAGUUGAGGGGUGACCUGUUUUUAUAGGCCACUAACACAGUCCUAACGGGACUUUACUUGUAAUCAGAACCACUAACAAAGUCCCAAUGGUCCCAAGAGUCGGCCAAAUGGAAUAAAAUUAAAUUAAAAAAAUAUUUUGAAUUUUAUAAUAAUUAGCCAAGGCCACGCGCGUACGCAAGGGGGGCAUUAAGGAAUUUUGGCACAACCAACCCAAAGCCCCACUCAUUAGGCUAAGGCAAGUGGGCUAGUUAAUAAACCCACUAAAGGUAUACCUCUUUUUCCUAUGUGGGACAAACUAAAACACUUAAACCACAUUUUUCACAUUUACACUCUUCCUACAAACUAUACUAUUAGGAUGUUGUAACAUUUACCAGCAAAGGUCAAGAGAUAAGCUUAUGAAGGUCCUAAACUCUCUUCACUUCCAUUGAUUUCUCCUUCAACAAUUUUGAAGGCCAUAUGUCAUUAGAGAUAGGAAACUUCCUUUCCAAUCUUGGACCUCUCCUUCAAUCAGUUAGUAGGGAGCAUCUCAACAGGUUUGUUGUGAUUCCUAUAGCAAUUCCUAAUGAGGAAAUUAGAGAAAACAAAAGAAAAACACAGAUUUAACGUGGUUUAGCUUAAUGCUUAUGUUCACGGGAACAAGGGUUGAAGAUUUUCACUACUCCAAAAUUAGGGUUACAAGAAAGGGUAUUGAUACUAACCCUCAAUUAUUGAGAAAUUCCAAAAAUACCCCUGAAUAGUACGCUGCCCGAGCGGAACAGAGUAGAAUGACGAAAUUUGUCAUUUUUUCUCCAUAUAUGUCUUUCACUCAAUAUGAGCCACAUACUACAACAAUCUCCACCUUGGUGAAUAUUCACCCUUUAGGAAAAAAGAAAAACAUAGCUUGGAACUCCACCUGGAACAAUAGGUUGGGACAUCUCCUAUCUAACAUCUGGAGACAUUAAUCAAGUUCAAGCAAUGCUUGAACUUUUCUAUGGUAACAAGUUUUGUCAACAUGUUUGCUACAUUCUCAGAAGUGUGAACCUUCUCAAGUAACAAUUCACCAGAAGAAACCAAUUCCCUGAUCUUGUGAAACCUCACAUCUAUGUGUUUGGUCCUUGCAUAAUACACAUGGUUCUUUGCCAAAUGAAUGGCACUCUAGCUGUCACAAUAUAAUUGAACUCCACCUUACUAAAUACCUAACUCCUUGACCAAUCCUGUAAGCCACAAUGAUUCCUUUGUCACCUUAGCCACUACCAUAUAUUCUGACUCAGUAGUAGAUAGUGCAACCAAAGACUAUAUCAUAGACUUCCAACAAAUAGGCCCUCCACUAAGAGUGAAUACAUAACCUAUGGUAGACCUCCUAUCAUCUAAGUCUCCUACAUAGUUUGCAUCCCACAUAUCCCUCAACUAAAAGAUCACUCUGUUGUCUCCUGAACAUGAUGUCAUAGUCUACAAUACCCCUCAAGUAUCUAAAGAUCCACUUGACUGCAUCCCAAUGCAAUCUUCUCGGAUUUGAUAGAAACUUGCUCAACACACUAACAGUUUGUGCCAAGUCUAGUCUUAUACAAACCAUAGCAUACAUCAAGCAUCCCACUGUACUUGCAAGUGGAAACUUUGACAUGUCUUUCACUUCAUCAUCUAUCUUUGGGUACUGAUUAGUAGACAAUCUAAAAGGAUUCACCAAAAGUGUACUUACUGGUUUUGCAUUAUCCAUGUUGAACCUCUCCAACACUUUUUCAACAUAGCUAUGCUGAGAUAACCAUAAUCUCCCUGAAGUUCUGUCCUUGUGAAUCUCCAUCCCAAGAAUCUUCUUGGUCGCACCUAAAUCCUUCAUGUCAAACUCUUUGCUCAACAAAGACUUCAACUUAUUGACCUCACUCAUACUCUUUGCAGCAAUUAACAUGUCAUCCACAUAGAGUAACAGAAAAAUAAAUGAAUCAUCAUCUAGGCUCUUUACAUAAAUACAAUAAUCAUACUCACAUCUCUUGUAGCCAAUCUAGAUCAUGUAAAAGUCAAAUCUCUUGUACCACUGUCUUGGGGACUACUUCAACCCAUAAAGUGAUUUUCUCAAUUUACAAAUGUGGACCCACAUUUUUCACAUGCGUUCCCACUCGAUCAACGAGACUCACUUUUAUUUGUGAAAAAAUAAUUUUUGGAAAAGUCGAAGUUGCCACUUAUUUUAUUUUUAUUUUAAAGGGAAAAUAAAACAAGAAAGAAAAACCCUAAAAAAGUGACUCCAUAAUUUUUGGAAAAAACGUGUCUUUGAAAAACCCGAGUCUAGGUCUGGGGAUCAGGUUACUUAUUGGGAAAGUACCUCUAAAAAGUAACACCCCUCUAAGCCCUAUAAAGGUUUCUACUGACUAAGUUGGGGGGAAUGUAGCAAUUAAAUGGUUGAUCAUGGAUACCUAAGUAGGCUAGGUGGCUUAAAAAAAAAUAGCAUGUCAAACAAGAAAGUCUGAUCAUAAGAGAGAAUCAAAGUGCUUACCUGAACGGGCUUUCAAGAGCUAUCAUGAAACAUAAAAGUUAGUAGAGAAAUAUAUCACACAACAUGUGUUUUAUCCAAGCAAAUCAAGUAUACACCUAAGAACCCAAGAAUCACAUCAAGUAUGGAUAUAGUUAUCAGUAGCAUACGUGUCCACAGAAUUCUCAAGGGUAGGUGUGGAGGAGCGUACCUAGUGACUCAUGCCCAAUUGGUGUCUCAGCUGAUUUGUGUUCAGUUGGUGCUCCUUGAUUGAGGAAGUGAUCAACAAAAUUUAUACCUAUAACACCAUACACUAGGGUAGCAAAUACAAAGCUACUAUAGUAUAGUGGCUCUAAGGAUCGUUCACUGGGAAUGAUUUGCAAGCAAUCAAGGAUACCAAUUCCAAGUGAAUUGGUUUUGUUUCAUUUCACGGUUAGCUUAAGGAAUAAAACAUAAACUUUGAUUUGUAAAGGUUGAGACUUAAACUAACUAACUUAACAGAAGUUUGGAAUAAUUUAGGAAGAAAAGCAUUCCUUGGACAUUUAGGUUCACUGGGGUGGUCCCUCAUGCAAAAGACAUAGCUCCGGUCAGAUGGUUCAUUUCCUCGCAUUAGAGAUUCAACUUAAAGUCAAUUCUCUAAUCGGUGAUGUACAGAGACUCCUUCAAUUAGAUUUCACUUUAAUUCUCUCACUGAUACAACUUGCAAUGGUUCAUGCCUCUCACGAGCACUUACCAUUCAAGGUGAUCUUUAACCUUGGAUUCCCCUUCACAAACUCGCAAGAGAUAACUAAUGGAUGUCUCCUAGGAGUCCAAAAGCUUACCAAGUGUUGGUAAUUCCAGAAAAUCCUACCUUGAAGUCACCUACCAGAGGCUCGCAAGGGGUAAACUAGUGCAUUCCCACGGUUGGAAAUCACUUGCCUUACCAAGUGUUGGCCCAGGUGACUCCAAGAUAUUUUAAGUUAACUAAAAACAUUGAAAUCACUAAAGGAUUUCACUUCCUCUUCAUUAAAAACUAAAACCACAAAGCUUUGCAUUCUUGCACUUGGAACCUUCCCCGGCACCCUUAGCUCCAAGGAAUUGGAGGUUUAGUUACUCAUUCUCUGGGGAAAACUCCUCAGAGAAUUCAUAACUUAGAAAUAAAAUGAAAAUACAAAGUGAGAAGGUAAGGCAGUAGAAAGAAAAGACCUUUACUUGCUUCCCAAAAAUUUACAGAAGGAACUCCUCUCCGAGAACAGGCUCCCGAGAGGUAUUUAUAUCCAACUAAUAUAAAACUAAUUCUUACCAAGAUAUUUGGUCUUUUUACUAACUUAAAAACUAAGGAAUCAUGUAAUUGGUGGUUUACAAGGAGUAUUUUGGGAUUUAGACAACAAAAAUCUAAUGGAAAAUAUCUCCCAAUGUCGGUAGCAAGCUUCGGGAGGCUUCAGGAGCCAUUUCGCAGGUGAAAAAUGAGGCCUGUGAAAUUUCGCAGACACCCAAGAGGGCUGCGAAAUUAUCUUGCAAGACCGAGCUAUCUUCACUAGGCUGCAAAGUUGGCUUCCAUCUUGAAGUUUCCAGCUCCCUUCUCGCGGCAUGGUUCGUGCAUCGUUAGAAGGAGAAACACCUUACUGUACAAAAGUGUUGCGAAAUUCUCGCAACAAAAGGCUGAUUCCGCAACACUUUAGAGUGUCUGGCUUGUAAUGGCUGCAACUUCUUCGUUUCAACUCCAAAUUGCACACCGUUUGAAGCAUUGGAUUGUUGACUUCCUGAGCUUUGAAAUGGUAUAUAGCUUGUAUCAUUUAGACUUCAGAAAGUGCUCCAAAAGUGGCUGCUACGACUAUCAUCAAGAAUAUGCUCCAUGGCAGAUUCUCUUUGCUUUUUCUCCUUGCAAUCCGGAUUCACUCUUGGCAAUUGAAUUCUAAGCUUUGCCCAAGAUUCCUCAUAGCUCUCCUCAUUCUUGACUUGCUUUGGUGAUCAAAAUACUAACAAAAACACCAAAACUUACACAAAGUGAUCAAAAUUGCUUUAAAGGAUCCUUAACAUGCCAAUUGAGUUAAAAGGCCUAAACUACUACUCAAAAGUGUUAAAAAGGAUUAAUUAAAGGCUAUCAAAUAGCACUUUUUGAGUAGUAAUCACUCCCCCCAACCGACAUAUUGCUAGUCCCUUAGCAAUAAAGGAGAGAAAAAUGAAAAUAAAUAGCUAAUUAUACUAAAAUUUACAACAUCAUGCUGAAAGGAAAAUAAUUCUUAAGUGGCAUGAUGAUCUAUUUCUCACAUGAAUCAUUAAAGAAAUACAAACCCAAAUCUCAACAAGAGUCACAACAAACUAUGCUAAGCACUGUCAAUCAAGGGAGUGCAUUAUGCAAACUGAAGUUUUAAAAUCAUUUCACUUUCUAAGAACUAAACUUCAAUCUUCCACAAAAAUCUGUGUAUUGGUUCCUUAGCUUCCGAGAAUAAUAUGCUACUAAUCUCACCCCCCAACCUAUCUCUUUUCAACACUUUAGUAAACUGACCAAAAUCAAUAAGAAAAGAACACACUUUCAUCAUCUUUUUUUUUUUUUUUUUUUUUUUCAAGGUAGCUUUUUGGGGUACUCUUUCUGACUUGUCCAUGUAAUGGGGGUCCAUCGAUGACUCCCAACCAAUUAAGGUUUAGGGCACCAAGUUUUAAGGAUCUUUCAACCACUAACUCCUCGGAUUUUUCCCCGGACUUUUAAGAAUGAAUUUCUAAUACCCAAGCAUCUACCAUAUGCUAACUCUACCUAUUCACCCUUGUAACGAGCAUUGAGGUCGGUGACUCCCAACCAAUUAAGGCUUAGGGCACUAGGCUUUAAAGGCUUUCACCAUAUACCCCUCAGACCUUGCUCGGGUUUCAAGGCAAGCAACCAACUUUCUUUAUUUCAAAGGCUCAUUGGCCUUUUGCAGGGUGUUUCAAUUUUUAUCAAAUGAGGUCAAAUAUACCAAGUCCCAAAAAUAUACUAAGUCAAGAGGGAAAUAGCUUUUCAUCUUAUAAUCGGAAACUAAUGUGCACAGUGUGUGGAUAGCUUAAAGUGGAAGAACUCAAUUCAAUUUCAGUAGAAGUUUCAACAAUUGGAACACUUUAGUAAGCAUAAUCCAUACUCUAAGUCAAGUGAAAAACAACAGUUCAAUUUCUCUUGGUUUAAUUUGAAAAUUUUCCUCAAAAUUCAUGGAGAAUAGAGUAACAAGAGUAAAAAGUAAAAACUACAACUAAUUAACCAAUAUAAUUGCAAUACCAAAAAGAUUUAGAAUACUUCCUUCCUCAUACCCCCCAACCGAACUGAGCAUUGUCCUCAAUGUGAUUUGAGUGACUGUAACAAAAGGGAGGAAGUGGUACCUCCUUGCUGAUAUCAAAUUCGAAUAUUGAUUGGGGAAAACCACAUGUUUCAAAAAAGAAUAGAAUAUGUGAGAAAAGGAAAUAAUAAUAACUUAAUGCUAACUUUUAACAAGAAAAAUUCAACUUGUAUUACUUUGAGUUCAUUUGAUUACAAUGCUAAAGACAAGUAACACAAGGAAUCCCAUAUAUAGUACCAAAAUACUGGGAUUUCAUUUCAACUAAAAAAAACAAACAAGCAUGCAUAAAAACAUAAAUAGCAAAUAUAUAUAAUGUCUGAUGAGUGGGGUGAUGGUGCUAAGCAGAAGGAUCUGCCUCCUCUGUAGGUGGAUCAGCUGGGGCUUCAGGCUCUGGAGCUUGAGACUCUGAAGGCUGAGAGUGUGGCUCUGGUGGAGUAGGAAUGGAGGGCUCUACAGCUUGUGGCAGAUCGAAAUGGACUUGAAGCUGCCUUAGGAUGGCAGCUUGUUGAGCCUGAGAGGCUAACAUCUGCUCCUGGCAUGCUUUGAUGGCUGCCAACUCCUGAGCAAGAUUGCUCUGGCUAGCUGUAAGAGUCUCCAAUGCUCGGCACAGCUCUCGAUAUUCGGAUAUAGGGAUGGCCAUCCUCGGCUCAGCUGAUGUGGAUGGCUGUGAUGGAGCAGGUGUAGCUGGUGGAGCUCGAGGGAUGGCAGGAGUAGCAAGUGUAAUACCUUCAGGUGGAUGUCUUGGGGAGGCUCUCCUUGCUGCUGGCUGAGGCUGCCCAGGCUGAUCAAUUUUGUAGGCCGUCAUAUUAUUCCAUUUAUCAAGGGUAAAUGGCUCACGGCAUAUUCUCUUUCUUUCCUGCUGAGGCUCAGAGGGGUAUCCGAGAUGCUCCAAAACUUGGCAUAGCAGCCUUGGGAAGAGGAGUGGAAUGCAAUCUGCUCUUUGAAGCUUCUUCUUGUGAACCUUCUCCUCAAAGUAUAGAAGGGCUGCCAUGAUCAGAUGAUGAGGCCCAAAGAAGAAUCCUUCAGACAUCUUGUAUAGAGCUUCCAAGAGAAUUCCCCUUCUUUGGGUCCAAUGCUGCAGGGGAUAGAUAUUAUGCCUCAAAAAGGCAUCAAUCAAAAACAUCACUGGAGGUAGCUCCCCCCUCAGCAGGUGUGAUCGAUUGGCAGCUCCUCUGGACAGGGUGCUAACCAUCUCUAACUCAGUUGGAUUUGUCCAAGCUUUAAAAUUGUCGAAUUGGGUUGGCUCAAAAGGAAUUUGCAGAGCUUCAGCAAUGUGUCUUGCUCCCAAAAUACCAUGCCUUCCAUCAAUUAUGAAAUGGAUCAGAGUUGGAUUUCUUACUUCUUUGGUUGUCAUGGUCUGGUAGAAGUCCGUGACUACCCGAGGAUAGAAAAAAUCCCUUGGAGCUAGCAGAUGCUCCAUAUGAUAUCUCCUCAGCAGCUGGAAUGAUUGGGCAAGCUCUGGCCUCACUCUAAAUGCUGCUAAAUCGAAGCACAAUUCAGAAUGGAAUGCCCGAGUUCGGCAAUCCAGGUUUCCUUCGAUUGGGGGCUGGGGCAGCAUUGGCCUUCGGAUCACUUCUUCCAGAGGUGUUUCCGCUUGCAAUUUGGGGCUCUGGAAUUGGCGCUUGAGGCUCCUGAGCUUUUUCUUGGGGUGUCGAAGAUGGUACCGGCGAUGGAAUUGGAGUUGCUUCUGGUGAGGGAAUUGGCGAGGGAACCGGUGACGGCUCUGGAAUUUGUACCGGUGAAGGAUUUGGUGAAGAUACCGGAGAUUGAACCGGUGUUGGCUUUGGGGAUUUCUCAGGGGAUUGCUCAGUCAAAUCAAUUGGUUCAGAGCUCUCAACCCUGGGUUUCUUCUUCAAUGGCUGACCGCCUGACCUUGUUAAAUAUCGCCUUGCCGGCGGCUUUGGUGGCGUCGGCUUCACUGGAGAAGGAUUUGGUCUCGACGGCGAAGGCUUUGGAGCAGGUUCUGGAACAGAACCUGGACUUGGCUCCUUUCGCAGACUCCUUUUGCGGUUCGAAGGAGAUGAAGACUUUGCCCCUCGCGUUCGUGCCAUUUUGGGCUAUCGAUCGUUGGCCGGCGCUGCUGAACGGAGAAGACGACCGGAGGUUCGGACGGCGUGGCUUGGUGAAGAAGACGAAGGGGCUGCGAGAAUGGUGCUCUGAUUUUUGAAACCCUUUUCGCAGCACUUUUGACCGGUAUAAAUAGGAAAAACGGAAGCUCAGGGGUCAGUUUAAGUUUCGCAACAAAACGCCAAUUUCGCAGCAACUUGCCAUUUUCGCAGCAACUUCGCAGUGAGUUUCGCAGCUGCGAAAUUGAUGUCACUGUGCUGCGAAGUGGCACUCGUGUGCCAAAUCCACUUUUGCAAUUGCGAAAUGCCCUGCGGAGUAGGACUUUUAGUGCGAAAUCACGCUUUUUCAUUUCGCAACGCGUUUCGCAGCUGCGAAAUUGAUGCCACUGUUCUGCGAAGUGGCACUCGUGUGCCAAAUCCACUUUCGCAAUUGCGAAACACACUCGCAGAGGCUUCUACAGUGCUGCGGAAUGGGUUGGCAGCAAAAUGCCAAUUUCGCAGAAGUUUCCUUCACCCUGCGAAAUUUCGCAGAGCUCUGUUUUUCCCCUGUUUUUGCUCUGUUUCGGCUCCAAUUUCGGCCCGAUUUUUUUUCUUUUCAAUUUCCUUGAAAUUUCUUCCACCUGGGAUCAUAUAAAACGAUUAAAACACACCUAAAAACAUGAUUUAAGAUCAAAAACUAAAAUCAAAAGCAUGGAAACAACUUGAAAAUUUACAAAAUUUACAAAAAUUUUGGACUGUGGUUAAACCACGUCCAGCAAACUCAUUUCACUUAGACUUUUUAAGGUUCAAGGAGGUUGAUUGCCUCCUUUUCUGAUUUGAAUGACUCCAUGAACGGCUUAAGACGAUAUCCAUUGACUCUAAAGCUGUCCUUGCCAUUGGAAUUCAAUAAGUCCACCACUCCAUUGGAAUAUACUCGGUGAAUAACAAAUGGACCAAUCCACCUUGACUUGAGCUUCCCAGGAAAGAUAUGGAGUCUUGUGUCAUACAUCAAAACUUUUUGCCCUUCCUGAUUCAGUUUGCCCGGAUCCCAUUUGAAGCUUGCAUCCUUCACUUGAGACUUGGUUUGAGAUGAAGAUAUUACGACAGGACAUUGAUUAUUUUCUUCAAGAUAUGUAUAUUUCAACUCCACAGGUAAAGGCUUCAGAUUGAAUUUUGGAAUUUCUUUUUCAGUGGCUGCCUCCUCUUCUUCAUUGAACAAAGGUAGAAUUUCUUCUAUCUUUCUCCAACUUUGUAGAGUAGCAAGCCCAAUAGGCGAUUCAGAAAAACCUUCCUCAAUAUUCUCAAGAUUUUCAUUCAACUUAUCUUGCAUAUGUUGAUUACAGUGCUCCUCCACCAAAGUAUCAAUAAUACAUAGCUCUUCUGGACCUUCUUCUUCUUCCGGAGUGAUUUGCUUUUUAGACAUAUAGAAAAUAUUUAGAUCCAGUGUCAUAUUACCAAAAGUGAGUUGCAUAAGCCCAUUUCUACAGUUGAUGAUUGCAUUUGAAGUUGCAAGAAAUGGCCUUCCAAGGAUGAUAGGAACUAAAUUAGCUUCCUUUACAGUAGGAUCUGUAUCAAGAACAAUAAAAUCUACAGGAUAGUAGAAAUUAUCCACUUGAACCAAUACAUCCUCAAUUACCCCUCUUGGAAUUUUCACUGAUCUAUCUGCCAGAGAUAAAGUGAUUGCUGUGGGCUUCAACUCUCCAAGUCCCAAUUGCUUGUAGACAGAAUAUGGAAGCGAAUUCACACUUGCUCCCAAGUCUAACAAGGCUUUUUCCACUACCUUUUCUCCAAUCAUGACUGAAAUGGUAGGACUUCCAGGGUCUUUGUACUUCAAAGGAGACUUGCAUUGUAAGAUUGCACUUACUUGCUCAGUCAAGAAGGCUUUCUUGUUUACAGUCAACCCUCUUUUGAUAGUACACAAGUCCUUUAGGAAUUUUGCAUACGUUGGAACUUGUUUGAUCAUAUCCAGCAGUGGAAUAUUAACUUUCACUUGCCUCAAUACUUCUAGGAUUUCAGCUGCAUUUCUAACCCCCUUUUUCCCCUGUAAUGCUUGAGGAAAAGGUGGAAAAGUUGAUUUCUUCAGCAUUUCUUCCUUCAGAAGCUCCUUCUCUGGAAUUGCUUUCAUUGUUGCAUCAGAGUCCUUCUUUUCUUCACUGAUCUCACUGCCUUUAUCUUCCAUUUCCUUCCCUUUCUUCAUCUCUUCUUCUUUCUCAACAUGUGGCUUAGGUGCUGGCUGCUCAAUUUUUUUACCACUCCUUAGAGUGAUCAAAGCCUUCACAUCUUUCACCUGUGAUGAUUCUCCCUCAAGGCUUUCCACUUCAUGGACACCUUUGGGAUUUUGGUUAGGUUGAGAAGGAAAUCUUCCCUUUUCUUGCAGUGUAUUCAAAUUUGUAAGCCUGGAGAUUGAAUAUUGGAUGUUAUCAAAUUUUUGAUUCAUAUCAUUUUGCAUUCCAUCCAUUCUUUUGUUCAACAUACUCUCCAUUCUGUCCAUUCUUUGAUCCACUCUGUCCAUUCUUUGAUCCACUCGAGCAUUGGUGGCUUCUUGCUUUCCCACAAAAUCUCCCACUACCUUGCUGAGAUUAGCUAUUAUUUGUUCAAUACUUGAAGAUUGCUGAGAUGGUGGAUCCGGCUGUUGGUAUUGAGUUGCUCUGGCCUUCCAUGAGAAAUUUGGAUGAUUCCUCCAACUUGAAUUGUAGGUAUUUCCAUAAGGAGCAUUGUUAUUGGGCCUGAAUUGUCCAACAACAUUUGCUUGAUCUCUAUACAUUUCCCUUUCAGCUGAAAUUGCAGGGCACUCCUCCACCAAAUGUUCAAAUGAUUGACAAUUGGGACACAGCUUCACUUGCACUGGUGCUUCAGCAACAGCUUGCACUUCAUGCAUUCUUUUCAGCUCCAGCUCCUCCAAUCUUCUUGUCAUAGCUGCCAACUUUGCUUUCAUGUCAUCAUCUUCCCUCAAAUUAUACAUCCCAGCUUUUGCAUUGUAAGCAUUCAACUGAGACUUCAUCUUUCCCACUUCUCCUUUAGUUGGUUCAUCCCAUCCCCUUGAAACAUCAGCUACAUAGCUCAAGAAAUCCAUAGCUUCCUCUGGAUUUUUGCUCAUGAAAUCUCCUCCACACAUUGUCUCGAGGAGUUGCUUCAUUGAGGAUGACAUACCAUCAUAGAAAUAGCUCACCAAUAGCCAAGUAUCAAAGCCAUGGUGAGGACAAGCAUUUAUAGCUUCCAUGUAUCUUUCCCAACACUCAUAGAAUUUCUCAUUCUCUUUAGCUGAGAAGUUUGAAAUUUGCCUUUUCAAGCCAUUUGUUCUAUGAGUAGGAAAAAAUUUCUUGAGGAAUUCAGCUUGUAAAUCAGUCCAAGAGCGGAUACUCCUUGGCCUUAAAGAAUUAAGCCAAAUUUUGGCCUUAUCCUUUAAAGUAAAAGGAAAUAACUUAAGCCUCAUCAAAUCAAUUGAAGCUCCUCCCUCUUGGAAUGUAUUACAAACAUCUUCAAAUUCCUUGAUGUGUGCAUACGGAUUCUCACUUUCCAUCCCAUGGAAAGUUGGUAGAAGUGGAACAAGAUACGGUCUGAUCACUAGCUGCUCUGUAGGGGGCACUAUACAUGAUGGUGCACUCAUACGAGGUGGAUGCAUACGGUCCCUCAUUGAUCUGAAUUCAUUGAGAUUGUCUUGACGACCUUGGUGACUAUGCUGAUCUUCAGGUGCAGCCUCCAUGAUAUUCAAGAUUACUUCCAAUUCUCCUUUCUGAGGUGUAUCACACUUAACAAGCCUUCCUCCACUAUCUCGCAUCCACUUUGGCAUACACAACUAGUAUCUACCUAGAAAAAAAAUGAAAACAGAGGACAACAAGAAAAACAGGGCUACAACAACAAAAUUAAACUAGACUAAAAUUUAAAAAGAUAAACUUAGAUUGUAAAUAAACAAAGAAAGAAUGAAAAUUAGUAAAGUGAAAGAAACUUUACCAACUUGUGAUGAAAAUCACAAGUGCUCAAAAAUGGUAUCACAAUGAACUUGACACUCAUUCCCCGGCAACGGCGCCAUUUGACUCAUGCCCAAUUGGUGUCUCAGCUGAUUUGUGUUCAACUGGUGCUCCUUGAUUGAGGAAGUGAUCAACAAAAUUUAUACCUAUAACACCAUACACUAGGGUAGCAAAUACAAAGCUACUAUAGUAUAGUGGCUCUAAGGAUCGUUCACUGGAAAUGAUUUGCAAGCAAUCAAGGAUACCAAUUCCAAGUGAAUUGGUUUUGUUUCAUUUCACGGUUAGCUUAAGGAAUAAAACACAAACUUUGAUUUGUAAAGGUUGAGACUUAAACUAACUAACUUAACAGAAGUUUGGAAUAAUUUAGGAAGAAAAGCAUUCCUUGGACAUUUAGGUUCACUGGGGUGGUCCCUCAUGCAAAAGACAUAGCUCCGGUCAGAUGGUUCAUUUCCUCGCAUUAGAGAUUCAACUUAAAGUCAAUUCUCUAAUCGGUGAUGUACAGAGACUCCUUCAAUUAGAUUUCACUUUAAUUCUCUCACUGAUACAACUUGCAAUGGUUCAUGCCUCUCACGAGCACUUACCAUUCAAGGUGAUCUUUAACCUUGGAUUCCCCUUCACAAACUCGCAAGAGAUAAAUAAUGGAUGUCUCCUAGGAGUCCAAAAGCUUACCAAGUGUUGGUAAUUCCAGAAAAUCCUACCUUGAAGUCACCUACCAGAGGCUCGCAAGGGGUAAACUAGUGCAUUCCCACGGUUGGAAAUCACUUGCCUUACCAAGUGUUGGCCCAGGUGACUCCAAGAUAUUUUAAGUUAACUAAAAACAUUGAAAUCACUAAAGGAUUUCACUUCCUCUUCAUUAAAAACUAAAACCACAAAGCUUUGCAUUCUUGCACUUGGAACCUUCCCCGGCACCCUUAGCUCCAAGGAAUUGGAGGUUUAGUUACUCAUUCUCUGGGGAAAACUCCUCAGAGAAUUCAUAACUUAGAAAUAAAAUGAAAAUACAAAGUGAGAAGGUAAGGCAGUAGAAAGAAAAGACCUUUACUUGCUUCCCAAAAAUUUACAGAAGGAACUCUUCUCCGAGAACAGGCUCCCGAGAGGUAUUUAUAUCCAACUAAUAUAAAACUAAUUCUUACCAAGAUAUUUGGUCUUUUUACUAACUUAAAAACUAAGGAAUCAUGUAAUUGGUGGUUUACAAGGAGUAUUUUGGGAUUUAGACAACAAAAAUCUAAUGGAAAAUAUCUCCCAAUGUCGGUAGCAAGCUUCGGGAGGCUUCAGGAGCCAUUUCGCAGGUGAAAAAUGAGGCCUGCGAAAUUUCGCAGACACCCAAGAGGGCUGCGAAAUUAUCUUGCAAGACCGAGCUAUCUUCACUAGGCUGCAAAGUUGGCUUCCAUCUUGAAGUUUUCAGCUCCCUUCUCGCGGCAUGGUUCGUGCAUCGUUAGAAGGAGAAACACCUUACUGUACAAAAGUGUUGCGAAAUUCUCGCAACAAAAGGCUGAUUCCGCAACACUUUAGAGUGUCUGGCUUGUAAUGGCUGCAACUUCUUCGUUUCAACUCCAAAUUGCACACCGUUUGAAGCAUUGGAUUGUUGACUUCCUGAGCUUUGAAAUGGUAUAUAGCUUGCAUCAUUUGGACUUCAGAAAGUGCUCCAAAAGUGGCUGCUACGACUGUCAUCAAGAAUAUGCUCCAUGGCAGAUUCUCUUUGCUUUUUCUCCUUGCAAUCCGGAUUCACUCUUGGCAAUUGAAUUCUAAGCUUUGCCAAGAUUCCUCAUAGCUCUCCUCAUUCUUGACUUGCUUUGGUGAUCAAAAUACUAACAAAAACACCAAAACUUACACAAAGUGAUCAAAAUUGCUUUAAAGGAUCCUUAACAUGCCAAUUGAGUUAAAAGGCCUAAACUACUACUCAAAAGUGUUAAAAAGGAUUAAUUAAAGGCUAUCAAAUAGCACUUUUUGAGUAGUAAUCACCUAGAUAGCAAGCUAGUACUCCUCUAUGGGAAACAAAGUUAGCCUAAUAACAUAUUCAAAAUAAUCUCAUAUAUAUCACAAAAGAGGAAGCACAAUCAAUCAAAUAUCAAACAAACACUAUCGAAGAGAAUAUCAUGAAUGUCGGGGCCCCACCAAAGCCCUAAUUGCUUUUGCAUGAAUUUGUUCAGUGAAUUCCAUUGUUUGGAACCAUGAAAUUUAUUCAUGCUUAUUGGAAAUUGAGAAAAUCAAGAAAAUGGUUGAAAGUCAAGGAAAAUAGUGAAAGUGCAUACCAGAAAGAGAAUGGCAAUAAAUAGUUUGUUAGAAUUUGGAUUUUGUGCCUAGAAACUCCUAGGGAAUUUUAAAGAAAACUAGAGUUAUUUUUUACGAGAAAAGAUUUUGAAAUCCAGAUUAAAAUGUGUAAGAUCACAAAAAGAAGAAGAAGAAACAUUAGGAGGAGCAUGAUGUGUGGCAAGUGACCACUAUGUGAGUGAGGUCUGGAGGUGCACUUAAGACUAAAUUGCUGAAACAGAUUGCAUAGGGAGUAUUCUAUAGAUCGCUGGUUGUCUAAAAAGAAACUGAAUGUAUUCGUUUCAGAGCCCAUGUUCACUGGAUUUUAGGGUGCCACCUCAUCUGAAAAGGGGCUUCAAUUCAACUCUAGUUUCUCAGGAUCACAACCCGAAUUAUCAACAGAAGCUUCUGGUGGAGACGUAAGGCUCAAUUUCAGAUUAAGUUCCCUCUUCUAUAACUCAUUUUCUCUGAAUUUUCCUUUUAUAUCUGUGGUUUCUGAUCAUAUAAGUUGUCCGUCUAGUUCCUUGUUUGAGACUCUGUAGAACCUGGAAUAAUGUUUCUAAGUCCAGCUGAAGGAACCUGCACUCCUUUUCAUGGAACCUGAGGCAUGUGUUAAUUUGAAACUCUGUUACUUUGCCUUCCAUUGCUUUAAGUCUUUUAGCCAUCUCAGCCAUAAAUCUGGAGAUUCAUUGAUCUUUCUUUAAUAUUCAAGCCAAAUGUCAAUUUAGUCCACUUAAACCCUGAUUUGAAUAAUUUCGAACUCUCUUUUUGCGUUCUUGAUGUCUUUCAUUUCAACUACAACGGAAAACCACCCUUCAAAAAAGAAAUCUGGACCGAAUCCUAAACAUUUUAAUUCACAACUUCCUGAGCCUGACUGAGAGUCGACACAAUUGAAUCACCUUGGAUAAGAGUGCUUCUAAAAAACCUCCGGAAUAUAGACACAAGUGCAGCAUUCGCUAAUAAUGACCAUGGCAUGUUACAAAGGAAAGCUUCUUUCUCAUAAUCAUCAACGCAUAUUGACUCUUAAUGGGCCCCAUUGCCUGCAUCACAUCAAAGACUGGAUAGACAGGGAGAUUCACAAUUUCGAUAGCUAUCUUUGCAUUAUUUGGGCAGGACAAUCAUGUCAUGGAUAUAUAGCUUGAAAGUGACUCAUGUUUUGUUCUGUUUGCUGCCCAAGCAGCUAUGGAGUUGUUGUUUUGAUUUUGUGUCCUGUGCGUGGAUUUCAACCCUCUCGUGAGCUUUGUUGUGAGACAUUCCACGUCAUGCAUCUGUCUCUGUGAAAAUGCAGUGACACGCUGAAUAAUUUUGGCUGGAAGUACACGUAUUGUUAAGAUGUGAUAGCCCAUGAGAAAGCUGGGGAACCUUGAGAAUGCCUGUUGGAUAGGAACCUUUCAUAUUAUUCUUUCCUCUCCUCAUGCUCUACCUGGAAAUAACAGUGACUUCAUUUCUACUGCUUUGUUCAUACCCUCCGGACCAAUAUCUACUUCAUCUCUCACGAAAUCUGGUUCUGCUAAUGAAGUCCUACCCUCAGUCAGUUUUGCAAAGCGUAACUUAAUUUUACGUUUGUAAGGUCCCAGGUUAUCACUCUGGUCGAUGGAAUUCAUAGCCCGACAUAACCUUUCCUGAGAAGUUGGAGAAAUUGCUUUUAUGGUAUGAAAGAACCUUUCUGGACCAUGCUAAAGCUCUGAAUGUUGAUUGUUUUCCAUUACAACUGAUGUGACUUCCUCGUCACUAGUGUUAUAAGAAUGACUCCAUGAGAAGUUUCUUGCUGCAUCAGAACCAACAAGCAUUAGGAGUUGCUUCACCUCCGUUACUGGCUGAUCAUCACCUUCAGAGACCAAACAGCUGGUUGGACCAUGGCAUGGAUUGGAAUUCUGCAUACUGACAUCAGUUGCCACUAUCUGCAAACUCAAUUCACUCAAGACAACUGUGGAGAAAUGAAUUUCACUGCCAUCUCUUCCUAAAGUUUCUGUUUUCAUGCUACUGCCAUCACAACCCAAGCCAGAACUUGGUGCACUCCAAUGUCCAAUAUUUAUUCUGAUUCGGGUUCAGAGAGUGAUGAGAGAUCGAUUGGGUUUACUACACUUCUGAUCUGGAAAUAUGCAUCAUCAAUUUAUUUUAUAUUAACAUCUGAGUUCUGCUUCUGUCGUCAACCUGCUCACAAACAAUUUUCUUCAACUGAGUGCUCGUGCCUUUAUUGAUAUUUUCUUUGCAGCAGCCUGGAAAUAAUGGCAUAGAUGAUUUUGUACUUCAGGUGAUAAGAUGUCAUGAAGAAGUGUGUAAAGCUUUACAGCAGGUUCCAACACAGGUGCGGAAAGCCUAGUUGUUGGCCUGAAAGCAUCUAUAAUUCCAGAAGCAGAUGACUCGUCAAGUGGCUUAUAAUUUUCAAAAACUAGUGCAAGGAUCUGUUCAAUUUGAUCCUUGAUUUCUCCUAAGAUCCGGUUCUCUUGAUGACUCAAUGUACUCUUACUGUGGCAAUUUAUGGUGACGGGCAACAACAAAUCAUAUACUAAGGUCGGACAGUCAGCUGUAGGUGUAGCCACAUCUUUGACAUAAGAUAAAUACCUCAGCUUGGUGUAUACAUCAGAAACACCAUAACAUGAUGCAAACUCGGUUAGUAACCACUUCCAGGGCCCAUGGAUUAAUAAGUUUCUCUAUUGAAAAUGCUGAAUUUUCAUGGCAAAUUCAAGUAUACUCCAGAAACCGAGCUUGGCACUAAAAUCAUGUUUCAUUCGAGUCCUCGCUGCGAACCAACUGCUGAAUGGUUGGCCAUUCAUAUUUAUGUUAACAGGCAGCUUGGAUUUGCAUCAAAAUGGAGUUAAAUGAGAAAUGGACUGAUCAAAGAAGGAUGAUGUGGAUCAGGGGAGAGAGAUGUAUCAGUGACUGUCUAUCGCAAGCUUUUUGCAAGAAUAUUCUUCUGUAUUUUCCACCCUCUAUCCACAUUGUAUAUUCUAAUAUGGCUUCCCUGAAACCCUUCCCCUUCCUGGAUAAUUCCUUUCUUAACCUGCCAGCAUCUUAACCGUCAAAACAGGUGAGUCACGCUUUCCAGGAAUAAUCUGACUCAGACAUUUUCUGUUCCUCCUAUUUUUUUUUAGGAUGAUACAGGUUUAGAAUUCUGCUCAUUCAGUACUGUUCCUUCUGAGAGCUGAGGUAAUUUAUCAAUAAGCCUAGGAAUUUACAAAUUGUCUUUGGAAAUGCAAGAACUCAGAGCCAGUCUAACAUCUAGUCUUGCCCAUGUGCAAACUGCACUUAAUUUUCCUUCCAAAGCUUCAACAAGGAAUAGUUCUUUUAAGAAAAUAUUGUGCAACUUUAUGCAGCCAAAUGUCCUUGGUUGAAAGUAUGUGCGUUAAUCACUGGACAAGUUUGUAAGAAAGAACCACUGGGAUGAAAGAUGCAGGCAACCUUGAUAAGAGAAGAAGCAGAACAUCAGAUGCCAAGUGUUUGCAGUCAUGAUAUGCUGAUUUUGAAUCAGAUAUAGAGCUUGCGCUGUUGUCUCUCGAUCUCCGUACAAAGGAUCAGAGUGUGCGUGAGGCAAUUCUUUCUGACACAUGAAACAGUCCUCCAACCUUGCGGUUGUCUUUGGAAGAAUUACUUAUUGAUGAGCCCAUCCAUUAGAUAAGACUACAGGUCUUGUGCUGAAACUUGAUGCCAUAAGGUCUCUAUGGGAAAUUGCCAAAAGUCUCAGUAUCUAUCUUCAUUCGCGUAGAGAACCUGUUCUGUCCAUUCCUAGUCCCACGAGCAUGAGAAUUAUAAGAAAUCGUGUCAAAGAACUUAUCCUUAUUAUAAGCGAGUUUAGCAUCUGAUUUGGGUACUAGUCCAUAACCCUCUCUGUGACCCAAGCCUUGACCAAGUGCAUUGUCUUCGAUCCCUUUGCUUUGCCUUUCCAAGAUAACCCCGAACUUCAUCCCUUUUAAACCUUUCAUUCAUCGCCAUAAAAUUGAAUUCUUCAGUGAACUGCACAGUAGACUUCUGAGACUGUUAAGCAGAGGCUGGCAAUGGCAACAAUAGUGCUUAAAGUGCUGGAGUAGAUAUUGUGCUCAAAGUAUUAGGAGAUGUUGAUGUCGAAGCAACCUUAUCCAUCUGAUCAGGAUAUACUUUGUGUGAGGAAGAAAGUAUGGAUGACAUGGGCUGUGCUAAUUGAUCAGGAGUUAAUAAAGUUGGUGGUAGAGUUAGAAGGAGGCCAGAGGUGGAACCUCCAAUUGUGGAUGCAGAAUGAUGCAGGGGAUGGAUAUGAGGCACAAAUACCAGAUCAGAAACUAUUUUACCAGUAAUUGGUGGAGAAUCGGAGGAUUUCAUCUCAAAGCUUUCACACAAUUUUCCAGUUUUCAGGGACUUGAGAGAGGUAGUAUACUAAAUAACCAGAAAAUGGCAUAAGAAAUUGGACAGUCAUUUAUGAGAAUUCCAUCCAAAUUCAUCGUCCGAAUGUAAGCAAUUCUGUUGGGAUCGUCCCUAGCAAAACCAUGUCACAAGGAAUUGUCUUAUCUGCACAGAUCUUCACCACCCUACUAGACCCAUCAUCCAUCAUCUCUACUGAAGCAUUGAUCAAUACCAAAUCUUUAAAAAGAGAAAUAGGGAAUCCUGGCAAACCACUACCGGAUGAAGUUGGCUCUUUGGCAUCAUCAGCAUCUUUCAAUUCUGAACCUGUUUGCACUGGCUUUGAUUUAUGAUUUUCAGAAACAACCCCAUGCCUCUCUUUGUCCAAUGCUGAGGAUUAUAUUCAGUUAACUGUCCACAGAGAUCACUGCGCCCAUUAUUUUAGACUGAGAAAGCAUGGUGAAACCAUGUAGUUCUCUGCAUAAUUUUUUUUUCAUAUUUUGUCUACCUGAAACAGCAUGAUUUCUAUCUGUCCACUUGUAUGCGUUAUCAAUCCAUCACAUUUCUACCACACUGAGACCUGGUUUCUUCGUCAGCCUCCAGUCUUCGAGCUCUCUCCUUAACUUUACUUUUUCAUCCCUUCUCUUGCAUGAGGCAUAUAAAUUUGACCGCAACGUCCGAUACCCACAAUUAUCAGGUGCUAAUUUUAGUAGUUCUUCUCCAGCAAGCAAACCAAGUUCUAUGUUCAUGUUCAUCAUACAUGCACUCGGAAGGGCUCCCAAACAGCAUCACAAUCCCACAAAGCAUCACCAUCAGAAUUCUGAUGGAGCCCUGAUUGGAGCCAAAAUAUGUGCUCUAAUGGCACAUAUUCGAUAUGAUUUGUGCAUCAAAGGACAUUCAAAUCACCCUCCUUGACCUAAAUCAAUGUUAAGGCCCUAACCAUGAGUUUAAUUUUUUAAUUUGGAGACUUAUUUCAGGUUCAAGGAAAGAAAAUAGUGCAAGUUGAAUCACUUUAGAUUUUGAAAGAUCAAGAAAUGGCUAAAUGAGGAAAUAAGUCAAGACUCAUGGACCAUAAGGAAAGAAAAGAUAAGGAUAUCAUGAGUUUGGAAGAUGAGAAAUAACCAUUAUGGAGUAAGAAAGAAGGCAAUAAAACAUGGGAAAUGAGGUAUGAAGCAAGAUUUAGCUGCAUGGAAAUUUAGAACUCAAAAAUCUGAUGGCAUUAUAUACUCUGAUUUUGAGGAUAAAUUUAGAGCAUUUUCUAGAGUCCAUUAUAUACAUACUAUAUAUCAUUUCGAAGCUCGGGAAUUCAGGAGUCCAACACUUUAAAUAGUGUGCAAAUCGGAGCUAAAAUGAAGAAGUUAUAGUCAUUUGUAGACAAUUGUACCAAGCUGGAGGGUCAUUUCGAAAUGAUUUCAAAAUUCAACUUAUAAAUUCGAAAUCCACUUCAAAAUGACACCAAUUUCGAAUUCACCCACUGCCACUUUGAUGUUUCGCCUCUUCUACCUCGGGAAUUGCAUCUAUUCAAUUUAUGAAUUCGAAAUCCACUUCGAAAUGGCACCAAUUUCGAAUUCACCCACUGCCACUUUGAUGUUUCGCCUCCUCUACCUCGGGAAUUGCAUCUAGGGCACUCCAUCUGCCCUAAGUGGACCCCACAUGACUAGAAGUCACCAUAUUAUUAUUAUUUUUAGGAAACUAUUUUGUAAUAAGUGGCCAAUGAGAGUGUACCACAUGUUAGGUAAUUGAUGAUAUUAUAUAAACUCUUUUAAUUCUAGGUAUUAAAGAUCUUAGAUUUUUAUUUUUUUCUAGAGAGUUUGACAUUGAAGGUGGAAGAAGACGAGAACUUUGGUUUGUUUUCUUUUUCUUCUUUAUUAAAUAUAUUGUUUUUAGUUUCUUUUUAUUCAAAUUAUGGAUUUUUACCCUAUUAUGGAUUGUGAAUGUGACAUCACCCCCAUAAGAGGCUAAGAGCCAACUUGGGGCUUGAAGCAUGAAAACCUAAGGGCUAGGAAACUUAUAGAGACAAUGGGUAAAUUAUUAUAACAAUGAGAUUAAUUAUUGGUUGGGUGACAAUUUAUCAAUUUUUUUUAUCCUAUCCUUGUGAGUUAGUUUAGGGAAUGAUACAGUAGGUUAUUACCCGAUAUUAGUGAUUCUUGGUAAUUCUUGAUCAUUAGUUAUCCUCGUCUUCCCUAUCAUUAUUUGCCCCAAAACAAAGCUAUAAGGAGUAUGAAGGGUUAAAAAGCAAAAUCUUAAACUAGUAAUCAAUCUCAUUCAUUUAAUGGUUUUAGGAAUCUAUUUUAAAAAGGAAAAAUUAGGUCUCGGAUGCAAUUUUGAGUUAUAGAACUCAACUUGAUCGUGAGCGGCCAAAGAUCCCAAAACCCUAAGAUCAUAUCAUUUAAAAGACCCUUGUUUUCUCUAAUUUCUAUACCUUAGGUUGGAUUGUGGAAAACUCCAAGCUUGAAUCAAUUGAAUUUAAAAUCAAUAUUCAUUUUGUUAUUAAUUUAAUUUCUUUUACUUAGUUUCACAUUAUUCACAUAUGGAUUUUCACUUUAGGAUUUAAACAAAAGUAAUUUAUUUAUUCUAGUAUUGACAAUUUCCAUAAGUCAGUCCUUGAGGAUGAUACCCGGAGUACUACAAAAGUCGUAGUGACUCUUUCUCUAGUUUUUCUUAACUAGAGUUGCUACGUGAAAAGGCUAAGUAUUAUGGUACAACAAAGAAGUUCAGUCAAGCCCAUUUUCUAUUAAUUGAUAUGCUUCUUCCAACCUUCCUGCUCAUGCAUACAUGUCAAUAAUACAAGUCCAUUGCUCAAAACCCAGCUGGAUUUUGUACUUUCUCAUCAUCAUAUCAAAGUACCAGCAACCUUCUUCAAUCAAGCCAGAAUGACUAUAAGUUGAGAGUAAAGAAGUAAAUGUGAUGGAAUUAAGCUUGUAGCCAUCUUUUUCCAUAUGAGACACAAGCUCACAUGCUUCUCUCCCUUGACUAUUCAUUCCACAUCUAGCAAUCAUUAUAUUCCAUGAGCUUUGGUCCCUCAAAUUACCCAUCUGCAUAAACAAGCUUCUUGCCUUUUCUAUAAAACCAGUUUUUUGCAUAUACAUCAAUUAGAGAAUUCAUGACCUAUGUUUUAGAGUCAAGUCCUAGAAACCAUGGGCAAUUUCAGCACCACAACUAGUCAAAAUAGUUGCAAAGGCCUGAAUGAAUGAGAUUAUUGUGACUAAAUCUCGUUUGUAUUGAUUUUCUAACCGCGACUGGAAAAAAACUCUCAUGACCAUGGCAGAGUCACCAAUUUUGGCAUGCCCAGAAAACAUUGUGUUCCAUGAAUCCAAAUUCCUGUCGAAUAAUUCCCCUUCAAAUAUGGUUUGAGCACACUCAAUCCUAUCAGACUUCGCAUGCAUAUUGACCAUAGCUAUUCCAAGACGGAGGUUGGAAAUUAAUCAUGUGCAAAUCAAGUGCCCAUGAAUACUUUUUCCUAGAUCAAGGUUCCCAAUUUUUCCACAAGCCAACAAUAAACCUAAAAAUGUAAUUCAGUUUGGAAAAAAAUCUCCAACACUUUUCAUGGAUGAGAAAAGGUUGAAUGCUUCAGCCCAAUUACCAUUCCAUGCAUAUGUUGUAAUCAAUGAAUUCCGAGACACUAUCUCUUUUUGGCAUGUCACACAAAACGCGUUUCCCAAAAUCUAUCUUUCCAAUCUUAAUAUACAUUGAAAUCAAGGAAUUCAAUUAGAAACUCAUGAACCAACGCUCCCUAUUUCAGGUUUCCCAAUUCACCACAAACCAUAAUUACAUGAAAUGCAGGAUCCAAAGAAGGUAACAAACCCACAUCUAGCAUCUGGAUAGUCUUGGCUGCAACCAUUCCUUUUUCGCUCUUGUGUGUUUUUCCACAAAGACCAUCCAAGAAUCCACUACUCCAGCAUCCUUUCUUAUGUAUAUAUAUCAGCCCCAAAAAACCCAAAACUGUUCCAAAAAGGAAAAUCCCUCAUUUCUUCUUUUUUUUGUCAUUUUCUUUCCUUUUUGCAAUCCUUUUUUUUUUUUUAUGUAUUUGUAUCAGUCUCCCAAAAACUCAAUCUGCUGAAGGAAAUCCACUUUUCUUUCUUCCAUUUCUCUUCCUUUUCAAAAUCAAAAUACCUCUCCCUUUCCUUUGGAGAAUUCUUUCCUCCCAUAUGUAUGCAUCCAAGUUGAUCUCUUUUCUUCAAAAAUAUUUUUGUUUGCCUUCUUUGAGUGUGCAUGCCUUUAUGAGAGUUGAUCUGUAGCCCUCAUUCUCUUGUCAAACAAUAAAAACGAAAAUAAAAAGAAUGAAACCAAAAAAGAGUUAGCAAUCUUGCAACAUAGAAUAAUGUAAAAUAAAAUAAAUAAAUAAAGUAAAACAAAAUAAUUAAAUAAAAUAAAAUAAAAUGGUCAAUCUAUGUGGGUCAUGCAAGUCAUGCGACUAUGUAAGUCAUGCAAGAAACGCUAAAAAAAGUCUAAUAGGACAAGUGUGCCUAAGAGGGCCUAAGUGAACCUAGACGGGCCUAAGGUGUCUAAUGGGUUGGGUAUACCUAUUUUAACCUAGGGUGAGACUAGGUGGGCCUAACUAAGUUUGACUUAAAGUGCACCUAAGUGAAGCCUAAUCUAAACUUGAAGGGCAGCCAAGGUCAUAAUGUGAAGCCGAAUAAACCCCUCAACCAAAGUCUCCAAAGUGGCUUAGAAAAUAUAAGUAGUAUGAAUAGCAAUGGGCUAUGAAAGAACUAUCGUGGAGCUCUGGAAAUGAACUUAAAGACAUGUGCUAAAGGGACAAAAUGGAGGGUCUACAACAAACCAAGUGCUCCUGUCAAGGUUGAAUGAACCCUUCUGGUUGUACCAUGUGGACCAAUUCCUCCAAAUCACCAUGAAGAAAAGUUGUCUUUACGUCCAUUUGCUCCAACUGCAUAUCAAAAUGUGCUACCAACCCAACACUAUCCUAAUGGAAGUGUGUUUGACCAUGGGGGAAAAAAUCUCAUCAUAGUCAACCCCUUUCCUCUAUGAGUAACUCUUUGCUACUAAACGAGCUUUGAAUUUUUCACCAUCUUUUUCUAAAACUAUUUCUUUCUUCUUGUACAUCCAUUUACAUCCUAUUGCUCUCUUCUCCUCUAGAAGCUCCACCAACUCCCAUGUCUAGUUCUUAUGCAAAGACUACAUCUUCUCCACCAUAGCACCCAUCCAUAUACUUCUCUCUUGGUUGUGUAUUGCCUCUUGGAAGGUAGUAGGAUCCCUGAUACUAGUAAUUAGUGCAUAAGAAACCAAAUCUUCAAAACCAUACCUAAUAAGUGGCCUGAUAGUGCGUCUGUUUUUUGUUUGUGGCUAUACUAUGAUGUUGUUAAUCUUCUAAACUAGACCUCCCUACACUCCAAGCAUUUUCUUCUAUUCCAUGGGUCUCUAGUUCCACUUGUAUCAAUUGCUCAUUUCUGAUGCAAUUUUCUAGCUCUUGUUUCUCUUCUUUUUUAGUACACUGUAACAUGGCUUUCUCAUCAAAAACCACAUCUCUACUGAUCACCACCUUGUUUGCCUUUGGAUCCCAAUACUUGAAGUCUUUCACUCUUUUCUAAUAGCCCAAAAAAAUACAUUGUCUAGACUUUGCAUCAAGCUUCGAUCUCUUCUCAUUAAGAAUGUGUACAUAGGUUGGGCACCCAAACACUCCCAAACCAAAGUAGUCUACUGCACUAUCUGUCUAUACCUCCUCUACUACUUUCCUAUCUAAUGUUGCCCUAAGUGACCUGUUGAUCAAGUCACAUGUCAUGUUCAAUGCUUCUGCCCAGAAUUUCUUUUCAAGCCUUGCAUUCAAUUUGAGACACCAAGCUCUUUCAGCUAUUGUUCUGUUCAUCAUUUCUGUUACACCAUUUUGUUGUGGUGUCUUGUGUAAUGUGAAGUGUCUCUUAAUCCCAUGUUACUCACACAAUUUCGUGAACUUUGAAUUUGUAUACUCGGUACCAUUGUCUGACCUGAGGCAUUUUAUCUUCCUCCCUGUUAGGUUUUCUACUUCAACUUUCCACAACUUAAACUUGGCAAACGUAUCUAACUUGUGUCGCAUGAAGUACACCCAAACCUUUCAUGAGUAAUCAUCAAUAAAACUCACAAAAUAUGUAUUUCCUCCCAAUAAUGCUACCCUUACUGGUCCCCAAACAUCUAUAUGGACAUAGUCAAGAAACUCAUCUGUCUUAUGUAUGAUUGUCUUAAACUGCACUUUAUUAUGUUUCCCAAAAACACAAUACUUGCAUAAAUCAAGUUUACAUGUUUUGACGUCCUUCAAUAGAUUUAUCUUAUGAAGCUCCAUCAUCUCACGCUCACCCAAUGACCUAAUUGCAUAUGCCACAAGACUAUACUGUAUGACUCAGACUCUGCGGUUGCAACUCCACCCACAACUGUGGUACCUAACAGUUUAUAAAUAUUUCCUACUUGCUUCUACCCCUUCAUCACUGUCAUAGCACCUUUACUCACCUUCAUUACUCCACUUGUAGACUUGUAACUAAACCCAUUACAGUCUAAGGUCCCCAAUGAAAUCAAAUUCUUCCUUAAAUCAGGUACAUGUCUAACAUCACACAAUGUUCUAACAAUACCAUCAAACAUUUUAAUUCUGAUAUUCCCUAUUCCAGCAACUUUACAUGAAGUAUCAUUACCCAUCAAAACAGAACCAAAAUUUACUAACAAGUAUGUGUUAAACCAAUCUUUAUUGGGUUUCAUAUGAUAAGAGCAUGCUGAAUCCAAAAUCUAAGAAUCUAUAAGAUGAUCUGAACUGGAUGAAACCGACAACAUAUCACCAUCACCACUCUCUGAGUCUUCUUCUACCACUACAUUCGUAAACUUUGAUGAACCCUCUUUAUUUUCUGUACCCCAUUUGUUUUUCUCUGGACAAUUUCGUUACAUGUGCCCCAUUUUUCUGCACUUAUAACAUUGUAUGUCUUUUCUCUUCCUGGAUUUAGAUUGAGAUUUGUUGUUACUUGAUUCACUCCGAAACUUCUUUCUCCCACGCUCCUGAUUUCUCCUUGCCACAAGCCCUUCACCCUAUGAACUCUCAUCAUUGGCUUUCUUUCUCUGAUUAAAACCUAAUAGAACACUUGUGAUCUUCUCCAAUUCGAGAGUUUCUUUUCCCCACAUCAGAGUUGUGACUAGAUUAUCAUACGUAGAAGAAGCAGGUAGGGAAUUCAGUAACAUCAAUGCUUUGUCUUCAUCUUCGAACUUCACAUCAACUCGCUUCAAAUCAUUGAUGACAUGGUUGAAUACAUUGAUAUGUUGGCUUAGAUCUGAGCCCUCUACCAUCUUAAGACCACACAGUUUCUGCUUAAGAUACAACUUGUUCGUCAACGAAUCAAACAUAUACCGACUUUCCAAUUUCAACCAAAUUGCAAACCGAUGAUUCCUCAUCCAUUACAUGGUACAUCACAACAUCAGCUAAACAAAGCUUGAUAGUUGUCACAGUCUUCACUUCUAAAUCCUUGCAAUCUAUGGCAUUCAUUCCUUCUGGUUGUUUUCAGCAUAAUGCCUUCAUAAUGCCUUGUUGCGCUAACAAAUCCCUAACCUUCCUCUGCCAUAGACCGCAAUUCCUAGAUCCAUCGAACUUGACUAUGUCGAACUUCGUAGAAGAAAUCCCAUACAUUGGAACCUAGUGCUCUGAUACCAAUUGUUGUGAUUCCUGCAGCAAUUCCUAAUGAAGAAAUUAGAGAAAACAAAAGAAAAACACACAGAUUUAAUGUGGUUCAGAAAAAUGCCUACGUCCACGGGAACUGGGUUGAAGAUUUUCACUACUCCAAAAUUAAGGUUACAAGAAAGGGUAUUUAUACUAACCGUCGUUCCACUCCAGCAUUUGCCCAUUUUUUUCUAUGUCUUUCACUCAAUAUGAGCCACAUAGUACAACAAGGUUCCCAACGUGAAACAUUUUCAGAAGCCUUUUUUGAUGGGAGCAAAGGAUUGUGUAGGCACCCUCUAAGUGUAAGUUGCCAAGAUGUUACACCAUCGAGAUUUGAUGGCAGCCACUCACAACCUACUUUUGAUGGCAGCCGCUCACCACCGACAUCUAAUAGCAGGCACUCAGGUUCCAAGAUGGAGAUUAAAUGGGAAUACAUAGCUCCUGAAAUUGGAUUCAUGACAAGGUUAGGAAUUGUGUAUUGGUCUCUAGUGUUGUGCAAGAGAUAGAGGAAAUGAUACUACAAACAUGUUGAUAGAAUUCUUUCAAGGAUUCUCCGUGGGCAAGACCAAGGAAGAGCAAGUGGUGGAAGAAGAGCUCACAGAAUUCGGAGGCAAAGAAUGUAGCAGUGGUGUAAAGGGAUUUAGUUACUUGUCAAGAGUCUUGUUUCCAUUAAUGCAAUCCUAUGUUACAUAGAAGAAAUAUUAAAAGGUUUUUAUUUAAUAAAGAAUUUAAAUUCUAAAACCACUCCACCGAAGCUUUUCUACAAAUAUUUUAGUCAUAAAAGUCUUUUUUCAACCAUUAUAUUAUAUUUGAUUCUAAUGAAGUAUUAUUACCAAAGAAAAAUAAAAUAUUAAGAAAAAUUAUUUUCUCAUUUUUAUUUGUUAUAUGAAUAAUGUAAAAAAGAAUCAAAUAUGACUUGAAUUAAUUAAAAACUUAUACAUUUUUAAAUUAUUUAAUCUUUAUAUUUAAGAGUUAAAAUAAGUGAAAUGAGUUUGCAAUAAUAUAUCAAAAUAAUUUAUAGACUUUAAAUUUAUUUUUUAUUUUCUUUCACAUUUUUUCUUUUUCUACUUUUCUUUUCUAUUUUCUUUUUCUUGCAUUUUUAUUGAAAAUUUUCAAGAACCAAACAUAGUCUUAAACAUUCAAAAAAUUAGCUAUUUUAAAAAUAUAAUAUUUCAAAUUAAAUUUCUUUUACAUAUUAAAUAAAAAAAAUUAUAUGUUCUACCUACAUGCAGAAAAGCUUUACAUUCAAAAUUAUAGUCUAUAUUAUGAGUGAUAAUUCAUAUUAGUAGGUCAUGUUCAUGUCAUGUCAAAGUUUAAGUAUUCUACUAUAUAGUUUAACCCAAAUCCAACAUAAAUAAUAACUCAUGUAAAAAAUGUAAACCCAAAUACUAAUUAAUUAUUGAACAUGUAAUAUGUCAUGUAACUCAUUUAAUCCAUUUAAUAAUCUAAUCCUCCUGAUUAAUAAUCAAGUUGAGUUAGAUUUGUAUAUAUCUAUAUUAUUAAUGUGUCAAUCAAAUAUAUUUAUAACUCAAUUGAUUUAUUUAUUUAAAAAUAAAUUUAAAAUAAGUAAAAUAUGAGUUAAAUAGUUUAAAGAUAUAAUUAGGUUAAUAGCGGGACUAUUAAAUUGGUCAAUUCAAAUCAAAUCCAUGUUAUUGAAUUAAAAAUUAUCUAUUUAUUAAAUAAGUUAUAUAAGUCGAUACGAAUUUGAUCUCAACUCAUUUAUAUUCAACCAAAACCUACAAAAAAUGUGUUGGAUUUAUAUCAUGUUGACGAAUCAUAUCAAACUUUGUCACCAUUAUCCAUAACCCUAUUAAACCUACACAAAAUAAAAUUUUAAUUUGAGAGGUUCAGAAAGUAAUUUUAGCUGAAAAGGAGACUUGGUUAAGAAUUAAGAUGAGUCGGUUGGGUGUGGGCUGUUAAAAAAGUCUGAGGCAGGCCUGGCCCAUAGUAGAGCUACUGAAUGUGGAUUAUUAAAAAUUCUGAGUCUGGCCUGGCCGAUAGUAGAGUUGGCUGAACAUGGGGUUGCUAAAAAUUCUGAGCCUGGUCUGGUCCAUAUAGGACUCCACUGAGACUGCUAGGCCCACAUUUAGCCAUGAGGGCCUGAGUUGGGUAAAACUUGGCUGGCUGGAUUCGGGUCAAAACAACAAAUAUGGGCCUGAUUUGUACAAACUAAGACCAAGUUAAAUUGCUAGGCCCAUAUCCACCCCAAUCAACACAGCUCAUCUUGAGCCUAAGGGCCUCUUUUGGAAAACCGUAUUCUAAGGUCUUAUUUGCACACUUUUUCUGUAUUUAAAAGAUAGAAACUUUUAUAUAUAAAAAGUAUUGACUUAUCUCAUAUUUUUAAAAUUCACUUUCAAAAAUUUUAAAGUUUAAGGUAAUCUAAAUUUUUUAAUACUCAAUUUUAUAAAAUAGUUUUAAAAACAAUUGCAUUUUUUCUAUUUUUAAAAAUAGAAAAUAGAAAAUAAAAAAUAAAAAAUAAAUCCAAACAAAUAUUAGCAAACAAAUAAUUUACCAUACUAAUUAGCAAGGUCUUACAAGUCCUUGUUCUGGAACUACACCUAAUUCAACUCUCUUUUCCUUCAACAUUUUCCUAGAAUGGAACUGAUUUUUGAGUCUUUGGUACUUCUCAUCAUACCCUUCUAAAUGACUUCAGAUUCUUGGCUAUUUCUGCCUCCUCCCCUCACAACAAUUUCUAAUCAAUUUUCUUGUUGGAAAAAAUUCCAUUUGGGUCUUAUCAGGAAAGAGGUUGGCAUCCAAUCUUCACACAACAAAUGGUAAGAUUAAAUGGAAGGAACAAAGGGGUGAAGAGAAACAUGAGUCAAGAGCCCAUGCGCUCCAGUUUCUAGAGAAAAGGGUGGGACCCAAUUUAGGCAGGGAUUUGAUUACCUUGUCUAGAAAACAAAGGGGUUGGACCCAUGAAAAGAAAUUGGAGGUUGGCAGGUUUUGAAUUUUGCUAUUUAUUGGUUGUUGGCAUGUAUACACCCAGUCAAGUUUUAUUAGAAGAUGGUAUUUUAUUUGGCGCCUGUUGUUAGUGUUUGAUUAUGGUAUUUGAACCACCAAUUUGGUGUGGGACAUCUAGUCCAAUUUAAUUACUGUUGAGAAUUGAAAGUAACAAAGUUGUUCAUCAAAUUUACCUUUUGACAAACUUUAUGGAAUUUCAAUUCCAAAGAAGACAAAUGUGUAGCAUUCAAGUGUGACAAUGUAAUUAUAUAAAUUAAUCCCAUGUGUUAGACCCCACAUUGAAAAUUUUAUAAUAGCUAAACAACUUUUUUGCACAACAUUUCUUAAUGAAAUUUACGUUUGUCAAAAAGCUUGAAUUAAAACAAAAAGAAUUUUGAAACUUUAAAACAUGCUAUUUAAUUAUUAUUCCAAUAAUUUUACCAUAUUUUGUAGACAAAAAAUAACUACAUUAAUAUGCAUUAAUAUAAAUCACGAUUUACUUUUAAGCCCUAUUGGAAUUAACUUCUAAAGGCCAAAAAUUUCUUUUAAAAUUUAAUGACAACUUCUUUAUUUGUUUACAAUUUUAUGGCAUUGUUUUAUAAAUUAAAAUUCAAAAAAAUGUUCCUUAGAAACUAUGAAACAAGGUUAGUUUGAUUAAGAAAAACACCCCAGAGUCGGAGUGAAUUAGGUAUUCAAAAUCUUUUCAAAAAUAAUUAAUUAAAAUCACAAAAAAAAAAACUUAAAUAAAAGUGCAAUAAAAUAAAGAGCAAAUAGAAGAAAAUUGUAAAUUAUUUUUAUAGUGGUUUAACAACUCACCUAUGUCUACUCUCCUAAAUCUCCUAACGGAGUGAUGAUUCCAUUACCAAGGCUUCAAUCCAAGUCUUCAAUGUUUACCAAUAAAUUCAUCGACUCCAAUGGAUUCUAUAAUCUCUUCAAGUUUUUCACCAACUUUAAGUCUAUAUCACUUAAGAAAGAAUAAGUAGAUGAAUUUUUUUAUAGUCUUAACCCUAGUACAAAUAUAGCUCAAUACACAAAGAACACUAUGAUGAACUAAAGGGUGCACUAAAGGAUUUGCAAAUUUGGAAUAAAUUCACUUAAAUGAAGAGCUUUGAAAGAAGGAAAGUAAGUGAAUAUGAAAUCAAUGCAAGUGCUCUCUUCUUCUUACAUGAAAGAAAGUUCUUCAAUUCAUAGAAAAUCACCUCAAGCAUCUAAAAUAGCAUGAAAGGCCUUGAUUGAUCGAGGACUGAUUGAGUUCUUAUUCAAUCGAUUGACCAGUUGUUGGUGUAUUUAAUGCAUAGCAAGUGAUCGAUUAGCCAAUUAUUGGUGCAUUAAUGCAUAACAAGUGAUCCUUGGCACUUUUAAUACUCAACCCAUCAUACAUCAACUACUAAAAAAAAAAAAAAUUACAAGCUCAACUAGUUCUCAACUAGGAAAGCCCAUAGAUUGAGUCAAUUUCCUAACCAAUUCAAUCGGUUCUAGGAACCCUUAGCUAGUUGCACCAAAAAGUAGCCAAAAUGGUUCUAAUUUUCGCUUUAAGCCUCCAAUGACUUGUGUAUCCCUUCUUAAAGCCUUUAUAAGUUAUUUUUGAAAGAAUUAAACCUUAGGUUUUGAAAUAAAAAUCAUGCUCAUCCACUUCAAAAAUAAAUGGUGACUUUUAAGCUUAGGCGAGGAUGAAUAAAAAAUAGUUUAGAAGUGCAUAAAAUUUUUUGAACCUAAGUGCACCAAUGAAACUCAUCUUAUCGAGAAACCUAGACAACUUGAGUCUUCAAGUGAUCCAUUUCUUCAUGACUUUUGGAUUUUGCACAAUGGUACUUGAGCUUCCGUUACAAAUCAUCAUUGAAACCUAAAAACUUCACUUGAUUUGAACUUGUUAGUAUAUUUAACCUUGUUUUGUAACCAUUAAAAUAUAAUUAGGAGAAUCUUUGUGCUAACAAUCUCCCCAUUUUUUAUAAUGACAAAACUAGGUUAUCUAGGAAUGAGAAAAAGAAGAUUUCCCCCUCAAACUAUUCAUAAACGAAAUCAAGUAAAGCUCAAAGAAUUUGGAUAGAUCUCACAACUAGUUAAACAAUACCAUUUACCAAAACCUCAAUAAGGAACAAGUACAUUAGCACUUGUGAAUAGAUCAUGAUAUCCAUACAAUAUUAAUUAUCAUCAUCAAGAUAUCAAACUAUAGUUAGGAUAAAUGGAAAAUCAAAAUAUUCAACAUGAGUAAUAAGCACAUAUCCAAGUAUCCAAAACAAGAUCAUGUCAUAAUAUCCAAAAGAUAUUAUCAAUGUUAGGAAGUGUCCUAAAUUCCUAAUUAGUAUAGAUUCCUUUUUGUAAAGAAUAUUAUAUAGAAUAUUUCUAGGUUGAUAUAUUAUUGUAAUAUUAGACUUCCUUAUAGAAUAAGGAAGGUUGUUGGAAAUAUCUCUAUAAAUAUUCUAGGUCAUGAGGGGAAAAAGUUAUGAGAUGGAGAUGGACCUGUAGAGACUAUAUGAGGUGGAUAGAGAUGUGAAGAAGAACGGGAGGUACUCGGUGGAGCGAGAGGACUCGUAGUAAGGUAUGGAUACAACGAGUGGGGAUACAUGGGAUGUUUCGGGAACCCAAUAAUUGUAUCCGGUUUUGUCCUCUAUAAUAUUCUCUAUUGUAUAAUGGAAUCAUUAUCUCUCAUCCGUGGACAUAGGCAUGGUUGGCCGAACCACGUUAAAACCUCGUGUACCGUAUGUGUGAUUGUUUUAUCUUUGUGUUCUCGAACUAACAUUGUUGGCAUCAGAGCUUUUGUUAGCACUACAACUAGUAUCAGAGCUUGGGUUGAAGAUUUCUGGAAGAGUAAAAGAUCACAAAACAUAUAAGAUGAAAACAAAAAGAAUUUUCAUUGAAGGUGGAGUCGAUUGCUCUUUCAUGGCGAUAUGAUACAAAAAGGUUUGUGUCAUGGAGAGAUUGAAGAUUAACUUCAUGGAAUUUGGUAAAAGGUGGAGAUUGUUAGGAAGUGUCCCAAAUUCCUAAUUAGUAUAGAUUCAUUUUUGCAAAGAAUAUUAUAUAGAAUAUUUUUAGGUUGAUAUAUUAUUGUAAUUUUAGACUUCCUUAUAGAAUAAGGAAGAUUGUUGGAAAUAUCUCUAUAAAUAUUCUAGGUCAUGAGGGGAAUAAGUUAUGAGAUGGAGAUGGACCUAUAGAGACUAUACGAGGUGGAUAGAGAUGUGAGGAAGAACGGGAGGUACCCGAUAAAGCGAGAGGGCUCGUAGUAAGGUAUGGAUACAACGAGUGGGGAAACAUGGGAUGUUUCGGGAACCCAAUAGUUGUAUCCGGUUUUGUCCUCUAUAAUAUUCUCUAUUGUAUAGUGGAAUCAUUAUCUCUCAUCCGUGGAGGUAGGCAUGGUUGGCCGAACCACGUUAAAACCUCGUGUACCGUAUGUGUGAUUGUUUUAUCUUUGUGUUCUCGAACUAACAUUGUUGGCAUCAGAGCUUUCGUUGGCACUACAAUCAAAACUAGGACUACUCAUCCUAGUUCUAGUGGGACUCUUCAUGAUAGGUUGUGGCACCAACUACUCCUGCUAAGACUAUAAGUCAUACUCAGACUACAAAUACAAUUACAAUAUGAAUAAGACUCCUACGCAUACUAGGCUCAUAAUUCCGCUUUGAGUUCAACUCUUCAUGUUGCUACCAUAUGCAUCUAUAUAUAGCUCAUGUGUCUUCCAAGCUCUCUUUUGGUCUAGACAUCUAAGUCACAUCCAUGUCGAGGCUACAUGUCCUUGCACUCAUCAUGUUAUUUUUGUGUGUGCCCAUAGGAACAACUCUUAUACAUGCCAAGCCUUCUUCUCAUUUAAUUCAUAUCCACACCUAGACAACCAACUAUCCCUAUACUCAUGCCCUAUGUCGUUGUACUCAUGGGUUGCAUCUCAUCCUAGCUCCUUGCCCAUGGUUGUAUGCUUUAGAAAAGGUUAAUACCACCCCUUGCUCAUGUUUGAAGCCCACGCUUCUUCCUAUUGAUGCUAUGGCACCAUGCCACAUCCCAUUCUUUCUUGGUAUAGCAACAAGUCAUGGCAUUGUGCCUAUGACUCCUUAUUCAUGCACAAGGCAUUGCACCCCUUGUGUAUAGCAUCCUAUAUUGUGUCUUGAGUCGACUUCGUUGUUAUCUAUGCCACAUCCAAGCAACAAGCCAUGGCAUUGGGUCCAUGGCUCUUCAAGCCACCCCACACAAGGCAUUAAGCCCUUAUACUAUCAUCGGGAGGAGAGUUCACAUCACUCCCUAUGUCAUUAUUGCCACAAGUUGCACACCACCACAUGUCAUAGAGCCCAUGUGUGGGUGCCAACAAGGCUUGCCCCAUGUGCCUUACUCAUGUCAAAAGCCUUACACUAAGGCCUCUAGGUGUAGCCAUGCCCAAGCCACCAUGCCUCACCUUGAGUCACCUACUUGCCCCUCCCUACCCUCCUUAAAUAGUUUUAGGUCAUUUGAAAGUUUUUAGAGGAAACAUCACAUAUUCUUGAGGAGGAAAUACAAGACCUAUUAUGCGUAUGCCCCAUGCAUACACGUGAACUAUUGUGUGUGCGACUUAUUGUGUGCACGCCUCAUGCAUUAACUACUCACAUUCACCCAAGUGUUGUCACCUUUUUGCCUAUUUGAUGCCACAAACCCUUCAUUACGUUGUAGUUUCCCUAAGGGCUUCCCUCAUGGGUGUAAGGUGUUUACCCAUGAGACCUUUAUUGUCGUAUGGUCCAUGUCAAGGGGCUAAUAAUAAUCUUACUCCCAUAACCCAUAUUGGUGUUGUUUCAUUUUCUCCAUCUCUCACCCUUCGUAAUGGCCUUUAUGCGUCCAACUUAGCAUAAUGGAGCAAGUAGAUCGUCAUUUUAUGACCUAGGACCUUUAUUACUUUGUUUUUUUGCACUUUGAUUUAGUUGUUGUGUUGCUAACACAAUGGUUUCAAUGUUUGGUUGCCCUAUCCAACCACAUCCUAUUGCCUUUCUUCUUGUAAAAUGAGAGAAUAUGCUCAAUUCACAUUAGAAAAAGGGUUCAUAAGCAAAAUUUGUCCAUGUACAACAAAAUAUGAUUUAUUUAAACCCAUCAAUAAUUGAAUGAGAUGGUAUUACUAUUGAUAAUCUACCAAGGCCUUUUUUGCUAAGCACAUAUAUGUGGAAAAAAAUUGCAAAUUUGCAAGUUCAUCCCAUAAAGCUUUUAGUCGAGUAUAAUUGGUAACAAUAGAAAGUUGUUCUUGUCUUAGAGAGAUAAUAUCUCUCUCAAUUUGAAGGAAGCGAAGGGUAUUGAGUUGAGAAAAAUGCUCCUUUAGAUCAGACCAAAUUUUGACUCUUAUAUCUACAUAAAAAACAUUAUUGGCAAAAUCUUGAGAUAAAGAAUGGAGGAUCUAAGUUACCAUAUUGUUGUAAUGAUUCCACAUAUCAUAGGUUGAAUCCGUUGAAAAGGGUUUUGUGGUCAAUCCAUCAAUGAAGCCCACUUUGUUCUUUGAACUCAAGGCUAUAAGCAUAGCCCUACUCCUAGUUGAGUAGUUUUCACUCAAUGUUUUCAUAACUAAACUCAUUGAACCACAAAAAUUAACGAUUGUAGUUUGGUCGUCCAGUGUUUCAAGUGAUGGUUGAACUACAAUCGAACUAAUAAUUUUAUAAAUAUAUCAUUUACAUUAUUAAAAUUAAAAAUAAUUAUAAAUUUUUAGAUUAUAUAUAAAGUAAUUAAAAAUAAUAAUAUUCAUUUUUCAUUUUUGAUAUUAUCAAAUAAAUUAUGAAUAAAUAUAAAUUUAUUAUUAUUUUAAAUUUUAUGAAAUAAUAUAUAUAUAUAACAUUUAAAUAUGAAGAAUAUAUUAAAAUAGAAGAGAAUUAUUUUAUUUAUAUUUAUUUUACUUAUAAUAUAUUAUCUUACUCAUAUUUUUUAAAAUACUAUUUAUUGUAAAAAAAAUUAAAAUAAUUAUGAUAUUUUAUUUUGGGUUUGAAACAUUUUAAUAUAAUAAUUAUUAGCAACAAAGUGGUCCCCAUCCCAUCUCAUGAUCAAUUAUGGUUGGGCUUCCAUUGACCUUACCACAUCAAAAGCACACAAGUAUGAGGAAGCCUUUAAAUUAAAUGAGAAUGCUUUUGAAUUCUCCAUUGCAUGAUCAGUUAAACAACCAAGAUAGCCCAAAGUGGAGCCUAGUAGGAGCCUCAUAUUAUGGCUAGGCUUCCAUUGACCUUAAUAAUGUGAAGUGAGCUUCCACCUACUCUUUUGCCAAGGAAAGAAAAAGGUUUGGCCAACCUGAACUAGCAAACCAGUUCAUCGUCAAAAGGUUGAACAAUUAAUUUGUUCGAUUCAAGGUUGAUUCAAUAUGUACUUCGGCCCAAAGGUUGGACUAAACUAGAUUAAGCUCCGAUCAACGGUUUGACCAAUUAGACCGGCUAGUUUGGUCCAAUUUUUAAAAUAUUUUUUUCACCCAUUAAAGUGCUAGGACUAAUAUUCUAUUACAACAAGCGUGGCACAUUAAAAAUUUUAGUCUUCUUCUCAUAUAACAAGAAUACAUGUAAAGUAUUUUUAAAAUUGCCCCCGUUGCCAUGAUAUUAUAAUGAAAUCAAAAUAAAACAUUUAAAAAAGUUAAUGAGAAUAAAAUUAUAAUAAAUUUUAUAAUUUUCAUGAAUAUUUUGAAAUCAAUCAACAAAAAAAGAAAGAAAAGAAAUUGUAUAAUAAAACAAAUUAGGAUAAUAAUCUUGAGUUUACUCCAUAUAGUGAAAAAUAAGUUAUUUAGGGUCCGUUUGAAAACUGUUUUGAAAAACACUUUUCUAUUCUUCGAAUUAAAAAAAACACAGAAAACACGUUUGAUAACAAAAAACUGUUUUAUGUUUUAUAUUCUUAAGAAUAAAAAAAUACGAUAUUUUUAAAUAAUAUCUUUUAAUUGUUUUAUGAUGUUUUCACUUAUUUUUUAAGGACUAUUUUAAAAAAUAAUUAUACAAAUAUAUUGAAUGAUUAAAAAUAAAACACUACAUAUAAAAACACUAUGUUUUUAAAAUAUUAAAAAUAUUUUAGGUUUUCAAAUAGACUUUUAUUUUAUAAAAAUUUAAAAAUAAUUUUUAAAAACUAUUUUUAAAAAUUAAUUUUUAAAAUAAUUAUCAAACAUACCCUUAUAUUUUGACGAGAGACAAUUAUUUGAUCGUAGAUAUGUCUUAAAUAAGAUUUAAAAACUAUAAAGCAUUGUUAUAUUAGUAAAUGAUUAGCAUGGAAAAGUCAAGUAAAAUCCAAAAUCAUCUCCCCAUAUUCACAAAAUCCAAACCCCACUUCAAAGCUGAAUCCAAUCCCUCUUAACCAACUAGAAGACCAAGUGCAGCUAUACCUACUUCAUCUGUCCUCUAUCCCCAAUUUUCCUUCAACUUUGUCCCUAAAAUUCAACCUCUGGAAUUCUUUUUCUUUGAAUUGAACCGUUGGGAUUCUCCUGGCAGGACUUCCACUCUUCCAUGAUUUUGCCCUCCUCGUAAUAAUUCCCAACCAAGCUUCUUUCUUAAGGCAGAGAAUCCAUUGGGGUUUUCGAAUGGAGGAAGUCAAGCAUCUAAUCUUUAUACUAAGAACCUAAAAAAUUAAGAAUUUUGUUGAGUCUUGAAUCCGUGUGUUGAAAAGGGGAUGAUUCACAUUGUAGCACCCCAGUAUCUUUCAGAUCCCAUUAUUUUAUAUAUUAGUUAAUUUUUAUAUUUUAUAUUUAAUGGAUUUAAAAAAUAUUUUAAAUCUUUUUAAUACUUAAAAAAUAAUAAUUUUUAAGAAUUAGAAAAUUUUAAAUAUUUUUCAUAAUCAAUAUUAAAUAAACUUUUAAUCUCAUUAUUGAUAUAUAUAUAUUUUAUUUUUUUAUACUUAUUUUAUUUAUUUAUAUUAUUAUUUAAUAAUUUAAAUUUCUAAUAAACGAAAAAGCGUGAAAUGCGUAAGGAGAGUCCUGAGUGAGGACAGAGGAGCCAUGGGUUCAAAACUCGGGAAAGAAGGGUGGGACCACUUUAAGUGAUAUUUCAUUAUUUUGAUGAACUUUUCAAGAUAUCAAAGGAGGUGGGCCCAUGAAAAGAACCAGUCGAUGGCACGUCUUCAGUCUUGCUGGCUGAUGAUUUCUUUUAUAGUGGAGUUUUGUGCACAUAUAUUCAAAGUUUUGCCUCGAGACUACUUUAUGCGUCCAUUAUGGCAUUUGAACUACCAAUUUGGUGUGGGCCAUGUGGUUGGACAAUCCACCAUACUCUUAAAAUGAUAAUAAGGGUAUAUUGUUUUAAAUAUAUAAUUUAAGGAGAGGAUUUUCCAAUAUUUUAACAAAUAUGAUAAAUAUGGUCAGCUUAAAAAAAUAAUAAUAAGAAUAUAAAUGAGAUAAUCACGUAAAAAAAAAUCCAAUUAUUGCAUCUUUUUAUUAACUUCUCAAACUAUAUAUUAAAAUAUAAGUAUUAAUGUUACAUACCAAACUUUGUUAUAUAAAUUCAAAAAGAGGAUAAAAAUUCCAGACUGGGGCAUGGCACGUGGAAAGGGUAAAAGGACGGACCAUUUUGGUACUAAUUCUUCAAUGAACUUUUUGACAAAUCCUAUUUGGAGGUUUUUUUAUUUAUUUUUAUUUUUUGAAAUAAAAACUGAAAUAUUAAAGCACUGGACCAAUUCAGACCCAUGGCUGAAUCACCCACGAAUUUAAUGAUUCUGACAAGACAAUCAAAACCCAUGGCUGAAUCUCGAAGUCCUGGUAUGACAUUGCUGAUAAUUCAAUAAAAAAAUAAUAAAAAUAAAAAUGUUUAAGAUUCUUUUGAAUCUUAGUUCACACUUUGAGGAUUGACAUUCAGAUUGAUGGAAAAGGUUGCACCACCGCCACGUUCCACUCAUGUUAUCAUGAAUAUGAUCAUGCUUUAUGUUGUGGUGGGGAGACGCCCAAUAGAGCAAACCUCUUUUUCUUCUUCCAUUUAUCUUCCCCCUUUUUUCUUUUUUCUUUUUUCUUUAUUUAUUUAUUUAUUUAUUUAUCCUCAACGUGUCAAGAGUGUCGUUGAAAAAGUACAAGAUUAUUGUAAGUUUAAAAUAACGUUAUUUAAUUAUAGUAAAUUUAACCGUUGAGGUAACUCGUGAUAGCCGUACAAAAUAGUCAAAUCGAGUCAUAUAAUGAACUUCAUCUAAUAUAGGGCUUGUAGCUUAGGCGGGUGGUUUAGAUUGGUGCUUAACCCAAGGUCAAUUAGAAUUAAAAUAUAAUUAAUCCAACUUCAAUUCAACCCCAAUUAUAAUCGAGAUACUUAAUUUAAGAUUAAUUCAAUCUUAUUUUUUUUAAACUUGAAUUGAGUUUAACAGGUUAUGUAUUUGAAAAUUUAUCUAUAAUAUUUUUAAAAACUUUUUAAUGUAUUUAUAUGUAAAUUUAAAUAAUAUAUAAAAUAAAAUUUCAAGAUAACAAUAAAAUAAUAAACAUAAAUUUAUAUAUAUUUCUAAAAAAGUAAUAUAUAUAUAUAUGAUGUCGUAUAUAAUUUGAUAUUUUUUUCUUAAAAAUAGAAAAAGAAAAUACAUAUUAUGGAUAAUAUACAUUAUCAAUAUUAUAAAAACGUUAAAUUGGGUCGGGUUAAGUUGGAGUUAUUUGAACCUUAACCCAAACCUAACCAAAAUUGAGGUCAAAUUGAAAAAAAAUGUAACCCAAGCCUAACUCGAGUUUUAAAAAUAAUUGUUCAAAUUGCCCAAAUAUCGAAUUAGAUUUAGGUUAGGUUAGGUCAACCCAUUCAAGUUACACCCCUAAUUUAAUAUAACCAUUUACUAAUUCCAAACUGAAAAUUAAAUUCAUUAUGAAAUUUAUUUAUUACAUUAAUACUAUUGUUAAGUAGACUUUUUUUUUAAAUCUUUUUCUUUUUUAUUUUCCCCUCUUUCACGAUAUACAAACUUCAUGUCAUGCUAAUAGAAAGUUUUGAUUCAUUAUAAAAGUAUACUAUCGUGAUUAAUUUAUGAAAAUUAGAAUACAUUUGAUAGUGAUUUUAGAAAGUGUUUUUAGUCAUUUUUAUGUUUGAAAGAUAAAAAAUUUUAAUUGUUAAAAGAAGUAGAAAUACUUCCUAAAUCAUUGUUAAACGCAUUUUUUUAUGGUCGAGACUUUGAUAUUAAUGGUCAUACAAAUGGUACAAUUUUAUAAAAAUAUUGAUAUUGAUAUUGAUAAAAAAAAUUAUGAAAAUUGACAUUGAAAAUAAAAAUCUAAGAUUAAAUUUUGAGAAAUCUAUUUGAAAAUAGAUAUGCAUAAAUUAAACUAGUUUUUAAUAAGAUAUGCAAGACAAAAUUAGCGUUAUUGGUGAAUAUAAUAUAUGAUUUAAAAUUAAAUAUUAACAUAGAAAUAAAAAAAUUAUUUUAUUAAAUUUCAACAUUGGAAAACCAAUAUUAAUACAAGUAAGCACAAAAAUAUAGAGAUAAAAAUAAAUAAGAAUAAAAAAAUAAAUAAAAAAAGAAGCCAUUCACGCUAAGAUAAAAAAACUUCUACAGCAUUUCAAUUAUAUGGAUUAAAGAGAAUUAUUGUAUUAUUUUAUAAAUAAUAUUAUAAAGAACAAAAGCAAUAAGUAUAAUAGUAUAUUAAGGGUCUAUUUGCUAACUAUUUUUUAGAACGAUAUUUUAUUAUCCAAAAAUAAAAAUAGGAAAACGCUAACCAACCACUAUUUUUUGUUUUUUGUUCUUAAGAAUAUGAAAUAUGUUGUUUUUAGAGAACAUUUUUUAAUUACUUUAUAUUGUUUUCUAUGGGUUGUUUUAAAAAAUAAUUAUACAAACAUGUAAAAUGAUUAAAAAUAAAAUAUUAGACUUAAAAAUUAUUUUUAAAAUGUAUUUAAAAAUAUUAAAAAUAGGUUAAAAACAUUUUUGGUUUUCAAAUAAACUUUUAUUUUAUAAAAUAUCAAAAAACUAUUUUCAAAAACUAUUUUUAAAACUAUUUUCGACGGUUACCAAAUAUACCCUAAGCCUUCAAUUUCACAUAUAUUUUCUUACUCUCAUAUUUAGGAUUUAAACCAUGACUCCUCAUCUUAUUACUAAAUAUAUAUAUAUAUAUAUAUAUAUAUAUAUAUAUAAAACUUGAGACCAAUAAUUUUAACAAUGAAUCAAAUUUCAUUAAGUUAAUAUUUUAUCUUUUAUCUGAUACACAUCUUCAUAGUUUAUGUGACUUUUCCACAUAUUCUUUUAUCAUACGAAUGACCCAUUUGCUAUGCAACUAGAGUUUAAGUCCAAAAUAAUCAAUUGGUAGAAAAAAAAAAUGGUAAGGAUGGUACAUAUCUCAAAAUAUUUAUCAAACUAAUCUUUUGCAUCCAUGUAAGCAUCCAUAUGGAUUUUUUUUCAAGUGUGUAAAACCACCGUUGAUGACUGUGAUUUUAAAAUUUUUAGGAAUAUCCUUAAAACCACAGUUUAUAACUGUGGUUUUACAAUUUUCCUUAAAACCACAGUUAGUAACUAUAGUUUCAAAAUUAUUUUUAGUUCACCCUUGUUUUAGUGGUAUUGUAAUUUUAAUAUUAUUUUUAAAAAUUUUUUAUCAUAAUAACCAUAAAAUCACAGUUAGUAAUUGUGGUUUUGAAAAUAUCCUUAAAAACCACAGUCCUAAACUGUGGUUUUACAAUUUUCUUUAAAACCACAAUUACUAAUUGUGGUGUUUCACAAAUAUCUUUAAGGGGAACUCAUGUAACCAUACAUCAACUAAAAAAAAAAUGAGAUUUUAAAAUUUUAUUUUUUUAUUUUUAAUUUUAGUGUAAAUUAUGGAUGUACCAAAAAUUUUUAACUAUAUACCAAAUUCUUCAAAUUGAUAAAUGGUAGUUUUUUCAUUCUUUUUUUCAUUCGUUCAUGUACAAAGUAUAUAUAAAGGGUAAUCACCAUUCUAAGAAUGAAAAAGAAUGAUACAAGGAAAGAACAACUAAUAUCCUAAUAUCUCAACUUUCCUAAUAUCUAAACAUUCAUAAUAUCUCAACACUGAAUAAUAUAAGGAAAGAAUUAUAAAAGGAAAGUAUUCCUAAUAUCUCAACAAUACGAAAUUUCCUUAAAGUUCUUUUUGGAGUGGGAAAAAUUUCUUAUAAUUUUCCAUUGUCAGUUUAAAAUUAUCUUUUUUACAAAUUAUCCUUAAUAAAUUUUUUCCUUACGAUUGUUUUAAAAUUAUAUCUAUAUUAUCUUUAUUUUUUCAUAUUUUCUUUGAAAUUUUGAGAAAAUAAUUUCGCAUGUAUUCCCAUAAAAAUUUAUAUAUUUAUGGUAAAUAAAAUAUUUAUUUGUUUUAUGAAUUUUAUCACAUAUGAAUUAAAGAAAAUUAUUUUUUCAUAUUAUUUUUUAAUUUUAAAAUAACUAAAUAAAUUAUUUAUAUUAUUUUAAAAAUUUUUAUUUUCAUAUAAAAAUUAAUGUCAAUGGUUAUGAUUUUAGGUUAUUCCUUAAUAAUGGUGGUUUUAUGGUUAUUAUGAUUAAAAAUAAUAUUAAAAUCAUAAUAUCAUUAAAACAUGGAUGAAUUAAAAAUAAUUUUAAAACCAUAGUUACCAAUUAUGGUUCUAAGGAAAAUUGUAAAACUACAUUCACAGACUGUGAUUUUAAAGAUAUUUCUUAAACUUUUAAAACCACAGUCAUUAAUGGUGGUUUUACACACUUAAAAAAAAAAAAUUCAUGUGUAUGUUUACGUAAAUAUAAAAGAUUAAUUUGACAAAUAUUUUAAGAUGGAUACUAUUCUUACCAUUUUUUUCUACCACUGGAUUAUUUUGAACUUAAACUCAUGCAACUAUCUAGGAAGUUAUGGAAUGUACCCUAGAAAAAUUGUCUAAACCAAAUCCUUCGUACCACAUUACUUUAUUAUGUUUUAGGGUCUCCUCAUGCGCAACAAUCCCCUUGGUGCACACUAUUCCCUAAUAUGCCAUGGUCUCUCAUGCUCACAAUCCUCUUUAUGUGCCAUACAUUCAAACUAUUCUAUCACAUCACUACUUCUACCUUCUAAAAUCCAAUAAAUUUAUUCGAGAGACUACACUUAUUCCUAAGAAUAAGUUAUGUACUUCAUGUAUUAUAUUCGGGCGAGAGAAUGACUAAUUUUAUGAUUAAUUAUUAUUUUAUAUUUUUACAAUUUUUUCACGUAGUCUAAGAAUGUGUUGAAUAGUAAUUUUAAAAUAUAUUUAUAAAUUUUUUAAUACUUAAAAAUUUUCAUUUUUUUAAAAUAUUAUAAAUACUUUUUAAAAUUACUGUAAAAUGUCCUCUAAAUCUUUUGACUGAGUUAUAAUAUUCUAUCUUAAUAUAUGCUUCUUUCCUCUUUCAACUAUCAUCACCUUAACACCUAAGGCUUCAAUAUCAUUUGUUAUGCUAGCAAUUAUAUAGGCCAAAAAUACACUUAUUUUGCCCGUGGAAACUUUAAUUCCAUGAAAGCACAAGAAUAUUAAGAUACAAAUAAAUUAUCCAUAUAAAAGUAAACAAUGUUUUAAUAUUGUUUAAUCAAGCACGGUGACAUCCACAUACGAGAGAAAUUGAUUCUAUUAUACCUUUAAGAAAAUAUUACCAAAAAAAAAAAAUUAUUUGAAAUAUCUAGUGUUCUUCUGCUCCUCAUAUUUAGGGCUAUUUGAUUAAAAAUGCUGACAUAUUUUUAAAUUUAUAAAUCUAAUCCUUCACAUAUUUCAACCUAAUAAUAGAUCCAUUUUUUACCAAAAAAAAAGAAAGAAAAAAACUUUUUUAUGUUUUUUUUUUUGGUAGAAGUAACAUUUUAGGACUUGCCUGAAAAUAAUCCAAAUGUUGGGCAUUUAUGUAAAAACGGGUUAGUUUUCCAAUUCAAAUGUAGAAGGUUAUUUUUACAAAUUUGAGAUUACUCAAUCCCUUUUAAUAAAAUAAUUUUUUUAUUCAUACAUGGAAGAAGUCUUUCUUGUUCUUCUUUUUCACGUCUUUACCUACUCGAUGUUGACUACACUUUAAGGACAUUAAAUAUCCAUUCCUAACUCACAAGACGGGUUUUGCAUAUUAAAUAUUUAAAAUAACUUUACGAUUGAAAUAAAAUCAAAACCCAAUACAAAUUUUUCCUUUUUUCAAAGAAAUAAACUUAUGUGGAAACUUAUUUCAUAUUAAUCAAAAUUUCAUUAGAUUAAGAUUUGUUAUGAUUUUGGCUUUAAUUUUGAACUAAAAAAAAAUGCCAAACAACAUUAUAAUGCUUUUAAUGUAUGACAAACAAAAAUUAUACAUAAGUUCCAAUUCUACACUCUCUUUUCUAACAGGCAAGAAAACAACUCACCCCUACUUACAAUAAAAUUUUAACCAGUCACCAUUUGAUGUGAAAUGAGUAGAGCAAAUCAAUGAGUAAAAGGGAGCUUAACAAAAUGGAAACAGGGAGGCAUCUUUUGAAGCAGGCCGCAUUUAAAUACUAUGUCAAGAGUUAGGAGACAACCAAAUUUAAACAAAGUUGAGGUCUAUACUUAUUAAAAUAAUACGGCUCUUUUCUUUGUUCUAAUUAAAAAUAAAUAAAUAAAAGAAAAAACAAAUCAUUCCUUGACUUUGUCCCAAACGUGAUCCAACAAAAUUUUUUAUAUAUAAGAUUUUUUUUUUUUUUUUAAAAAAAAAAACAUUUUUCUUACUUUCUAUUUUUAUUUUUAUUUUUUGUGAAAGGCAACAUCCAAACAAAACCUAACGGGGCUAGGGAUGGCAACAGGGCGGGUUUUUUCGGGUACCCGCCCCGCCCCGCCCCUAAUGGGACGGGGUUGAAAUUUAAUAAACGGGUUUUUAACGGGUAUGAGAUUUUUUUUUUAAACCCGGGGCGGGUUCGGGUAUUGCCCCAUCCCGCCCCGUUUACAUAUAAAAUCAAUUUUAAAAUUUAAUUUAAUUUAAAAUUUAAAAUUAAUUUUAUUUUACUAUUUUUAAUAUAUAGAUAAUAAUAAAAAAAUUAAUAAAAUAAGUUAUAAAAAAUAUAAUAAUUUUAUUAUUUAUUUUAAUGUAAUUAAAAAUUUUAAAAACAAAUUUUUAAAAAAAUUUAAAAAAAAAAAAAAAAGGAGGCUAAACGGGGCGGGGAUGGGAAUUAUUUUUAAUAAACGGGACGGGGUUGGGAUGGGAGCGACCCGUCCCGAACCCGCCCCGUUGCCAUUCCUAAACGGGGCUGCUUUUAUUUCACGAUAUUGACCGGCGCAAUCUCAUGCAUGACACCUUGUAAUAGAGAAUGGUAUUGAGUGGCAUCUUUCUCCCAUCGCCUCUUCCUUUACAAAAAAUAUCUUCGUUUCAAUAAAUCCCAACGCCCAUUUUGUGAUAUUAAUUAAUACAAAUUUGUACAUUUUGUUGGAUGUGUCGUUUUUAGGAAUUGAGACCCAUCACGGGGCCCAAUCAAAUUGGUUGAAUUUUCAUUACACUAUAGUGGGAGUUUGGCAUCCGAAGGAGGCCUAAAGUCCACCAAGGCCGAAAAGAGAACGCGUCAAUACAAGGGACUUUUCUCAAUAGUACAGUAGUUUAAAAAAGUUAUGCUUAAAUUAUUGUAGUAGAAGAAGUUAUUACAAAUAUAUGGUAGUUUUUGCCACAUAGGAGAGAGGAGAGAGGAGAGAGGGUGAGAGAGGAGAGUGGAGAGAGGAGAGAGGGUGAGAGAGAGGAGAGAGGAGAUAGGAGAUAGGGUGAACGGAUAUUACAAAAGGGAACUCGUCUCUUGAAGAGACGAGUUCCAUGAAAAAAAAAAUAUAUAUUUUUUUAAAAAAAUUCCCAUUNNNNNNNNNNNNNNNNNNNNNNNNNNNNNNNNNNNNNNNNNNNNNNNNNNNNNNNNNNNNNNNNNNNNNNNNNNNNNNNNNNNNNNNNNNNNNNNNNNNNNNNNNNNNNNNNNNNNNNNNNNNNNNNNNNNNNNNNNNNNNNNNNNNNNNNNNNNNNNNNNNNNNNNNNNNNNNNNNNNNNNNNNNNNNNNNNNNNNNNNNNNNNNNNNNNNNNNNNNNNNNNNNNNNNNNNNNNNNNNNNNNNNNNNNNNNNNNNNNNNNNNNNNNNNNNNNNNNNNNNNNNNNNNNNNNNNNNNNNNUUAAAAAAAUCCCAAAUUAAAAAAAAAAAAAAAAAAAAAAAAAAAAAAAAAAAAAACCAAUUCCAAAGGGAACUCGUCUCUUCAGGAGACGAGUUCCCAUGUAAUUUUUUUUUUUUAAAUAUAUAUAUAAUAAUAAUAAUAAAAAAAAUAAAAAACAAUUCCUAAAGGGAACUCGUCUCUUCAAGAAACGAGUUCCCAUGUAAAAAAAUUAUAUUUUAAAAAAAAAAUUGUUUUUUUUUUUUUUUUUUUAAUUUGGGAUUUUUUUUAAAAAAAAAAAUAUUGUUUUUCCUAUGGGAAACUCGUCUCUUAAAAAAACGAGUUCCUUUAAGAAAAUUUUUUUUUAAAAAAAAAAAAUAUUUAAAAAAAAAAAAAAUUUUUUUCCNNNNNNNNNNNNNNNNNNNNNNNNNNNNNNNNNNNNNNNNNNNNNNNNNNNNNNNNNNNNNNNNNNNNNNNNNNNNNNNNNNNNNNNNNNNNNNNNNNNNUCCAUGAAAAAAGGCAAGAGAAAGAAAAGUUCCCAGGGAAUUUUAUUUAUUUUUAUUAAAUAUAUUUUUAAUUUAAAAAAAAUCCCAAAUUAAAUAAAAAAAAAUUUUCCUAAAGGGAAGUCGUCUCCGUGGUAAAAUUUUUAUUUUUUUUAAAUUUAUUUAUAAUUAAAAAAAAAUCGAAAAUGUAAAAUAAAAAAAAGUUUUUAAAGGGAAAAAAAUUAUUUAUAAAAAAAAAAUUUCAUUUAAAAAAUAUUUUAUUUAAUUUGGGAAAUUUUUUAAAAAAAAAAAAAAAAAUUUCCUAAAGGGAACUCGUCUCUUCAAGAGACGAGUUCCCUUUAGGAAAUUUUUUUUUAAACAAAAAAUAUAUUUAAAAAAAAUAAUAAUUUUUUUCCUAUGAAACUCGUCUAUUCAAGAGACGAGUUCCCUUUAGGAAAUUUUUUUUUUAAUAUGUAUAUUUUAAAAAAAAAUAUAUUUUUUUUUACAUGGGAACUCUUCAAGGUCUCUUGAAGAGACGAGUUCCCUUUAAGAAUUUUUUUUUUUUUUUUAAUUUGGGAUUUUUUUUAAAUAAAAAAUAUAUUUAAAAAAAAAAAUUUUUUUUCCCAAAGAGACGAGUUCCCUUUAGGAAAUUUUUUUUUUAUUUAAUUUGGGAUUUUUUUUAAAUAAAAAAUAUAUUUAAAAAAAAAAAAAAAUUUCCCUGGGAACUCGUCUUUCCCUUGUCUUUUUUCAAGAGACGAGUUCCCUUGAGUAAAUGGGAAUUUUUUAAAAAAAAUAUAUAUAUUUUUUUUCAUGGAACUCGUCUCUUCAAGAGACGAGUUCCCUUUUGUAAUAUCCGUUCACCCUAUCUCCUAUCUCCUCUCUCCUCUCUCACCCUCUCUCCUCUCUCCUCUCUCUUAUGUGGCAAAAACUACCAUAUAUUUGUAAUAACUUCUUCUACUACAAUAAUUUAAACAUAACUUUUUUAAACUACUGUACUAUUGAGAAAAGUCCUCAAUACAAGCAUACAAACCAUUCAAACAUUAUACACCACGCGGUAUACUUUGACGGCCUCCUCCGUCUUCCAUUCCCCCAUCCUCUGCUUCUCCUUUUUCAUCUUCUUCCAUUUUUUUUUUCAGUCCCCAUCUGGGGUGGAAUCCGAGAUAGAAUUGGAGGUGAGGUUGAUGGGAGUGCACCUCGGUGAAGCCACUGGGACUUUGAUCUUCUCUUCAUUUCUCUGUCUCAUGGGCGUCUCUCUCUGUUGCUUCCAAUGAGAAUUCUAGUCUUUUUGUGGCUCUUCUUCUUGCCCUUGUGCUCAGUCUUGUUUAGGAUCCAUAUCGCUUUGGUGUCCGGUGAAUGUCUUGGUGGUUCGAGGCUGUGUCUGGAGGAUGAGAAAUCGAUGUUGCUGCAGCUGAAGAACAGCCUCAAAUUCAAAUCUAAUGUGUCGAUGAAACUAGUGACGUGGAAUGAAAGUGUGGGUUGCUGUUCUUGGGAAGGUGUAACCUGGGACUCCAAUGGUCAUGUUGUCGGUCUUGAUCUGAGUAGCGAAUUGAUUUCUGGGGGAUUCAAUAGUUCCAGUAGUCUUUUUAGUCUACGGCAUCUCCAGCGCUUGAAUUUGGCCAACAACAGCUUCAAUUCUUCUCAAAUUCCAUCUGGAUUCGAUAAGCUUGGUAAUUUGACUUACCUGAAUUUGUCGGCAACUGGCUUCUAUGGGCAGAUUCCAAUUGAGAUUUCACGCUUGACGAGGUUGGUUACUAUUGAUUUCUCUAUCCUUUACUUCCCUGGAGUUCCAACACUGAAACUUGAGAACCCUAAUCUGAGAAUGCUGGUUCAGAACCUGGCUGAGCUUAGAGAACUCUAUCUUAAUGGUGUAAACAUAUCGGCACAAGGGAAGGAAUGGUGCCGGGCAUUAUCAUCUUCAGUGCCUAAUCUCCAAGUGCUGAGCUUGCCAAGCUGUUAUCUUUCUGGCCCUCUCGAUUCUUCUCUGCAGAAGCUUCGGUCUCUCUCAAGUAUUCGCCUGGACAGUAACAACUUCUCUGCUCCUGUUCCAGAAUUCCUAGCCAAUUUCUCGAAUUUGACUCAAUUGCGGCUCAGUUCUUGUGGAUUAUAUGGAACAUUUCCAGAAAAGAUCUUUCAGGUACCAACCCUUCAGAUUCUUGAUUUGUCAAACAACAAGUUGCUCCUGGGUUCUUUGCCGGAAUUCCCUCAGAAUGGAUCUCUAGAAACCUUGGUGCUCCCGGAUACAAAAUUUUCAGGGAAAGUACCAAACUCCAUAGGCAAUCUCAAGAGGUUGACUAGGAUAGAGCUUGCACGUUGCAAUUUCAGUGGGCCAAUCCCAAACUCCACGGCCAACCUUGCUCGAUUAGUUUACUUGGACUUGUCUGAAAACAAGUUUUCCGGUCCAAUCCCACCUUUUAGUUUGUCCAAGAACCUGACCCGAAUAAACCUUUCUCAUAAUCAUUUAACAGGUCCGAUUCCUUCCUCUCACUUGGAUGGCCUUGUGAAUCUAGUGACUCUUGACUUGAGUAAAAAUUCACUGAAUGGAAGUCUCCCCAUGCCCCUGUUUUCCCUCCCAUCACUGCAGAAGAUACAACUGAGCAACAACCAAUUUUCUGGUCCCUUGAGUAAAUUUUCGGUUGUGCCUUCUGUAUUGGACACUCUUGAUUUGAGUAGCAACAAUCUGGAAGGGCAAAUACCUGUAUCCAUCUUUGAUCUCCAGUGUCUUAGCAUCCUUGAUCUUUCUUCCAACAAAUUCAAUGGCACUGUUUUACUAAGCAGCUUUCAGAAACUUGGAAAUCUUACCACUCUUAGUCUGUCAUACAACAACUUGUCCAUCAAUUCAAGUGUUGGUAAUCCCACUUUGCCCCUGCUGUUGAAUCUUACCACAUUAAAAUUGGCUUCUUGCAAGCUCAGAACAUUACCUGAUCUUAGCACCCAGUCAAGAUUGACAUAUUUAGACCUUUCCGAUAACCAAAUUCCCGGGAGCAUACCUAAUUGGAUUCGGAAGAUUGGUAAUGGAUCUCUUUUGCAUUUGAAUCUCUCUCAUAAUUUACUGGAGGAUCUGCAGGAAACUUUCUCUAAUUUUACUCCUUCUCUGUCUAUCCUUGACCUACAUUCCAACCAGCUCC